rnacentral:lncRNA from 1 species
UUUGGACAUUGAUGGACCUUCAACUUCUCCAAACGAGGGAAUAAGAAAUAAUCACACCAUCCGAAACUAAAACAGACAAUACUUGAUAAUUGUUCUAGCGACAACUCCUUUAGAUUAGGAAGCACUAUCUCCUUCUCAACGUUGAUAGGUGAAGCUUGACCAUCCUGCUCAGGAGACUCUGGAAUUAUUUCCCUUUCACCAUCCUCUUCUCUGAUAAUAUGCUUCAAUUGACCGCAUUUACUUAUGUAAAGUCUUUGUAGCUUUGGCAGACUUCGAGCGAGGGACGGUGUGAAGAUAAAUGUCAGUUUGUUGAGAGACUCCAAAUUCAGACGAUUAAGACUUUGGAGGCUGACAUGUCUAGAUUGUUGUAUUAAACUCAAUCCAUCCAGAAGGUCAAGGAAGGCAGCCACCAGCUGUCACCGCCCAGCCACCAACCGGCCAGCCGCCAGCCACCAGCUGUUUGCCGCCACAGCCGCCAGCCGCCUUCACACUUGAAGGUUGAAUUUUCUUGUUUUGAAUUCGUGUAUAAAUAGCAAGCUAAGCUUAUGUUAUUCUGUGUGGAGAGAGUAGAGAGAAACACUAGAGAGAAAGAGAGAGGGCGUGUAUUGUGUUAAGCUUUUGUGUUAAGUAAUUGUAAGCUUUUGUUCUUGAAAUAAAACAGUGUGUUUUAUCCCCUCCGAGUGUUUCAAAGCCACCACCAGUGGUUUCUCCCACCAACAAUUGGUAUCAGAGCCCCGUUCGUCAGAAAACAGAAGUGUUUUGGGAGAUAUCCGAAUUUUCAAAGUUGUCAAAAACAAGUUUUGAUCAUUCCAUUGUAUAGAGCUCAUCCAUACGAACUCACUGCCGCAAAAAUCAGCUCAAUCGGACACCGGGGUGAGCCACACGCGCCGCCUGAAGAUCCGGUGACUGUAGCCCAGUCUCACCCACGCGCGCCAGAGGAAGAAGACGAGUGACGUCCACGCGCGCCAUAUUUGAGCCGUUAAGCCGAGCCGAGCCGAGCUGCAAGCCAAGCCUCCAGCCGCGCCGAAGAAUAUUCCCAAGAAUAUUCCCUUUUCAAGCCGAGCCGCUAUUAGCCGAAGCCGAGCCGAUAGAAUAUUCCACAGAAUAUUCCCGGUUCAACCCAGCAAACCGCCCGACGCCCAGAAUUGGUUUUUUGACCGGUUCACCCAUUUUCUGACCUGAUUUCUACAAAGUCAAACCGGUUCCCGACUAUUUCGACCAUUCCGGAUCGAUCUACAAUGUCGGUUUUGCCAAAUUCAACUCCCAGAAGGAGAUAUAGUCAUUAAAAGAGCAAAAUGACUACAGAAAGUACACAAACACUCAUCCCGAAGCUGACCAAAGACAACUAUGAUAGUUGGUGCAUAAGAUUAAAGGCAUUUCUUGGUUCACAAGAGUGUUUGGAGAUUGUACACUAUGGUUAUGAUGAACCAGAGUCUAAAGAAGAAGAAGAUGCUUUACAAGAGGCACAGAAGCAAGCCCUGAAAGUCAACAGAAAGAAGGACAACAAAGCAAAGACCAUCAUCUACCAAGGUCUUGAUGAAGAUACAUUCGAGAUCAUAGCUUCCGCUGAAACAUCAAAAGACAUAUGGGAGGCUCUCCAACAAAAAUACAAAGGUGCUGACAGAAUCAAGAAGAUUCGUCUUCAAUCUUUGCGAGGUGAAUUUGAGUUAUUGCAAAUGAAGUCCUCAGAAUCUAUUUCUGAUUAUCACACAAGGAUUAUGGUGAUAGUCAAUCAGAUGAGGAGAAAUGGAGAAGCCAUCAUAGAUUCUCGAAUUACUGAGAAAAUUUUGAGAUCCCUAGAUCCAAAAUUUGAUUUUGUUGUUGUCGCUAUUGAAGAGUCCAAGGAAGUGGACAAGUUGACAGUUGAUGAGCUUAUGAGUUCUUUGCAAGCUCAUGAGCAGAAGAUUGUAAAGCGAAAUGGAGAUAAGGCCAUCGAGCAUGCCUUACAAGCAAAGAUGUCUCUCAAGGACAGAUAUGAGCAAGGGGAGACUUCAACAAGUGGAUAUACCACUCAAGCAGGAAGUCAACAAUCCAGAGGAGGAUUCCAGAGAUUCCAAGGAAGAGGUUCUUGGAAUACAAGCUUUAGAGGAAGAGGUGGUAGAAACACCACCAGAGGAGGUAGAGGACAGCAAGCAUUCACUCCUAGAGGAAGAGGAGGCGGUUACAAUAACCGUGACAAGAGGAAUAUCCAAUGUUAUAGUUGCAAUCAAUUUGGGCACUAUAGCACUGAAUGCAGAAGGAAAGCUCCGUUGGAGAUACGUGAGCAAGCCAACUAUGCAGAGAAGGAUGACAUAGAAGCUGCAUUUCUUGUCCAACAAGAACUUGGCGAGAAACAGGAAAAUAUAUGGUAUCUAGAUACUGGAGCCAGCAAUCACAUGUGUGGCUACCGAGAGUUAUUUAGUGAUCUAGAUGAGACCAAGCAAGGUCUAGUUACUUUUGGAGAUACCUCAAAGGUUCCAUUCAAAGGUAAAGGCAGCAUCCCAAUCAAGUUGAAGAACGGCGAUUCCAGCUACAUCGCCAAUGUUUAUUAUGUCCCAGCCAUAAAGCAGAACCUGAUCAGCUUAGGUCAACUUUUGGAGAGAGGAUAUACUUUUUACUCGAAGAAUUGCCAUCUGACAAUUAGAGACAACAAUUGGAGAUUAAUGGCCUAUGUGAAAAUGUCCAAGAAUAGGAUGUUUCCUUUGAACAUCCAGUAUGAUGCAGCAAGGUGUUUGAGUGCCAUCACCAACAGUGAAGAAUGGCUCUGGCACCUGAGGCUUGGACAUCUGAAUUUCACGAGCUUGAAGAUGCUAGCAAGCAAGAAGAUGGUCAAAGGUAUGCCUCACAUUGAUCAUCCAGAUGAAGUCUGUGAGAGUUGUGUCCUCAGCAAACAUCACAGAUCCAGUUUUGCCAAAGAAGUCAACUGGAAAGCAAAGAGGCCACUGGAGUUAGUACACACAGAUGUGUGUGGCCCAAUAACGCCUAUGUCGACUGGACAGAAUAGGUACUUCCUCACUUUUAUUGAUGAUUUUAGUAGAAAGACGUGGAUAUACUUUCUGAAGAGGAAGUCAGAAGUAUUCAAUUGUUUUAAAGAUUUUAAAGCAAUUGUGGAGAAGCAAAGUGGUUACAUGAUCAGAACAGUGAGAUCUGAUCAAGGUGGAGAAUAUACAGCAAAUGACUUUGAAGCCUUCUGUACACAACAAGGCAUCAGACAUCAAACAACGCCUGCUUAUACACCACAGCUGAAUGGUGUAGCUGAAAGGAAGAAUCGCACGAUUCUUGACAUGGCAAGAAGUCUGCUCAAAGCAAAGAAGUUGCCCAAGCAAUACUGGGCUGAAGCUGUAUCAUGUGCAGUGUAUCUACUGAAUCGCUGCCCAAACAGAAGUUUGCAAGGUGUCACUCCAGAAGAAGCUUGGAGUGGUCACAAACCAAGUGUUACUCAUCUACGAGUCUUUGGUUGUGUGGCAUAUGCAAAGAUCCCAGAUGCAAGAAGGAGAAAACUCGAUGAUAAAAGCGAGAGAUGCAUCUUUGUGGGAUAUGGUGAAAGAAGGAUGGGAUACAAGCUGUAUAAUCCCAUCACGAAGAAGGUGAUUAUGAGUAGAGAUGUUAUCUUUGAAGAAGAUAAAUCUUGGGAAUGGACUGAUAAUAAAGAAGCAGUUAGAUGGAUCAACAUUGAUUUGAUCCUUGAAGGUGAAGAAGUACCAACAGUACUUGUCGAAGAACCGAUUGUGCCAGCAGCUGAACCACAAAGUCCGGUGAUUAUACCAGCAGCUGAACCACAAAGUCCAGUACACAGAUUCCCUGUAUUCAACAGGAGGAACACACCAGGAGCAUCAUCAUCAACACCAGCAGCAGCAUCCUCGUCAGAAGGACCAAGAAGGAUGAGAAAUCUUGACGAGUUGUACGAUGCCACGCAAGUCAUCGAAGAUACAACUCUAUUUUGUUUCUUUGCAGACAAUGACCCACUUAGCUUCAACAAAGCUAUCACAGAAGAGAAGAUAGAAGCAAUGGAUAAAGAAAUGCAUGCCAUUGAGAAGAAUGAUAUCUGGAAGCUGACUUAUCCACCAGAAAGCAAGAAAGCAAUAGGUGUCAAAUGGGUCUAUAAGAAAAAGAAGAAUGCAAAAGAAGAAGCGCAAAAAUACAAAGCCAUUGAAGAGGGAAACAUUUAUCAGAAUGAAGUUCAUGCUUGGCAUGACAUCCCUCGAUUGAGUUUAAAGGGGAGAUUUGUUGUAUUAAACUCAAUCCAUCCAGAAGGUCAAGGAAGGCAGCCACCAGCUGUCACCGCCCAGCCACCAACCGGCCAGCCGCCAGCCACCAGCUGUUUGCCGCCACAGCCGCCAGCCGCCUUCACACUUGAAGGUUGAAUUUUCUUGUUUUGAAUUCGUGUAUAAAUAGCAAGCUAAGCUUAUGUUAUUCUGUGUGGAGAGAGUAGAGAGAAACACUAGAGAGAAAGAGAGAGGGCGUGUAUUGUGUUAAGCUUUUGUGUUAAGUAAUUGUAAGCUUUUGUUCUUGAAAUAAAACAGUGUGUUUUAUCCCCUCCGAGUGUUUCAAAGCCACCACCAGUGGUUUCUCCCACCAACAUAGAUGGCCCCUUCCAUAUACAUUUGAGCUCAGGUAAACAUGACAGCCGUAACUCUGUUAAAGAUGACAGAAGCGGUAGCUCCUUCUCCUCACUACUUCCUUCAUCAGGCUCACCUAAUUCAAAUACCUCUUCCAAUGAUUUACAGCUGUCAACAAUCACCUCCUCUAGAUUGUUCAAAGCUCGGAGCAAUUUUGCUGGAAACGGAGUGCGAACAUCCCCACAAUCGUCCACUCGUACAAAUUCUAAUCUUUGUAAGAAGCCGUUUUGCUGCCCAUGGACGACCAUCUUAUCAGAGAACAAUAUUAUAUUUUUUCACUCAUAAAAACAAUUUAUAUGAUGAGAGAAAAAAAAAAAAACAGGAUUACAUACUUUUUAGAGAUUACAUAUUAUUGUUUCAGUUUUUUUCUUAAUUAGAGAUAAGUUAAAUAAUAAUUAGAUUUUUGCGAAAAAAGGUUACUACAACUCCUAAUAAUUAGUUUCAUGUAAAAAAUAAAAAUAAAAAUAGUAACUAAUAUUUUUAUUUUAGUUAUAAAGUUAAUAAAUUUUUAAAGAUAUUUUAAUUGAAUUAAAUAUUUGAACACAAAAUAAGCUAAUAUGAUUUCUAUGAUUAAUUGUUGGUAUUAAGUUUCUUAUAUUUAUAUAUGUUUAGAUAAAACAAAAAAAUAAGCAGUGACGAAGAAAGAAUAAAUCUAACAGAUAAUAUAAAUUACGUAAAUCAUGAGGCAGUUAAAUCUAACAGAUAAUAUAUUUCAAAUGAGGCAGUCAAAUCUAACAGAUAAUAUAUUUCAAAUGAGGCAGUCAAAUCUAACAGAUAAUAUGUUCUUCCAUAUGAUUAAUUUUUAAUAACGCAGACAACAAUGAGGCAGUUAAGUUUUUUAUAUUUAUAUAUGUUUACAUAAAAAAAUAAAUCAUAAAAAAAUAAAAAUAAGCAUUUAUCAAUUACUUUACUUUUAGAAAUUGGGAGGAAGAAAGAAUAAAUUAUCGCAAUUGACAAUUUAAUUUAGUGGAGAAAUAUAAAUUACGUACUUGUAGCUGUGCCAACCAAUUACCCACUUCUUCGUGGCCUUCAAUGGUUAAUCUUUGCAAGGGCAAUUGAGCAUCAAAAUUCCUUGGACCUAAAAAGCUGUAAUUAGAUUGGAGCCAAAGAGAAAAUUCUCUUAGCCGAGGGAACUUGAUGAUGCCAUCUCUGGUAAGUGCAUCUCCUUCUCCACCGUAAAAUAUUUGCUUUAAAUUGUCAGCACGAGCAAUCCUCAUCUGUUCCAGGUUCGUAAGACUUGGAGACAUGGAGACAGGGAAGACAUAUUCCAGUGAAAAACAGAAAGAUAUGUUGAUUUUUUUUAAUUUUGGGAAGCGAGGAGACUCUGGAAUUAUUUCCCUUUCACCAUCCUCUUCUCUGAUAAUAUGCUUUAAUUCACCGCAUUCAUUUAUGCGAAGGCUUUCUAGCUUUGGCAGAUUUCGAGCGAGGGACGGUGUGAAGAUAAAUGUCAGUUUUUUGAGAUCUGAAACUUUCAGAUGAACAAGAUUUUGGAGGCUGACAUGUCUGGUGGGCCCCUUCCAUAUGCAUUUGAGCUCAGGUAACUCUUGCAGCUUUAACAGUGUUAAAGAUGACAGCAGCUCCUUCUCCUCACUGCUUCCUUCAUCAGCCUCACCCAAUUCAAAUACCUCUUCCAAUGAUUUACAGCUGUGAACAAUCACCUCCUUUAGAUUUUUUAAACCUUGCCGCAAUUUUGCUGGAAACAGAGUGAAAACAUCCUCACAAUCCCUCACUUUUACAAAUUCUAAUUUAUGUAAAAACAAUUGCUCAAAUGUCUUCGCAUUGAAGGAUGUACCAGCCAAAAUUAAUCUUGUCGAGGUUGGGUAUCGUCCUGCAUCAAACCGAUUCCCAAAUAUUAUAUCAUAUUUGCGCAAGCUAACUGGAAAAACAAAAUCUCUGGGAAUGCAUUCAACCUUCGGUAUCCACAAUGAUAAUACGGCUAACUGAGACAACGAAUUUAGUUCUGUUAGGCUUGCAUUCAUUCCUCCUGUGCUGUCACAUCCAACAGCAUCCCAUCCCUGAAAGCUGCGAUCCCCGAUCAACAGCUCUUCUAACUUCUUCAACCUUCCAAUCAAAUUCACAGGGAUCCUUCUUAGCCUUUCACAACCUGUCACAUCCAACAACCUUAACUCCUUGAGCUCUCCUAUUUCAUCAGGUAAUUCUUCAAUGGAUAAGCACCGUCUAAGACCAAGAAUCUUAAGUCUCUGCAGCUUUCUCAACCCAAUGAGGUCCUUGCAUCCACACCUGAUCAACACCAACGAUUGAAGUUUCGUUGAGAGUUCAAGUGAUUGCAAUGACAAGCACCCUCCCUUCAGAGACAAAACUUCAAUUUCUGUCAUCCCUUCAAAAAACCUCUGAGGAACAUUCAAACCAGAAUCCACUUCCAAUAAUAGAACUUUGAGCUGUGGGCAUACCAAUCCUUCAGGAAGUUCUGCUAGUUUAUUGCCCAUUAACGAAAUUGUUGUACAACCUUCAAAGCUUUUACCCGUCCAUUGCCAAUUCUCUAACCCUAAGCCAGCCUUGACCAUGAAUCCAUAUUCUUUUGAUGCUAUCUGAAUAGCAACAUCACGAACAAGGUCAUGCAUUUUCACAUGUUCUUCAGUUUCAGAGCCCAACAGCAUGCAACAAUCUUUGAGGUUUUCGAUUGCCACAGAAACUCGUUUCCUUGCAUCUUCAAUGGGCUCCGCAUCUUGAUGUAACCCAUAGCCAACUGCAUAUCUCGUCAAGUCCUCGAUUGGAAUGUCAUAAUCUUCUGGAAAUAAACAGCAUAGCACGAAACAUGACUUGGUUUCCUCGUACUUCAAAUAAUCAUAGCUCAACUUAAGACAUGUGUAAGCAUUAUUUUGUUCAUCAAUUUGUUCCAUGCGCACAAAUUGAGAUUCUUUGAGCUGUUUAGACGCUACUUCCCACUGAACUCGUGAUUUACCUCUUAGAGCCCUUCCCACUGUCACAAGUGCUAUAGGCAAGCCUUGGCAUUCUCUCGCAACCUCCCUUGCCACUGUGUUCAAGGUAGAGUCCCCAUCACGUAAACCUGCAUUGAUACUGAAUAAAUCCCACGCUUCAUCUUCAGGUAAGACUCUUAAAUGCACUUUUUGCUGGCACUCCAUAGAAAAACAUAUGCCUUGAACACGUGUUGUUAGAAGAAUUUUACAACCCCUGUGAUCAUCACCAAAUGGGAUCCCUAUCUCUUUCAAGUCAAUAUGUUUCCAAACAUCAUCCAGGGUUAUAAGCAUCUUCUCCACUUUCUUCAGUCUCUGCCGUAAUCGAUCUGCUCUCCCUUCUUUACUGUUUUCUUCAAUUUUCAAACCUAACAUAUCUGCCAUUCGGUUCUGAAUGUCUAUGACAUUUGGAUUCUGCGACACCGUAGCCAUCAAAACUUCAUCAAAAAGCUGCGACUCUCUGGCUAUCGUGCCUACUCUUUUCACCAGGGUGGUUUUACCCACCCCUCCCAUGCCGUACAGUCCGAUCAUAUUGGCGUUGUCAUCUUUGCGAGCUUUCAUAAUCUGUUCCAAAGCUUCUUUUGAAGAUUCUGAGGGCGUGAAUUCCUUUGAUGGAAGAAAUUCUAUGGGCUGAGGAGGAAAUUUGUGGGCCACUUUUGUAAACUUUGUUUCUGAAAGUCUCCGACUCCUUGGCCAGUGCCUUGCUUAACUUGAAUUGUCGAAUGCAGUUUGGACACCAAGUGAAGCAUUUGCCAUUUUUUCCUAUUUCUUUUUCCAAGGGCUUCGCACCUUCAAUUUUGCUGUUUGCAUCUUCCAUCCACUUUUUGACACCUUUCUUAAUUUCUUCAGCAUUCCUUUCAGCAGCUUCGACUUCUUUUUGCAGACCAUCUAGUGCUAAAGCAAGGUUCUCCUUUUGUUCUUUGAAUUCUUCAACAAAAUUGUUGAAACAGAACAUGUAACGGAACUGCCUUCCUACUGGUUCCACCAUGAGUUCUGCUAUCUUAGAUAUAAUGGAUCCACCCACACUUUCGAGAGCCAUUUUCCACCAGUCUGAAAAUCAGAGAAAUGAGGAUACAGGACGUGAGAGUGAGUCACUACAAGUAAAACAGGCGCAGAGAGAAUGGGAAUAGGAAUUCCAUUACCGUAAUUUGGGAAAAUAUGCGCGGAAAGCACUGGUACUGAGAGCUCAAUGAAAUAGCGGGAGGAAGAAAAGGAGAAGGCCUUUAGCUCUGUAUGGAAUCCAGCUUCAAAAGCAACAAGGCAAGGUAUAAGGAUUCUAACUGACACUUGUGAGUUAAAGCAGUAAUUCCCAUUAAAAAUGCAUUUUGAUGACAUAAUUAAGAUCAUAUUGAGACAGUGGCAAACAAAAAAUAAAUGUAUAAAAGUACUCACCUAGCAAAGAAAGAAACGAAUGAAAGGUUCAGGAUAAUCACUUAGCUCGCUUCCAACAACAAAUAUAAUUAAUUAAUCUAAGCUAUGAUCGGUCAAAGUUUUUUUUAGUUUUAUUCUUUUUUUAAAAAAAAAAAAACAGGAAAAAACUUGCAAAGAAAUAGAAUUACUGGAAUGAACACAAUAAAAGAUGAAACUCAAGCAAUUAAAAAUAAAUUAUCUAUGAUGAUCAUGUCUGUGUCACACUCAAUGAGGUAAUCACUAUUACAAUAUUAAAUAAAUAAAUAAAAGCUAAAAGAACUAGGUUUUUGGUGGCAUCCAGAGUGCGGUUACUUUCUUCAUCCUUCUUUUGUGGUUUUAUUUUAUUUCAGUCCUUCAAAUCUUUUUCUUUUGCUAUUUCAUCGAGUUGCUUUGCUCUUGAGUUGAUGUGCUUGCCCUAGAAUAUGCAUUAUGCUAGGGAUUACAAUUACAUUACAUAAGAAAUUAUACUUACAGAUUAUAAUUAAAAUUUUCAGUUUUUUUUAAACAAAUUUAUGAGAAAGUACCAAUAUUACAACGUGAGUAAAUGAUAGGAGAAUUUUAAAUCUUUUUGUGACAUGGUGACCAGCUGAUCCAAGUAACCAAUAGAUUAUCGCCACUUGUUCAACCUGAUCUGCACUUUAAGAUAGGGGUAGUCAUAACUAUUCCUCGUUUUGUUUGAGGAAAAAUAAUUUUUUUAAAAAUAAAUUUUAAAUUUUUCUAUAUUUAUUUGCUAUUAAAAAAAUUAAUCAAUAAAAAAUAUUUUUUAGUAAAAAAAAUUAGUUUUAUUUUUUAAAAAGUAUUUUUCUUUUAUUUUAGGCGGAAAAUACUUUCCAGAAAUUGUGAAAAAUUUAGAAAUAUCAUAUUAUUUGUUGAUUAUAACAAAUUGGAUCCUCAAACUUUUAAUUGCUAUAUAUUUUGUUUUGAAUAUUUUUGUUUUCAAUUUCAUCUGUUAUAAUUUGAUUUUAUAUUAAAUUUGAUCCUUAUUUUUAUGAUUGUUAUUUGUUUUUCUCUUUUUAUUUUUUUAAUUGAAAUUUUUUAUUUAUCAAAUUUGAUCAUCAUUCUUUUGAUUGUUAUUUAUUCUAUUUGAAAUAAUUUAUGAAUAGAGGGAGAGGUUGUUGGAGGCAGAAAAGGAAAGACUACGAUACUAUUUUUCUCUAUAUUUUGAGUUUUAGUUGUUAACAGCCAUGCUCGUUUGAUUUUAUUUUAUUUUUAUUUAUUUUUUUCAUGCUCUUGCAGAUAAGGCAGGAAAGGAGGACCUGAAAUCACGACAGCGAAUAAGGAGAGAAAUAGCGUGUUUGUUUUUUAUUUUUGAAAUUAUUUUUUUAUAAAAUUAUUUUUUUAUUCUAAAUUAAUUUUUUGUAUUUUUAAAUUGAUAUUAAAAAUAAUUUAAAAAAUAAAAAAAUAUAUUAUUUUAAUAUAUUUUUAAAAUAAAAAAUAUUUUUAAAAACAACUACUUAUUCAAUCACUUAAAAUAAAAACCUUAAAAUCACGGCAUGAUAAAAGGAGGAAGAAAGGAAUGGGACAAAGGAGGAAGAAAAUAAGGUCACGUAUAAAAUAGAAGAUGAAAAUUAGUAUGAAAAAGAGGCUAUUUGUUUUUUUAAUGUGUCAGAGUGGUUUUUAUAAUUAUAUUUAAUUUAUAAAAAUAUUAAAUUAAUAUAUUUUUAAAUAUUUCUUGUUAUUAUUAUAUAUAUAUAUAUAAUAUUCUAAUAUUUUUUUAAAUAAAAAAUUAUUUUAAAAAAAUAUGUGUCACAAUACUAAAUUAUAGUACAAAUUAAAAUAUAAAAGAGUUUUCUAUUACUAUUUACCAAGACUUAUUUUGUUGUGGAUGUGGAUAUUAAUAGUGAAUUUUUUUAAAAUUUUCAAUUUGAUAUUUGAAUUUUUUUUUUUCAUAAUCGAAUCUCUUUAUGCCCAAAUUAAAACUCAAUUGCAUUUUGUUUUUUAAGUAUAAGAGUUGAAUUCAAAGAUAGAUGACUGAAAUGAAAAACUUGGUAAAAAUAUGCGGCGACAUUGUAAUUGUUUGCAAAGUUCAUUUUAGUCCCUUAUCUUUUUGAGCUACUAAGUAACAUGUCCCUAUAAUUUCUCAACAUUACAUUUUAUCCAGAAUCUCAGAUUAUGCUCUACGGACUAAACUAAAUUUUUCAUAAAUUGAGAGACCAAACUGAAAUUUAUCAUUUUCAAUCUUAAACCUAGAAUUUUCACAUAUCACCUACUGAUAUAACAAGAUUUCUAACUCAAAUUCACCAUUUAAACAAACCAUAACUCAAAAUCAUCAUUUUUACUUAAAGUCUUUCAAAAUCAACUAAAUAACUCAUUAUUCAUAACAAUCAACACAUAAUAUUCAAAUCAAUUCAUCAAUCAAACCCAAAACACAAUCUUCAAAACUCUAAUAUUCAACAAAACAGAAAAUUAAAGCUAAGAAAAACACAUUUAUACACAUCAAAGCGUAAAUAUUCUUACAUUUUAAUUUAUUUUCUCUAACUCUCUUAUCCUUUUGUUUAUCUUUUUCUCUUUUCUCUUUUUCUUCUUUCACUCUCACGGUUUUUUCUCUAAGAAUUCAAAUCUUUCUCUUUUUUAUUCUAUUUAUAUUUAUGAACUCUUUGUUCAAUUACUACAAUAUCGUUCAUUCAUUUAUACCUACUUUUAAGCCUCCAAGAGUUUUGUUGUUUUUUUCUAUUCUCUUUUAUUUCCAAAUCAUCACAAUAAAAUUGUUUUCUUUUUAUUAAGCUGCUAAUUUAUGCAGCUUUAGCUCUUGUUCUCUCUUCUUGUCUUGCUAUUCUGAUUUUAUCUUUUUCUUUACAUGAUAUAAGAGCAGGUUCUUACCUCUUGAAGUCUGCUGGAUAAACCUAUCAGCAGAAGAUCCUGAAGCGAUCCCAAAUCACAGCUUCAAUCCCCACCACAACCAAUCUCCUCUUUCCCGUAGUCUGUCGUCCUCAAUUGGGAAAUGAUCUCAAAAAAUCACUUGAUGCAACAAGUAGGGUAGAGAAAUAUAAGACUUCAACAAAGAAUCAAACUCAAAAAAAUAAAAGUAAUUGUCUAUGAGAAGCAUUUCUGUGUCACACACUCAAGUAAUAUGAUUGACCUAUUACAUUAUACAAAUUAACAAUAAUAAUAAUAAUAAUAAUAAUAAUAAUAAUAAAAGAACUAGGUUUUUGAUGGCAUCCAGAGUGCUGUUACUUUCAAACAAAGAGGCUUGUGCAUGCGGUGUUAUGCUGUUCGUGUAGGCUAAGAUCUCCUAUGAAUACAUUUGUAAAAUCAUACAAUUGUAUUCUUUUUAUUAAGCUGCUAAUUUAUGCAGCUUUAGCUCAUAUUCUCUCUUCUUGUUUAGCAAUUCUGAUCUGAUCCUUUUCUUUGCAUGAUAUAAGAGCAGGUUCUUACCUCAUGAAGUCUGCUGGAUGAACCUAUCAGCAGAAAAUCCUGAAUCAAUCCCAAAUCACAGCUUCAAUCCCCACCACAAUUACCAAUCUCCUCUUUCCUGUAGUCUUUCGUCCUCAAUUGGAAAAUGAUCCAAAAUCAACAACCAGUUCGGAGAUAGUCUGUGUGAAAAUAAACGGCUGAGAGAUGAAAUGUGAAGGUUAUGGUGAGAAAUUAGAUGACAAACUUACUUUGUCCUACUAAUGCUUUUGCUUUCAUUGUUUCAACAAGUAAAAGAGACAUAAGCAUAAUCAUAAGAAUCCUGUUUUUUCUAUUUUUUUCACCUAUUUAUACAUCAAAAAAUGGCAGUUUUUCUUGUCCUUUCUUUUUAAAAUCUUAUGCCUUGGGUGAGGAAAUUAGUGGAGCAUAAGACGUUUUAAAAGACAACAAAAAGAAGCAAUGUCUCAUCUUUUGAUAUGGUGGUCUUCCAUGAUCAGUUUGUUGAUGAAGAUAUCGAAAGAUUCGAGUCUCCGUUCUAGCUCAGGUUGGAAGCUAGGCCGAAGGCUAAGCUUCUUUUAAUUAUGAAUUGUUUAUGCAAAGGAAACCCAGAAGCUUGAACAAACAGAAAUGCCUUGUUGAUUUCUCUGCUACUACUCAUUAUUUCCAAUAUUAUUCCAUUAUCUUACCCGAAAGCAAUUAUACAAGAAAUUUCAUUAUCCUGCCCCAAAGGCAAUUUAUUACAAGGACUUCCUUUAACCUCCUUGAAGGCAAUUUAUUUGAUGAAAAUUCCUUUAAUCCACCUCAAAGACAAUUUAUCUUAGGGAAUUCCAACGACCCAGGCAAUUUAUUUGCUGAAAUUCCUUUAACCUCCUUGAAGGCAAUCAAGAUUUUAAAUUAAAAACCAUCUAGGUGGUGGCCCAGUGGUAAGAACCUGGGACCAAGAGGUUUGCUCAUCUGCAUAAUUAAAUAGUACUGUUACUGUAAACUACUAGGAAAUUCAUGCGUAGAGCCAAAAUGUUAACAAUAGCACAACGACCCAGGCAAUUUAUUUGCUGAAAUUCCUUUAACCUCCUUGAAGGCAAUCAAGAUUUUAAAUUAAAAAGCCAAAAAUGAACGCAUCUACUCUUGCAAGAAUGGACUCAAAAGGUCAGCUAAUCCGCAUAAUUAAAUAGUACUGUUACUGUAAACUACUAGGAAAUUCAUGCGUAGAGCCAAAAUGUUAACAAUAGCAUUGAUUCGGUCAGGGGCUCUGGUGUAUAGAGAGGACCUUGCCGUUAGAAACUAUGAACCCACUAUUUAUUAAUCCAUUUCUAUUUAGUACUAUUUACUAUUUAUUUAUUUUUAUUUACUAUAUUUCUGUAUGUGAUACCUAAGUACCAAUAAAAUUUGAGAUUCCUUCAAUUUUUUAGGUGCAUGUACAAAAUCAAUUCAAGAGUGUGUAUCCUUAACUAUAUAUCAGGCUAACCUUUACAGGCUGAGCUAGCAAUCGAUAAUUAAUUUUUAAUGAAUUCAUUUUUUAUUUAAAAUAAGGAAAAGGACAUUGUUACACCUUAACUAUUAUAAUUGUUACACCUUACCAAAGGGUUAAUUUAGAAAAAAAUUAUCAACUUACAGGUCACUGGCCGAGGUCAACUUAUGAUUAAGUAGAUCAAUUUAAAUUAAUUAUUUUUAUUAAAAUGAUAAUGUUUUGUUUUUUUUUUUCUUGAUAUUAAUUUGGCUAAUUUUUAUCAAAUCAAAUCACUAAAAACUUAAUCAAAUUAAAUUUCAUCAAAUCAAUAAUAUUUGAUGUAGUUGAAUUUUAUAUAUAUAUAUAAAUAUUUGAAAAUAAUUUAAAAAUGAUGUUUUCAUUAAUACCCAUUCUCAAUGUUUUUUUUGCCUUAUUUAGCUUUUUUUUCAAUUAGUUUUAAUUUUAUUAGCUUGGUUUAGUUUUUUAAGAGGUUAAUAUGAUUUAUUUGUAAUUUGUUUUAUAUAUUUCAGAUAUAUUAAGUAUUUUUUUUAUGUGUGUGUCAAUUUCUUUUAUAUAUUUAUUUUAGUAAAUAAAUUUAUUAAAUAUAACCAGAGAAAUGACUUUUUUAAUCUAUAUUUGUUUCUUAAUUUCUUAAUUUUUCCACCUGCUUUUUUAACUAUUGAUAAUGACUUUUUAUUAUUAUUAUUAUUCACACAAUAUAGUGCUGACACCCGCAGGUUGAGACUUGAGUAAACGAAAAUGAAAUAUUUUGGGUGUCUAUCUCCUAGUUAUGGUAUUAUUAAUAUUUGAGGGUUUUGAUUUGGAAUAAUUAGUGAAGAUUUAAUUAGAACUUAGCCAUGUACUUUAUUAAAAUUAAUUAUUUAGUCCUUAAAGUGUCAUGGAUAAUUAAAAAGUCUAUUAACUAGUGUUGACCACCCUCCAUUUACUAUGUUUUUCUCUAAAAAAUGCCUUCCUUCCUAAUGAAAUUUCCGCAACUGCAUCAGAUGUUUAUUCCCGUUCAAAUGCUCGCAACAGGGAAAGCAUAUGAUAAAGAGAAUGGAACAAGAUUCUUGUCUAUGGAGGGAAUCAAUGCUUCAACUUGCCUUGUGAUUUGCUUUAAUAAGAUUUUUUUUUAUAUAAAAAACAACUUUUAAAUUAUAAUUAAAAGUAAAAUAUCAUAAAUUUAUUUUAUAUUAAAAACCGAAUUCAUUAAACAUAACCAGGGUUGUUUAUUUUUUGUAAUGACUUUGUUUUUUAUUUAUUUAUAUAAUAAUUCAUGAUUUAUUUAAUUCGAUGCGUGCAUAAGUUUUUUAAUUUAUAUUUAGAAUUUUUCUUAAUGUAAAAAAAACAUGUUCAUAAAUUUUUAUUUUUAUGAUUUCAGUUUGAUUCUUAUUUUUAUGAUUUUUUAUGUUUUUUCCUUAUCCUUUUAUAAAAGUUUUUUUGUUUAUAAUUUCACCCUUCAAUUCAAUAUGAUGGAGUAAUUUUUUUUUUCAUUUUUUGCUUUAUAUUGUUGCCUCUCUCCUUUUGGGAAUAUUGUUGCCUCUCUCCUUUUUUUUUUUUUUUUUUCAUUUUAUCAGCUUUUGCAUGUGGAAUAUUGAGUCUUCUAUUUUUUAUCCACAGAAUUGAAUCCUUUAUAUAUUCUUAAAACUAGAUUUGAAUUCUAAUGAAGGAAUAAUAAAGAUUGUUGCAUGUACAAAUUCUCCUUCAAAAAAAUAUAAUAAAGUAUCAUGGAUUUAAGUAUAACUUAGCCCUGUAAUUUAUUAAAAUUAAUUAUUUAGUACGUCCUUAAAGUAUCAUGGAUAAUUAAAAAGUCUAUUAACUAGUGUUGACCACCCUCCAUUAAUUAUAUUUUUCUCUAAAAAAUGCCUUCCUUCCUAAUGAAAUUUCUCCAACUGCGUACUUUUCUUUUCCUUAUUCUAAUUUUUAAGAAAGAAGAAAAAACAUAUUAAUUGGAAAAGAACUAAACAAUAUGUAACUUUAAAAAUAUAAGAAUUAAACAUAUAGUUAUUGAAACUAUGGGAUUAAUUAAUUAUUGUUAUCAAAUUAUAGAGAAUAAAUUAUAAUUGAAUAAGUGUUUGUGUGGAGGAGUGUUUGCAAAUACCAUGGGAGAUGCGAUUUGUAUUAUUAAUUUAGUUGUUGGUAUAAUAGUCCAAAUAUUGUGACGACCAUUUUAUAGAAAUGAGCACAAUGUUUUUAGAAUAUUUAUAAAAAUUGACUUAAACCAAUCAAAAAAAUGAUUUUUGAGUUUGUUAAACAAUUUUAAUAAAAAUAAUAAAAAUAUAAAAUAGAAUUGAAUUGGUUGGAUAUGACCCAAACUAAAUUAAAUAAAAAAACUUAACCAAGCUAUAUUUCAAUGAUCUUGGUAUGGAUUUGUUUUUAUAAAAAAAACAUGUUCAUCCUUUUUUAAACUUCUUGUGGCCUGUUCAUUCAUACUUUAUUAAUAUUUAAAUUAUUUUUUUAUAUUUUUUAAAUUUGUUUUAAUGUUAUGAUAUUUUUUAAUUUUGUUUUGAUUGAUACAUAAAAAUAUUGUUUUUAUUGAUUAAAUUUUAUUUGGAAUUAUUGUUGAUAUUACAAAGACUUAUUUAUUCCUAUUCAGUUGAUAAUGACUACUUAGAUUUUGUAAAAAGAGUUACUUUCUUUAAUAGCCAAUUGAAUGAUUUUUUAUGAGAAAAAUAAAACAUCUUUUGAUGUGAAAAAAAGACACCAUGCACCGUCGUGUGAUACGAUGCUUUUUUUCUUGUGGCAUGUUUUUGAUGCUUUUGAUACGAUGUUCUUCCAGGAAUUUUUUAUCUUUUUAUUAGGCGGUCUAAGAUGCACAGUCGUGUGUGUGUCUAUAUAUAUAUAUAUAUAUAUAUAUAUAUAUGUAUGUAUAUAUAUAUAUAAGUCAUCGAUGCAUGUUUUUAUUUGGUAUUCAAUUCAAUUUCAUAAACAUUACUUUACUCUCUAAUUAAAUUGCUGCAACUAUAUAUAUUAUACCCUUAACCAGACUAUUAGUUUACCAUUCCUGACUAGCUAUCGUAUCCUUUUGGCAAGAAUCAUUGCCAAUUACUUUAUUCGUAGUAUGUAAGAGUCAUUAUCCAACCAUUUUCAAUUCCAUUUCAAAUCACUUUCUUUGAUAAAUUAGUUUAUAAAAUAUUUUUACAAAAACUCCAUACCAUACAUCUAAACAUCACAUAUGUUCAAAUUAAUUUGAACAUAGCAAGUGUUAUAUCUUCUUUUAAAGAUUGUAAAGGACAAAUAUACAAUUACAUUUUCCUUUUUGGGUCUCAAUUACAUUUGCAUUUACAUAUUGUUCACCUAGUAAUUUCUUUUAUAAAAUUUAUAAUAAACUCAAAAAAAUAAAUAGUACGAGAAACAAAGUUGAUAGACCCAACCGAGAACAUGCUCACGAGUUUAAAUAUCUUAAUUUUAGUUUGUAGAACAUAAAGAGAAAUAGAAUUGAUCCAUUAUUUUGUUUGCAGAACAUAAAUGAGAAAGCAACGUCAAUAUAUAAACUUAAUUAAUAAAUAUAUAGUUGGUUUUGUUUUACAAUAAAGAAUUAUUUUGUUCUAUAAAAGAGUAAUUGAAUUUUAUAAAUAAAAACACGAAAUUAUUUAUUUCCAUGCAAGAUGAAGUCAAGAUUCACCACUUAUUUGUGUGAGGCAAAAUAAUAAUAAUAAUAAUAUUAUUAUUAUUAUUAUUGUUAUUGUUAUUGAAUAAGAUGAAGUCAAGAUUCACCACUUAUUUCCAUGCAAGAUGAAGUCAAAUUUCAAAGUUCCCUUUACAAAUCGGUUGGAUAUGGCCCAAACUAUAUUAUACCCUUAACCAGACUAUUAGUUUACCAUUCCUGACUAGCUAUUGUAUCCUUUUGGCAAGAAUCAUUGCCAAUUACUUUAUUCGUAGUAUGUAAGAGUCAUUAUCCAACCAUUUGGUAUUCAAUUUCACGUUCUUUGAUAAAUUAGUUUAUAAAAUAUUUUUACAAAAACUCCAUACCAUACAUCUAAACAUCACAUAUGUUCAAAUUAAUUUGAACAUAGAUAGCAAGUGUUAUAUCUUCUUUUAAAGAUUGUAAAUGACAAAUAUACAAUUACAUUUUCCUUUUUGGGUCUCAAUUACAUUUGCAUUUUCAUAUUGUUCACCUAGUAAUUUAUUUUAUAAAAUUUAUAAUAAACUCAAAAAAAUAAAUAGUACGAGAAACAAAAACAAGAAACAAAAUUGAUAGACACAACCGAGAACAUGCUCACAAGUUUAAAUAUCUUAAUUUUAGUUUGCAGAACAUAAAGAGAAAUAGAAUUGAAUAUGAUGAUGAUGAUUUCUUUUUUCAUUUUCAGGAGACCUAUAAUAGCCGGUUGAGGGAGAGAUAUGGGGACGAUCCUUUGACCCUCCGGAUUUCGAUCCGGAUUUGUGGAUGGAGGUCGGAUCGUUCGGUGGACUCGAUAAAAAUCGGCUGUACGGGCUCUCCAACACUACGACCGAGAACUUGCGGUCGGCCCGUAGUGUCUCAACUGUUGGGAGCUCCAAAUCAGUAUCGAGCACCCAAUCUGAGGAUAUCAUGACCUUGAAACAACACACAGCUAAUCUCACCGAGAAAUACGAGCAACUCUUGGCAAAUUAUGAUCAACUCCGCCAAAUUGUCAUGAACAUGACUUCACAGAGUGGUGCUACAUGUCCGCCCCCUUUUUGGCCGUAUAACAACCAGCCUCCUCCUCCUCCUCCUCCAACUCCGCCAUUGUGCUAAUUUAAUAUUUUUUUGAAACACAUUCAAUUUGUAAUGAAUAUUAUUUAACACUAUUUUUUUGUUCUUAAUGUUUAAUAAAAUUUUAUUUGCAUAAUUGGUUUUUUUACUAUUAAUUUAUAUAAUUUUAUGUUAUUUAUUCUAAAUCAUUUUUAAUUUUUUUAAAAUACCCACCGAGGGAUUUACCGACGGAAUGUAUCACCGACGAAUUUACAGACGGAUAACGUUCGUCGGCCUUUCACCGAUAGCUAAAAAAUAUUUACUAUAUAUGCCACUAUCACCGACGGAAUAAAUUCGUUGGUAAGGUUCCAGCGGGAAGUUUUUUUUUUGGCGUGCAAUUUCCGUUUGUAAAACCAUCGAUAAUAUUUUUUUUACCGACAACCUUAGCGACGGAAUGCGGUAUUACCGACAAACAUUAUGCCGACGGACGUUUUUCGUUGGCGAUUUAGUCGGUAAAAAAAUUACUGACAAACUCUGAAUCUCAUACCGACGGAAUAUGUCCGUCGGUAAAACUGUGAAAUCUUGUAGUGAUUUAGAUUUGGGUUGGUUUUUUAUUUUUAAAUCAAUUAAAUGUUUAUUUAAGAUCAUGAAUGGACUUAUUGAGGUACCUUUUACCUAUAGCUCACUUUGAUACCCCCUCCGAUAUAUCUAACUCUUCAAUAAAGGAGCAAUUUUUCAUUACAUUCAGCACAAUAUUUAUUUCUCUAACAUGUAUGAAGAUGGCACGAGUUAAAAUGAUUGUGUAAAUUAAUUUACAAUAACGAGGCCUUCGUAUAUAGUAAUUUAUCCCAGACAAGAUGACUAAAGUACUCAAAAGAUUCAAGUAGACGUUGUUUUAACACCUUGAAGGAUUCUGAAAUUCUGCCUUGCUCGAACGCGCACAAAAUUUGCCUUUUCUUUUAUUCCUAAUCGGAUUCGUAUGCAUGCAAAAUUAAAUCACCUUGAAAACUCUUAAUCUCUAUCUCGGCUUUUAAAUAUAUAAUUUAUAGCCAUUGUAAAUUCACAAAAAAAUAUUGAUUUUUUUUUUAAUCUCUUGGGUUAUAAUAACCAUAUCUAUCCGGUGUUGUUUAUUGAAAUAUUUUUCAGUUAUUUUGGAUGAGUAUAAAAUGAAUUCAUAGUUUUUGAACUACAAAACCUAAGUUUUAUCUUGCAAACACCCCCAAAAACUUUUAGUAUUCUCAAAAACUCAAUUUUCAAUCAUAAAAUACCUUCUAAUUAGCCUAAAUGUGAAAAUCAAACCUAAUAAAAAAAAUUAUGGGUCUAAUAUACUUUUUCUAGCACGGUUAAAUGACAAGAUCAUUUUAAUCGAACUUCUUUUUUCAAGAUGAAUCUAUUAAUAUUAAAAUCGGAUUUUUUAGAUCAAAAUAUAAUCAGUCAAAUCCUUUUUUUUCUCCAUUUUCUGACCACAUUCUCUCCCUCCUCUCAAUAUUCAAUAACUUAAAAUAUAAUAAAAAUGAAUUUUUAAGAUUGAAUCAUAAAAAUUUAAAGCUAUAGAAUUAAAUAAAUCUGAAAAACAAAAACUUCAAGAACCAUAUUAAAUUUUUCUGCAACUUCUAAAAGGAUUGCAUUAUAGGAGAAUAGUUUAAUGCAUGAUAACUUGAGUCUUGCUACACAAUAAAAUUUGUUACAGUAAGAAUAACAAAUGUUUUAAUUUAGAAUAUAACUAGUUAGGUGCUCACACUACAUCGCGGGUUCACAUUUUAUUUUCAUAAAAAAUAUCAUAAAAAUUUAUAAUACAAAUAAUAAUAUUUUUUCAAUAUUAAUAAUCAUAUUUUUUCAAAUUUAUUAAUAAUAUUUAUAACACAAAUAAUAAUUUUUUUAUUAUAAUUGUAUUAAUUAUAAUAAAAAUAAAAUAUUUAUAACAUAAAUGAUAAUAUUUUUAAUAGUAAUACUAUUAAUUAUAAUAAAAAUAAUAAUAUUUAUAGCACAAAUGACACUAUUUUUAAUAUUAAUACUUUAAAUUAUAAAAAAUAUAUAUAUUUAAAAUACAAAUAAUUAUAUUUAGAAACCUAAAACCUAAGAACCUUGGGUUUUGAUAAAGGAUCCAAUAGAAUUAGGUUCUGACGCAAGACCCUUUAAGCUUGGGUCUUGAUACGGGACUCAAGACAAUCGGGUCCUGACACAGGACCCGAUUCGAAAGGUAAAAAUAUAAAUUAUUGUUCUUAUUAUCAUUAUUAUCAAUAAUAAAUUUGACAUAAAAUAUUAUUACCACCAAAGAAAAACUAUAUAGUUGAUUUGAAGGAUAAAAUUAAUAUUAAUAAUAAUAAUAAUAAUAAUAAUUAUUAUUAUUAUUAUUAUUAUUAUUAUUAUUAUUAUUAUAUGUGCUAUAGAUAUUAUUAUUUUUAUUAUAAUUGAAGGUAUUAAUAUUAAAAAUAAUAUUAUUUGUGUUAUAAGUAUUAAUAUUUCUAUUAUAGUUCAAAGUAUUAUUAUUUAUGGUAAAAAUAUUAUUAUUUUUAUUAUCAUUGAAGGUAUUAAUAUUAAAAACAGUAUUAUUUAUGGUAUAAAUAUUAUUAUUUAACUUGUCUGCCUAAAUGUUUAUAUUUUUGAGUCUUUAAAAAACAAUUGUGGUUUUUCUUCGAUAGUAAUAAUAGUUUUUUUUAAUUUAUUGAUGAUGAUGAUGAUGAUAAUUUUUAAUUUUACCUUUCAAAAUAAAAUUUAUGGUUGUUUUUCAAUAUUACUAAUAUUUGUUUUUCAAAUUUAUUUAUUAUUUUAUUAAUAAUAUUAAUUAUAAUUAAAAUAAUAAUAUUUAUAAGACAAAUAAUAAUAUUUUUAUUAUAAUAAAAAUAAUAAUAUUUAUAACACAAAUGAUAAUAUUUGUAAAUUCACAAAACAAUAUUGAUUUUUUUUUAAUCUCUAGGGUUAUAAUAACAAUAUCUAUCCGGUGUUGUUUAUUGAAAUAUUUUUCAGUUAUUUUGGAUGAGUAUAAAAUCAAGUCAUAGUUUUUGAACUACAAAACCUAAGUUUUAUCUUGCCCCAAAAACUUUUAGUAUUCUCAAAAACUCAAUUUUCAAUCAUAAAACACAUUCUAAUUAGUCUGAAAGGUGAAAAUCAAACUUAAUAAAAAAAAUUAUAAGUCUAAUAUACUUUUUUUAGCAUGGUUAAAUGACAAGAUUAUUUUCAUCGAACUUCUAUUUUCAAGACGAAUAUUAAUAUUAAAAUCAGUUUUUUUAGAAGGGAAUAUGAUUAGUCAAAUCCUUUUUUUUUCUUCAUUUUCUGACCACAUUCUCUCUCUCCUCUCAAUAUUCAAUAACUAAAAAUAUAAUAAAAAUAAAGUUUUAAGAUUGAAUCAUAAAAAUUUAUAGGAUUAAAUAAAUCUGAAAAACAAAAACUUCAAGGACCAUAUUAAAUUUUUCUGCAUCUUCUUAAAGGAUUGCAUUAUAGGAGAAAAGUUUAAUGCAUGAUAACUUGAGUCUUGCUACACAAUAAAAUUUGUUACAGUAAGAAUAACAAAUGUUUUAAUUUAGAAUAUAAAUAGUGGGUUCACUUUUUUAUAUAUAUAUAAAACAUAUCAUACAAAUAAUAAUAUUUUUUCAAUAUUAAUAAUAAUAUUUUUUCAAUAUUAAUAAUAAUAUUUUUUCAAAUUUAGUAAUUAUUUUAUUAAUAAUAUUUAUAACACAAUUGAUAAUAUUUUUAAUAUUACUACUAUUAAUUAUAAUAAAAAUAAUUAUAUUUAUAGCACAAAUGACACUAUUUUUAAUAUUAAUACUUUAAAUUAUAAUAAAAAUAAUUAUAUUUAAAAUACAAAUAAUUAUAUUUAGAAACCUAAAACCCAAGAACCUUGGGUCUUGAUGAAGGACCCAAUAGAAUUGGGUUCUGACGCAAGACCCUUUAAGCUUGGGUCCUGAUACUAGACUUAAGACAAUCGGGUCCUGACGCAGGAACCAAUUCAAAAACGGAUAAUUCCAACUCUGGCGUUGGUAACUAUUACGUAGCUAUAAAAUAAAUUUAGAUCAAUAUUUUUUUAUUCCUAACUUUAAAGCUAUUGAAUAAAAAAAUAAACUAAAUUCAUCUUAUUACGCAUUCACAUAUUUUUUAUUUCUUAUGUAGUUAAAUAAAAAAACAAAAAAAACAAUUAAAUCAGUGUUUUUAUUCAUGACUCUAGCGUCAGUGAAUAAACAAAAAAAAUAUUAUUUUUUCAUACAUGCACAUAUUUUUUUUUGCUAAAUAAAAUAAAAUAUAACGAAUAAAAAUAAUAUAAAUUUAAACCAGUAUUUUAUUCCCGACUCUGGCGUUGGUAAAUAAAUCAGUAAAUUUAUAUUAUUUUUAUUCAUGAAUACACAUAUUUUUUUAUUUUUUUAUUUUUUAUUUUUUUGGGGCUGGGCCCAGCUCAGCCCACAUGGGCUGGGCUAGCCCAGCCGGCCCAGCCCGGUCACUGGCCCAAGCCAGUGACCCGGCUGGGUCACAGCACGCAUGAACUAGUUUCAUGCGUGCAUGGCGCUGCGCGAAGGUAAUUAAUUACCUUCGCACACUGCUAAAUGCACUGAACUUUCGAAAGUUAAAAAACGAAGAAAACAGAGGAAGCUUACCUUGUUGCAGGUUGCUUCGCCGGAGUGUCAGCGUGUCGGGCGACGAUCAGUGGUGGCGUCCGUCAACAGUAAGCUAUAAUUCCUCCUUCGACCUCUGCCUUACUGCCCUCUGUUUCCUCUGCCCUCGUCUGAAAAAUUAUUCAUGUGCUCUGUUUUUCAAAUUCUCUCUACUCUCUCUCGGUUUGUUUCUGUUUUCGUUGUUUUAAGGCCGGUAUUGGUGAGGGAAAGGUUCACUUCUGGUAUGGGGUUCUAAAAAAAACUUAAAAAUUCGGCUGGUAUCUUUGUGUUUCUCUCUUGGGGUUUCGUUCGUCCCUCUCUCUCUCUAGCCAACCCCUGUUCUUCGGUGCUCCUCGGUUUAUAUAGAGCUCGGGCGGUAGGCUGAGGGUCGACCACCAUUAAGGCGCCCCUAACUGAAGCCAACGGACGACGAUUACUGCUGCAACGUUCUCCCUCCUUUACUGUAGAAAACGGUCACUGGCUUAAAGGAGAAGAAGAUGAACAGCGUCUUCAAAACGACGCCGUUUGGGAUAUGAGAUGGCCAUUUGCGUUUUGACCCGUGAAGUUUCGCAACUUUUAUAAUUAAGCCCCUGGUUUAAACUGUAAUUUCUCCUGCAUUUCGGCGCCUUUUACAAGUUAGUCCUUGGACUUUAAUCUGUUGCAAUCGUGCCCUAAUUAACCCCAAACUUUGCUAUUUCUUCAAUUAAGUCCCUAAGUUCAUUAAUUUAAUUCAAUCCAAGUCCAAUUAAGUCUCAAAACUUAUCAAUUAUCCAAUUAAGCCCCUGAUUGGAUUAAUUAAAUUAAUUCCAAGAUUAAAUAAGUCUCAAAACGUAUCAAUUUUCCAAUUAAACCCUUGAUUGGAUGAAUUAAAUUAAUUUCAAGCUUACUUAAGUCUCAAAACUUAUCAAUUCUUCAAUUAAAUCCUUGAUUGGAUUUAAUUAAAUUAAUUCCAAGUUUAAUUAAGUCUUAAAACUUAUCAAUUCUCUAAUUAAACCCUUGAUUUGAUUAAUUAAACAAGUAAAAAAUUUAAUUUAAAUCUUUAAACUUCCAAUCAUGUUACCCUUAACCCAAAUUUUAAUUCAUUCUUCAUUUAUUUCAUUUUUAUUAUUUAUUUUUCAUCAUCAUUAUUAUAUUUUUUUUCAUUAUUUUUCUUUUUAUCAUUUUCCAGUAAAUAAAAUAAUAAUAAUAAUUAAAAUAAAAUGGUCAAAAAUUGGGUUAUGACAACAUCUAUGGAAAUUCAAUCAUUUAAAAAAAUUCGGCAGCACCUCCCCUGUACUGAAGACUACCCACAAUUUAUAAACCUGCAAUCUUUACAAUAACCACAAUCCAAUUGACUCCAGCAACAUAAUAUAUACAACCUAACAUCUAUGAAAAUUCAAUCAUUUAAAAAAAUUCGACAGCACCUCCUAUAUAUUAGAGACUAUCUACAGUUUUCAUACCUACAAAUAUUAAUAAUUACACAAAUAUUGCAAAAUCAACUCUAUACAACCUAACAUAUAUAUACAACCUAACAUCUAUAGAAAUUCAACAUCUAUAUUUUUUCAACUAACAUCAAUAGAAAUUCAUAAAUAACAAUUAAAAUUAAUCAAAAUAAUAAACAACAUAACAAACAAUAAUAUCCUAAAAUUAAGAUAAACUAAUUAAACUUAAUUCUAUAUUUCAAUUAACAUUUUAAAUAUAAAUUCAACAACAAUAAUUAUUGCAAAACAAACAAUAAUAUCCUAAAAUUAAGAUAAACUAAUUAAAUUUAAUUCUAUAUUUCAAUUAAUAUUUUAAACAUAAAUUCAAUAACAACAAUUAUUGCAAAACAAACAAUAAUAUCCUAAAAUUAAGAUAAACUAAUUAAAUUUAAUUCUAUAUUUCAAUUAACAUUUUAAACAUAAAUUCUUAAAAUCUAUUGUUUUUUUUCAAUAUUAAUAAUAUUUUUUUUUCAAAUUUAUUUAUUAUUUUAUUAAUAAUAUUAAUUAUAAUUAAAAUAAUAAUAUUUAUAAGACAAAUAAUAAUAUUUUUAUUAUAAUAAAAAUAAUAAUAUUUAUAACACAAAUUAUAAUAUUUUUAAUAUUAAUACCUACAAUAAUAAUAAAAUAAUAAUAUUUAUAAGACAAAUUAUAUUAUUUUUCAUAUUAAUACUUUUAAUUAUAAUAAAAAUAAUAAUAUUUAAAAUACAAAUAAUUAUAUUUAGAAAGCUAAGACCCAAGAAGGAUCCAAUAGAAUUGGGUCCUGACGCAAGACCUAUUAAGUUUGGGUCCUGACGCCGGACCUAAGACAAUCGGGUUCUGAUGCUGGAUUCAAGAGAAUUUGGUCCUGACGCAUGACCCAUUACCCUUAGGUCCUAACACAGGACCCAAGCGAAUUGGGUCCUGACGCAGGACCCAUUAGAGUUGGGGUCCUAGGGCAGGAUUUAAGAGCAUUGAGUUCUAACGCAAACCAAUUACCAUUGGAUCCUAGUGCACGACCCAAGUGAAUUGUGUCCUGAGACAGGACCUAUUAGACUUGGACCCUUAGGCAGGAGCCAAGAGCAUUGGGUCCUGGCGCAUUUGAAAUAAAAUAUUAUUACCACCAAAGAAAAACCAUAUAGUUGAUUUGAAGGAUAAAAUUAAAAAUUAAAAUAGUAUUAUUUGUGUUAUAAAUAUUAAUAUUUUUAUUAUAGUUCAAAGUAUUAAUAUAAAAAAUAUUAUUAUUUGUGUUACGAAGAUUAUUAUUUUUAUUAUCAUUGAAAGUAUUAAUAUUAAAAAUAAUAUUAUUUGUGGUAUGAAUAUUAUUAUUUGCGGUACAAAUAUUUUUAUUUUUAUUAUAAUUGAAAGUAUUAAUAUUCAAAAUAGUAUUAUUUGUGUUCUAAAUAUUAUUAUUUUUAUUAUAAUUCAAAGUAUUAAUAUAAAAAAUGCUCUUAUUUGGGGUAUAAAUAUUAUUAUUUUUAUUAUAAUUGAACUAAUAAUAUUUAGAAUAUAAAUUAUAAUAUGUUUGAUAUUAAUACUUUCAACUAUAAUAAAAAUAAUAAUAUUUAUACCCCAAAUAAUUAUAUUUAGAAACUUAAGACCCAAUAACCUAGGGUCUUGAUGCAGAACCCAUCAGCCUUGGAUCCCGACGCCGGACCACAGAGCAUUGGUCCUGUUGCAGGAUCUAAGAGUACUGGGUCUGGACGCAGGACCCAAGAGAACUGGUCCUGAUGCAGGACCCAUGAGCCUUAGGUCCCGACGCCGGACCACAGAGCACUGGUCCUGUUGCAGGAUCCAAGAGUACUGGGUCCGGACGCAGGACCCAAGAGAACUGGUCCUGAUGCAGGACCCAUGAGCCUUGGGUCUUGACGGGGACCCAAGAGAAUUGGAUCCUGACGCUGGACCCAUGAGCUUUGGGUCUCACUAGGGUUCGCGCUGACCCAGCACACAAGCAGGGAAGCCCGAGCGUAAGGUGUCCCCAUGUGGCGCGCGGGUCUGGCUCAGCGCCUAGGGCUUGCCAGCCCUAGCGCCAGGUGUUCGCAUCCCAAGGCUUGUAGCCCCACCAAAACUGGAACUGACCAUUUUCUCCCCAACCAUCCCUUCAAUGCCAAAUAUAUCCCAGUGAGAAGACAACCCCACCCCUCCCCUGCUGUCCUUGCAAAUCUAUGUGGCAAGGGCAACUUUGUCAUUACACUACUUUAAUCCACAAUAUUUUGUAUCUAGAUAAAUAGUAACAAGGGCACUGAACCUUUUUAGUAUAACAAGGAGAUUUCAAGAAGUAGUUAAAUUUAGGUUAUAUUAGAUACGACUUUUGUAAAUUGAUUUAAUUUAUUUUUUACUUUUGAUUUUAAUUUAUUUUGAAGUAUGUUAGUUAGAAUAGCUACCAGAUUAGGCAUGUAACUUAUGAAAGGGUUUGCAAGCAGAAAACAAUUAGAAAUCAGAGGAAGAUUUAGAGGAUAUAAUAUUUAGGAUCUCUAGCAAAAGCCAGCAAGGUAUCUGCUCGAAAAAACCAUUCAACAUGAGAUUGCUCUGCUAGGAAAACAUGAUAUCAGUAUCAAACUUUUGAACAAUUAGUACAGCAUCAAGUCUCAGUCAUCUUGAAAUAUAUCGACAUCAGCAUACAAAAACAUUUAUUCUGCAUUGCCAGGCCCAUUUCCAAAACCACAUAAGCAUAUGCAAUAGAAACAGAGCAUCAAACUGACAGAGAAAACAUAGUGAUGCAGCAAAUACCCAAGUCGUAGAGCCAUUAAUUUGAGCAGAAAGGAGAAUGAAAGUCCACACAUUCUUCUUCUUUCCACCCAUUAUCUCGGGUCCACUCUCUAUUAGUGCUUGAAUCCUCAGCUACUUCAGAUACCUGUAAACCAAUUCAAGCAUGGCAUACAUAUUUUAACUUCUAAAUCUUAUUAUUGAGCGAAACAAGAAACAAACACACAAAAAGAGAAGCAACAAAUCAAGACAACUCAGCAGCACCUCUGAUUGAGCUCUUAUUGAACCAUUUGGUGUAGUAGCAAAUUUUGUGAUCAGCUUUGGGCAUUCAAACACCUUCAACUUCUCUAAAUGAGGGAAUAAGAAAUCAUAACAUCCGAGACUGAAGCAUACAAUACUUGAUAAUUGUUCUAGCAACAGCACCUGCAGAUUCGGGAGCUCCAUCACCUUCUCAACAUUGACAGGUAAAGCAUUCUCUUCCUGUCCAAAUACUCCCAAUAAUUGAGAAGCUUCUCUUACUUUCAGUAUUUGGAGAUUUGGGAGACCUGAAGCCAUGCCUACUGGGAAGAGACAUUUCAACUUGUUGCAUUUUCUGACAUCAAUUUCACAUAAAUUGGGGAAGCAUAAAGAUUGAAGAUGAUCUCCUGGCACUAUCUGAUCCUUUCCAUCAUCAUUAUCCCUAGCAAUGAUUUGCUCUAAUUCCUCACAACUUUCUAUGUUUAGAAAAUUCAGUUGAACUAGACUAGCAAUCAUGCUGUCUGAGAAUACAUGUGUUAGUCUCUUACACUCAUACACCACCAAAGUAGUCAAAUUGCUCAGCACGAGACCCUUCCACAAACACCUCAUGUCAGGCACAAGCAGGGAGCCCAAGCGCAAUGUUUUCAAACUUGUUAACUCCUACAUCAAAAGACAACAAUGGCACUAAUUUGUUAGAUAUAAUUCCUAGUAUGUUUUGGUAAAUAGAUGAAUCAGUUAUCAACAAAAGGAUACAAGUAGACAUGGCAAAAGGGCAUUGGAAUAUGAAAUCAUAAGUUGCAAGACUGAAAUAGACAACUCAAUAUUAGCAAAUGGAGGUUUAUCGUCCUAUCCAAAUACUUUCAUUAAUUGGGGGAAGAGCCUCAAUUUCACUCAAACUGGGAAAGCAUAAAUCAAGGUAGGAUUUCAUUACAAUAAUUAAUUUCUUACUUCUUAAGCCCUGCGUCAAGAGACAGGGAAUGAUACAGUUAGACAACUCCUUUUAAAUUUAGUGGAUGGCUAAAGGAUUUAUCUCCACUUAUAAAUUACUUCAGUUUUAGAAAUUUGGAGGAAGAAACACAGUGUAUUGAAGUUGACAAUUUAAAAUAAAAAGCAAAAAAAUUAUUGGAGAAAUAUAAAGGACGCACUUGAAGCUUUGCCAACAAAUUACCCAAUUCUUCAUGGCCAUCAAUGAUUAGACAUUGCAAAGAAGGCAAUUGGGCAGCAAAAUUCUUAGGGCCAAAAAAGCUGAAAUUUGAUCUGGAAGAAAGAGACAAUUUUCUUAGUCGAGGGAACUUGAUGAUGCCAUCUGUGGUGAGUGCAUCUCCUUCUCCACUGUAAAAUAUUUGCUUUAAAUUAUGAGCAUAAAAAAUCCCCAUCUCUUCCAGGUUCAGAAGACUCGGAGACACAGAGACAGGGAAGACAUAUUCCAGUUUACCACACUCUUCUAUGAAGAUAGUUUUUAAUCUUGGGAAGCGAAGAGACUCUGAAAUUAUUUCCCUUUCAUCAUCCUUUUCUCUGAUAAUAUGCUUCAAUUCACCGCAAUAUCAUAUGUCAAGGGUUGCUAGCUUUGGCAGACUUUGAGCCAGGGAUGGUGUGAAGAUAAAUGUCAGUUUGUCGAGAGAAUUCAAAUUCAGAUGAACAAGAUUUUGGAGGCUGACAUGCCUAGUAGCCCCUUCCAUAUACAUCUGAGCUCAGGUAAGUCGAUCAGCAGUAACGUUGUUAAAGAUGACAGUAGCGACAGCUCCUUCUCCUCAUUGCUUUCUUCAUCCACCUCACCCAAUUCAAAUACCUCUUCCAAUGAUUUACAGCUCUCAAUAUCCACACUACUUAGAUUUUUCAAAGCUUGCAGCAAUUUUGCUGGAAAAGGAGUGCGAACAUCCCCACAAUCGUUCACUUCUACAAAUCUUAAUCUUUGUAAGAAGCCCUUUUGCUGUAUAAAUAUUAUAUUUUUUAAACCCUUCACUCUCAUAAAAACAAUUUAUAUGAUGCAUAAAUAGGAAAAAAAUUUUAUAAAGUACGUACUUGUAGCUGUGCCAACCAAUUACCCAAUUCUUUGCGGCCAUGAAUGGUUAGUUUUUGCAAAGAAGGCAAUUGGACAGCAAAAUUCCGUGGACCUAAAAAGCUGUAAUUUGAUCCGAGCCGAAGAGACAAUUCUUUUAGUUGAGGGAACUUGAUGAUGUCAUCUCUGGUAAGUGCAUCUCCUUCUCCACCGUAAAAUAUUUGCUUUAAAUUGUCAGCAUAAUAAAUCGUCAUCUGUUCCAGGUUCGGAAGACUUGGAGACACAGAGACUGGGAAGACAUAUUCCAGUUUACCACAUCCUGAUACAAGGAGAGUUUUUAAUUUUGGGAAGCCUGGAGACUCUGGAAUUAUCUCCCUUUCACCAUCCUGUUCUCUGAUAAUAUGCUUCAAUUCACCGCAUUUUUCUAUCUCAAGUGUUUCUAGCUGUGGUAGACUUUGAGCGAGGGACGGUGUGAAGAUAAAUGUCAGUUUGUCGAGAGACCAAACCUUCAGAUGAGCAAGACUUUGGAGGCUGACAUGUCUGGUGGCCCCCUUCCAUAUGCAUUUGAGCUCAGGUAACCCUUGCAGCUCUAACAUUGUUAAAGAUGAUAGCAGCGGCAUCUCUUUCUCCUCAUUGCUUUCUUCAUCAACCUCACCCAAUUCAAAUACCUCUUCCAAUGAUUUGCAGCUGUCAAUAAUCACCUUCUUUAGAUGUUUCAAAGCUUGCCGCAAUUUUGCUGGAAACAGAGUGCAAAUAUCCCCACAACGCUGCACUUGUACGAAUUCUAAUCUCUGUAAGAAGCCCUUUUGGAGCUCAUGGCCAUGGUUGGUCAUGUGAUCAGAGUGCAAUUCUAUAUUUUUUAAACCCUCUAAACUCGUAAAAAUAAUUUGGGACACCGUAGGAAACAACAGCUCAAAUGUCAUCACAUUUAAGGAUGUGGCGCUUGUACCAGCCAAAUUUAAUCUUGUCGAGGUUGGGUAUCCUCCUGCAUCAAACCGAUUCCCUAAUACUAUAUCAUAUUUGUGCAAGCUAGGAAAAACAAAAUCUCUGGGAAUGCAUUCCACCUUCGGUAUCCUUAAUGAUAAUACAGCUAACUGAGACAACGAAUUUAGUUCUUUUAGGCUUGCAUUCAUUCCUCCUGUGCUGUCACAUCCAACAACAUCCCAUUCCUCAAAGCUGCCAUCCCCGAUCAACAAUUCUUCUAACUUCUUCAACCUUCCAAUCAAAUUCACAGGAAUCCUACUGAGCCUUUCACAACCUGUCACAUCCAACAACCUUAACUCCUUGAGCUCUCCUAUUUCAUCAGGUAAUUCUUCAAUGGAUAAGCACCACAUAAGACCAAGAAUCUUAAGUCUCUGCAGCUUUCUCAACCAAAUGAGGUCCUUGCAUCCACACAUGAUCAACACCAAAGAUUGAAGUUUCGUUGAUAGUUCAAGUGAUUGCAAUGACAAACGCCCUCCGUUCAGAGACAAAACUUCAAUUUCUCUUAUCCCUUCAAAAAACCUCUGAGGAACAUUCAAACCAUAAUCCACUUCUAAUAAUAGAACUUUGAGCUUUGGACAUACCAAUCCUUCAGGAAGUUCUGCUAGUUUAUUGCCCAUUAACGAAAUUGUUGUACAACCUUCAAAGCUUGUAUUGCUCAUUGGCCACUUCUGCAACCCAAUGCCAGCCUUUACCAUGAAUCCAUAUUCUUCUGAUGAUGCUAUCUGAAUAGCAAAGUCAUGCAUUUUCACAUGUUCUCCAGUUUCAGUGCCCAACAGCAUGCAACAAUCUUUGAGGUUUUCGAUUGCCACAAAAACUCGUUUCCUUGCAUCUUCGAUGGGCUCCGCAUCUUGAUGUAACCCAUAGCCAACUGCAUAUCUCAUCAAGUCCUCGAUUGGAAUAUCAUAGUCUUCUGGAAAUAAACAGCAUAGCACGAAACAUGACUUGGUUUCCUCGAACUUCAAAUAAUCAUAGCUCAACUUAAGACAUGUAUAAGCAUUUUUUUGUUUGUCAAUUUGUUCCAUGCGCGGAAAUUGAGAGUCUUUGAGCUGUUUAGACGCUACUUCCCACUGAACUAGAGAUUUAUCUCUUAGAGCCCUUCCCACUGUCACAAGUGCUAUAGGCAAGCCAUGGCAUUCUCUCGCAACCUCCCUUGCCACUGUGUUCAAGGUAGAGUCCCCAUCACGUAAACCUGCAUUGAUUCUGAAUAAAGCCAAUGCUUCAUCUUCAGAUAAGACUCUUAAAAACACUUUUUGCUGGCACUCCAUAGAAGAACAUAUGUGUUCAAAACGUGUUGUUAGAAGAAUUUUACAACCCCUGUGAUCAUCACCAAAUGGGAUCCCUAUCUCUUUCAAGUCAAUAUCUUCCCAAACAUCAUCUAGGAUUAUAAGCAUCUUCUCCACUUCCUUCAGUCUAUGCCUUAAUCGAUCUGCUCUCCCUUCUCUACUCUUUUCUUUAAUAUCCAGACGUAACUUAUCUGCCAUUCGAUCCUGGAUGUCUGUGACAUUUGGAUUCUGGGACACCGUAGCCAUCAAAACUUCAGGAAAAAGCUGCAACUCUUUGGCUCUCCUGCCUACUUCUUUCACCAGGGUGGUUUUACCCACUCCUCCCAUGCCGUACAGUCCGAUCAUAUUGACACUGUCAUCUUUGAGAGCUUUCAUAAUCUGUUCCAAAGCUUCUUUUGAUGAUUCUGAGGGCGUGAAUUCCUUUGAUGGAAGAAAUUCUAUGGGCUGAAGAUGAGCUUUGUGGGACACCGUUUUAAACUUUUCGCUAAUUUCUUCAAGUUUUCUGAGAGUCUCCGACUUAUUGGCCAGUGCCUUGCUUAACUUGAAUUGUCGCAUGCAGUUUGGACACCAAGUAAAGCAUUUGCCAUUUUUUCCUAUUUCAUUUUCCAAAGGCUUCACACCUUCAAUCUCGUUGUUUGCAUCUUCCAGCCACUUUUUGACAACUUUUUCAAUUUCUUCAGCAUUCGUUUUAGCAUCUUCGACAAUAUUUUGCAGACGUUCUUUUGCCGAAUACAGAUUCUCCUUUCGUUCUUUGAAUUCUUCAACAAAAUUGUUGAAACAGAACAUGUAACGGAACUGCCUUCCUACUGGUUCCACCAUGAGUUCUGCUAUCUUAGAUAUAAUGGAUCCACCCACACUUUCGAUAGCCAUUUUCCACCACUCUGAAAAUCAGAGAAAUAAGGAUACAGAACGCGAGAGUGAGUCACUACAAGUAAAAGAGGCACAGAGAAUGAGAAAAGGAAUUUUAUUACCUUAUUUUGGGAAAAUAUGUGCGAAAAGCACUGGUACUGAUUGCUCAAUGAAAUAGCGGGAGGAAGAAAAGGAGAAGGCCUUUAGCUCUGUAUGGAAUCCAGCUUCAAAAGCAACAAGGCAAGGUAUGAUCUAAGACGAAUGAAAGGUUCAGGAUAAUCACUUAGACGCCUCCAUGGGUGAUACCAGCUCGCUUCCAACAACAAAUGUAAUUAAUCUAAGCUAUGAGCGGUCAAUGUUUUUUUUAGUUUAGUUUUGUUUUUUUUCUUAAAAAACAGAUCAACAAGGGAAAAAACUUGCAAAGAAGUACAAUUACUGGAACGAACUCAACAAAGGAUCAAACUCAAGCAAUUAAAAGUAAUUGUCUCAUCUCUGUGUCACACACUCAAAGAAUUUCAUUACCUUAUUUUGGGAAAAUAUGUGCGAAAAGCACUGGUACUGAUUGCUCAAAGAAAUAGAGAAGGCCUUUAGCUCUGUAUGGAAUCCAGCUUCAAAAGCGACAAGGCAAGGUAUAAGCAUUUUGAUGACAUAAUUAAGAUAACAUGCGUAGUAAUAUAAAGAAAAUGACAAACAAAUAAAAAAAAAUAAUGUGUACAAGCAAGAAACGAAUGAAAGGUUCAGGAUAAUCACUUAGACGCCAUGGAUGAUACCAGCUCGCUUCCAGUAACACAUAUAUUUAACCUAAGCUAUGAUCGGUCAAAAAAAUAUUUAGGUUUCUUUUUUUUAUAUAUAAAAAAAUACAGAUCAACAAGGGGAAAAAAAAAAGAAAAGACUUGCAAAGAAGUAGAAUUACUGGAAUGAACUCAACGAAGGAUCAAACUCAAGCAAUUAAAAGUAAUUGUCUCAUCUCUGUGUCACACACUAAAGGAAGGAGAGAAAAGAAGGGGAUGGGAUCACGGCAAGAAAGAAGGAGAAAGAAAGGAAUGAGACAAAGAAGGAAGAAAGUAAGGUCACGUAGGGGCCAGUCUUGUAGAAAGUUUGAGAAUUAGAAUGAAAAAGAGGAUAAUAAAGUAGUUCACUUGUCAGAAUCAAAACACAUAAACAUAGGACAAAAACAGGGAGAGAGGCUAUUUGUGUUUUUUAACUGUGUUAGAGUGUAUUUUAUAAUUAUAUUUAAUUUAUAGAAAUAUUAAAUUAAAAGUUUUUAAUAUUUUUUGAUAUUUUUUAAAAAUAUAAAAUAUUAUUUUAAUAUAUUUUGAAAUAAAAAACAUUUCACAAUACCAAAUUAUAGUAUAAAUUUAAAGAGAAAUUGAUUUUCUUGUUCAUUAAUGUUUACUCAGACUCAUUUUACUAUGAAUAUUAAUUAUGGGUUUAUUGAAAAUUUUCAAUUUGAUACUUAAGUUUUUUUUCUAUAAUUGAGCCCUUUUGAGCUCAUUUGCAUAUUUUUUUAAGGAUAAGGGUUAAAAUGAAAGAUAGAGAACUAAAAUGAAAAACUAGGCUAAAAUAGGUGGCGGCUCUAUAAUUUGUUUGCAAAGUUCAUUUUAGUCCUCUAUCUUUUUAAACUAUUAAGUAACCAGUUCUUAUAAUUUUUAAACAUUGCAUUUUGGUAUAAAAUUUUAUUUUCCUCCUUUUUUUAGUUUUUUUUUUUUAGAGGAAAGAGAGAGGGUCGCCAGAUUUCAUCUUAGAGAGAAAACGUUGUAGUUGGGGAAGAUUUUGGCCCCUAAAACAUAUGUUGCUUGAUUUUUAAUUGAGUCUAAGUGGUUUUUAUAAUUAUAUUUAAUUUAUAAAAAUGUUAAAUUAAUAUAUUUUUAGUGUUUUUUUGUGAUUUAAAAAAAUAUAAAAUUAUUUUAUUAUGUUUUUAAUAAAAAAUAUUUUUAAAAAGCAUGUGUCCCAAUACCGAAUUAUUAUAAUUAUAAUAUAAACUAAAAGACACAGUCUUUUAGUUUGGCCUUUGACUUAUAGCACCGUGAAUUAGAACAACGUUAUCAUGUCCUAACCAUAGUUAUUAAACCCGAUCCAGAGGUUGACCUGGCCAAGGUGCCGGGUCCUGAGUUUCAUGGGUCAACCCGGAAAAAAAAAUAAAAAUUAAAGUUUUAAUAUUUUAUAUGAAAAAUUAAGAAAAAAUACAUGUAAAUAUAUGCUAUACAUAUUGUAAAUAAUGAAAUUUAAAAGAAUAUUUUAAAAAGUUUUUUUAUCUCACAUUAAAAAGAUAUUAUGUUAGGCUUUUAAGUUGAAAUAUUUAAACCAAAAAAGUUUUUUAUCUCACAUUGAAAAAAAUAUAACUUUUUUCUUGGAAACAUAGAGUAUAUAUAUUAUAAUACUAAUGGGUUUUAAAUCCCACAUUGAAAAAACAUAGUUUUUUUCUUGUGAACAUAACAUAGUUUUUUUCUUGUGAACAUAGAAUAUAUAUACUAAUGGGUUUCAAAUCCCACAUUGAAAAAAGAUAACUUUUUUCUUGGGAAUAUAGAGUAUAUUUACUAUAAUACUAAUGGGUUUUAAAUCCCACAUUAAAAAGAUACUAUGUUAUCCUUUUAAGUUGAAGUAUUUAAACUAAAAGGUUUUUUUAUCCCACAUUGAAAAAACAUAACUUUUUUUUUUGAAACAUAAUAUAUACUAAUGGGUUUAAAAUCUCACAUUUGAAAAAAAAACACCGGGUCUCGCCCCGGUUGACCCGCCAGGUCGAUCAAGUUUGGUCAGGUCAUUGCAUCGGCCGGUCUUUUGACAAACAUGGACCGGUUCAGCCCCCAGGUCAACCCGCCAGUCCGUUCAGGUUUAAUAACUAUAGUCCUAACUGACACGAUCAAAGAGUUGAUGUCUUAUCCCAAGUGCAAGAGUGUCAAAGUAAUAAAUAACCCGUCAAGACCGGGGUCGAACCACAAGGAGGUGAAUUAUAUAAAUUAUAAUAAUAAUAAUAAUAAUAAUAAUAAGAACAACAACAACAAUGAUGAUGAUGAUGAACAACAACAGGACUUUGAGAUGUAAGAUAAAUGUGAAGAUUAAAUAAUGAUAAAAACAAAUGUCAAGGUUAGAGGAUCCACUAAUAGUAUUAGAGAUAAGUAAAGUAUAAACUCUUUAUAAAUUAUCAACACGAUCAUAUCAAUCAUCUUAUUUACGUAACACCAUAUUUGUCGCACGUCAGAAAAUUCGUGCGGCAUCGGCUUGCAAUUUUAUCGUUGUUAUGCGUUGAUUUAGGGUCUUAGGAGUCGCCACCUAGUAAUUUAUAGAAGGCUACUAGGAAACCGGAUGAACUGGUCUUGUCAGAGAUUCACGAGUAAGAGACUGGUUGUGGUUAGAGAAGGUAUUAGCACCCCUAACACACCCUACCUGAGGUAAGCUGCUUCGUGGACUUGAUGUGUUAAAGAAGUUUUAAAAAUUCUGUUCUUUCAUUGAAUUUUAGAAAUACGACUUCCAUGUAAGUUCAUAAUUCUUUAUCCGUGAGCAAAUCAAAAUAUUAAAUUCUUCUUUAAUCUUUGCAAUUUUAUCAUAAAUAAAAAAAAAAACAUCCAUAACAAAAAAUAUAAACACACACAUACACCUUCACUGUAUUUUUUCUCUUUUCUUUUCUUUUCUUUUUGUUUUUACAUCCACAAUACAAAAUACAAUUUCAAAAGAACAAACUAAACCAAAAUUACAAUAAUAACCCCAAAACAAUCUGGAAUUUACAGGGAACACCUUCUGCAUCACCAGAACAGUGUCAGGCAGACUUCUGGAGCUGCAAGAACAGUGGUCGCACGUCUCCUCCACUCGCCACCGUGGCUGGUGGCGCGUGGGUUCACGCGCCGCCGCUGACAAUGCCCGAAAAUGGGCGGAUCUGCCCUGCUUUCUUCUUCCCUUCCCUUCUCUGCUGGCUGUGAGAACCACCGUUACCUGCAAAGGGGGAAAAAUAAACACAAUGCAAAGCUUCCGAUCCUCUCCUUUUUUAGAUCUACUAUCUUCUGUCUUCUCUUUCGGGUUUUCUGUUCUUCCCUUCUUCAGGUGGCAGGUCUGCCGGCUUCUUCUCCCCUUCCCCUCUGCAUCAGCGGUGGCUAGUGAGGAUGGAGACUGGCUGCUGUGGUCGGGUCUGUUCGUUGACCCGGAGAGGGAGGCCGAUGGGUCGGCUGAGAGAGGAGAGGAGGUGUUCCCGGGCGUGGAUGCUGCUGGAUGCUCUUCACUCCUGUUGGUGGCAGCAAUGGUUGGCCUUGCUGCUGUUGUCCGGCUGUCACUGGAGGCUGGUUGAUGGAGACCUGUGAGAUGGCCGGGGAGGGAGGCCGAUGGAAGGGAACAGUUGGGAUGGAGAGGGACGGCACUGCUGCUGUUCAGCCGCUGCUGGGGCCGAAUGGAGGAGAGACCUGGCGAUGGAAAUGAGAGAGUGAGGGGAUCCUGUUCUGUCAAAGAGAGGGGCGAGUGAAAGGGAGAUGAGGGAAAUGCAGAGGAGGCUGCUCUGGCUUGGGAAAAGAAGUUGGAAAUGAGGGCUAUCUGUUGAUGACCGGGCUGUGGGAGAAGGAAGAAAAAUGAGUGCUAGUCUUGGGAGAUGUGGAAACGGUGGGUGUUGUCUGUGAAGGGGAGGCUGGUCUGGGUGUGUGGGGGCUGUGGCUGAGGGGAAGGAACGGUGAUCAAGGGGGAGGGGGCUGGACUAUGGCCGGCUGUCACUGGUUGAAGGAAGGCCUGUGGGAAAGCUGGAGAGGCAGAGAGGGAAGAAGAAACCGAAGGGAAAACUUGGGGAAAGGGGAGCAGCGGCUUGUGUGAAGGAAAAUGGAGUGGGCAGCUGUUGUAAAAAUGAAUGGGGUUUUGUGUUGUUGGCUGGCCAAGGAGAAGAAAAUGGGAGGAACGGCGUGGAGAGGAAAACCAAAAACAUGGGGGGCCUGUGUUGUUGGCUAGAAAAUGGGGGAGGGCUGGCGGCUUGGAGAAGAUGAGAUAGGUUUAGGGUUUCUCUUCCCCUCUUCUGAUGUUGUCAAAAUUCUCCCCUGUUUGAGUUGUGGACCAGUAUUUAUAGAUAAAAUGUUGCAUGGAUCUAAAAAUUGAUCCCUCAACUUUUUUUAUUUUUUUUGUAAAUUUGAUUUUUCUUAAUUUUUUUGUAUUUUUUGAAAACGAGCAAUAUCAACGUCGACUCAAUGAAGAAAAUCAAUGAUUUUAAAAAUAACGCGUUGAAAGUUGAACGCGUUCCAAAUGUCUUUGAAAAUUUAAAUUCUUUUGAGACGAUGCUAAAAAAGAUGCAAAUGUAUUAAAAAUGUAUUUUUUGGAUUUUCAAUGUUUUUCGCUAUUUUUGGAUUUUUUCUGAAAAUUUAUCAAAACAUGGGUCAAAAAUUGGGUAGCAACAGAUGCCCCCUCUUUACAAUGCUUACGAAGCAAAACUCCUCAAUGUUUUGCAUAGUAAGCUUUGUAAAGAAAAACUUGUCUUUCUGUCACUCAAUAUCCACUCAUCUAAAGGCCUUGCUCUUUUUUUUUGUUCUCUCUUCCUUCUCUUUUCUUCCUCUUCUUUCUUCCUUUCUUUCUUUCUCUUUUUUUUUUUAUCUUGAGAUCCCAUCUGGCGAUCUCCUUUUCCAAAACCAAAGAAUAUGUGUAGCUCGGUCAACCUGAAAUCCCAUCUGGCGAUUUCCUUUAACCAAAGCUACAUGAGAUCCCAUCUGGCAACCUCAUUAAACCAAAACUAAAAAAAUGUGUGUGUAGUCUUAUUAUGACGGGUGACCUACCCAAAAUGAAAGAUGGUCUCAUUAUGACGGGUGACCUACCCAAAUACAAGAUGGUCUCAUUGUGAUGGGUGACCUACCCAAGUGGAAAAGGGAAAGAGUGGUCUCAUUUUUAUGGGUGACCUACCCAGGGGGAAGAAUGGCCUCAUUAUAAUGGGUGACCUACCCAAGUAAAAAAAUAAUGGAGAAUGAUCUCAUUCUAAUGGGUGACCUACCCAGAAAAAAUGGUAUCAUUGUGAUGGGUGACCUACCCAAGUGGAAAAGGGGAAGAGUGGUCUCAUUCUUAUGGGUGACCUACCCAGGGGGAAGAAUGACCUCAUUAUAAUGGGUGACCUACCUAAGUAAAAAAAUGGAGAAUGGUCUCAUUAUGACGGGUGACCUACCCAAAUACAAGAUGGUCUCAUUGUGAUGGGUGACCUACCCAAGUAGAAAAGGGGAAGAGUGGUCUCAUUCUUAUGGGUGACCUACCCAGGGGAAGAAUGGCCUCAUUAUAAUGGGUGACCUACCCAGAAAAAAAAAUGGAGAAUGGUCUCAUUCUAAUGGGUGACCUACCCAGAUGGAAGAUAGAAAAAAUAUGAAGUGGUCUCAUUGUAAUGGGUGACCUACCCAUAUGGAAGAUGAGAAAAAUGUGAAGUGGUCUCAUUAUUAUGGGUGACCUACCCAGGUGGAAGAUAGAAAAAAUGUGAAGUGGUCGCGUUAUAAUGGGUGACCUACCCAGGUGGAAGAUAGAAAAAAUGUGAAGUGGUCGCGUUAUAAUGGGUGACCUACCCAGGUGGAAGAUAGAAAAAAUGUGAAGUGGUCGCGUUAUAAUGGGUGACCUACCCAGGUGGAAUAUAGAAAAAAUGUGAAGUGGUCGCGUUAUAAUGGGUGACCUACCCAAGUGGAAAGAAUGUGAAGUGUGGUCUCAUUAUAAUGGAUGACCUACCCAGAUGGAAGAUAGAAAAAAUAUGAAGUGGUCGCGUUAUAAUGGGUGACCUACCCAAGUGGAAAGAAUGUGAAGUGUGGUCUCAUUAUAAUGGGUGACCUACCCAGAUGGAAGAUAGAAAAAAUAUGAAGUGGUCGCGUUAUAAUGGGUGACCUAUCCAAAGAAAAAGGAAAGAAUGUGAAAAACGGUCUCAUUAUGAUGGGUGACCUACCUAAAUGGAAAAAUGUGACUUACCUAGCAAAAAGACUUGGCAGGCGAAGUCCUGAUAGGAUAAGGCUGACAAACGGCGCUUCCUAAUUGCAAGGUUUACUUGAAGACUCCUCUUGAUGACGGGGUUAAUCUCCUCGUUUCUUUGAGAUUCUCCUACUGGCAGGGUUCAUCUCAUUCUCUUCUCGUUCCAGGAUCUAAACCGAUUCUUUGUCAUCAUCAACUCAAUGAUUCUUUCUUUGUCCACAACCUUGUUGAACUUCAUUGAGGAUCUUUCUGUAACAAAUCACAAGUAUGUGCAAUGCUUUGAGGUUAGAUGACAUGCAUGCAUCCUUACCUGAUGUGAAAUAUAGGUCCCCCCCUUUGAUGAUCCAUCGUCAUAGGGUGCCUUUGUUUGCUAACCAAAGCCUUCUUUGCUCUUCCCAUGUACUGACUCAUUCGUGUGCUAGCCAUCCACUCAAAUGUAAGUGCAGUGCCCAUCUCGGGCUGUCUACGACGAUUACUACUCUCAGUUGUUCUCAAUGUUGACCAUGCUUCCAAGCGUGGUGUUGCUCGAUUCAUCAUGAAGGAGUUGAACAAAUCAUCCAUCUCCUAGAUUCUCUCAAGAAUUGUCCUUUGAUUGGUUGUGCGUGUUUUGCCACUGCCGGUCAAGAGGUUUUCUAGUGUUUAACCUCAUUUUAGAUGGACUUGCCCCCAGUUGAAAUAACACUCUUCAAGUAUAUAUUAUCACCCGCCUUCUUGGAACUGCUAAGUCAUCCAGACAUGCCUCUCAUACUUUGCAGUAAAAGGCUAAUCAUUGUAAGCUCAAAGUUCUUCUCCAUAGAUUCCUCUCAGCUUGUCAAAUCAGAUCAGGAAAGGAAAUGCGUUGGCAUCAUCAAUGAUGUUCAUCACCCAUAUUCAUGCGGUGAAGUGUACAUUUGAGCUUCAAAGCAGAUGGUCCCACAGUCAGUCUUGGUGGGUGCAUCUUUCCAACAUUCAUUCAAAUGCAACUAUGCGAUAACAUCAUUCAAAAGUCAUAGCCAUGUUGGAGAUGAUAAACCAUGAUGAAGAUAUGAAAAUAUCCUUCAAAUGCAGCGUUGUUCAUCAAUUGCUGUUGAAGUUCACUAGAUCACAAACUGUCUUUGAACAAUAUUGCCCCCAGCAAUGAUUUGAAUGCUUGUUCAUCUGUCUAUAAUCAAGAAGUUUUUUUUUCUUUGUCAUUGCCAGAUGCUAAACAUAACUUCGAUGGACUUUGACGACUCAUCAUCUGAUUUUUUUUUUGCUUUGCCCUCAGCUGAUCUGAAUACUGCUUGUUUUCCUACCUAGGAUCCACUGUAUUGCCCCUAGGUGGUCAACUUUUCAAGGAGUGUCGAGAAAUGUUGAUGUCAUUCUUGUCAAGGAUUUUGCAAAUUCAAUCGAUGUUCUUCUUGUUUGACAAUCUUCCUUGUUCUGGAAUCAAAUCUCAUAUUUCAACGCUCAUGUCUAUUCAAAUCUAAUUGUUGAAAUGAAAUCAGAGAGAUGUCAAUUUUGAAAAGUAUUUUCUGGAAAUCAAGCUUGUUUGGUCAAAGAUCCAACACACGCUAUUCAAUGAAGUCCUUUAAUUGUCUUGUAUUUUGAAGACAGAAAUAACUCGUUGUAAGAUUAAAAUGACUUUUUUCGUGGUUCUUUGUGUCAAUUUUAAUCUUUGAUCUUAGGUAUAUCUUUUGAUGGCCUGCGAUGAGGUGACCUUCUGUGGAUUUCAAGAAACAAAAGGCUCAAGUCAAAACUUGAGGAUUCAUCAAGAAAGAUUGUUUUCUUUUUUAGCACCAAUUUUAUUAGCAUGCAUAAUAACAAGUAGCUUAAUCCAUGAAGUCACGACCCUUAUGGAAAAGCUCUUCAAGUUUUGAGAUCGUCAUUUAUCGGUUCAGAUUGCUUACUUGAUUAAAAAAAGGCUUUUUACAGCACGUAAUGCAUGCUAUGGUUCAUGGCUUAUGAAAGAAAGGAAAUUCACAGGCUCAAAAGGUGUUUGAGGGUUUUAAAGACCUAGGAUCAACAUCAAUUAUUCAUCAACUCCUUUUCUAUUGUUGUCUUUGUAGAGACGACAUAGAACCUUGUUAACCUCAAAGAUCAGACUUCUCUUAACAUAAGUCAUAAUGCAAAUCCACCUUUCCUUGAUGAAUAACCAACCUCAAUCAUCUGAUAACAUCAGAGGUUUUAUAAUGGAUAUCAAAAGUCACGUUUAUAGCUUAGUCUUUCUUCUGCUAUUGACUUUUGUUGUCUUUCCUUGAUGUCUUUCUUCUGCUAUUGACUUUUGUUGUCUUUCCUUGAUUGAAAUUUCUUUUGCCAAGACUUGAUAGACAUUCUCUUUCCUUUAUCUUUGACUUGCCUUUAAGUGAAGGCAAUUUCAACUUCUUUUUUUUUUUUUCAUAGCCUUCCUCAAAAUUUUCUUAUAUGCCCCCAGCCUAUGUGUUUUCUUUUAGCCCUCUCUCAAUCAUUGGACUUUUGUUCUAAGCCUUCCUUUUAUCCAUUAAUGUCUUCAAAAUAUCUCUCAUUGCCCCCAGUGUGGGGUGUGGUCCUAGUCAGGGUUUCUUUUUGAAAGAAAAUAUUUUACAAGGCUAAAAAAUGGGACUGCAAGGGAUAUAAUCUUUAGAAAGUGAAGGGAUAUCAAAGAUGACAUUUUCUCAUUUCAAGCAAGGUCGGUUAGAACCGAUAAAUUUUGACCUCAUCCAGUGUAAUGAUUGGGACUUGUAAGAAUAAUGAUUCACGAGUCCAUAACUAUCGAAUCCACUACAUGUCAUUAUGCAUACUGCUAAAACUUAGCUAUAUGAUGUUUUUUUCAGUUUCAGGAGGUAUGAGUUCAAAAUUGUUUGGUCACCUCAUGUCAUUUUCAAGAAUCAAGUCGUUUCUGCAAUCAAAAUAUUUUUAAUCUUCAGGAUUAAUUAAUCUUAAUCGUAUGUUCGAGCUUGAUCAAAAAUAUUUGUGUCAAAAUAGCCUUUGAAAGAAGCAUCGCUUGAUUUCAAAACAACAAGAAGACAAAGAGAAGACAUGUUUCGUUGAAGGGUGAGAUGUGAUCCCAAAACAAAAUGCAGAAUGCUAAAAUCCCAUAACAAAAAUGAUUGACAAUUUGACCCCUUCUUGGAUCACCUACUCUGGCGAUAUCUGUGUUUCACCGAGUCAAUUUCGAUCACUUGUCAUUCUGAGGAUGUUCUGGUGACAACAUGAUUGAUGACAUCAUCUUUCACAAACUCAGCUCGAUUCUUGAAACUCUUGUGUCUGUUCAACUGAAAUGGUUCACGAACCCUCCAUGAUAUUCACAUCUGGUUUGAAUUAUACCACGGUGGUUGCAUGCAAUUUGUCGAAGUCCGGGGCACUAAGUCUGGAAUCUGGCAGAUGCUAGUCGACAAACUUAAGUGGCAGAGGGAUGUCAAUCUUGGCAAAGACAUUUGAGCCAUUGAUGCUACAAUGAGACCUGGCUAAACCACAUAACUAUGGUUUUCCAUCUUCAGAGUCAUCUCCUUAUUCAACUCCCUUCACAGUUCUGAAAUCCACGGUAGAGCCUUCAAUCUUUCCCAUCUUGAUAGUUAGCUCUAUUCUUUUGGCAAUCCUCACAACAUCAUGUCAAUCUUCCAAUGUUGUUGCGGUUGUAUGAGAAUUGUUGGAACCCUCCACUAGCUAGGUAAUCUUGGCAGCAUACAGAAACAUGCAGUACCACCACUGCCGACGUGUGGAAUCACGCGUUGUCUCAACUGGAAGAGAACUUGAUGAAUCUAAAACUCCUUUGUCUCCUCUUUGAUUCCUCACUGACGGCGCAUCAAACAGACACCUGUAGAGGGAGUUCUGCUCCAUUGAAGUUUCAGUCUUAUUCCCGUUUUUCAGCCCACGUUUGUCUCUUCUCCCUACUUUUGUGUUUUAAUUCCAACACUGGUAGGAGAAAAUUGUAGACGAUCUGAAACUACUGCAUCCCUUCUUGGAUUCCUCACUUACAGAUCCACAAACAAAUCUCUAUAGAGAGAGCUCUGCCACAUAGAAGUUUGAUGUCUGCUUAUGUUUUUCAGACCAGGUAUGGCUUUUCAACCCACUACAGUGUCUUCGUACUGAAACUGGUGGCGUAAAUUUUCAUAUCUUCUGAAACUACUACAUCCCCUGUUCUGCUAGGAAAACAUGAUAUCAGUAUCUAACUUUUGAACAAAGAGUUCAGCAUCAAGUCUCAGUCAUCUUGAGAUUUGAAUGCCCAUAUAUAUUCACAUGCUCAUACAAUAACAUUUUUAAAAAUGCAUUAUGCAUUAGAAACAGAACAUCAAACAAAGAGUUCAGCAUCAAGUAGAACGCAUGAAAGUCCACACAUUAAACCAAAAGAAACACAAAUGGGCAAGCAAACAUACGCCCUUACUUCUGGAGGCUUGUACGAUAAUGACUACACACACAACAUUACAUUACUUCUAACUUCUUCAGCAAACACGUAGAUAGAUAAGUCGCAAUCUUCUAUGGUAAAUAAGACUGUUACAAUGUGAAGCCAAUUUGUAUCCCAUUGCCAAUGAAACAGUUGGAAUUAAUUACUUCCCACCCAUCUAAAACAUACUCGCAGCACCAUCCUUGAAAUCAUGUAACAGCUAACCAACCUUGCCUGAUGCAAACAUGAAGAACAAAGACAAUCCAUGAUUUAAUUCAACCAUUAAAAUUUGAAGGUAAAGGAGAGGAUAAAUAAUCUUCAGCUAUGUCACCUGGUUUGGGCAAGAAAGAAUUAUUAGACUAGCAAUCAUCAUCAUCAUCAUCUUCUUCUUCUUCUUCUUCUAUUUCUUUCCACCCAUUAUUUCUGGUCCACUGUCUAUUAAUGCUUGAAUAUUCAGCUACUUCAGAUACCUGUAAACCAAUUCAAGCAAGGCAUGCUCAUUUUAACUUGUAAAUCUUAUUAUUGAGCCAAACAAGAAACAAACACACUAAAAGAGAGGCAAGAAAUCGAGUCAAAUCAGCAGCACCUCUGAUUGAGCACUCAUUGAACCAUCUGGUGUACUAGCAAAUUUUGUGGUCAGCUUUGGACAUUGAUGGACCGUCAACUCCUCCAAACGAGGGAAUAAGAAAUAAUCACACCAUCCGAAACUAAAACGGACAAUACUUGAUAAUUGUUCUAGCGACAACUCCUUUAGAUUAGGAAGCACUAUCUCCUUCUCAACGUUGAUAGGUGAAGCUUGACCAUCCUGCCCAGGAGACUCUGGAAUUAUUUCCCUUUCACCAUCCUCUUCUCUGAUAAUAUGCUUCAAUUGACCGCAUUUACGUAUGUAAAGUAUUUCUAGCUGUGGUAGACUUCGAGCGAGGGACGGUGUGAAGAUAAAUGUCAGUUUGUCGAGAGAAUACAAAUCCAGAAUAUUUAGACUUUGGAGGCUGACAUGUCCGGUGGGCCAUAUGCAUUUGAGGUCAGGUAAAAUUUGCAGCUCUAACUCUGUUAAAGAUGACAGCAGCGGCAUCUCCUUCUCCUCAGUGCUUCCUUCAUCAGGCUCACCUAAUUCAAAUACCUCUUCCAGUGAUUUGCAGCACUCAAUUUUCACAGUGCUUAGAUUUUUCAGGGCUCGCAGCAAUUUUGCUGGAAACGGAGCACGAACAUCCCCACAAUCCCUCACUCGUACAAAUUCUAAUCUUUGUACGGAGCCGUUUUGCUGUUCAUGGGCGGCCAUCUGAUCAGAGAACAAUAUUAUAUUUUUUCACUCUCAUAAAAACAAUUUAUACGAUGUAUAAAUAGGAGAAAAAAAUAGAAAAAAGAGGAUUAAAUACUUUUUAGAGAUUACAUAUUAUUGUUUUAGUUUUGUUCUUAAUUAGAGAUAAGUUGAAUAAUAAUUAGAUGUUUGUGAAAAAAAGGUUAAUACAACUCCUAAUAAUUAGUUUCAUGUAAAAAAUAAAAAUAAAAAUAGUAACUAAGAUUUUUAUUUUAGUUAUAAAGUUAAUAAAUUUUUAAAGAUAUUUUAAUUGACUUCAAAAUUUUCAACACAAAAUUUAUGCUCUUAUAUAUUAAUGAUUUUUUUUGUGAAGUUAUUUGAUGUAAUUUGGUCUAAUUUUUAUCCAGAUAGAUUACCUCCAAAGUACCCUUCCAUAUACACCUCGUGUCAGGCACGGAGUCCAAGCUUAAUGUUUUCAAAUUUGUGAACCCCUGCAUCAAAAGAAAUUUUGUGCACUUUGGAAUUGUCCAUAUAAAACUUCAGCCAAAAACUUAUCAACAAAAGGAUAGAAGUAGACAUGGCAAUACGGCAUGGGAAUAUGAAAUCAUAAGUUUUUGAAGAUAUUUUAAUUGAAUUAAAUAUUUGAACACAAAAUAAGCUAAUAUGAUUUCUAUGAUUAAUUGUUGGCAUUAAGUUUCUUAUAUUUAUAUAUGCUUAGAUAAAACAAAAAAAUAAGCAGUGACGAAGAAAGAAUAAAUCUAACAGAUAAUAUAAAAGCUGCAGGACUGAAACGAACAACUCAAUAUUAGCAGAUGGAGGUUUAUCUUCCUCUUCAAAUACUUCCAUUAAUUGGGGGAAGAGCCUCAAUUUCACUCAAACUUGGAAAGCGUAAAGAUUGAAAAAUCUGGAUAUCAUUUCAUUACAAUAAUUAAUUUCUUACUUCUUAAGCCCUCCAUCAAGAGACAGGGAAUGAUACAGUUAGACAACUCCUUUUCAAUUUAAUGGAUGGCUAAAGGAUUCAUCUCCACUUAUCAAUUACUUCAGUUUCAGAAAUUUAAAGGAAGAAAUCAACAUGUAUUGAAGUUGACAAUUUAAAUUAAAAAGGAAAAAAAAAAAUUGGAGGAAUAUAAAGGACGUACCUGGAGCUGUGCAAAGAAAUUUUCCAAUUCUUUGUGGCCAUAGAUGGUUAGACUUUUCAAAGAAGGCAAUUGUGCAGCAAAAUUCUUUGGACCAAAAAAGCUGUAAUUUGAUCUGGAAGAAAGAUCCAAUUCACUUAGUUGAGGGAACUUGAUGAUGCCAUCUGUGGUGAGUGUAUCUCCUUCUCCACUAUAAAACAUUUGCUUUAAAUUGUCAGCAUCAGAAAUCGUCAUCUUUUCCAGGUUUAGAAGGCUUGGAUACACAGAGACAGGGAGGACAUAUUCCAGUUUACCACACUCUUUUAUGAUAAUUGUUUUUAAUAUUGGAAAGUAAGGAGACUCUUGAAUUAUCUCCCUUUCAUCAUCCUUUUCUCUGAUAAUAUGCUUCAAUUCACCGCAUUUACUUAUGCGAAGGCUUUCUAGCUUUGACAGACUGUAAGCAAGGGACGGUGUGAAGAUAAAUGUCAGUUUGUCGAGAUAAUUCAAAUCCAGAUGAGCAAGACUUUGGAAGCUGACAUUUCUGGUGGGCCCCUUCCAUAUGCAUUUGAGCUCAGGUAACCGGUACAGAUUUAACUCUGUUAAAGAUGGCAGAAGCGGCAGCUCCUUCUCCUCACUGCUUCCUUCAUCAGGCAGCUCACCUAAUUCAAAUACCUCUUCCAAUGAUUUGCAGUCCUUAAUUUCCACCUUCCUUAGAUUUUUCAGAUCUGGCAGCAAUUUUGCUGGAAACGGAGCCCCACAAUCGACCACGUGUACAGAUUCUAAUCUUUGUAAGAAGCCGUUUUGCUGUCCAUGGGCGGCCAUCUUAUCAGAGAACAAUAUUAUAUUUUUUCACUCUUGUAAAAACAAUUUAUAUGAUGUAUAAAUAGGAGAAAAACAUAGAAAAAACAGGAUUAAAUACUUCUUAGAGAUUACAUAUUAUUGUUUCAGUUUUUUUUUCUUAAUUAGAGAUAAGUUGAAUAAUAAUUAGAUUUUGGAGAAAAAAAGGUUAAUAACUCCUAAUAAUUAGUUUCAUGUAAAAAAUAAAAAUAAAAAUUGUAACCAAUAUUUUUAUUUUAGUUAUAAAGUUAAUAAAAUUUUAAAGAUAUUUUAAUUGAAUUAAAUAUUUGAACACAAAAUAAGCUAAUAUGAUUUCUAUGAUUAAUUGUUGGUAUUAAGUUUCUUAUAUUUAUAUAUGUUUAGAUAAAACAAAAAAAUAAGCAGUGACGAAGAAAGAAUAAAUCUAACAGAUAAUAUAAAUUACGUAAACCAUGAGGCAGUUAAAUCUAACAGAUAAUAUAUUUCAAAUGAGGCAGUUAAAUCUAACAGAUAAUAUGUUCUUCCAUAUGAUUAAUUUUUAAUAAGGCAGACAACAAUGAGGCAGUUAAGUUUCUUAUAUUUAUAUAUGUUUACAUAAAAAAAUAAAAAUAAGCAUUUAUCAAUUACUUUACUUUUAGAAAUUGGGAGGAAGAAAGAACAAAUUAUCGCAAUUGACAAUUUAAAUUAAGUGGAGAAAUAUAAAUUACGUACUUGUAGCUGUGCCAACCAAUUACCCACUUCUUCGUGGCCUUCAAUGGUUAAUUCUUGCAAAGGCAAUUGAGCAUCAAAAUUCCUUGGACCUAAAAAGCUGUAAUUUGAUCUGAGCACAAGAGACAAUUUUCUUAGUUGAGGGAACUUGAUGAUGCCAUCUCUGUUAUGAGACAAAGAGACUGGGAAGACAUAUUCCAGUUUACCACAGUAAGCUACAUGGAGAGUUUCUAAUUCUGGGAAGCAAGGAGACUGUGGAAUUAUUUCCCUUUCACCAUCCUCUUCUCUGAUAAUAUGCUUCAAUUCACGGCAAGCAAUUAUGGAAAGUCUAUCUAGCUUUGGCAGACUGUAAGCAAGGGACGGUGUGAAGAUAAAUGUCAGUUUGUCGAGAGCAUACAACUCCAGAUUAAUAAGACUUUGGAGGUUGACAUGUCUGGUGGGCCCCUUCCAUAUGCAUUUUAGCUCAGGUAAUAUUUUCAGCUUUAACUCUGUUAAAGAUGACAGCAGCGGCAUCUCCUUCUCCUCACUGCUUCCUUCAUCAGCCUCACCCAAUUCAAAUACCUCUUUCAAUGAUUUACAGCUGUCAACAAUCACCUCCUUUAGAUUUUUAAAACCUUGCCGCAAUCUUGCUGGAAACAGAGCGAAAACACCCCCACAAUCCCUCACUUUUACAGAUUCUAAUUUAUGUAAAAACAAUUGCUCAAAUGUCUUCGCAUUUAAGGAUGUACCAACCAAAACUAAGGAGGUUGGGUAUCGAUCCCAAAACCUUAUUUCAUAUUCAUUAGCAUACCCUAAUAUUAUAUGAUAUUUGCGCAAGCUGACUGGAAAAACAAAAUCUCUGGGAAUGCAUUCAACCUUCGGUAUCCUCAAUGAUAAUACGGCUAACUGAGACAACGAAUUUAGUUCUUUUAGGCUUGCAUUCAUUCCUCCUGUGCUGUCACAUCCAACAACAUCCCAUCCAUCAAAUCUGCAACCCCCGAUCAACAGCUCUUCUAACUUCUUCAACCUUCCAAUCAAAUUCACAGGGAUCCUUCUUAGCCUGUAACAACCUGUCACAUCCAACAACCUUAACUCCUUGAGCUCUCCUAUUUCAUCAGGUAAUUCUUCAAUGGAUGAGCACCACAUAAGACCAAGUAUCUUAAGUCUCUGCAGCUUUCUCAACCAAAUGAGGUCCUUGCAAUUACACGAGAUCAACACCAACGAUUGAAGUUUCGUUGAGAGUUCAAGUGAUUGCAAUGACAAACACCCUCCCUUCAGAGACAAAACUUUAAUUUCUUUCAUCCCUUCAAAGAACCUCUGAGGAACAUUCAAACGAUUAUCCAGUUCUAAUAAUAGAACUUUGAGCUGUGGACAUACCAAUCCUUCAGGAAGUUCUGCUAGUUGAUUGCCCAUUAACGAAAUUGUUGUACAACCUUCAAAGCUUGUAUCGCUCAUUGGCCACUUCUCUAACCGUAAGCCAGCCUUUACCAUGAAUCCAUAUUCUUCUGAUGCUAUGUGAAUAGCAACAUCACGAACAAGGUCAUGCAUUUUCACAUGUUCUUCAGUUUCAGAGCCCAACACCAUGCAACAAUCUUUGAGGUUUUCGAUUGCCACAGAAACACGUUUCCUUGCAUCUUCAAUGGGCUCCGUGUCGUGAUGUAACCCAUAGUCAACUGCAUAUCUCGUCAAGUCCUGGAUUGGAAUGUCAUAGUCUUCUGGAAAUAAACAGCAUAGCACGAAACAUGACUUGGUUUCCUUGAGCUGCAAAUAAUCAUAGCUCAACUUAAGACAUGUAUAAGCAUUAUUUUUUUCGUCAAUUUGUUCCAUGCAAGCAAAUUUAGAUUCUUUGAGCUGUCUACACGCGAAUUCCCACUGAAGUGCAGAUUGAUCUCUUAGAGCCCUUCCCACUGUCACAAGUGCUAUGGGCAAGCCUUGACAUUCUCUCGCAACCUCCCUUGCCACUGUGUUCAAGGUAGGGUGCCCAUCAAGUAAAUCUGCAUUGAUUCUGAAUAAAUCCCAUGCUUCUUUUUCAGGUAAUUCUCUUAAGAACACCUUUUGCUGGCAUUUCAUAGAAGAACAUACAUUUGUACGACGUGUUGUUAGAAGUAUUUUACAACCCCUGUGAUCAUCACCAAAUGGGAUCCCUAUCUCUUUCAAGUCAAUAUCUUUCCAAACAUCAUCUAGGAUAAUAAGCAUCUUCUCCACUUGCUUCAGUCUCUUCCGUAAUAGAUCUGCUCUCCCUGGAUUAGUAUUCUUUUCUUUAAUAUUCAUCAGUUCUAACUUAUCUGCCAUUAGGUGCUGAAUGUCUUUGACAAUUGGAUUCUGCGACACCGUAGCAAUCAAAACUUCAUCAAAAAGCUGCGACUCUCUGGCUAUCGUGCCUACUUCUUUCACCAGGGUGGUUUUGCCCACCCCUCCCAUGCCGUACAGUCCGAUCAUAUUGACAUUGUCAUCUUUGAGAGCUUCCAUAAUCUGUUUGAAAGCUUCUUCUGACGAUUUUGAGGGCGUGAAUUCCUUUGAUGGAAGAAAUUCUAUGGGCUCAGGAUGAGCUCUGUGGGACACUUUUGUAGACUUUUUUUCUAAAAGUUCUCUGAAAGUCUCCGACUUCUUGGCCAGUGCCUUGCUUAACUUGAAUUGUCGCAUGCAGUUUGGACACCAAGUGAAGCAUUUGCCAUUUUUUCCUAUUUCAUUUUCCAAGGGUUUCGCAUCUUCAAUUUCGUUGUUUGCAUCUCCCAGCCACUUUUUGACAUCUUCGUAAAUUUCUUCAGCAUUCCUGUCAGCAGCUUUGACAUCGUCUUGCAGACGUUCUUUUUCCGAAACCAGCUGCUCCUUCUUUUGUUUGAAUUCCUUAACAAAAUCGUUGAAACAGAACAUGUAACGCAACUGCCUUCCUACUGGUUCCACCAUGAGUUCUGCAAUCUUAGAUAUAAUGGAUCCACCCACACUUUCGAUAGCCAUUUUCCACCGACCUGAAAAUCAGAGAAAUAAGGAUACACAGAACGUGAGAGUGAGUCACUACAAGUAAAACAGGCGCAGAGAGAAUGGGAAUAGGAAUUUCAUUACCUUAACUUGAGAAAAUAUGUGCGAAAAGCACUGGUACUGAUUGCUCAAUGAAAUGGAGAAGGCCUUUAGCUCUGUAUGGAAUCCAGCUUCAAAAGCAACAAGGCAAGGUAUAAGGAUUCUACUGACACUUGUGAGUUAAAGCAGUAAUUCCCAUUAAAAAUGCAUUUUGAUGACAUAAUUAAGAUCAUAUAGAGACAGUGACAAACAAAAAAGAAAGAAACGAGUGAAAGGUCCAGGAUAAUCACUCAGCCCGCUUCCAACCACAAAUAUAAUUAACUAAUCUAAGCUAUGAUCGGUCAAAGUCAAAGUUUUUUUUAGUUUUAUUCUUUUUUUAAAUAAAAAAAACAGGAAAAGACUUGCAAAGAAAUAGAAUUACUGGAAUGAACACAAUAAAGGAUGAAGCUCAAGCAAUUAAAAAUAAAUUAUCUAUGAUGAUCAUCUGUUUGUCACACUCAAUGAAGUAACAUGAUUGACCUUUUACAAUAUUAAAUAAAUAAAUAAAUAAAAGCUAAAAGAACUAGGUUUUUGGUGGCAUCCAGAUUGCGGUUACUUUCUUCAUCCUUCUUUUGUGGUUUUAUUUUAUUUCAGUCCUUCAAAUCUUUUUCUUUUGCUAUUUCAUCGAGUUGCUUUGCUCGAGUUGAUGUGCUUGCCCUAGAAUAUGCAUCAUGCUAGGGAUUACAAUUACAUUACAUAAGAAAUUAUACUUACAGAUUAUAAUUAAAAAUUUCAGUUUUUUUUUAAAAACAAAUUUAUGAGAGAGUACCAAUUUACAACGUGAGUAAAUGAAAGGAGAAUUUUAAAUCUUUUUGUGACAUGGUGACCAGCUGAUCCAAGUAACCAAUAGAUUAUCACCACUUGUUCAACCUAUCUGCACAUUAAGAUAGGGGUAGUCAUAACUAUGACUAGGAGUGAGCAAAAAAACCGAAAAACCGAUUUAACCAAGAAAACCAGAAAAAAAUUAACCGAAAAAACCGAACCGGUAAAAAAAACCGAUUGAACUGGUUAAAAUAUUUAGGAAAAUGUCCGGUUCGGCUUCCGGUUUUGGUGUGCCUAAACCAGCCAACCCGAACCGAACCGAACCGGUUCGGUUUAGGAAUGAAAAAAAAAUAUAAACCAAGCGGGUCGCCUCCUCCCAUUACUUUCCCUUUCAACAACCCUAGCAGACCAUUUAUUUGUUUUCCCUUUCACACAGCCGCCCCCUCCCCUCCAACCCUUUCAAUCUUCAUUCACACUUCACAGACAUAGCCGCCCCCUUCAAUCACCCCUACUCCCAUUAACAGCCGCUCCCUCCCAUUAACAGCCGCCUCCUCUUCACCAGUCAACGAGCUUAGGCUAUUCUCGGACAACCAUUCUUCGAAUCUCGAAAGAAACCGCCGUGCGUGUGAGGUGGCGAAACUGUUACCGCUUCUAGAUCUUCUUCAAUCUAUUGCUUCUAUCAAAGCCGAUUACAUCGCUCAGGUAAUCUUGUCAUGUAAUUACAUAUUUAAUUAAUUAUUGCUUGUUGAUUUUAUAUUGUUUCUAUUUUUCAAUUUUGAUGUGUUAAUUAUUUUGAACAAUGUAAAAAUAAAGGUGGACGAAAGAACACAAUUUGGAAAGGAAAUUGGAAUCGUUGUCCCUGUCUCAGAUUCUCAAAAGACAAUCAAUCGCAAACAGUAUGUCCUCCAUUUUUUUUUCUUCUUUUCUUUCUCACUGGUAGAUUGGAAUUUGAAACUGCCAACAAAAGUUUGUAUUCGAAGUUAGCUUUUUGAAAAUUGACCCUAUUAUAUAUUUACUGUGGCUUAAGCUUUGAGAUAUUGCAUGAUUAUGAAUUAGUUUAUAUGAGUUGAAACUUGAAACAUAGUCUGACAAGGAUGGAUUAACCAAUUGCUGGGAAAAUAGUUUUCAAAUCUCUUUGAAAAAUGUCUGAUGCUGCGACAUAAGUCACAUAACAGACUCGAUUUGAAGGGAAUCUUUGAGAUAUUGCAUGAUUAUGAAUUGGUUUAUAGAAAUUUGCUGGAUUGAUUUUUUUUCUUUUUCUUUUUUAAAAGGGAAUUUAAUUAAAAUACAUUUUUUUCAUCUACUUUUUAAGUUUAAAUCUUAGAAUUAAUAUCCAAAAAAUUUCACCUUUGCUCGCUAAAAUAUAAUUUUAAUCUUAACAAAAAACUAUAUCUUAAAAUUGACUGUGUUGCUAUCCAACUAAGAAAUUGACUCAAGUGGCUUAGUGAUAUAUAGUGGGGACAUUCUAUUUUAGACAUGCAGCUUGUUGCCUUGUUCUACUUUAUUCUAUAAUCUAUUUGAGAAAAAUGUUGUUUAUUUCUUCUAGACACUUUAGUCUUCCAAAUUUCAGUUGUAACCAGCAAGCAUAGAGGUUAUGAUAGAGGUUAUGUAUUGGGAAGAUGAACUAUCUUUUUAUUUGCAGUGGCUGUGAAACUCUCUUUCUGUGUGUCUCUGUCUCGUGUGCGUGUGUAUAUAUGCACCUGUAAUUCUUGCUUCUCUCCAGUUCCUUUCGUUUGCAAGUUACUGUUGCUAGAGUAGGUGCAACUAGUUCUUUCCUCUACAAGUCGGGUUUGGUAAGAUUGAUUAUAAAGAAAAAGGUAUUGGUAAUGCACAAUUUGAUUUUAGUGUUGAUGUUAAGUGUGGCUUGUUUUAUGAUGGAUAAUUAUGUUGACAAUAUUGGGCUUCAUGAAUGAUGAUGCCAGUUUAUUUAUGGUCUUAAUAAGCUAUAUUACUGCUGGAUUUGUGCUCUUUAUUUAUAUGGCAAAUUCUUAUUCAAAUCUUUGAUAUUUAUCGCUAAUGAAACUUCAAUCUUGCCUCAAGUUGUCGACCAAGUCAAAAUUCCUCCUACAAGUAUACAAUAUUGUUUUAUUAUAAUGUUAUAAUGUUAUCGCUAAUGAAACUUCAAUCUUGCCUCAGGUGCUCUUUAUUAUUAUAUUGAUAUUAAAAAUAAUUUUAAAAAAUAAAAAAAAUAUUAUUUUAAAAUAUUUUUAAAAUAAAAAAUAUUUUAAAAAACAACUAUUUAUUCAAGGACUUAAAAUAAAAACCUUAAAAUCACGGCAUGAUAAAAGGAGGAAGAAAGGAAUGGGACAAAGAAGGAAGAAAAUAAGGUCAUGUAGGGGGCCAGUCUUGUAUAAAAUAGAAGAUGAAAAUUAGUAUGAAAAAGAGGCUAUUUGUUUUUUUACUGUGUCAGAGUGGUUUUUAUAAUUAUAUUCAAUUUAUUAAAAUAUUAAAUUAAUAUAUUUUUAAAUGUUUCUUGUUAUUAUAUAUAUAUAUAUAUAUAUAUAUAUAUAUAUAUAUAUAUAUAUAUAUUCUAAUAUGUUUUUAAAUAAAAAAUUAUUUUAAAAAAAUAUGUGUCACAAUACUAAAUUAUAGUAUAAAUUAAAAUAUAAAAGAGUUCUCUGUUUAUUACUAUUUACCGAGACUUAUUUUAUUGUAGAUAUUAAUAGUGAAUUUUUUUAAAAUUUUUAAUUUGGUAUUUGAAUUAUUUUUUUUUCAUAAUUAAAUAUCUUUAUACCCAAAUUAAAACUCAAUUGCAUUUUGUUUUUUAAGAAUAAGAGUUGAAUUCAAAGAUAAAUGCCUGUAAUGAAAAACUCUGUAAAAAUAUGCGGCAACAUUGUAAUUGUUUGCAAAGUUCAUUUUAGUCCCUUAUCUUUUUGAGCUACUAAGUAACAUGUCCCUAUAAUUUCUCAACAUUACAUUUUAUCCAGAAUCUCGGAUUAUGCUUUAGGGACUAAACUGAAUUUUUUAUAAAUUGAGAGACCAAACUGAAAUUUUAUCAUCUUCAAUCUCAAAUCUAAAAUUUUCACAUAUCACCUACUGAUAUAACAAGAUUUCUAACUCAAAUUCACCAUUUAAACAAACCAUAACUCAAAAUCAUCAUUUUUACUUAAAAUCUUUCAAAAUCAACUAAAUAACUCAUUAUUCAUAACAAUCAAUACAUAAUAUUCAAAUCAAUUCAUCAAUCAAACCCAAAACACAAUAUUCAAAACCCUCAUAUUCAACAAAACAAAAAAUUAAAGCUAAGAAAAACACAUUUAUACACAUCAAAGCGUAAAUAUUCUUAUCUUUUAAUUUAUUUUCUCUAACUAUCUUAUCCUUUCUUUAUCUUUUCCUCUUUUCUCUUUUUCUUCUUUCACUCUCACGGUUUUUUCUCUAAGAAUUCAAAUCUCUCUUUUUUUUUUCUAUUUAUAUUUAUGAACUAUUUGUUCAAUUACUACAAUACCGUUCAUUUAUUUAUACCUACUUCUAAGCCUCCAUGAGUUUUGUUGUCUUUUUCUAUUCUCUUUUAUUUCCAAAUCAUCACAAUAAAAUUGUUUUCUUUUUAUUUAGCUGCUAAUUUAUGCAGCUUUAGCUCUUGUUCUCUUUUCAUGUUUAGCAACUCUGAUCUGUUCCUUUCUUUACAUGAUAUAAGAGCAGGUUCUUACCUCUUGAAGUCUGCUGGAUAAACCUAUCAGCAGAAGAUCCUGAAGCGAUCCCAAAUCACAGCUUCAAUCCCCACCACAACCAAUCUCCUCUUUCCCGUAGUCUGUCGUCCUCAAUUGGGAAAUGAUCUCAAAAAAUCACUUGAUGCAACAAGUAGGGUAGAGAAAUAUAAGACUUCAACAAAGAAUCAAACUCAAAAAAAUAAAAGUAAUUGUCUAUGAGAAGCAUUUCUGUGUCACACACUCAAGUAAUAUGAUUGACCUAUUACAUUAUACAAAAUAAUAAUAAUAAUAAUAAUAAUAAUAAUAAUAAUAAUAAUAAUAAUAAUAAAAGAACUAGGUUUUUGAUGGCAUCCAGAGUGCUGUUACUUUCAAACAAAGAGGCUUGUGCAUGCGGUGUUACGCUGUUCAUGUAGGCUAAGAUAUCCUAUGAAUACAAUUGUAAAAUCAUACAAUUGUAUUCUUUUUAUUAAGCUGCUAAUUUAUGCAGCUUUAGCUCAUGUUCUCUCUUCUUGUCUUGCUAUUCUGAUUUUAUCUUUUUCUUUGCAUGAUAUAAGAGCAGGUUCUUACCUCUUGAAGUCUGCUUCAAUCCCCGUAGUCUUCCGUCCUCAAUUGGGAAAUGAUCCAAAAUCAACAACCGGUUCGGAGAUAGUUUGAGUGAAAAGAAACGGCUGAAAGAUGAAAUGUGAAGGUUAUGGUGAGAAAUUAGAUGACAAACUUACUUUGUCCUCCUAAUGCUUUUGCUUUCAUUGUUUCGAAAGUAAAAGAGACAUAAACAUAAUCAGUGUGUUUUCUGUUUAGCAAUAGCUAGAAAGGUAUCUGCUUAAAAAGACCAUUGAACAAGGGAUGACCCAUUCAGCAAGGGAUUCUGCUAGGAAAACAUGAAAUUGUUCUUCUAUUUGAUAUUUGUUUCAAUCUUCUAAACAAAUAGUACAGCAUCAAGUCUCAGUCACCUAUUCACGAAAUUGUUGUAUUUCUAAUGACUAUGCUAAUAAAAAAGUUGAGCCAGCAUGACACAUGAAAUUCAAAAAUAACAAAAUAACAUGAGAAAAUAAAUAUUUAUAUUAUAAUUAUGCAUCUUAAAAAAUCACUUGAUGCAACAAAUAGGAUAGACUUCUAGGAAAUUCUUUCACUGUAAAAUGGCUGAAGGUUCUUUUAUGAACAUUUAUAUUAAAAAAUUGGGUCAAUUGAUCUUUGUUAUUUAACAUGAAUAAAGUGUUGAUUUAGUCUUGUAGUUAUUAUAUCAAAGUUUUUAUUAGUUUAUGCACGAUCCCUUAUUUUACUUGCUUUAUUUUUUUUAAACCCAGCUUAGUUUCAAUCUCGAAUCUAUCGGGUCCCACUACCAGAUAUUCGCUAAAUACCAACGGAUUUACCGACGAAAUAUUUUCUGUCGGUAUUUUGAGGUCGAAAUUACCGACGGCCACUUUCCGUCCGUAAUUCAGUCGGUAAAAACCGACAAAAACUUUUCCGUCCGUAAUUCAGUCGGUAAAUACCGAUGGAAAUUUUCCGUCGGCAUUUACCGACUGAAUUACGGACGGAAAAGUUUCUGAAUUUUAAAAAAGGCGGGUCGCUGACGUGGAGGUUUUGGCGGGUUUUUUUUUUCCGACGGAAUCACCAACGGAUUCAAAAACGACUGCCCGUACAGUGCCCGUAAAGUGAUGUGACCGGUUCACCGUUUAAAUUUCCGACGGACUCACCGAGGGAUUUGAAAUGGCAGAUCCGUACGGUGACAUGUCUAUGUUUCCGUCAGAAUCACCGGCAUAAUAACCGACGGAGUGUCCGUCGGUAAAACCGUCGGAAAAAGUUAAUAUAUGACAGCUCUGCCGACCCUCUCAUCCCCUAUUUCUCCUUCUUCUUCCUCAUCCCAACUCUCCCCAUCUGCAAACAACCAGCCCCCCCUCCCCCCUAAAAAAAAAAAAUCUUCCUCAUAUCAGCACAAGAAGUUAUAUUUCUUGAAGUUUUGUGGUCACGGCAUCCGCGCGUGUUCUGAUUUAUCGACGGAUUUUAUCAAUUUUUGUAAGUAAUUAUAUCUUUUUAAAUUUUAACAUUUAAUUAAAUGUCAAUUUUAUUGUUUUUUUAGUAUAUGUAUUUUGUUAGUAGAUGUACAUGUUUUAUUGUUAUUUCUCAAACAAACUUGUAGUAUAUGAAUGUAUAAUUUUGUACCUGUUAUGGUUUGUUUUAGAUUUUGUAAGAUUGUAUUUGUUUGUAAAUUAUUAUUUCUUUAUGGAAUUACCGAAUUACAUGUGCUAUUUUGAAAUAAUUAAUAGCUUGGUUAAUGGGCCCGUUUAAAGUUUUAUCAAUGGUAUUGUGGAGUGGUAAUUUCUGUAAAUUUAUAUUUUUUAAUUCGUAUGGACGUUGAUAAAUGAUAAUGAAUAUUUAAUAUUUAUGAGAAGUUGUGAUUGGUUUGUUGGAUAAUCUCGAGUUAAAGUAAUAUUUGUACAAGUUUAUUUACCUAACUUAGUUAAUUAAUACAUGAUGUCAUCAUAAUUUUAUAGAGGUUCGAUAUAAGUCAUGGAUGAUCGUUCAUGGAUGUAUCGAGAUUCACCCCAAGGAUUGCGGAGGAUGGAUUAUUGUAAUGGGGUUCAGGGUUUUAUUAAUUUCGUAACAUUUAUUCCCAGAAAUUUUACUGGAGGCGGUAUUAGGUGUCCAUGCAGGAAGUGUGAAAAUAAAAAGUAUUUGCAUCCAGAUGUUGUAAUGAUACAUCUUCUACACAAAGGGUUUAUGGAGAAUUACCAGUGUUGGUAUGCACAUGGAGAAGUAUUUGUUAGCGAGAGUGAGAGGAGAAUGGAAGAAACGGUGGUUGGGUCUACUUCUAGUGCUAGUAACGUGCAUGAAACGGCAAAUGACAACACUAAUCCUUACAGAAAUAUGGUUAUGGAUGCAAUGAGAAUGAAUCAAGGUAAUGGCAGUCAAUGUCCAAUCGUAGAAGAAGAACCUAAUGUAGAUGCAGCUAGGUUUUUUGAUUUGUUGAAAGAUUCUGACGAACCAUUAUGGGAUGGCUGCACGAACCACAGUAAAUUAUCGGCUGUAGCACAGGUGUUCACCAUCAAGUCAGAUCACGGGUUGAGUGAGGCCGGGUAUGACAAGAUUAUUGAAUGGGCAAGAAGCAUUUUACCUGAAGGGAACAGGCUGAAAGAGAACUUAUAUGCUGCGAAGUUCAUGAUGAAACCCCUCGGUUUAGGAUACCAGAAAAUUGACAUGUGCCCUAACUUCUGCAUGUUAUACUACCUUGAAAAUGCUGAGAUGACUGAGUGCAUGACAUGCGGGCAUUCCCGUUACAAACCUAGAACUGGCAGGGGAAAGACUCUAGUGGCAUAUAAAAAACUUAGAUACUUCCCGAUCACACCUAGACUGCAGAGGUUAUUCAUGUCACCAAGGACUGCUGAGCACAUGACAUGGCACCAAGCACACCAUGCGGUUGAUGGAGUGAUGGUUCAUCCUUCUGACGGCGAAGCGUGGAAACGCUUUAACAGUGUUCAUCCUCACUUUUCAGCUGAAUCAAGGAAUGUGCGUCUUGGGUUGUGUACAGACGGAUUCAACCCAUUUGGGUCAUUUGCUGCUCCUUAUUCUUGUUGGCCGGUCAUACUCACAGUUUAUAACUUGCCACCGGGAAUGUGUAUGAGGCCGGAGUUCAUGUUUUUAUCUAUUGUCAUACCCGGUCCAAGAAGCCCGGGGCGGAAUAUAGAUGUUUGUCUUCGACCGUUGAUUGAUGAGUUGACGCAGUUGUGGUCCUCCGGAGCUCUGACUUAUGAUAUAUCGAGGAAACAAAAUUUCCUUAUGAGGGCGGCAUUGAUGUGGACUAUCAAUGAUUUUCCAGCUUAUGGAAUGCUUUCUGGUUGGAGCACGCAUGGGAAACUCGCAUGUCCAUAUUGCAUGGAAAACAACAAGGCAUUCACGCUAGCAAAUGGAGGUAAAGCUUCUUUUUUUGACUGUCACCGUCGCUUCUUGCCACUUCAUCACAGGUACAGAAAGAACAGAAAAGAUUUCUUUGCUGGCAGAGUUGAAAAAGAUGUUGCAUCCCCGCGUCUUUCUGGUGAAGAAUUGCAUGAUGUUGUCUUAGAGUACGGUGACAUUGUGUUUGGCCUUCAAUCAGGAAAGCAAAAGUUUCCUGGUUUUGGUUUGACCCAUAAUUGGGUAAAGCGAAGUAUCUUUUUUGAGCUUCCUUAUUGGAAGACCAAUCUGCUUCGCCAUAACCUUGACGUCAUGCACAUCGAAAAGAACAUGUUUGAGAAUAUUUUCAACACCGUCAUGGAUGUGAAGGGGAAGACAAAGGACAACAUCAAGGCUAGAUUGGAUAUAGCUUUAUACUGUAACCGAAAAAAUAUGGAGUUGGUUUAUGAUGAGUCACGGGUCGCAAAACCAAAAGCAAGCUUCGUGUUAGAGAAAAACGCACAACUGCUAGUCUACAAAUGGCUUAAGAGUCUGCGUUUUCCGGAUGGACAUGCAUCGAACAUAUCAAGGUUGGUUAAUAUAGAGGACUGCAGAUUGUAUGGAAUGAAGAGUCAUGACUGCCACGUGUUUAUGCAAACACUCAUCACAUUAGCUUUUCGUGAUUUGUUGCCAAAGGGAAUAUGGGAUGCACUCACGGAGAUCAGUCAUUUCUUCAGAGAUAUAUGCUCCAGCAAGUUGAAUGUUGAUCACAUUGAGAGGCUUCAAACGAAUAUCGUCGAGACACUGUGCAAACUUGAGAUGAUAUUCCCUCCAUCAUUUUUUGACUCAAUGGAGCAUCUCCAUAUACAUCUAUCGUUCGAGGCAAAAGCUGGAGGACCGGUCCAAUAUAGAUGGAUGUACCCAUUCGAACGGUUAGAUAUUACAGUUGCAAUGUAAUUCAUAUAUAAAAGUAUUUUAUAUGUUUUUCUUAAUUGAAAAUACUUGAUUAAUAUUUCAGGUGCGGUCGCAGCUAGUUCGUCUAGCAGCGAGGAUGAUAUUUCCUUAGGUGCCUCUCAAGAAGAGGCACCUACACCACCUGCGCCGUCAACCGAUGCUGCCUCUUCCAGCGGUACUUCACAGCGCAGAGGCGGCGUGCCUUCGCAGCGGAAUCAAUUUACCCGCAAGUACGAGGCACAGUGGAAGGACGACCUUUCAAUGUAAGUUUGUUAAGGUUUUAGUUUUUUUUAAAAAAAAUUACAACAUAAUUUAUCAAGUAAUCACUAUUGAAUUUAUUUCAUUUAUUUUCAGGUUCACAAACAUUGAAGUCGCCCGAGUAAUAUCAUCGGCGUUUAAAUCGUCGAUGGAGAUUCCAUUGUUUCAAUGGAGUCAGAUAUCCAAGCAUCCUGAAUGGAUGCCUCAAAUCAAUGCAUGGUUUAACAGGUUUGAGGUUGGUAUUAAUUUAUAAUUUUCAGCUUAUUAAUAUAAUUGUAUUAUUUUUAUUUAAACUUGUUUAUUUAUACAAAGCACAAAUUCUGCUAGGACAUUGAGCAUAACGCUGUUGUGAGGAGGGUGUGGGAAAAUCACGCGGCAACUAGGUAAGAUCGAAAACAAUACAUGAUUUUUUUUAGACAAAAAUUUAUGUUUCGAAAUGUAAUUUUUGGUUGCGUGAAGCAGGUUGCGUGAUUUUUGGUAUGAAGCACAGAAAAAGGCAAAAAAAACCGCGAGGGAUAGGGGUUUCCAAGGCUGGAACGAUGUUGCGGUUUGGAGGGAUUUCAAACUGAUAUACAUCCCGGAAGAUAUAUGGCCGCACUAUCUUGAGCACGUGACGUCUGAGCAGUUCACACGACGCUCACAGUCCGGUGCUGGCAACCGGAAUCGACCAAUUCAUGGCGGGGUGAGAACUCACACUGGCAGCUCCGUUCCGUUUGCUGCACAUGCGAAACGGAUGGUAAGAUUAAUUUAAAUGAAAUAUAUCGUUAAAUUCAGUUGUUGUUAAUAUAUCUUUUUUCAUUAUAGGCUGCGUCUCUUGGACGUGAGCCGAGCCCGAUGGAGCUGUUUGUGGAGACGCACGUGCGGAGUCAAGACCGCCAGAAGGGGGCGCAACAGUUCGUUGAUAACCGUGCUCAGCAUUUCGUGGUAUGUUUGUUCAACCAUUUUAUUUUCUAAGUUAUUAUGUUUAUUGUAUUGAAUAUGAUGAUUACUUUUUUUAUUUUAUUUUCAGGAGACCUAUAAUAAUCGGUUGAGGGAGAGAUACGGGGACGAUACUUUGACCCAUCCGGAAUUCGAUCCGGAUUUGUGGAUGGAGGUUGGCUCGUCAGGUGGACCAGAUAAAAAUCGGGUUUACAGCCUCUCCAACACUACGGCCGACAACUUGCGGUCGACCCAUAGUGUUUCAACCGUUGGGAACUCCCAAUCAAUAGCGAGCUCCCAAUCUAAGGAGUUUGUGGCUUUGCAGCAACUCAACGAGAAAUACGACAACCUACAAGCGGAGUACGCACAACUCAAAGCAUCUCAUGCACAACAAAGAGCGGAGUCUGAGCAAUUCAAAGCGUCUCAAGCACAACAAAAAGCGGAGUAUGAAGCGGCUCAUGAACAGCAAAAAGCGGCUUAUGACCAGCUUUACGAAAUGAUUAUGAAAUUGUCAAAUAGCGGAACAUGUGCGCCUAAUCCUUUUUGGCCGUAUAACCACCAGCCUCCGCCCGGAUCUCCUCCUCCUCCUCAAGCUCCAUCAUCUUUAUAUUAAUUUGUAAUCAACAUUAUUUACCUUUAAAACUUCAUUUAUUAUUUUUCUUGAAACAUAUUCAGUUUGUAAUGAAUAUUAUUUAACUUUUUUUUUUUAUGUUUAAUAAAAAUUUUAUUUGCAUAAUUGGUUUGUAUAACAAUUAAUUUAUAUAGUUUUAUAUUAUAUAUCCUAAAUAAUUUUUUAAAAACAAAUUAAGAAAAAAACUAUUACCAAGGAUUUUACCGACGGAUGAAUUCGGUCGGUAUUUUAAACUUUCACCGACAAACUUACCGACGGAAUUAAUCCGUCGCCAUUUAACAGUAGCUUCCACCAGUACCGACGAAUUUACAGACGAAAAUAUUCCGUCGGUAUUUCAUACAUUCACCGACCGAUAUCACGACGGAUAUUUUCCGUCGGUAAUUUCAAUUUCACCGACGGAAUGAAAAUCCGUCGGUAUAUUUCAAGCGGGAAUCUUUUUUUUUUGGCGCGCACGUUCCGUCUGUAAAACCGUCGGUAAAUGAUUUUUUUGUUUUUCCGACUGAUAUACCGACGGAAUGAGGAAUCACCGACGAAGGUAAAGCCGACAGACGUAUUCCGUCGGUAAAAAAAUCACCGACGAACUUCUAAUCACACACCGACGGAAUUUUGCCGCCGGUAAAACUGUGAAAUCUUGUAGUGUCCUGGAUCGACCCAUAAAGCCAAACCAAGUUUUAAAACUAUGUUAUCUUAGCAAAUUUAAUUAUCCCAAUUCUUAAUUUUCAAUUGAAAAUGCUAAAGAAUUCCCCACUGGGAGCAAAUAAUAAUAUGUUAAGCAUGACAAAUUUUAUUUAAAUUAAAAAGCCAAAAAUGAACGCAUCUACUCUUGCAAGAAUGGACUCAAAAGUUCAGCUAGUCCGCAUAAUUAAAUAGUACUGUUACUGUAAACUACUAGGAAAUUCAUGGGUAGAGCCAAAAUGUUAACAAUAGCAUUGAUUCGGUCAGGGGCUCUGGUGUAUAGAGAGGACCUUGCCGUUAGAAACUAUGGAGCCCACUAUUUAUUAAUCCAUUUUUAUUUACUACUUAUUACUAUUUAAUUAUUUUUAUUUACUAUAUUUUUGUUUGUGAUACCCAGUACCAAUAAAAUUUGAGAUUCCUUCAAUUUUUUAGGUGCAUGCAAGUCUAAUGGCUUCAUGUACAAAAGCAAUUCAAGGGUGUGUAUCCUUAACUAUCAGGCUAACCUUUACAGGCUUCGCUAGCAAUCAAUAAUUAUUUUUUAAUGAAUUCAUUUUUUAUUUAAAAUAAGGAAAAGGACAUUGGUGAAUAAAUUGUUUCCUUCCUAUUAUAAUUGUUAGACCUUACCAAAGGGCUAAUUUAGAAAAAGAUUAUAACUUAUAGGUCACCAGGGCCGAGGUCAACUUGUAAUUAAGUAGAUCAAUUUAAAUUAAUUGUUUUUAUUUAAAUGAUAAUGUUUUGUUUUUUUUUCUUGAUAUUAAUUUGGCUAAUUUUUAUCAAAUCAAAUCACUAAAAACUUAACCAAAACAAAUUUCAUCAAAUCAAUAAUAUUUUAUGUAGUUGAAUUAAAAAUUCAAUUCAAUUCUAGCUCUGAACCCUGAUUAAGCAUACAGGUUUAAAAAAUAUGCAUCUCACUUGCAGCUGUGGUUUGCUGCGGGCAUUUGGUAAUUGGGAGAGGCUUUAGUUUCGUACCUGUUGAUCUGCUUCAUAUACACUUGGACCUCUUAUUUUAUUUUAUAUUGGUUGGAUCCAAACUUAAUCCAAUACAAAAUUAACAUAUUUAUUAUUUAUUUAAGAUAAAUGAUAUGGCUUUAACAUAUUAGCGUACACUUAAUAUGAUUAAAUUUAAUUUAAUUAAUUAACAUCUCACCGCAAUAAAUUUUACCAUUUGCAACCAUAAACAGUUGACACCUUAUUAAUAUAAUCAAUAUAGUAGAAAAAUUAUAGUGAUUUAAAACAAUUCAUUAAAAUGUUCGUAAAUGUUUUUAUUUUGUGAUGAUGGUUUUCGUGUUAUCUUUUAUGUAUUGUCGCUACCGUACAUGAACGCCUGACAUGAGGGUUAUUUGAAAUCAUUAUCUAGUUAUUUAGUUUAAGGUCACUAAGAAACCUAUAAAUACUAGUCUUGUUAGAGAUUUGAGAGUAAAUGACUAGUUGUGGCUAAAGAAUGUAUUAACACUCUUAAUGCACCCUACCCAAGUAAAUUAUUUUGUGAUUAAACGUGGUUUAGAGAUUUUGAUGAUUUUCUGAUAUAUCUAUAGUUUAGGAUUGGGAUUUGCUUGUAUGAAUAAAUUUGGUGUUUAAUAAUUUAUCAUGGAUUCUUGUACCCAGAUAAAUUCUUAGAAAAAAAAGUUCUUCAUAAUUUGUGUACGUAUUACGGUAAAAAUUACUCUCAAUAAAAAUUCAUGAAUAUUUAGAAUAACUUUGAGGAUUUUCUAAUCAACUUCAAUAUUUCAAAUAUCAGCCUCACUUAUAGGUAUAGCGUUUUAUAUCAAUAUUUUUAACCAUUAAUUCUCAUUAAUUAAAAAAUAGUGGUUUAUUAAAAUAUUGACCAAAUUCACAUGAAUUUAAUAAACUAGUUAUUAAAUUUUAAAAUGCAUAUACAUAUAUAAUAUUUUAAUUUGUUUUUAAAUAAAGAAUAUUUUUAAAAAGCAUGUGCCAUAAUACCAAAUUAUAGAAUAAAUUAAAAGAGAAAGGAGUUUUCUCUUCAUCACUAUUCACUUAUAUUCAUUUUACUAUGGAUAUUAAUAGUGAAUUUUUUGAAAAUUUCCAAUUUGGUACUCAAUUAUUUUUUUUUCACAAUUGAGCUCUUUUAAAUCCAAAUUAAAGCUUAAUUGCAUAUUUUUUCAAGGAUGAGGGUUGAAUUGAAAAACAUAGGACUGAAGUGAAAAACUCGAAUAAAAUAAGUUGUGGUUUUGCAAUUUGUUUGCAAGUUCAUUUUAGUCCCUAUAAUUUUUUAUCAUUGUAUUUUGAUACCAAACUUUAUUUUCUUCUGUUUUUAGUUUUUUUGUGUAAGAGAGAGAGAGAGAGGAUCACCAUAUUUUGUUUUAGAGAGAAAAAGUUAUUUUUAAGGAUUGUGACCACCAAAACAAUUGAUUUUUGUGUUAAAUUGUUAUGUCUUAAUUCAACAAGGUUCCUUGAAUGUUUUCUAGGUGUUUUGGGUUAAAAUGGGUUGAAGACAGGUUUUAGGUUAUAAUUAGGUUUUUUACCAAAUUGAUCAAAUUUUUUUAAAAAAAAAAACAAAUCAAGAAGAGAAAAAGACUUGUAAAAAAGUAGAAUUACUGAAGGAAGCUCAACAAAGAAUCAAACUCAUGCAAUUAAAAAUAAUUGUCUAUGAUGACCAUCUCUGUAUCACACAUUCAGGAAAUAUGAUUGACCUAUAACAAUAUUAAAAAAAACAAAAAAAAAAUAAGCUAAUAGAUGGUCGCCACGUGUUCAACUUUAUCUAACCUUAGCAAAGGAUAGAAAGUGGGAGAGAGAGAGAGAGGUUAAAAGGAUUAAGAAAAAGAAAAAAGGAAAGGCAGAAACGGAAGAAGACAUUGAAAGAAAGAAAAAAACGAUAAGUUAUUUAACGUCUUUUUAGGGGGGGAAAAAAAAGCUUGUAACACCGUGCAGACCAAACAGAAGAGACAUCUGUUUAUUUAAAGAAAAAAAAAAUAUAUAUAUAUAUAUAUAAAUACUCUCUCUUCCAAUUUCCUCUCCCAGCUGAAUUUCGGCGACCGCCCACACAACGAUAGCCUACACAACCACCAGCCAUGCCACCUUUCAAGACCCCAUCUCUCAACCUCAAAACCAAAAACAACUCUUUCUCCAUUUAUCCGAACCUCAUAACUCCAGGAAGGUGAAGGACUAAACCAUAGUGGCAAAAAUCUUAAAGGGUUCUAAAUUGUCUGUUACUUUCCCUUAAUUUUCUAGACAAGCAAAAGGAGCUAAACUUAUUCCCGACCAAAACGUCAAGAAUUUCAGUAGAACAAAAGAAGAGAUCAUUACUUGACCAAAAACAACUAGUCAGCACCCAAAGAAACCGAGUGAAUGAGAGAAAAUUAAAGAUUAAUAGCUAGAAAACAAUAAACAGAUCCAAGAAUUUUCUGUAUGGUUUCCAAGAAAAUGAAACGAAAUGAGCAGCACAACCCUCUUUCUCCUCCAAGAAAAGAAAGAAAAAGAAAGGAAAGAAACAAAGAAAGUCAAACUUGGCUCCUCUUUUAGUGUUAAAAAAAAAAAGAAGUUAGAGGAAGUGGGCUGCCUUUUUUCUGCUGUUCAUGUGGUGUUCUGCUGUUCACGCAGACUAAGAACUCCUACCAUCGUAAAAUCAUACAAUUAAAACACAACAAUAAUAAAGUAAUAAGCAGCUAAUUAUGUGCGAAAACAAGAGAAAUAAGGAUACAGAACGUGAGAGUGAGUCACUACAAGUAAAAGAGGCGCUGAGAGAAUGGGAAUAGGAAUUUCAUUACCUAAACUUGAGAAAAUUGUGCGAAAAGCACUGGUACUGAUUGCUCAAUGAAAUGGAGAAGGCCUUUAGCUCUGUAUGGAAUCCAGCUUCAAAAGCAACGAGGCAAGGUAUAAGCAUUUUGAUGACAUAAUUAAGAUACUAUGCGUCGUAAUAUAGAGACGGUGACAAAGAAUUAAAGAAAAAUAACGUGUACAAGUACUCACCAAGCAAAGAAAGAAACGAAUGAAAGGUUCGGGAUAAUCACUUAGACGCCUCCAUGGAUGAUACCAGCUCGCUUCCAACAACAAAUAUAAUUAACCUAAGCUAUGAUCGGUCAAUGUUUUUUUUAGUUUUCUUCUUUUUUAUAUAUAAAAAAAACAGAUCAUCAAGGGAAAAGACUUGCAAAGAAGUAGAAUUAAUGGAACGAACACAACAAAGGAUCAAACUCAAGCAAUUAAAAGUAAUUGUCUAUGAGUACCAUCUGUGUCACGCACUCAAGUGAGGAGAGAAAAGAAGGAGAAAGAAAGGAAAGGGACAAGGAAGGAAGAAAGUAAGGUCACGUAGGGGCCAGUCUUGUAGAAAUUUUGAAAAGUAGCAUGAAAAAGAGGAUAAUAGAGUAGUUGUCAGAAUCAAAACACAUCUAAACAGAGGACAAAAACAGGGAGGGAGGCUGUUUGUUUUUUUAACUGUGCCUGAGUGAUUUUUAUAAUUACAUUUAAUUUAAAAAAUAUUAAAUUAAUAUAUAUUUUUAAUAUUUCUCGUUAUUACAUAUAUAUAUAUAUAAUAUUUAAUAUAUUUUUAAUUAAAUUUUUUUUAAAAAAAGUAUGUGUCACAAUACAAAAUUAUAGUAUAAAUUAAAAGAAAAAGGAGUUUUAUGCUCAUUACUAUCCACUAGACUUGUAGAUAUUAAUAAUAAAGUUUUUGAAAGUUUUCGAUCUAGUAUUUGAAAUUUUUUUUUUUUUGCAUAAUUGAAUUUAUUUAAGCUUAAUUGCAUAUUUUUUAAAAGGAAAUAGGUUGAAUUGAGAAACAGAGAAACUCGGCAAAAAUAUGUGGUUAAAAUCAAUCCUUUUUAAAAAAAAAAAAAAAAAACUCCUUAGUUGUUAAGGAAAGAUUGGUAGUGUGAACAAAUCACCAAAGUCAGCAGCAAGGAAGUUCCAGGAAGUGGGCAGCCUGUUUCAGGGCUACCUGUUUUUGAGAAUUAUGGAAAGUUAUCCCUAACUCAAAAACGGCACCAAUUAUAAGUUCAUUAAAAAAAAUCUGGAACACAACAGAUGGAAAAAACUCGAAACAACUUGUAUAGAAUUUAGGCAAGAAGAAUGAGCCAAGAUUUCAAGUGCAAUGAAAUUUGUCUCACUUUGUUUUUUUAUUUAAUGAUACAAGAUAUACCGUCCUAUUUCAAGGGUAAAAUAGAAUGGAAUAGACAACCUUUAAAGGGAGCAUAUACCACAUAUGUGUAGCUGGAAUUCGAUAGCCUUUCUCCAAUGCUGACAUGUGCUUUACAUGCAUGCACCAACAUUUCACAUCGGCAAGUGAGGAUUUGGUAGCUCAUCUUAUUAAUAGUGUUGGUUAAUGACUUGUCAGACGCGUUUUGAGGUCAUGCGUGGUCAUCAAAAACAAAUUUGUGAGGGCGAUAAGGUCCAAAAUGGACAAUAUUUGACAAGUUGGAUCGGACUAUGACAUUUGGUAUCAAAGCUGGCCUCACUAACUAUCCAGUUGUGCUGAUGGGGUCAUUGAGCUCCUUAAGGGGGUGAAUUGUAAUAUCUCACAUCGAUGAAUGAGGAUUUAGAAGCUGACCUUAUUAGUAGUGCUGGUUGCUAACUUGUCAGAUGCGUUUUGGGGUCAUGCGUGAUCACAAAAAACAAAUUCGUGAGGAUGAUAAGGCCCAAAACGGACAAUAUUUGGCAGGUUGGGUCAGGCUGUGACAUAUUCGAUAAUAACUCUUCAAUUAAGUCCUAAAUCUCAUUUCAUCUUUUCAAUUUAAUCCCUAAUUUGACACCAACUCUUCAAUUAGACCCCAAAGCUCAUACCACUUGAGGAAAGCCCUCUUCUUUCAAUUUAGCCCCUCAUUUAUCUUUAAUUUAAUAUCGAAUUUUAUUCGAUCCAAGCCCAAAAUAGGCUCAAGCGAAGACAAAAUAAAGGAAGGAAAGAAAAUGAAUAAUUGCCCAACCAAGUUAACGUAUUCUGGUCUUUUCUCCAUGAUUCGGGUUGAACAUUUGACAUUUAUCCUUUUUUUAGAGGCUUUUCUCUAUGUUCGUUAUGACGCUGUACACGUGCGACAACCAUUAAAUCUAUAGUUAAUUUCAUUUUUUGAUAAAAGAUAAUGCCAUCAGUAUAGAAUGGUUACCAACUGUUAGUUUAAUAAGCCUUGUAUCCAAUCGGUUAGUUACACGAUAUAUUAUUAUAUUCAUGUAAAUACAUAUUUAUUAUUAAUAAAGGCUUAAUUUAACUUUAAUAUUCAUAUAAUAUUAGAUUAAUGAAUCUAGAGUGUCAUAACCCUUUUUGGGUUUUUCCCCAAAUUCAUUUUUUCUCUUCUAAAAAUUAAAAAAAUAUAUAUAUUUAGACUAAAAAAAAUAAUAACAGUGAGAAGGGGAUGCCAAAACGCCUGGAAAAUAACUAAAAAUUGGUUGAGGAGGUUUAAAAAUACAAGGAUUGAAAUUUGGCAGUAUAUCAUUGACUGAUGAGAGCCCGAUUGACAAAGAAAAUUCAAUUUGAGGAAGAAAUGUCUAAAAUCAGAUGUUUAUUGGACUCAAUUAAAUUUAUUAAAGGUUAAAUUGAGUUUAUAGAGGGUUUGAUUGCAAGAACAAUUGAUUUUGGAGUCAAUUUGGGCUUUAUUUGGAAGAAAUUAAAGUUCUGAGGUCAAAAUAUAAUUUUAAGGAGUUAAUUUGGUCAAAUCAGGGGCUUAAUUGCAUAAAUAUUGAAGUUUGAUGGCCAAUUAGGGACUGAAUUGAAGAAAUCUCAAACCAAGAACCAAACUGGAAAAGACACGUAAAUAGAGAGGCUGUAAUUAACCGAAUAAGGGGCUAAAUUAAAGAAAUUGGAAGUUUAUUUAUUAAUUAAGGGUCAAAUUGCAUACAUCAGAGACCAAGGACUAAAGUGAAAAAGGCGGCCAACUUCAGGGCCGACGAUUGAAUUUGACAGGGAUGCAAUUGAAUUGAUUUUUAAAAUCAAAAUAGCAAUUUAGGACUUGAUUGAAUAAAUCACAAAUUGAAGACUGAUUUGGACUUUGACACGAUUUUGCCGCCAUUUUCAUUUUGCUUAAUAUUGGUUUGUAUUUUAAUACUGUAAAAAUACAAAUCCGAUAUUAAAAUACUUGGUUUUUGUCAAAACAUAAAAUAUAUAUAUAUAUAUAUAUAUAUAUAUAUAUAUAUAUAUAUAUAUAUAUAUAUAUAUUUGUUUCAUGCAUACGUCCAAGUCUCUCAAAGAUAAAAAAAAAAAAAAAACCAUAUUGUAUUUUCAUACUACAAAGAAAACUUCAAAAAAAAAUAUGUUUUAACAUGCAUUUUGGCUUUAAUAACCAGUUUAUUAAAGUCACGAGAAUUUGGCAAAUAUUUAAAAAAUUUCAAAAAAAAUAUUUGUUUUUUUUAGUAUUAGGGAUUAUGAAUUUAUAUGUAAAAUGUAUUUUCAAUAUUAAAAGUGUUUUUCUUUUGAUGACAUAAAACAUUUAGGUGUUUACCUGAUAAGAUAAGAAUCUCUUUAUAGAGGAGGAUUUUUCUUAAACCAUAGAUAGACUGACAAUUAAAAACCACAACAAGACCUUAAAUUUUAUCAAACAACAAAACAAUGCAGCUUACAUUAGGUAGGGUGUAGUUGGGGUGCUAAUACCUCCCCUUUAUGCAACCAGUCUUCGUACCCGAUCUCUAAGACCAAUUAGGGUUCCUAGUGACCAAAAUACUAGGUGGAAACUCCCAUUCUAUUUUCCACUGAUAAAAGACAAGAAUUCCUUGUCUCCCCACAUUUACCAGAUAGAUAUACAUUUACUUGAGAGGGUGGACGUUUAUCGUGACACCGCACACAUGCGACAGAAUGGCGACUCCACAAGGUACCUUGUGGAUUAAUCUUUGUUUUUGUCUGAUUAUCGUGUUUUAUUGUUUGGUUUGUGUGUUAUUGUUAAUAUGCAUUUUCUCAUUUGCUCAUACGCUUUAAUUUUGUACAUAUUUGUUCAUGGAUUGUAUAAAAUUGUUUCAUGCAUCAUUCACAUUUUAUGAGAGUUUAUACUGAGAAAAACUUUAGGUUAAGUGGGGGACUAGUAGCUUACCUUACAAUUUUUAGUCGAGGUUUAAGUUUGUGUAAACCUCAACUCUUUGCUGAGUACUUAGAUUGAUAAUGAUUGGUACACAUGUCAUCUCAUUACCUAUUAAGCCCUUAUAUUGCCUUUACGAGGGUGAUCACUGGGACAACAAGAGACCCUUUUAAGACUAGGUAGAAAUGCACCCAUCAUGUAAUGGCCCAAAACCUAUCCUUAGAGUAUAAGCUCCCUAAUAUACAUGUACAUAUAUUUGCAUCCAUACAUACAUCAAUUCAUUGUAAAUAACAUACGUGCAUCAGAUUGAAAUAUAGGUCCCUAAAAAGUGUACAACACCCGACUUUGAGCAAGAAACAUAGAAGAUGGAGAGCGUGCUCACCGUGAUGCCUAUUUUCAAGAAGAGUUGGAGUCUCUGAAGACAAGCAUGGCUCGCCUUACUAGCUUACUCGAGCAAACACUGAGAAAUACCUCUGGUGAAGGCCCUUCUAACCGGCUAGUCACCGUCAAUUAGGCUUCAACUACAGUUUAGCCUGAAGAAAGAAUGAGUGAACAUGGUCAAGAGCCUUAAUAAAAUCCAACAUUUGUACAGUCAGCGACACUUGCAUUAGCCCCGACAGUCAUGAAGGUAUUUGCUAAUGAGUCCCAUAUGGCCAAUUCAUCUGAUAGCAUUGAUCAAGAUAAAAUACAGGCAUUGGAAGCCAGAAUCAAAGUCAUUGAAGGGGUAGACUUAUAUGACCCAGUUCGGGCAGCAAAGAUGUGUCUGGUCCCAAAUAUGGUUGUCUCGAAAAAGUUUCAUGUUUCGGAGUUCAUCAAAUAUAGUGGAAUACAAUGCCCCAUGACUCACCUCAAGUCUUACUGCAAUAAAAUGGCAGAGAUAGUACAUGAUGAAAAACUACUGAUGCAUUUUUUUAGAGAUAGUUUAAGUGGGGCAAUAUUGAGCUGGUACAUGAGAUUGGACAACACAAAAAUCUAGAGAUGGAAGGAUAUGGUGGUUGCUUUUGUCAAGCAGUACAAGUACAACAUGGACAUCACUCCCGACAGAAUCAACUUGUCCAAUAUAGAGAAAAAGGAUAAAGAAAGCAUAAGGGAAUACGUUUAAAGAUGGUGGGAAUCAGCUGCUCAAGUACAUCCCCAACUUCUGGACAAAAAGAUUGGCACUUUAUUUGCCGACACACUCAAGGCACCAUAAUGGGUAGUUUGGCCCAGCAAUUCACUAAUGCUGUGGUAGUGUGUGAACACAUAGAGCAAGGCGUCAAGAGUGGUAGAAUUUCUGCACCCAUUGAGAAUAGAGGUUUCGAAUGAAAAGAGGUUAACCAUAUUGAAGAUGGCUACAAGGGUAGGAAAAACUUAUCCCAAAACUACCAUACUUCAUCCCAAAUUGCCGACAUAAAAAAACCUGAGCCCCAAAACUUUCAAGCCAAAAGCCAAAUUAGAAAUUACCAAAGGGUCCAAGAACAACUACCUCCAUUACCGCUACCAUUAAAUGAGAUGUACCAGAAGUUAUUAAGCAUCAGACAUAUAGCUCCCGAACCUCUAGCACCUUUGCAACCCCCUUACCCCGGCUGGUAUAAGCCAGAGCUCACUUGCGAAUACCAUGCUAGUGUUGCUGGACAUGACAUUUAUAUUUGCAACACCUUUAAGAGAAAGCUUCUGCAAUUAAUUAAGGCAGGGUGGAUAGCAUUUGAAGACACUCUGAAUGUGAACACAAACCCUCUACCUAAUCAUGCUUAAAGCAGUGGAUUAGAAAUGCACUAGCAAUCGAAUGUUCGGGGAAUUUGAAAUCAUCAAUGGGCCAGGUAGGGUGCGAAAGGGUAGCAUAAAUUUUAAAGGACUCAAAUUCCAACCACAGUUGUUAUCCCCAUCAUCCCAAGAAUUAUUACAGGGAGGCUAGCCUAAAAGGAGAUUUACCAAAAUGAAAGGAUGAGGCCUGCCAUAUUAUUGCCUUUUGUUUAAUCAUGUUGGUUUCAACUAUUUCAGUCUUGUCGGUAAUUUAGCUCAUAAUGCCACAAGACUUUCUUUGUCAAAUAAGCCUUCUUGUUAAUAAGAUCAUGUAUUUUCCUGUGCUUAUAACAUGUUUUCCUUUUUCCAAAAUAUGCAUGAUCUCACAUGUUCAUAAGAAUUUUAGGAAUUCAAAGUUUGGUAUAAAAAUAAAAAUCAUAUUGGUGUUUGUCCAAAACAAAUAAAUUCUGGAAAUUCAAGUGAUUCCUUAGAAAGAUAAGUAUACACGUAGAAAACUUGAAAAAACAAAUAAACAAAUAAACACAUAAAAAAAAUCAUAAGGUGACUCCAAAGUUAAGUUUUAUUUGAAUAAAUAAUGAGAAAUCACUUUGCAUACUCGCAUGAAAGCAAGACGUAUCGAUCUUAAGUGCAUGUGUUUGAGAUGAGGAAAUGCCUUCUUUGAUAAUCGCUUCACGAGGCUAAAAUAUAUCCUUUGCAAUCCCUUUUUGAGUCUAGUAACAUUUUUUGAAAAUAACCUUGGCUAGGAUCACACUCAAACUAGGGUUAAGUGCGAGAGACACAGAAAAGACCUUGAUGAUUGAAGUGCCCAAGCAACACUGGGGGCAUAAAAGAAAAUUCUCAAUCAUCAAAGGUGCCCAAACAAAGCUAGGGGUAUGAAGAAAAAUCCAAAGGAUCCAAAAAUUUUAAGCAUACAAAAAAAAAACAAUUAAAUAAUGCUCAAAACCAAAUGAAGAAAAAAAAAAUAAAGAGAAAGAGCCCAACAUUGGGGGGCACGAUAAACCAUUUUGAAAAGACAUUCCAAAGACAAAAGGUCAGGAAACAAGCACUAGUGAUCCUUAGUCUUGAAAUCCCGUGAAAUACCUUUUGAGCCUACAAAUAUCCUUUUCUUCAUAACCAAGAACCCAAGCCUAUAUUACAUGCCUAAUCAAGCCCUUUCUGAUCAAAGACAAGCAAUCUGGAUCGGCAGACAAUGCUUUCUCAUACAACCCAAAUUAUUAUUCAUGUAAAUAAAAUAAAUGCUUUGAAGACUGGUUCUUUGUAACCCUCAAAUUAAAUCUUAAACCAUUUUUUACCAAACCCAAUGUCACUUCAUGUUUUUCACCAAAAGCAAAACGAAAGGUUUUCAUCACUUCUGAAAACCUCUUCAUAGGAAUCACUUGAAUUUCUUCAGAACAAGUUUGCUUUGAAUCGAUGUCAAAAUGAUUUCUGUGUUUGGAAUAGCUUUUAAAUUCCAACAUUUUUGCAUCAGAACAACUCCUUGUCAAAACUUCCUUUACAUAGCCUCAUUCCCAAACCCGAAUUAAAUACUUGGGGGCAUGAUCAAGUUGGGAGGCAAUAAAAAAUACAUGGUAGGGCAGACUUUAUAAUUCUUUUUCUAAGAAAAAUGUUGGGUAGAAUUGGCAACCCUUGAGAUAUAGGUUAGAGGGCAAAGAAGUAGGAUGAUAUGAAGCCUUUCUUAGAGGUCAAGAUCACAAGAUAUGACUCAAGUAAGCAAGAGCGAAAAAGUCAUCGAAAUUUACUACUUACACUCCAACUUUUGAGAAAAGAAAGACAUCAUGAAGAAAUGAGGACCUAUAUUUCUCAGGUAAGUAUACAUGCAUAUCAAUCAUAGUGCAUUACUUUCAACAUUGUCAGAUCGGUGUUUCACCAUCACCUUUUGGGUAGGACAUUUUAUAACCCUACCUCAUUUUGAGUGUGCCUUUGAGCCCUUAUUUUCUUUUCGAGUAAGUCUUUGAGCCCUCAUCUCAUUUUAAGUGCGCCUUUGAGCCCUUACUUCGUUGUCAAGAUGCGACUUUGAGCCUUUGCUUCCUUUGGAGUGCGCCUUUGAGCCCUCAUUUCCUUUUGAGUACGUCUUUGAGUCCUCAUCUCUUAGGUAGUGCAUUUUAUAACCCUACCUCAUUUUGAGUGCAUCUUUGAGCCCUUACUUCCUUUUGAGUGCGCCUUUGAGCCCUCACUUCAUUUCGAGGGUGGUAGUGUAUUUUCUAACCCUACCUCCUUUUGAGUGCGCCUUUGAGCCCUCACCAUCUUCCUGGAUAGGUCAUCCAUUACAAUGAUGCUAUUUUUACACUUGGGUAGGUCACCUAUUAUAAUGAGACCAAUCUUUCCUUUCCCACUUGGGUAGCUCACUCAAUACAAUGAGACUAAUUCUUCGUAUUUUUUUGCCUAGGUAAGUCCCUCAUUAUAAUGAGACCAUUCUUCCACCUGGGUAGGUCACCUAUUAUAAUGAGACCACUAUUUCCUUUUUUUUUCCCUUUGGGUAGGUCACCCAUUGCAAUGAGACCAUCCUUUUUUCUAGGUAGGUCACCUAUUAUAAUGAGACAACUCUUUUAUUUUUUUUUUCCCUUUGGAUAAGUCACUCAUUACAAUGAGAUCAUUUUUUUUCUAGGUAGGUCACCCAUUACAAUGAGAUCAUUUUCCAUGUUUUUUUUACCUGAGUAGGUCAUCCAUUACAAUGAGACCAUUCUUUUUUUUUCCACUUGGGUAGGUCAACCAUUACAAUGAGACUAUCAUUUUUCUGGGUAGGUCACCCAUUAUAAUGAGGCCAUUCUUCCACCUGGGUAGGUCACCCAUUACAAUGAGACCACUCUUUCUUUUUCCCCUUUGGUGACCACUAUCAUUUUUUUGGGUAGGUCACUCAUUACAAUGAAAUCAUUCUCCAUGUUUUUCCACUUGGACAGGUCACCCAUUACAAUUCGACCAUUUCAAAAAUCUUUGAAUUUCACCAGGAAAAAAAACCUUUCGACCAUUUAAGUUUGCUUUCUAGCCCUCAAAUGCUUUCCAAACAAUUCAUCAUAUGGUGAGUCCGUUAUCUUUUUUUUUCUUCUUUACAAAGCUUAUUAUCUAAAAUCUCUUACGAGACUUUCUAUCGUAAGUAUUGUAAAUAGAGGACAACUGUCAUAACCUAUUUUUGGAUUAUUCCCCAAAUUUAGUUUUUCUCUUCCAAAAAUAAUAUAUAUAUAUAUAUAUAUAUAUAUUCGGACUAAAAAAUAAACAACAAAAAAAAUAAACAAAAUAAUAACAGUGAGAAGGGGAUGCUAAAGUGCUCGGAAAAUAACUAAAAAUUAGUUGAGGAGGUUUAAAAAUACAAGAAUUGAAAUUUAACAGUAUAUCAUUGACUGAUGAGAGCCCGACUGACAAAGAAAAUUCAAUUUGAGGAAGAAAUGUAUAAAAUCAGAUGUUUAUUGGACUCAAUUAAAUUUAUUAAAGGUUAAAUUGAGUUUAUGAAGGAUUGGAUUGGAAGAAAAAUUGAUUUUGGAGUCAAUUUGGGCUUUAAUUAGAAGAAAUUAAAGUUCUGGGGUCAAAAUAUAAUUUUUGAGAGUUAACUUGAUCAAAUCAGGGGCAAAAUUGCAUAAAUAUUGAAGUUUGAUGGCCAAUUAGGAACUUAAUUGAAGAAAUAUGAAACUAAGGACCAAACUGGAAAAGGCGCGUAAAUAGAGGGCUGUAAUUAACUGAAUGAAGGGCUAAAUUAAAAAAAUUAAAAGUUUAUUGAUCAAUUAAGAGUCAAAUUGCAUUCGACCAAGAACUAAAAUGAAAAAUCAGCUAACUUCAGAACUGAUGAUUGAAUUUGACAGGAAAGCAAUUAAAUUAAUUUUUAAAAUUAAAAUUAUAAUUUAGAACUUGAUUGAAACACUUAAAAUAAAAAACUUAAAAUCACAGCAUGAUAAAAGAAGAAAGAAAGGAAUGGGAAAAGGAAGAAAGAAUAAAAAAAUCCCCUAAAAUCACGGCAUGAUAAAAGGAGAAAGAAAAGGAUGGGACAAAGAAGGAAGAAAGUAAGGUCGCGUAGGGGCCAGUAUUGAAGAAAAGCUAAAAGAACCAGGUAAUCCAAGGAACCAAUAGAUUAUCGCCACAUGUUCAACCUUAUAUUUAUUGUGACAUGGAGAUAAAGAUAAUCUCAAAAGCUAAUAGAUGGUCGCCACGUGUUCGACUUUAUCUACCCACUAGGAAAGGAAUCAAAGGAUAGAAAAGUGGGGGAGAGAAAGGUUAAAAAGGCUUUAAAAAAAAAAGAAAAGGAAAGACCCGGUUGAGAUAAGAGGGGGGACGUGGAAAUAGAAGGAGAAACGGAAGGAGACAUAGAAAGAUCGGAGGAGAGUAAGAAAAAAAUAUAUGAAUAUGUGAUGUCCAAUUUCUCAUAAAAAUUCUCUGUUUUUUUCUCUCUUUUAUUUGGAAUUUCUUUGGACACUUUAAUAAAAUAAUAACAAAAAAAUUAAAAUAUUGAUGAAAUUAAUAUUCAUUCAAACACAGAUUUACUGUGUACUAUGAUAUUAUUAUUUUUUUAAUUUUAAAAAACACGGCUUGGAUAAUAUUUCAAGUAGUGUCGUAAAAAAUAGCGUGUUUGUUUUUUAUUUUUUAAAUAAUUUUAAAUAAUAUUUUUUUAAUUUUUAUAUUGAUAUUAAAAAUAAUUUUUAAAAAAUAAAAAAUAUUAUUUUAAUAUAUUUUUAAAUAAAAAAUAUUUUAAAAAAACUACUUUAAAAACCUUAAAACCACGGCAUGAUAAAAGGAGAAAGAAAGGAAUAGGACAAAGGAAGAAAGUGAAAGGGAGAAAGGAAGAAAGUAAGGUCACGUAGGGGGGCCAGUAUUGUAGAAAAUAGGAGAUGAAAAAUUGGUAUGAAAAAGAGGAUGAUGGAGUGGUUGUCCAAAUCAUAGUGGUUUUUAUAAUUAUAUUUAUUUAUAGAAAUAUUAAAUUAAUAUAUUCUUAGUAUUUUAUAUGAUUAAAUUUUUUUGUUGAUUUAAAAAAUAUAUGCGUAUAAAAAAUUAUUUUAAUAUAUUUUUAAAUAAAAAAUAUUUUUAAAAGUAUGUAUCACAGUACCAAAUUAUAGUAUCAAUUAAAAGAAAAUAGGGUUUUAUGUUCAUUACCACUCACUUAUACUCAUUUAAUUCUUAUACUCAUUUAAUUGUGGACAAUAACAGUAUCUCAUUUGAAAACUUUCAAUUUUAUACUUAAAUUUUUUUCAUAAUUAAUCAUUUUUAAUUAAAAUUAGAGUUCAAAUGUAUAUUUUUUUUUAAGGAGGAGAGUUGAAUUAAAAAACAGGGACUGAAGUAAAAAAUUCAGCUAAAAUAGGUAGCGACUCUAUAAUUUAUUUACAAAAUUUAUUUUAGUUUCUCAUCUUUUCAAGUUAUUAAAUAAUAAGUCCGCAUAAUUUUCCAACAUUGCAUUUCAAAUUUUUUUUAUUAUUAAUACUUUUAAUAUAUUUUUUUGAAAAUAAUUUUAAAAACGGUGUUUUCAUUAAUAUUCCUUUUCUAUGAUUUGUUUUUUUGGCAUUAUGUAGUCUUUCUUCAAUUAUUUUUAAUUUUGUUGCUUUGUUUAAUUUUUUAAGAGGUUAAUAAUAUUUAUCUGUAAAUAUUUGUUAUAUAUUUCAGAUAGAUUAAGUAUUUAAUUUUCAUAAUAAUUUGAAUAUGUGUAGCGUUGCAUAGUUUUUCUUCCUUUUAUGAUAUUAAAAAAAAUUAUGUGUGUGUUGAUUUCUAUUAUCGAUUGAUUUUAGUAAAUAAAUUCAUUAAAUAUAACCAAAUAAAUGAUCCAUAUUGCAAUAUUAAAUACUUUAUCUAUAUUUGUUUCUUAAUUUUUCCACUUGCACUUUUAAUUAUCGGUAAUGACUUCAUUUUUUCAUUUAUUUACACAAUUGUUUGUGAUUUAUUUAAUUUGAUGCGUGUAUAAGUUUUUCGAUUUACAUUUAGAAUUUUUUUAAUGUAAAAAAACACGUUGAGAAAUUCUUAUUUUUAUGAUUUUAGUUUGAUCCUUAUUCUUAUAAUUUCUUAUUUUCUUUCUAACCCUUUUAUAAAACAAAAAAUUGUUUAUAAUUUCAUCCUUCAAUUGAACAUAAUGAUGUAUUUUUUUUAUUAUUUAUAUUCUUGUUUGUUAUUAUUGCUUUUUUUCUUUAUAUAAUUCAUAUAAAACCAGCUUAUUUAAUCGGCCAAGACUAAAUAAAUAAAUAAAAAGAUAUACUGUGUCUUCCCAUUUCCUCUCCCUGGUGAAUUUUGGCGACCACCCACACAAUGAUAGCCUAAACAACCACCAGCCAUGCCACUUUUCAAGACCCCAUCUCUCAAUCUCAAAACCAGAAACAACCCUUUCUCAUAAUUCCGGGAAAGUGAAGAACUAAACCAUAGUGGCAAAAAUCUUAAAGGGUCUAAAUUAUCUCUGUUACUUUCCCUCAAUUUUCUAGACAAGCAAAAGGAGCUAAACUUAUUCCCGACCAAAACGCCAAGAAUUUCAGUAGAACAAAAGAAGAGAUUGUUACUUGACCAUAAACAAUUAGUCCGCACCCAAACAAACUGAGUGAAUGAGAGAAAAAGACUAAUGGCUAGAAAACAAUCAACAGAUCCAAGAAUUUUCUGUAUGGUUUCCAAGAAAAUGAAACGAAACGAGCAGCACAACCCUCUUUCCCCUCUAAGAAAAGAAAGAAGAAGAAAAAGAAAAAGAAAAAGAAAGGAAAGAAACAAAGAAGUUCGAGGAAAGAAAAAGUAAGGAAGAUGAAACCAUAAACCUGCAAGUCCUACAAAUCAUAAACAUUGACUUUGAUUUUUCCUUUAUAAAACCAUAAACCUGCAAGUCCUACAACAUGAAGACUUAUCAGAUCCUAAUGAAAAGCUGUCAAAAUCCUAUCAGAAAUUAAGGAAGAUGACGUUACGUUAACUUCAAAUCUGAGGAUUAAUUGUAGCAGAUCUUAUAGGGUUCAGCUGAUUGCUUUACUUGUUUAAAUAAUUCUCUUGUAAGCCUAAUGGUUCACGUCUUCCAUCAUUGCAACCUUUUUUUCUGUGAUUGAAAAAUCUAUAAUAGGAACCUGCACUGCAUCCCUUCUAUGCUGUUGUUCUUUCUUCUUGUUUUGCUAUUUUGAUUUUAUCAUAUUUUCUAUGAUGAAAGUUGAAGAAAUUCUACUUCGAAACUCAAGACAAAGUCUCUCGAUCGGACUGCAUAUUAGUGGGUUGCUCAUUGGGAUUUCUAUAAACAACUGAUUCUAAUAUUGCAAAGCAACAUUACGAAAAACUGAAUAUUUCACACAUAGUCUAAUAAAAGUAGAUUCCAUUGUCAAUUCCUUAACAUUUUCCAAACAAAUCCAUGCUCCUCAUUUUAUACUUUCUUGAGGGUUUCUAUUCUCUUAUUACCAAUUUCAGUGAGUUUCAUAAUAAGCUGCUUAGAAAGAAGCUAUCUAGCAGGAGGGUGGGGCUACUCUUAGCCAAUGAAAACAGCUUCACAUGCUAUACAGCAACGUGAAAAAAAGAUUCUCAGCCUGUUCUCUCUUUAAUGAACACCCUCUUGGAUUCUCUAGCAUUAGCCAACAAGGUAUUUGCUUGGAAUUACUUCCACCUGAAAACAACAGUUAACCUAUUUAAUAUACUUAACUAAGUAUCUAUUUCAUAACCUUAUAUAUUUUUUUAAUUAAAUUAGUUAUUUUUUUCAAAAAUAAAAAAAGUAAACGGUUUUCCAAAAAUCUAAUUCACAAUAAAACAAAUAAUGAAACUUGAUAAUAAUUCAUUAAAUAACCAUCAAUUAUUCAUCAAACCAAUCUGAAAAAGCUCAUAUUAAAGCUAGGGACCAAUCUGGAAUUUUAUCAUAUUUUUAGGGGUCAAAUUAUAAUUUUAUCAAAUUAGAAGACCAAACUAAAAAUAUCAUAAAUUCAUGACUAUACUAGAAUUCUGCCCAUAAUUCAUCAUAAAUUCUGCCCAGAAUUUCAAAUUAUGCUCCAAGGACCACUAUAGAAUUUUAUCAAAUAUCUAGGGUUAAGUUGUAAUUUCAUCAAAUUGGAGGACCAAAGUGAAAAUAUCAUAAAUUCAUAACUAUACUGGAAUUCUGCCCAUAAUUUAACUUUAAUUCUGUCCAGAAUCUCGGAUUAUGCUCCAGGGACCAAUCUCUAAUUUUUCUAAAGUUCAAGGACUAAACUGUAAUUUUCACAAAUUGAGGGACCAAACUGAAACUUCAACCUCAAACCCAGAAUUUACACAGAUAACCUACUGAUAUAUCAAGAUUUCUAACUCAAAUUCACCAUUUAAAUAAAAUCAUAACUCAAAAUCAUUAUUUUUACCUAAAAUCUUUCAAAAUCAACUAAAUAAUUCAUUAUCCAUAACAAUCAACCCAUAAUUUUUCUGUAAUGUAAUUGUAAUUCCUAGCAUAAUGCAUAUCCGAGGGCAAGCACAACAACUCAAGAACAAAGAAACUCGAUGAAAUAGCAAAAGAAAAGGACUUGAAGGACUGAAAUAAAAUAAAACCAAAAAAUAGGGAUUAAAAAAGUAACCGCACUCUGGUUGCCAUAAAAAACAUAGUUCUUUUAAUAUUUUUUUUUUAACUAUUGUAAUAGGUCAAUCAUAUUACCCGAGUGUGUGACUCAGAGAUGAUCAUCAUAGAAAAUUACUUUUAAUUGCUUGAGUUUUAUCCUUAGAUGAAAAACUUACCUCGUCCUCCUAAUGCUUUUGCUUUCAUUGUUUCGAAAGUAAAAGAGACAUAAACAUAAUCAUUUCCUUCCUUUUACUUUCCACUUCUUUGUAAUGGAUUGCAAACGGGAUGGUGCUUAGUGAGGCCAGUUUUUCUUUUCCUUUCUAUUUAAAAUCUUAUGCCUAAUUGGGUGAGGAAAUUAGUGGAGCAUUAGACUUUUUAAAAGACAACAAAAGGAAGCAAUGUCUCAUCUUUUGAUAUGGUGGUCUUCCAUGAUCAGUUUGUUGAUGAAGAUAUCGAAAGAUUCGAGUCUCCGUUCUAGUUCAGGUUGGAUGCAAGGCCGAAAGCUAAGCUUCUUUUAAUUAUGAAUUGUUUAUGCAAAGGAAACCCAGAAGCUUGAACAAACAGAAAUGCCUUGUUGAUUUCUCUGCUACUACUCAUUAUUUCCAAUAUUAUUCCAUUAUCUUACCCGAAAGCAAUUAUACAAGAAAUUUCAUUAUCCUGCCCCAAAGGCAGUUUAUUGCAUGGACUUCCUUUAACCUAGCUCCUUGAAGGCAAUUUAUUUGAUGAAAAUUCCUUUAAUCCACCUCAAAGACAAUUUAUCUUAGGGAAUUCCAACAACCCUUAAGGCAUUUUAUCAAAGGGAAUUCCAAAAACAAUUUAUUUCUUGGACUCAGUAUUCUUUGAUACUAGUUAUUUAUAUAUAAUUUAACAACACUUAACCAUCUUACAUUUAAGAAGAAAUUCAAAAGUAAGGAUAACCCUUAUCUAGAGCUCCUGUGGUUCUUGCUCCCGAGAGAAUUGGCUCCACUCCGGACAAAUCUACUAUCAGAAACCCAAGUUUCAACCAAUCAAUAACAUCAACACCCAUUUUAUAUUAAUGCAAUAAGUUUUUCUUAACCAAUUUACUUGAUGCAAGUUCUUAUAAUAAAAGUGACAGUAUUCAAGGUGAAGACAAGCAGAAGGGCGUGAUAGAGUUUGACAAAGAUGAAGCUAGUUCCAAUAAAGGGAAACACUCUAUGCAGGCCAAACAACAGUGGAAAUUCUUAUAAUCCCACCAAUCAAGGAUUACAGGACCCUAGUCCUUCCCAAACCAAUUUGAACUCCCCGUAGAGAAAACAUCUCCAAACCCAUUUUGAAUCACCCACAACAAGCAUCUCCACAACCUGUUCUGAACCCCCCCACAACAAGCAUCUCUGCAACAUGAUUUUAUUUCCUUGUGUGACAGGGAGGUCAAAAUUGAAAGAUAUUACUAUUUUCAUUAAUUUUAUUAAAGCUUAAUUAUUAUUUUUUUUCCCUUUUCUUUUAAAAAUGUUAUCUCCUUGGUAAGGAAUCCUUGGUUCCCAACAGCAACUGUAGCAUAGUUAAAAAAAUAUCUAAACUCCACCGAAAGUAGUGGAGCCUUAGAAUUUUUAAAAGACAAAACGGGGACAAGUGAGAGACGAAGAAAAAGACAAAAGUAAUCCCAUCUAUUGAUGUGGUGAUCCAAGAUACACCAUAACAUGGUGUUCUUCCAUGAAGUCUAAGAUACACCGUCGUGUUGUUUCAUAUAUAUUUUUAUAUAUGAAAAUAAUAAAGCUACCGUUUAAAACAACUCUGAAAACAAAAUUUUUAAUAAUCCAUAAUUUUUAAGCAAACAUCACUUAUAAGCAAAUAAUUAAUGAUGGUUAGUUAAACUAAUUCAUUGUUAGGCGGAUAUAUAUUAAGGUUAAGAACCCUCUAUCUAACACUAAUAACUAAUCACUGAUAAUAUUUAUGCAAAACUUGUAGCUUAGGAUGAACUCUCAGAGAUGUGGGCGAGGCAACUCAAAGUAGAAGGGAAGGGGUAACCUCUGAUAACAGAGAAAAUUGUAGAGUAAAGCAGGACCGAAUUUUCUUAAAUUAACAACAGAAAUCUACAAUGAACAGUUCUCGAGAAGAAACUCAAGAAACGUAUAUAAAGCUACAUGAUGACAUAAUAGGAACCUGCAUUGCCUCCAUUCUAUGAUGAAAGUUCAAGAAAUUUUACGUCGAAACUCAAGACAAACUCUCUCAGACUACAUAUUAGUGGGAUUUCCAUGAACAACUGAUUCUAUUGCAAAGCAACAUUAGGAAAAAUUGAAUAUUUCACACAUAGUCUAAUAAAAGUAGAUUCCAUUGUCAAUUCCUCAACAUUUUCCAAACAAAUCCAUGCUCCUCAUUUUAUACUCUCUCUCUUAUUACCAACUUCAUUGAGUUUCAUAUAAGCAUAGUCAAUCACACAACUAAUAUGUGAAUUCACAAUUUCUUACCGAAAACAUUUUAUCAGUGCAAGUUAAUACAUAAUUUUACCUCUCCUCUUGGUGAAAACAUAAAGACACAACCACCGAGCAGAUCUCUGGUAAUGGUCUCUACAAAUUCCCUACAGUUCCUAUUGCCAACAAACUCCUCUUGCCAUUCCCUAACUGCAUUGAGCCAGCUAAUCUGGAUGAAAGAAAAGACUUCAGCCAUUCCCUAACCUUAAAGCAGACCCAACUUUGUAGCUCAUUACCAGUUAAGUAAAAGUUAUCAAUAGCUGUGUAAAUCAUUGAAACUGCCACAAAAGCCCCAAAUUAGUUAUGAAUUGGAUUCGAUAAGGGAAAGAGGGGAAGAGGGGAAAUGGGUAACGGAAAAUUAAAGAGAGAUGAAGAUCUGCGCAGGGCUACCUGUUUUGAGAAUUAUGGAUUUUUAUCCCUAACUCCAAAUUGCACCAAUUAUAAGUUCAUUAAAACAAAUCUGGAACAGAACAGAUGGAAAAAACUCGAAACAACUUGGCUAGAAUUUGGGCAAGAAAUUCAGAACGGCCAAGAUUUUAAGUGAGAUAAAAGUUAUCCCAUUUUGUUCUGUUUUUUUUUAAAAAAUUAAUAUGAGAUGUACUAUCCAUUUCAAGCGGAACAUAAUGGAAUGAACAACCUUGCAUCGAAGACCUAAUUUUAGUGAAACUCAAGUUUCUUGUGUCAAAGAAAAUGUUCUAAAAAAAUGUUUUAAGCAUUAACAAAAUCUAGUUGGCCUAGGCAAUCCACUAUUGUUGCUGUUACCGUUGGUGCAUACUCCAUUACACCAUUGACAUAGUGCAACUGUUUUUCUUUCUUUCUUUCUUUCUUUCUUUUAAAAAAAUCCAUGUUAUGUUUUUUAUUUGAAGCUUUUUUGUUAAUAUCUUUCGCAAUUGGCCUUGGUAUUUUGUUUCCAUUUUCUCUGUUUCCUUCUUCUGUAGUUAGAAAACAUCAUGUCUUUGGGUUUGCGCUUGAUACAGCAAAAUUAAGGACACAAUAAUCAAAGAACACAAAAUUUUAUAAGGGAAAGGGGUUGCAGUUGUGAACCUAAAAUUUACAAAUUUAUUUUCUCAAUAAUAAUAAUAAUAAUAAAGAAGUUUGCCUUCUUAAAAGGUUUACAAAACCUUAAAUAGGUUAGGAACCUUACCUCAACAAGGGAACAGAAAAAAAAUCCAAAAUUAUAAAUGAAACAAGCAUAAAAUCUGAAAUAAGCAAGAAAUGAAAAUAACAAAAAACUACCAAAAUCAGGGGCAUCAUUGAGAUUUUUAAUAUCUAAAGAUCUAAUGAUUUGUAUAAAAAUUUGAGCACAUUAAUCCAAUAAUCGAAAAAACAAUUAUGGCUCUUUUGAGCUGUUAUUCUAGUCUAGCACGAUCAAACAUUCUCUUGGGUUUAGACUUGUUCUAUUGGUUCAUAAAUGCAUUUACUAGGCCAUCAACAUUAAUUGUCUAAGGCAAAUUCUCAUCUAGUUGUGGUAGACUCACACCUGACUGCUUAUAAAAUUGGUUGGUUUUUUGUUUUCGAAGAGAUUUAAAAUUUGAUGCAAAUGAAAGCUAAAAACACAAUAAUUAAAGGGCACAAAAAAAAUUAUAAGCGAAAAAGACUGCAGAUGUGAACCCUCAAAUUCACAAGUUUAUUUUCUCUAAAAUAAUAAUAAUGAAAUUUGUCUUCUUAGGAGGUUUCCAAAGCCAUAAAAAUAUCAAGAAUCCUACCUUAACUUGGAAACAAAAACACAAACUCAAAAUUACAAAGGAAAAAAGCAUAAAAUCCAAAAUAAGCAAGAAAUUAAAAAAUAACAAAGAAAAUCACAAAAAACUACCAAAACUAGAGGGCUCAACAAGAUUUUUGAUAUCUAAAGAUUCAGCAGUCCACGCAAAAAAAUUUGCAUGGUCCAACGGUCGGAUAAGAAAUUGUGAUCAUUUUGAGCUAUUAUACACGACCAAAUCUUCUUUUGAUCCUAUACUUGUCCUAUUAGUCCAUAAAUGCAUUUUCAUAACCUAUCUUUUUUUUUUUUCUACUAUAGAUGGUGUUUGACCAUCAUCGUCAUAUGGUUUGACUUAGUUGUACCGGUUUUUAAUAAGAUGAACUUUAUAUAUUAUGGGUUUACAUUUACUAUUUUUUAAAAAUGUUCAUUAUCGUUUCGAUCUCUAUAAGUCCAUUGUUCACAACUGAAGUCCGUACCUGCAGCGGAUCACAGGCAAUGAAACUAUACAAACACACUAGAGACUCAAGAGUAAACAUGCUACUAUAGUUAGCAGGUAAGGGUCAGGUCAUUUGUUGUCUGGUUUCAAAUAGAGUUUCAACUCAUUUAAUAAAUAUAUAUACAUGGCUCAUAGUUGGAUUAUUUGUGUUUUUGUUAUUUGUUCUUCCCAGUAAUUGUACCAGAAGCUGCUCUCAUAUUUGAAGGAAUGCAAACAAUAUAUUGUUAAUAUGAAACUUAUGAUGCCUAGGAAAUUGCCAUUUUUCUCAUUUUUAAUUGGAAGAAAAAUCACAAGUAUGUUUCUGUUAGAAAUAACUUCUUAUUUCAAUCAGAAGUGUGUCACUAAAUUGAUUUAUAAGUAAGUUUUUAAAUUGUGGAUUAUAUCUUAAUUACAUUAUAUUUUUUUAUUAACAAAAGUUUAUUUGAGUUAUUUUUAUUAAAAAUACUUAUAAUUUAAAAUUAUUUUAAUUCUUUUUUAUCAUAAAUUAUUUAUUAAAAACAACUUAGAUUAUCGCUUGAAAUAAAAAAUUCUUAAUUCAAAAGUCAUUAAAAAAUUCUUAAUUUAAAGAAGCUAAUAAUCUAAAAGGAGGGUGGGGCUGCUUAGCCAAUGAAAACAGCUUCACAUAUGAAAACAGCUUCACAUACAACGCAACAACGUGACACAAAGUAGAAAAAAAAAGAAAAAGAAAAAUUUCUCAGUCUGUUUUCUCUUUACUGAACAACCUCUUUGAUUCUCUAGCAUCUGCUUGGAAAAACCAUUCAACAAGGGAUUCUGCUAGGAAAACAUGCAAUUGUUCUUCUAUCUGAUAUCAGUUUCAAAAUUCUAAACAAAUAAUGCAACAAGUCACAUUUAUUCCAGACCUCAAGCUGCAUUGCCUAUUUCAAAACCACAAAGAGAACAUCAAACAGAACAACAAAUACCCAGUCGUAGAGCCAUUAAUUUGAGCAUAAAGGAGAAAGAAAGUCCACGCAUUAAACAGUAGGCACACACAUGAGUAUACAUUAUGCCCUUGUUUUUGAAGAUUCAGACACUUCAAAAGAAAACUCACGCUCUUAUUUUUGGGAAGUUCUUGUAUGGUAAAUAAGACUGUUACAAUGUGAAGCCAAUUUGUAUCCCAUUGCCAGUGAAACAAUAGGAAUUACUUCCACCAAUCUAAAACAUAUUCGCAGCACCACAGCUCAAAGACAUGAAUCUCUGUGAAAUCACCUAAGGUCGAGUUGCUCAUGUAAUAGGCAACCAACCUGCCUAAUGCUAACAGAAGAACAAAGACCAUUCAUGCAUAUCCAUUACCUGUUUAGCAUGUUUUUCAAAUUCCAAUGCCAAACUAAUCAUCCUACCCAUCAUCAUCAUCACCACCAUCUCCCUUCACCACCUUCCUUCAUCUCCUUCACCACAUACCCACCCAUUAUUUCGGGUCCACGUUUUACAAGUGCUGAUUGGCGCAGAGCAACCAGUGCUUGAAUCCUCAGCUACUUCAGAUACCUGUAAUCCAAUCCAAGCAUGGCAUACACAUUUUGGCUUCUAAAUCUUAUUAUUGAGUGAAACAAGAAACAAACACACAAAAAGAGAAGCAAGAAAUUAAGACAAUUCAGCAGCACCUCUGAUGGAGCUCUUAUUGAACCAUUUGGUGUAGUAGCAAAUUUUGUGAUCAGCUUUGGGCAUUCAAACACCUCCAACUGCUCUAAAUGAGGGAAUAAGAAAUCAUAACAUCCGAGACUGAAGCAUACAAUACUUGAUAAUUGUUCUAGCAACAGCACCUGCAGAUUCGGGAGCUCCAUCACCUUCUCAACAUUGACAGGUAAAGCAUUCUCAUCCUGAAGCCAUGGCUACUGGGAAGAGACUCUUCAACAUGUUGCAUUUUCUGACAUCAAUUUCACAUAAAUUAGGGAAACAUACAGAUUGAAGAUGAUCUCCUGGGAAUAUCUGAUCCUUUCCAUCAUCAUUAUCCCUAGCAAUGAUUUGCUAUAAUUCCUCACAACUUUCUAUGUUUAGAAAAUUCAGUUGAACUAGACUAGCAAUCAUGCUGUCUGAGAAUACAUGUGUUAGUCUUUUACACUUAUUCACCACCGAAGUAGUUAAAUUGCUCAGCACGAGAACCUUCCACAAACACCACAUGCUUGUGUCAGGCAGGGACUUCAAUUUUAAUGUUUUCAAACUUGUUAAACUCCUAUGCAUGCUCCACUUAUCAAUUUUAAUGUUUUAGCUCUUCAUUCGUCUCUCCAUUUAAAGCUAUAAAAUAAAAUAAAAUAAAAAUAGCUAACAAUAUUACCCUUUUUUUUAUUGACAAAUGCUACUGUUUUUUUCUUUUUUUUUUUCUUUUUGUCAUUCUAAAUAGAGCAUUUGCCAAUAAAAAAAAAUUAAGGCCUGGAAAUGAUGUUUUGUGAUUGGCCCAUCAUUAAUUUUGUUAUCCAUGCACAGUAUAGACCGGCCCGGGAAUGAUGUUUAAACUGGGAAUAAUGAGUUUUCUAUGGGCUUUGGAGCAUUGUGUGACACUUAACAGUGUGCACUUCAGGCCCAUUUAAGAAGAGAAAAAAGGGACAGGGAUAAAGUCUGAAGUAACGGUCAGAAAAGAAACCGAUAAAUUAAUUAAAUUGAAAAAAUUAAAUUAUAAAAAAAAUUAAUUAAAUAAAUUAGAAUAUUUUUAAAAAAUUAGUUGAGUUUGAUUUUGAUUUCAUAAAUUUAAAAUUAAAAAACCGAACCAAAUAAAAAAACCCAUUAAAAAAUCCCAAAAUUACCAAAAAAACAACAUAAUUUUUAAUUUUAAAUAUAAAAUAAUCAAACCAAAUCGAAAUCGGUCAAUUGAUUGAGUUUCAGUUUUUAAUAUAAAAUAAUUAAACCAAACCAAAACAGGUCAAUUGGGUUUUAUUUUCUAAUAUAAAAUAAUCAAAUAAAAUUAAAAUUGAUCGGUUGGAAUCGGUUUUAAUUUUUUUAUAUAUUUUAUAAAAUUUGAAUUUAUUAUUUUUAUAAAUAAAAAAAAUAAUCACUCUCGGUCUAAAGUCAAGACAUUGUGGUAUAUGACAUCAUUGGCAGGGUACUAUUCUACCACUAGAUCACUGGCACUUGUUGGUAUCAACGUGUGGAAUAGCUAAUUAAAUAUAUAUAGUCAAAUAGGUAAUUGAAUAUAUAUAAUGACACGUAUAUUUCCUAGUCAAACGCAGGAGCAAAAAUUUCAAAAUAGCAGACAACGUUUUUGACAGAAGUCUUGUACCAUUACUUCUAUCUCGCUUUAUUCUCUUCUAUAUAUAUAUAUAUAUAUAUAUAUGGUGAAUUGACUAGAGCAUGCAUAUAAGACUUCUUCUAGUCAUGAUGGUCAGUGAGGUUUUUGGUUUUAAAAUCAACAACUCCACUUAAAUUUCUUAAACUUGAAGAAUAUGCGAAGACAAUGCAUUUUUAAUAUGCUAAUUAUUCCUUGUACAGAAACAAGAAGGGAUUCUCCUCUACAUUAUUGUCCCAAUAUAUCAAACAUUGAUAAAGAAAAAAUGCAAAUCAAAACCAAGGCUCCCUCCCCACUGUUUCGUUUUAUAUGCUCUUGGAUCUUGAUUAACUAAUGAAGGAAACAAUUUGAAAACAUUAAAAUUGUAUCAAGAGACAGGGAAUGACACAGUUAGACAACUCCUUUUCAAUUUAGUGGAUGGCUAAAGGAUUUAUCUCCACUUAUCAAUUACUUCAGUUUCAGAAAUUUGGAGGAAGAAAUCACAAUGUAUUGAAGUUGACAACCAGAAGCCCAAAAGAAAACAAUUUUGACGAAUACCCACCAAACAGUUGAAGUGCUGCUGUAACUGAGAUUUUUUAUUAUAUGUAUUUUUUGUGGUCCAAUGGAUAAAUAAUUUUUUUUUCUUUUAUUUUAUCAGCUUAAUUUUGCAUGUGGAAUAUUGAGUUUUCUGUUAUUUUUUCAGACACAGAAUUGAAUCCUUUAUAUAUUCUUAAAACCAAAUUUGAAUUCUAAGUUCCUAAAUGAAGGAAUAAUAAAGAUUGUUGCAACUUGCAUGUACAAAUUCUCCUUCAAAAAAUUAACAAAUAAUAAAGUCUCCUAUGUUAAUGAAGAUUUAAUUAUAACUUAGCCCUGUAAUUUCUUAAAAUUAAUUAUUUAGUCUUUUAAGUAUAAUGGAUGUCGCACCCGACAUCGCGGCGGCCCUAAAAAUAAUCCUCGAAUAUGAAAAAAGAACAGAUUUCUGGCAUCUUGCUCUUUUAGAAGAAAAAAAAUGUCUUAUUUGAGGAGUCGCCACCUAUUAUUAUGGUCACUAGGAACCCUAACUAGUCAACAGAGAUUCUAUGGCUCGGGAUUGGUUAUGUAAAAGGGAAGAUAUUAUCACCCUUUAAACGUUCUGCCUAAUGCAGAUUGCAUUGCUGGUUUUGUCUUAAAUUGCUAAAUGUUUAUUAGUUUAUGCUAUGAUAAUUUGUUUAUAAUAUUCCUGACUCUGGCGCCAAUGAAUAUUCGAGCUCGAAUAAUUCCAACUCUGGCGUUGGUAAAAAUUCGUUGCUACGAAAAAAAAUUAGAUCAAUAUUUUUUAUUCUCUACUCUAGCGCCAAUGAAUAAAUAAAUAAAAAUAAAUUUAUUUUUACGCAUGCACAUAUUUUUUUAUUUCUUAUGUAGUUAAAUAAAAAUUAAAUCAGUAUUUUUUAUUUCUGACUCUGGCGUAAGUGAAUAAAUCAAUAAAUUUUUCUAUUUUUUCUAUUUUUAUUUUUUUUUGUUUUGGGGGUUGGGCCCAGCUCAGCCCACAAGGGCUGGGCUGGACCCAGCUGACUCGAUUGGGUCACUGGUCUAGACCAGUGACCCGGCCGGGUGGCAAACGCACGCCUGCCCAAUGAAUUAUAAUUCACUUGCUACAGUAGCAAGUGAAUUAUAAUUCACUGCUACUGUAGCAGUGAAUUAAAAUGCAAAAGGGUAGAGAUGAGGGACGACUGACCUGGUGCAGCAAGGCGUAGCCGGAGACGAUGGCGCACUGUGCUGGACAAACGACGCUGCCUCCUCUUGUUCUUCCUCUCUUCUUCCUUCUCUUCCUCCUUUUCUUCCCUGGUUCGUCCCUGUAUUUCUUUCCUGGAGUGCCCUGUUUCUGGUGCAGUGGCUGCUGAAGAUGGAGCUCUGGAGUUGCUGCUUCUGGAGGCGACGAAAACGGUUGUGACGCUGGUGGUGACUCUUGUCUACUGCUUUCCUUGGUCUUCCUUAUGUGCUUCCUCUGCUCAGGACAUCAACGAUGGUGAUGAAGAUGUUAGGUGCUGCCGGUUGAAUGGAAGCUUGCUCCCCUGUUUCUGUUUUUCUGCAUUCGUCUUCCCUAGUUUUCCUUUCCUAAGCUGUGAUAAGAUAGGAUUUAGAGGAAGAAGAGAUAAUAAGAUAAAAGGUGAUUGUUUAUUGAUUGCAUGCCUUUCCUCUCGAAACAGUGAGCCUAAAUAGGCCAUUCAAUACAACUGUAAACUAAAUAAUAGGAACUCCAGUAGUGGAGAGCUGAAGACUAGGGAUUCUCUGACCCAUUCAAUUACUUAAUUAAACAAUGAAAUAAAUUAAACAAUGAAACAAACAAAACAUAAAGUAAUUCCACGUAGACUCUCUCCAUGCAGUAGUAGCAAGAGAUCCACGUGCCCAAUGCUCUUAUCAUUCCCUCUCCCUCCCUUGAAUUCUCCUUGUCCGCAAGGUUGAAUUGAGGAUAAGUUUUUGCAAAUCGCCACAAAUUUUCCCACGAAGAAUCUUCUGGCAAUGCCCCCUUCCAUUGCACCAAGAUUUCCGUUCGUGGCCUGUAUUUCCCCUUCUGGAUAACCCUUCUAUCAAGGAUUGCUUCUGGUUCUGGUAACACCACAACAUCUGACAUAAUUGGAGGAAGGGUGAUCACCGCGUCCUUGGCUAUAUCUCCCCACUGUUUCUUGAGUAAACUGACAUGGAAAACAUCAUGUAUGCGUGACCCUGUGGGAAGGUCUAAUUUGUAUGCCACUGGUCCAAUGCGAGCGAGAACCUUGAAGGGGCCAAAAAACCUGGGUGAUAACUUUAAGGAACUCCUGAAAGCUACCGUUUUUUGGCGGUAUGGUUGCAAUUUUAAGAACACAUAAUCUCCAACCUGAAAUGUGACUUCCCGACGAUGCAAAUCUGCCCGAGAUUUCAUGCGUCCCUGUGCAUCAAUUAAAUUCCGUCUGAGGUCCCGCAGGAUGACCUCUCUUGUGCGCAGCAUUUGAUCUACUGCUUGAAGCUUUGUAGUUCCUGGUAUAUAGGAGAUCAUAGAUGGAGGAGGGACCCCGUACACAGCUUCAAAUGGAGAAACCUUCGUUGUUGAUUGAAUGGCCGUGUUGUAACCAUAUUCAGCCCAAGCCAGCCAUUCCAUCCAUGCCUUUGGGUGGUCGCAAGUGAAACAGCGCAGGUACUGUUCCAAGGUCCGAUUAACCACUUCGGUUUGGCCGUCCGUUUGCGGAUGGUAACUGGAGCUGUAGUUAAGUGUCGUGCCAUGUAGCGUGAAUAAGGACUUCCAGAAGGAGCUGAUGAAGAUUUUAUCCCGAUCACUCACUAUAGAACGCGGCAUGCCAUGUAAUUUGACCACAAUAUUUAAGAAACACUUCGCAACCGUCACUGCAGUGUAGGGAUGUUUAAGUGGCAUAAAAUGGUUGUAUUUGGAGAGCCGAUCCACCACAACCAUGAUAACACUGUAACCUUGCGAAGAUGGUAAGCCCUCGAUAAAAUCCAUAGAUAUGUCCGUCCAAAUGAGCUGUGGGAUUGGGAGAGACUGAAGUAACCCCGCUGGCCUUAAAGUUUCAUGUUUACAACGCUGGCACACCUCACAUUCUCUAAUGAAGUUCUUGACAGAUGUUCGUAUGCCAGGCCAUAGAAAGCUGGAGGAGAUGCGGGUCAAGGUCUUUAAAUAGCCAAAAUGUCCACCUGCAGGGAAUGAAUGCCCAUCGGCCAAAACAGCAGGUAACAAAGAGGAUGUAGGACUCAAGUGUAUCCUCCCUUUCUGCAUCCAAACCCCAUCUCUUUGAACCAGUUUUAAAGUGGGAUUGGUGGCCACAGUGCUGUAAUAGGGCUGCUGCUGGACUUCUUGUUGUAGAGUUUCCCACCAGUCUGUAAUAGGAGCUGAUAUAGCGUGUAAUUGUGCUGCUGCCACGCGAGAGAGAGCAUCAGCUCCCUGAUUUUCCUUGCCCUUGCGAUACUGAAUGCUGUAAUCGAACCCCAUAAUCUUCGGCAGCCAACGGGCUUGAGAAGGGGUGGUAAGUCGUUGCUCGAGAAGGUACUUCAAGCUUUGAUGAUCGGUCUUGAUCACAAAGGUUCUGCCCAAUAAAUACGGCCGCCAUUUCCGCACUGCCUUCACUACUGCGAGCAUCUCCUUGUCAUACGUUGACAGUAAUCUAGACUUGCCCUUCAAGGCCUCACUGUAAUAAGCAAUUGGCUGAUUGUCUUGAGAUAAAAUUGCUCUCAACCAUCACCACACGCAUCACACUCCACUGCAAAUUGUUGUGCAAAGUUUGGAAGUCGCAGCACAGGUGGGGACGUGAGGGCUUGCUUCAGUUUAUUGAAAGCCAUGAGCGCCUCCUCAGACCAGCGAAACCCCUCCUUGGAUAGGAGCUGAUUUAAUGGUGCAGCUAUGACGCCAAAUCCUCUCACAAAUUUUCAGUAAUAUCCAGCCAAACCGAGAAACCCACGGACAUCCUUGGGAGUUGCUGGAAUUGGCCAAUUUUGGACGGCUUGGAUUUUGGCAGGGUCCACUGCUACUCCUUCGGCAGAAAUGAGGUGCCCCAAAUAACCCACGGUAAGCACUCCAAACUGGCAUUUUGAGAGCUUUACAUACAGCUGGUUGUCCGAGAGAAUACGCAGCACUUGACAGAGAUGUUGUAAGUGAUCCAUCCAAGACCUGCUAUACACCAAAAUAUCGUCAAAAAAUAACAAUAUAAAUCGCCGUAAAUGAGGGCGAAAGAGGUCAUUCAUGAGACUCUGAAAAGUUGCUGGGGCGUUUGUCAAUCCGAAUGGCAUGACCACAAACUCGUAGUGACCGUCAUGAGUGCGGAAUGCGGUUUUUGGAAUGUCUUCCGGCUGGACUCUAAUCUGGUGAUACCCGGAGCGCAAGUCCAGCUUUGAAAAGAACUUCGCGCCAUGUAAUUCAUCAAGCAACUCAUCAAUGACCGGAAUGGGAAACUUGUCUUUAAUUGUGAUUUCAUUGAGCGCCCGAUAAUCAACACAAAAUCGCCAAGACCUAUCAGCCUUUUUAAUCAACAAAACCAGAGAAGAAAAGGGGCUGCGACUGAGGCGAAUAACUCCAGAUUGUAGGAAUUCCUUGACCAGUUUUUCAAUCUUAUUUUUUUGAUAGUACGGGUACCUGUAAGGCCGGUUGUUGACUGGAGAUUUAUUGGACAUCAAGGGAAUUUGGUGGUCAUGGCUGCGCGUAGGUGGCAGCGUUGUAGGCUCCUGGAAAACAUGUGCAAAAUCUGAAAGGAUGAGAUUGAGGUCAGGUGACCACGCUGAGGCUGUCUUUGGCAUUGUCUCCGUUUCUAUAUGCACAAAAUACCCCACACCUGAUAAGUGGAUCAACUCCUUAUCACUUAGGGGAGCGAGUUCAGUGUUUGAUAGUCCUCUCAAUGUGUACGUCUGGCCUUCUUGUUUAAAUGACAUGAUGAGCUUUUUGUAAUCGGUCUUGAUGGGGCCUAAAGUCUCCAGCCAUUGCACUCCUAAUACGGCUUGGCAGGCUAUCACUGGAAGCACAAAGAAGUCUGCGCGAACAAUGAUUCCUUGAAUCGAUAAAGAAAGGCCUAAGCACCGCCCAGUACACUCAAUAAUCUCCUUGUUCCCAACUGUGACUUGGAUGGUUUUGCCGCGAAUAACAUGUAGUCCCAAUUUGGUUGCCGUGGACUGAUCAAUAAAAUUAUGGGUGCUUCCCCCAUCAAUGAGCACUGUCAUAGCCGUGUUUCCUGCUCUACCAAUGACACGGAAAGUCUGUGGGUGGUUUGUUCCCACCAGAGCAUGAAAUGAUAUCUCUGGAAUGUCUUCCUCAGGCGUCACAAUCUCCAUGUCCACAUCGUCUCCUUCCUCCUUCUGCUGCACAUCCACCAUCAUGAACAACUGAGGCCGUGAACAACGAUGCCCGGGAACAUAUCGCUCAUCACAAUAGAAACACAACCCUUUUUCACGUUUCUCCCUUGCCUCCUGACCUGUUAUCCGUCGAAUUGGUGCAGUUGGGUGAGUUGUUCAUUGAGCCGGGGCAGGACCCAAGAGUCCCAUGGUGUUUGUGUGUGGUUGUUUCGGCUGGAAUGAAGGUGUUGUCGAUGGUCUGACUGGAUUGUUGAAUUUCCUUUGGAAAUGAUUUCGUUCUUCAAUUAAAUGAGCCACACUAAUGGAUUCAGAGAGAGUUUUUGGUUGCUUAACUCGAACAUCCAAACGAAUUUCAUCUUUUAAUCCCGCAAUAAAACACCCUACCAGGAAAUUUUCUGGGAGGUCAUCAACCUUGUGAGACAGUUUCUCAAAGGCUUCUUGAUAUACAUUCACAGUCGUGGUUUGCUUAAGUCUGGACAAUGCUUCUGACGGAUCAUCAUACUCAGUUGGUCCAAAACGGUGGAGAAGGGCUGAGACAAACUCAUUCCAGAGUAAUUGUCCCUUGCUUUUCGUAUACCAACGAUACCACUGCAAGGCGACACUCGACAGAUGAAAUGACGCCAAUUGUACUUGUCGUGGAGCGUCAAUGUUCUGGAACUCAAAGUAUUGUUCUGCCUUAAAUAUCCAGCCAGUGGGAUCCUCCCCUUCUCCAGAAUAGGUUGGAAAAUUCAACUUGAGGGUAGUGUGGUUUCUGUCGGCAUUGAAGGUUGCAGACGACCUGUCGUGAGAAGUACUUCCCCCAGCAUAAGGAUUUACUUCCCUCUCACUGGAACGAUGGGAAUGGGCGAUCCUCAUCGCUUGUAGCUCUGUCAUGACUCCCUGAAGGGCGUCGUUGACUCGAUUGAAAUUGUGAUUCAAUUCGUCAAAAUUGGCGUCGUGUCAUCCGAGAGUUUCUGUGAUCUCAGCACGAAACUACGCAUUAGUUUUACCACGCGUGUCCAUGGAUUGAACAGCUCUAAUACCACUGAUAAGAUAGGAUUUAGAGGAAGAAGAGAUAAUAAGAUAAAAGGUGAUUGUUUAUUGAUUGCAUGCCUUUCCUCUCGAAACAGUGAGCCUAAAUAGGCCAUUCAAUACAACUGUAAACUAAAUAAUAGGAACUCCAGUAGUGGAGAGCUGAAGACUAGGGAUGCUCUUGCUAAUCCCGUUACUUAUUCUCUAACCCAUUCAAUUACUUAAUUAAACAAUGAAAUAAAUUAAACAAUGAAACAAACAAAACAUAAAGUAAUUCUACGUAGACUCUCUCCAUGCAGUAGUAGCAAGAGAUCCACGUGCCCAAUGCUCUUAUCAAGCUGUUGCUUGUGAUAUUAUUGGAAAACGAAGACGCAGACGAAGACGAUGGUCGAUGGUGAUGGAGGUCUGCACCCAGGAGAUGGGGGUUCUUCCCCUGCGUUUUUCUUGUUGUUGUUCGUCUCUGUGUUUUUUUUUCUGUUCUCUGUUCUGGGUCUCCAGUGGCUUUUCGGUUAUGCCCUCCCCUCUCUUCUGUCUUCUCUCCCCUUUUCCCCCGGUUUUGCUCUUUUUUCCUUUCAUCCUCUUCUGCUCAGUCGUUCUUUGGCUUUUAUAGCCAGAGAAAAUAAUGUCGUUUCUUCCAACCAUAAAGUGUGAUAAUUGCAGAAGUAAUGGCUGUGCGGCGGUGGGCGUCCGUUUCGGUCGGGUGAGGAAGAUGAACAGUAACGGGCAACGGUGCUGUUUUGGUAUUCACAGUUGUAUGCCUUUUGGCCCUUGAAGUUUUGAACGUUUUGUAAUUAAGCCCCUAGUUAAAUUGUAAAUGGACCCCUGAAUUUCGACGCCUUUUACAAGUUAGGCUUUGGACUUUAAUCUGUUGCCAUUGUGCCCCCAAUUAACCCCAAAAUUUGGUAUUUUUUCAAUUAAGUCCCUGAUUUCAUUAAUUAAAUUAAAUCUAAGUCCAAUUAAGUCCCAAACUUAUCAAUUCAUUAAAUAAGCUCUUGAUUUUGUCAAUAAAACUAAUCCAAAGUUUAAUUAAAUCUCAAAACUUCCAAUUUUGUUGCCAUUAACCCAAAAUUUUAAUUCAUUCUUUAUUUUUAUCAUUUCACUCAUUUCAUCAUCAAAUUUUUUAAAUAAAAUAGAGAAGUCAAAAAUUGGGUUAUGAUAAUGAAUAAUUAAAAAAUCUAUUAACUUGUGUUGACCACCCUCCAUUUACUAUAUUUUUCUCUAAAAAAUGCCUUCCUUCCUAAUGAAAUUUCCUCAAAUACAUACUUUUUUUUUUAGGAAAUGUUCCAUUUUCCUCACUUCUAGAAAAAAAAAAUUAAAUGCUUGUGCGCAUGGGCUUGACCUUGCAGAUCCGCACACAAGCCUUUGAUGGGUGGGCCAAGCACUAGGCCUGACUUUCUAGAUCUAACAACGUAUGACCUCAUUUAUUUUUUUUAAUUAUUAUUAAUACCUAUAUAUAUAUAUUUAUUUAUAUAUUUGAAAAUAUUUUUAAAAAUGAUGUUUUUAUUAAUACUCGUUUUCGUUGAUUUUUUUUUUUGCCUUAUUUAGCGUUCAAUUAUUUUUAAUUAUGUUGGGUAUGUUUAGUUUUUUAAGAAGUUACUAUUAUUUAUCUGUAAAAUUUUUUUAUAUAUUUCAGAUAGAUUAAGUAUUUAUUUUUUUAUAAUAUUUUGAAUAAUUAUAGCCUUGCAUGGUAUUUUUUUUCCUUUUAUGCUAUUCAAUAAAUUUUAUAUGUGUAUUGAUUUCUAUUAUAAAUUAAUUUUAGUAAAUAAAUUAAUUAAACAUAACCAGGGUUAUUUAUUUAUUGGUAAUGACUUUUUUUUUCAUUUAUUUAUAUAAUGAUUCAUGAUUUAUUUAAUUCGAUGCGUGCAUAAGUUUUUUAAUUUAUAUUUAUGAUUGUUUUUAAUGUAAGAAAACACGUUCAUAAAUUCUUAUUAUUAUGAUUUCAGUUUAAUCCUAAUUUUUAUGAUUUUUUAUUUUUUUUCCUUAGCCUUUUAUAAAAGUUUUUUUGUUUGUAAUUUCACCCUUUAAUUUAAUAUGAUGGUGUAUUUGUUUUUUUAUUUUUUGCUUCUAUAUAUAUAUAUAUAUAUAUAUAUAUAUAUAUAUAUAUAUUCCCGUCUUUUGUUUUUUCGUUUUAUCAGCUUUUGCAUGUGGAAUAUUGAGUCUUCUACUUUUUCAGCCACAGAAUUGAAUCCUUUAUAUAUUCUUAAAACUAGAUUUGAAUUCUAAUGAACGAAUAAUAAAGAUGGUUGCAUGUACAAAUUCACCUUCAGAAAACAUAUAAUAAAGUCCCAUAUGUUAAUGAAGAUUUAAUUAUUAAGAAUAUAAAUUAAAUUAAAUUAAAUAUUGAAAAAACUAAAUGAAUUCCUUAAUAAAUAAAUAAAUUCUUUCUUUAGAAAGCAUGGAAAUGCCAUGACACUGGCUUUUUAGAGAGAUGAAGAUCUGGAGCACAACAGCCAAGAAAGUUAUCGAUAAAAGGAAGAUGGGAAGAGGGGAAAUGGGUAACGGGAGAGAGAUGAAGAUCUGCGCAUGGCUACCUGUUUUUGAGAGAAUUAUGGAAAGUUAUCCCUCACUCAAAACGGCACCAAUUAUAAGUUCAUUAAAAAAAAUCUGGAGCACAAUAGAUGGAAAAAACUCGAAACAACUUGUCUAGAAUUUAGGCAAGAAGAAUGAGCCAAGAUUUUAAUUGCAAUGAAAUUUAUCUCACUUUGUUAAGUUUUUUAAAAUGAUACAAGAUAUACUACCUAAUGAAACAAAAUGGAAUCAACAACCUUUAAAAGGAGUAGAGAUCACUUAUGUGUCUCUCAUAUUCAAUAGCCUUUUUCCCAUACUGACAUGUGCUUUACACUCACCAACAUUUUUUUUCUUUUUAUUUUAUAAUAUUCAACAUCGGCGAGUGAGAAUUUGAUAGCUAACUUUAUUAGUAGUGUUGGUUGCUGACUUGUCAGACACGUUUUGAGGCCAUAUGUAGUCACCAAGAACAAAUCCAUGAGGGCGAUAAGGCCCCAUAAAGACAAUAUCUGGUAGAUUCAGUCAGGCUAUGACAUAUUCGAUAAUAACUCUUCAAUUAAGUUCUAAAUCUCAUUUCAUCUUUUCAAUUUAAUCCCUAAUUUGACAUCAACUCUUCAAUUAGACCCCAAAGCUUAUCUCACCUGAGGAAAGCCCUCUUCUCUCAAUUUAGCCCCUUAUUAUCUUCAAUUUAAUAUCAAAUUUUAUUUGAUCCAAGCCCAAAAAAGGCUAAGCGAAGAUAGAAUAAAGGAAGGGAAAGAAAAUGAAUAAUUGCCCAACGGAGUUAACGUGUUUUGGUCUUUUCUCCAUGAUUUGGGUUGAACAUUUGACAUAUAUCCUUUUUUCUAUAGUUUUUUAUCCAUGUUCGUUGUGACGCCAUUGGUAUAGAAUGGUUACCAACUGUUAGUUUAAUAUGCCUUGUAGCCAAUCGGUUAGUUACACGAGACAUUAUUAUAUUCAUGUAAAUACAUAUUUAUUAUUAAUAAAGGCUUAAUUUAACUUUAAUAUUCAUAUAAUAUUAGAGUAAUGAAUCUAAAGUAUAAAUAAAGUUUAUGAGACAAAAAUGUUUUGCAAAGGAAAUUAUAAAGUUGUUAUAAUUAUGAGAUUUUUAAUGCAUCAAAGUAUAAUUCAUAAAAUAUUCUUGGUCGAUGCUCUCUUAAAUACUGGAUAUUAAUUAGAGCUAUAAAGACUGAUACAUAUUAUGUUUUUUCCUUUAUGAAAUGAAGCAACUGUUCUCAUAAGUUGAGCUAUAAGGGAUACCUAAAACUAAUAUGUAUAUGCUUGUCAUUAGACAUGUACACUGAAUUGACCGGCAUGAGAAUUCCAUAUGAAGAGAUUAUUUAUGUCUAUGGAAAGACUCACAUGACGGUUGUAUAUGUAAUCCUUAGACUUGAGAUCACUAAGUUAUCUUAUAUAGAGAAUGUUAUGCUUUGAUCCUGUUACAUGUUAUCUUAAUUGAGGUAACAAAAUGAUAGACAUUGGGUAUAUCAUGAACUAUAUGAAGGUACUUGAGUAAUCAAGAGAGGAUUUCAUCACCCUAUGUGAAUUAGAAAAAAUGUUCAAUCUGUUCUCAAAUAAUAUUGACUGAGAAAUCCGUGGCCAAUGUGGAAUGAUAUUUAAAAAGGAUUUCAAAUCUUAUUCAAAUAAUCAAUUGCUAUCAUAUAGAGAAUGACAUGAUUUAACAUGGCAAACAUGCUUCAUGCUUUAAUGUUAAAUAAGAACAUUAGUGAUAAAAUGGUAUUAAUUACAAUGAGAAACUGGUAAUUGAAACCACUAAUAACUUUUCUAAUAUUUAUGGGAUCAUGACACGUUACUAGACAAUGCAUAUGAUCUUCAAAUCUUCAAUUGUAAUUUAUUUAAUUAUAAUUAUAAUUUAUAUUUGGGUUAAUAUAUUAGGAACCUAAUAUGUCAUACACAUUAAGAAUUAAAUUGUGAUGAUUUAAUUAAGUAUAACUUGAUUAAAAAAAAAUUUAGAAAUUAAGGACUACAAUAUAAUUAAUACAAGGAUUAUAUUUUUAGAUCUAGAAAAAUCAAGGACUUGAUUGAGUUAAUUUAUAAAAUUAUCUUAAAUUAAUAUAUGGAUAUUAUUCAAGGGGAAAAUUGAUAUUUUGUCAAUUUAUAGGGUUUUUCAUAUUUCCUUAUAAAUAGUAAGUGUCGCACGUGUGCGGCGUCGUGACAAAAACAUUCACCCUCAAAAUCUUAUCUUAUAAUGUGGCAAAUGUGGGGAGACAAGGAAUUCUUGUUUUUUAUUAGUGGUAAAUUGGAAUGGGAGUCGCCACCUAGUAUUUUGGUCACUAGGAACUCUAGCUGGUCUCAAAGAUCGGGUACGGGGACUGGUUGCGUAAAGGGAAGGUAUUAGCACCCCAAAUACGCCCUACCUAAGGUAAGCUGCAUUGUUUUAUUGUUUGAUAAAAUCUAAGAUCUUGUCGUGUUUUCUCGUUGUUGGUUCGUCUAUGGUUUAAGAAAAGUCCUUCUCGGUAAGGAGAUCCUUAUCUUAUCGGGUAAUUCUGACGUCAACCAAAGAAUUUAAUAUCCGAAAUACGUCUUACGUAUAAGGUCAUAACCCCAGAUAUUAAAAGAAAACAAAAUAAUUUUUUUGGAAUUUUUGAAAUAUUGGCCUAGUUCUCGUGACUUUAAUAAACUGGUUAUUAAAGCCAAAAUGCAUGUUAAUAUAUAUUUUUGAAAUUUUCUUUGUUAUAUGAAAAUACAAUAUGAUUUUUUUUUCUUUUAUUUUUGAGAGACUUGGUCGUAUGCAUGAAAACAAAAUAUUUUUUAUUUUUUAAAUUUUUUUAAUGUCUUGACGAAAACCGGGUAUUUUAAUACCAGAUUUAUAUCUUUACAGUAUAAAAAUACAAACCAAUAUUGAUCAAAAUGAAGUAAAAAAUUUGCAGAAAAUCACAUAUUUUUUUAAAAUUCUUUUUCCGGGCUGGGCCCAGCCCGGCCCAUGUGGCUGGGCUGGACCCAGCAGGUUUCUACCCGCAUGCGUGCGUGAACAAUUCACGCACGCCUGCUACAGUCGCGAUGUAAUUAAUUUUCAUGUGCACAGUGUUUGUGCAUUUUCUGCAAAGUUGGAGAAGUUUACCUGGAAGCAAGACGAAGGCAACAACAGCUUUGGACCUCUAUCUUCACCUUUUCGUUUGUUUUUCUUCUGGUUCCUCUGGUUCUUCCUGUUUUUUUCUGUUUCUGUUUUCCGUUCUUCUUGUGGUUCCUUUCCUUUCGUCUCUGUCUUCUCCUUCCUCCCGGUAUUCUUUGUUUUUUUUGGUUCCCCUCCCCUUUUCUGUUUCUCUCCUCCCUAUCCUCUGCUUCCUUACGCUCUCCCUCUGUCUAUCUCUCUUUUUGUUCUUUUCAAAAGAUUUCCCACCCUCUGUUUCUUUCUCCCUAUGCUGCCCAGUUCUCCUUCCUUCUCGUUCUUUUUCUAUGUUUUCUCCCUGCUCCCUUCUUCUCCCCCUCUUCGGCUCAGUCUUCUUCUGCUGCUUUUAUAGGUCAGAGAAGGCUUUGUGCUGGUAACGGCUGGCUUGGUAACGGUUUGAAGAGGGAUGACAGCCGUGACACAUGCCCUAUAAUUGAAGAGAAUUGGCACUGUUGCUGCAAGAAAACGUCUCUCGGCCUUUAGUGCUGAAACGGCUGGAAGAAGACACUGAAUAGUGUUUCAAGGCAACGGCCCCGUUUUUUGCAAUUUUAAAUGAUAUUUAUGAUUUGGUCCUUGGAUGUUUUUACAAUUUGUAAUCAAGCCCUCGGAUAAAUUAUAAUUGGAUCCCUUGAUUGUAGCACCUUUUCUGUUUUGGUCCUUGGUUUUGAAUUGUUUCAAUUAAGUCCCUAAUUGGCCAUCAAACUUUAAUAACUAUGCAAUUAAGCCCCUGAUUUGACCAAAUCAACUCUUUAAAAUUAUAAUUGGACCCCAGAACUUUAAUUUCUUCCAAUAAAGACCUAAAUUGACUUAAAAAACAAUUUUUCUUGCAAUCAAACCCUCCAUAAAUUCAAUUAAACCUUAGAUAAAAUUUAAUUGAGUCCAUAAACAUCUUAUUUUGAAUAUAUUUUUUCAAAAAUUGAAUUUUCUUUGUCAACAGAACUCUCAUCAGUUAACGAUAAACUGUCAAAUUUCAACCUUUUGCAUUUUUGAACCUCUUCAACCAAUUUUUGGCCAUUUUUCGGCAUUCUAGCAUCCUUUUCUUACUCCUAUUAUUUUUUGGAUUUCUUUCGAAUAUUUUUUGAUAUAUAUUUCUUUUUGUAUUUUCUCAUUUUUUUGUGGGAACCCAAAAAUGGGUAACAACAGUAAGCUAUGCCUUUUAUUUUUUAGGAGUUGUCUGUUAGACAAAAAGACUACGUAUGUCACAUAAUAAAGAGAUAACACUCUAGGCAUAACAAUCCCUCUCUCUUAAAUAGGGACUUGAGAGAUUUUUCACUAGUGGUUCAUGUGAAUUACUAUUGAAGGACAAACAAUUGGACGACUUCUAGUUUACAACAACCCAGUCUUUAAAAAAUUAUUCAAAACCGAAGAUGAUCAAAUCUUUAGGUAAUAAAUCCCUAAACAACUCUAGAUCUGUUUAACAAAAUUCCAGAAAUUCCCGAAUAAUUUUAGGCUGUGUUUGUUUUCCGGAAAGUGGUUUCCGGAAAACCACUUUCCAAACUUUCCUGUGUUUGUUUGUUAUUAGGAAAGUUGGUCAACGGAAAACACUUUUCAGUCAAAGGCAAAAUUUAGCUUGGUUUUUAGAAAAGUGUUUUCCUUUUAUUUUAGGCGGAAAACACUUUCCGGAAGUUGUGCAAAAUUUAGAAAUGUCAUAUUAUUUGCUGAUUAUAUCAAAAUUGGUCCUGAAACUUUUGAUUGCUAUAUAUAUAUAUAUAUAUAUUUUUUGUUUUGAAUAUUUGUUUUUCAAUUUCAUCCCUUGGAAUUUAAUUUUUAUAUUAACUUUACUCCUCAUUUUUAUAAUUGCUAUUUGAUUUUCCCUUAUCAUUUUUUAAUUAAAUUUUUUUAUCUAUCAAAUUUGGUCAUCAUUCUUUUGAUUGUUACUUAUUUUAUUUGAAAUAAUUUAUAAAAUGUUAAUUAUUAUUAUUUUAAUUUCUUCAUCUUUCAAUUUUUUUAUUUUUUAGAUUUGAUCUCUAUUAUUUUGAUUAUUAUUUAUUUUAUUUGAGAUAAUUUAUGAAAUUAUAUUUUUUUUCAAUUUUAUUCUCAUUCAACUUUUUAAUUUGUAAGAUUUAUUCCUCGUUAUUUUAAUAAAUUUGAGAAAAAUAAAAUAUUAAUACGUUAUUUUCCAGCUUAUUUUCCAUGACAUAACAAAACACAGGAAAAUGUUUUCCAACUUAUUUUCCAUGACACUGCAAUUGGAUGACUCAUAUUUGAUUUAUGGAGCUAGCUAUGCUAAGGGAAUCAUGCUUGUAUCACCUAUACUAAUAAUAAUAAUUACAUAUUAACAAGCAUCAUUUGAUUAGUAAGUUUCCAAAUUCUAUCCACAAAUAUUAUAACCUCUUAAUUUAUGCAAGAACUUAGCUACAUUUCAUGCAAGCAAUCCCUAACUCUAGUAUUUUGUCUGUGUUAAAAAUGGAGACUUCUUGGUGUUCGCCGGAGCUUGGGUAUAUACCAUAUUUGAACAAAUAACAAUGUAAAAACAUCUUUUAACGAUAUUAAAAUCAUUUAUUCAUUUAAAGUAUCAAUAUUGUCAUUUAUAGUGAAACAUUUAAUUUUACUACAUUGAAAAUACGUUGACCAAUAGAAUCCCCGCCUUCAGCUAACCCCCAAUAUGUCUUGAAUAGCAAUGGCCAUCCUUUGGCCAUCAUGCCAUAAAAGCCUCAUUUGGAGCCAAUUCCUCUCUUUCUUGCCACUAUUUAGCUUCCGACCAUUCUUCGCGUUUCACUUUUCUUCAAAUGUUUUCACCAAAACAAAGCUUCAACCUUUAAAUUGUUGCUUAUAAAGUCGAGAUCCAAGGGAUUAUUUAAGAUUUUAUGGAAAUUACGUAUUUCAAAUAUUUUAUGUUUAUUUUUCUGAAAUAUCGUUUGAAGCAAAAGGCAAAAAAGAAUUAAAAAUUUUUUUAAAGUGUUUUUAAAACACAAAAACAAACAGAGUUUGUUUUUUAUUUUUUAAAGAAUUGUUUUUAAAAAAUAAUUUUUUGUAUUCUAAAUUAAUUUUUUUAUUAUUUUAAUAUAUUUUAAAUAAAAAAUAUUUUAAAAAACAUCUACUUAAAAAAUAUUAUUUUUCUGAAAUAAUACUUUUCUCUAUAUUUGAGUUUAGUUUAAAAUANNNNNNNNNNNNNNNNNNNNNNNNNNNNNNNNNNNNNNNNNNNNNNNNNNNNNNNNNNNNNNNNNNNNNNNNNNNNNNNNNNNNNNNNNNNNNNNNNNNNAUUUUAAUGUUUUUUCAUGCUCUAGCAAAUGAGGCACGAAAAGAGAACCUGAAAUCACGGCAGCAAAUAAGGAGAGAAAUAGGUGUUUGUUUUUUAUUUUUUAAAGUAUUAUUUUUUAAAAUUAAUUUUUUGUAUUCUAAAUUAAUUUUUUUAUAUUUUUAUAUUAAUAUUAAAAAUAAUUUUUAAAAAAUAAAAAAUAUUAUUUUAAUAUAUUUUUAAAUAAAAAAAUAUUUUAAAAAAGAGCUGCUUAUUCAAACACUUAAAAUAAAAAUCUUAAAAUCACAGCAUGAUAAAAGAAGAAAGAAAGGAAUGGGAUAAAGAAGAAAGAAUAAAAAAAACUCCAAAAAUCACGGCAUGAUCAAAGGAGAAAGAAAAGGAUGGGACAAAGAAGGAAGAAAGUAAGGUCACGUAGGGGCUUGUCUUGUAGAAAAUGUGAGAAUUAGCAUGAAAAGAGGAUAAUAGAGUAGUUGUUAGAAUCAAAAGACAUAAACACGGGAGAGAGGCUGCCCCUUACCUCCUCCUGGGAAGGAAUAUAUGUCAGACUAUACAGCCUUUUUCAAUUCAUUAAUGUCGUUCUCUGUUUGUCUUCUAAAACCUACUCCCAUCAUGUACAUGUAUUAUUUUCUUAAAAUUGCUCUAUGGAAUUGCAGGCCAUGCUCGUUUGAUUUUUUUAAUAACAAAAUUCUUUUCAUGCUCUUGCAAAUAAGGCAGGGAUGGAGGCCUUGAAAUCACGGCAGCGAAUAAGAAGUGAAAAAGAGCCUUUGUUUUUGCUUUUUUAUUUUUUAGUAUUUUUGAAACAAAUUAGAUUUUUUUAUUUUUUUUAUUUUCUAUUAUUUUGAUAUAUUUCUAAACAAAAAAAUAUUUUAAAAAACAACCACUAACACAUUCUUUUUAAGCUAUUAAGUAACCAGUCCCUAUAAUUUUUCAACAUUGCACUUGGGUACCAAACUUCAUUUUUCUCUUUUUCAAGUUUUUUUUUUGGUGGAGAAGACAGAGAGGGUCGCUGAAUUUUAUUUUAGAGAGAGAAAGUUGUUGUUAAGAAAGAUUUUGGCUACCGAAAUCGUUGAUUUUUGUAUCAAAUGGUAACCGCCUAUUUUUUUCAUGUGUUCAUACUUAAAACCUUCUUAAAGAGUUCUUAUCAAUGGUUUUAAAACCUCUCUCUCAAGAUCGAAAGGUUAGAAAUAACUCUCUACCCUCUAAGUCUAAUAAAACCAUCAAGUACUCUUAAAACCAAAACCACAAUUGCAAAAACCAGUUUAGUACAAGAACUUCUAACUAUUAGCUUUUAUCCAUAACCCUCUCACUUUGAUCAAAUGGUUAAACUUUCAUCAAUCUUUGAGGGAAUCCACAAAAAAACCUAGAAAAACAUAUAAUUACUCUUGAAAAUUAGAGCCGGAGAGGAGGAGAAAAAAAGAGGAAAAACAUGGGGAAAUAAUUUGUUAAUAGACUCUAUUAUAAAGGUUCAAGAGCCUAGAAGGUUUAACCAGCUUUAGAAAGAAAAAAAGUGAAAGGAAAAGAAGGAAGGAAAUGAAAAUAAAAAAAUAACAACGUAAUUUUGAACUUAAAGGCCUAAUUUCAGUGAAAGUUAAGAGCAUUAGAGACUAGACCGUGCUUAUACCAAAGACUCUCAUCGUUGAAGGAAUGCAAACAGUUGUUAACGAGACACUUAUGCUGUUCCAACAUUCAAAGAUUGUUGAAUCUAGUACCGGUGCUCAUUCUGGAUCUAGUACCAAAAGGAGAAUAUAGAAAGAGAUAGUAGUGAAUUAAUUAUGUUUCAUUCAGUAGUAAGAAACAAACGGGGGCAAUGCAUUUAUAAUAGCCAGAGAGGGGUUUUUAUAUACAUUCNNNNNNNNNNNNNNNNNNNNNNNNNNNNNNNNNNNNNNNNNNNNNNNNNNNNNNNNNNNNNNNNNNNNNNNNNNNNNNNNNNNNNNNNNNNNNNNNNNNNACUAGAUAUAAAGAAAAAGUACAAAUUCCAACAAAAAAUACAUGUUUGAAGGUUCAACAAAAAUGAUUUGCUAAUUAGCUAUAAGCUUGAGAAAGAUAAAUAAUGAGAGUGUGAGUUCAAAAACUCAGUGAGUAGAUAACGUUCAAUAUACAUACACGAGGUAAUACAACAAUGAGGAAUAUAUAUACAAUUAUGGCUUUAGAUUCUUAUAGGAAGGUUUCUCAAAUAGGCCAUAACAAGGUUAUCAUAAGGUAAAAUUCGUUAGAAAAUCAAAAUGCAAUAACAUGAGGCUCUGUACUAUGGGAUGAUCAGUCCACACAGGUUGAUGACUCUCCCAACCAACUAGGGUUUCAAAUACAAUGUGCACUAAGACUAACACUACCCUGUUAGUAUGAGCAUUCUAACUGGCAUACCAUAAGUUCAUAUCAUAAUCAAACAAACAAAUUCAUAUCUCAAGGCCCAACUCAUGACAUUAAUAAAACAAGAAGCUAUCAAUUCAGAAGUCAAUUUAGAAGUAUAUAUUGGCUUAUAUCAAAAAUUCAAAUUCAACAAUUAAUCAUGUUUUAUCAUAACAAAGAUAAUAAUCAACAUAUAUAUUAUCAAGAAGCACGAUCCAAUUCAUAUUAACAGCUCAAAUAUUUAUACUAUUUCUCAUGCAUAUGGAAAAUUAUACACUCACUUGACUUAAAAGUGAACAGAACUCGAAAGCAAAUACCGAAGAAAAUCCUACUGAUAUUCCGCAUAUAGAAUAUCAAGAUUAUCUAAAUACAAAGAAGACAUAUUAUAAAAUGACUCGAAAAGAACAUACAACCUAUUUAAUACACUUAACUAAGGGUCUAUUUCAUAACCCUAUACAUUUUGUUAAUUCUAAACUAGUUAUUUUUCCCAAAAACCAAAAAAGUAAACGGUUUUUCAGAAAUCUAAUUCAUAAUAAAACAAAUAAUGAGACUUGAUAAUAAUUCACUAAAUAACCAUCAAUUAUUCAUCAAAACAAUCUGAAAAAGCUAAUAUUAAAGCUAGGGACCAAUCUGAAAUUUUAUCAUAUUUUUAGGGGUCAAAUUAUAAUUUUAUCAAAUUGGAAGACCAAACUAAAAAUGUCAUAAAUUCAUGACUAUACUGGAAUUCUGCCCAUAAUUCAUUUUCAAUUCUGCCCAGAAUCUCAAAUUAUGCUCCAGGGACCACUAUAGAAUUUUAUCAAAUUUCUAGGGUUAAAUUGUAAUUUCAUCAAAUUGGAGGACCAAAGUGAAAAUAUCAUAAAUUCAUAACUAUACUGGAAUUCUGCCCAUAGUUUAUCUUUAAUUCUGUCCAGAAUCUCGGAUUAUGCUCCAGGGACCAAUCUCUAAUUUUUCCAAAGUUCAGGGACUAAANNNNNNNNNNNNNNNNNNNNNNNNNNNNNNNNNNNNNNNNNNNNNNNNNNNNNNNNNNNNNNNNNNNNNNNNNNNNNNNNNNNNNNNNNNNNNNNNNNNNCAGACCCACAUGCCUAGGGUCUGCAGACCCGCUUGCGGUUUGCAGACCCUUAUCCCUGGAGUUGCAGAACCCCGCGCCUGGGGUGUGCAGAACCGGGAGCAGGGUCUAGACCCGCUCAUCUGGGUUUGAAGAACCCCACUUCUUCUAUCGUGCCUGGGGUCUGCAGCAUCCUCCCAGGGGUUGUAGACCCACACAACUAGAUCUGCAGACCCCGUAGAGAAAAAUAACAAACUUGAAAAAAAAAAUGAAAACAAAUAUAAUAACUAAUAACAAUUAUUUUUAUCAUUAUUAUUAUUAUCGCUAAUAAAUUUUAUAAAAACAUUAUUACUAUCAAAACUUGGACUAGACAAGUUUAAUAUUAUUAUUACUAUACUAAAUAUUAUUGUUUUCAUUAUAAUUAAAAGUAUUAAUAUUUGUGUUAUAAAUACUAUUAUUUUUAUUAUAAUUAAAAGUAUUAAUAUUAAAAUUAUUAUUAUUUUUCUUAUAAAUAAUAUUAUUUUUAUUAUAAUUAAUAUUGAAAAUACUAUUAUUUGUAUUAUCAAUAUUAUUAUUUUGAGUAUAAUUAAUACUACUAACAUAAUAAUUAAUAAAUUUGAAAAAAAUAUUAUUUAUAUUGAAAAGCAAUAAUAGAUUUAAUUUGAAGGGUAAAAUUAAGAAUUAUUAUUAUUAUUAUUAUUAUUAUUAUUAUUAUUGUUAUUAUUUAUUGUUAUCAUUAGUAAAUUGAAAGAAACAAAAUUAUUAGUUAUUUUUAUCAUUUCAGCUGGGGUUGAAUUUUCUUAUUAGAGCAUGUUUGGUUUUGGUUUUAAAAAUUGCUUUGAAAAGAAUUUUAUUUUUUUUAUUUUUUUCUUUACUUCAAAUUAAUGUUUUUUCCUUUAAUUCAUAUUAAAAUGUUUUUGUAAUAUUUUGACGUGAUUAUAUAUUAAAUAGAUUUAAAAAAAAUUAAACAUUGCAGGAUUCAAAAUAGUCUUGGGUCCAGGUUGGGGCAGGACCCUAGAUCUUACAGGUUGCAGGACCCAAAAUAGCCUUGGGUCCGGCCGUAUGCAUGACCCAAAAUAGCCUUGUACAGUUGAGAACAUCUCAUGCAUGCGACAUCCAAUGCAACAUAAUAUAUAAAUUGCAAUGCAUGUAAUUAAUGGGGGGGAAAUUCAUGAAUGAAUUGAAAGAUAUAUAUCUUAUGGGAUAGAUACAACACGAGAAGAAAAAACCAUUUAGAGAAACAGACAAUCUCGAUUGAUGAUCAUCCUAUUAUUAGCAUGAAAGGUUGAAAAAGAAAGAAUUCAUACAAGGAGGUUGGCCUUGAAUUGGCAUUGCCUUAUUCCAAGCGCUAGCUAGCUUAUAAUAUUAUUCACUAGCUAGCUAGCUCGCUAGCUCCUCUCCCUAGCCUUCCCUGCAUCGAUCUUCUGCUUUGCAACCUCUUCCUGGAGCGACUCGAUGGAGGCAUUGGGGAUUCUUUUCUGGGUCACAACGCGGAAGCCCUUCGUAACUUAAGUAUUUUGGUUUUCUUGUAAUGGUAUCUGCUACAUCUCCUGCAACAAACGUGGUCAUCAGGAGCAUUAAAACACCAAAAGCCAUCAAUCCUUUGGACAUUGACAUUGUUAAACUAUGAUGAGAGCAGACAAUACACAAAUGUUGUUCUUAAAAGAAUAUUGAUUCGGUGACAAUAAAAAGCAAGGUCUGGCAUAUAUAUAUAUAUAUAUAUAUAUAUAUAUAGCAUAUGCAUGGAGUGUUUGCCGUUUAUAGCACAAUUUCUUGUGGAUAUUAAAAUAGUUAAUUCUCUUUGCUUUUUCAGAUUAUAGCCGCACCACUUAUAGCACAAUUUCUUGAAGUUGAUACCCACAUAUAGCUGGGAGCUCAAAUGGCCACAUCUUGCAUUAGACAUUGAGAGCUUAAUUGGAGGUCUUGGUCAGCUAAAUUCUCAGCAUCCCUGAUGAGGAGCACACAUUGCGUGGUUGUGACUUCACUUGAGAAAAGUACAUCCAAGAAACAAGGAGAGAUAUGCUACCAAAGAAAAGAUGUCGUGAGUUCGAGCGUCCAGGUUUGGAUCAUGGGAACGCAUACACAACCACAUGCCCACCCAGCUGCAAGAGCUCCAAGUCUGCAAUAUUGAUCUUGUAUUGUAUGUAAACUUCCAACAAAAGUGAACUAUAUGUUAGAUCAUUAGAGAAGGUUUUCCAUGUAACAUGACAUAACAAUAUUAAACAGCAUCAGGACAAAUAUUGCGAACAUAAUAUGUUUGGUUUAGGUGCGCGCGCCGCCUCUUAAAAAGCAUGUCGAAAUCCAUGCUUUCUGCGAGGUGCACCGCCCGGCGCACCUUACAUACAAACACAUUGUAAUUAGUGUGACCAAAAAGAACUCUUGGUGCGAUUAUCCAAGACCACAAAUCACACUCUGCAACGAGAAGUGUCCCCCAAAGACUAAACAAAAAGAAAAAAUAAAAGCAGCUUCCAAUCGUUUCAUUACUUGACUCACCCAAUAACAAAAGCUCUUCGUCUUCUCAAUAAGGAAAUUAAUACAUGCAAGCUGCCACAAGAUUAAAGCACUUAAUGCAGAGAAAGGAGGAGUCACUGCAAUCUAUUCUACUUCCCAGAUGUUGCAGUCAAACUUAAAAUGUGAAAAUCAAAUAUGGUAAAGGCCACGGCUCUACAUAUAAAGAAAUAGACACCUGGGAUAUGAGAGUUCUUAUUGUUAAAUAAUAUUUAUGUAGUCUUAUUUAUUAAGGGUAGAAUAGUACUUUCAGUUUGACCUAUAUAUACUUUAUUUGUAUUGAGGUUAACACAAAGCAUUCAUAAUAAACAGUCUGAGGGAAGAGAUAUGAGCCUACGUUUAAGUAUUUGAUCUCGAUUACUUUAACAUGGUAUCAGAGCUGGUUUUAUGGCACGAGGUUAAUCCCGUACACAGCUUAUGUCAAGGUAACCGAGCUCGAUAUCUAUCCUCAAUUAUUUUGGUAUUUCGUCUUCCCUUCAGCUUUGCAAUUUUGGUAAUUCCGUUCAGUUUCUGCAAAUUGUUUUGUGUUUUGGAGUAAUCGUAUAGUUUGAGAAGAUAUUUGUUUAGUUUCUGCAAUCUCUGUUCAGUUUCUGCAAUUUGGUAUUUUGUUUUCCGCUGCUUUUGCAUUCUGGUUCUUUGUGAUUGUUGAUUAUGGCUACUGAAAGAGAUGAUUCGCUUCAGUCUGUGAGUGUGAGGUUGGAUGGGAAGAACUAUUCGUAUUGGAGCUAUGUAAUGAGAAAUUUUCUUAAGGGUAAGAAGAUGUGGGGAUAUGUUAGUGGAACUUAUGUGGUACCUAAGAAUACUGAAGAAGGAGAUACUGUCUCGAUAGAUACAUGGGAAGCAAACAAUGCAAAGAUCAUUACUUGGAUCAACAAUUCUGUUGAGCAUUCUAUAAGUACACAGUUGGCAAAGUAUGAGACAGCAAAGGAGGUUUGGGAUCAUCUGCAACGGUUAUUCACGCAAUCAAAUUUUGCAAAACAGUAUCAGUUAGAGAAUGACAUACGAGCUCUUCACCAGAAGAAUAUGAGUAUUCAGGAGUUCUAUUCUGCCAUGACAGAUCUUUGGGAUCAAUUGGCUCUUACAGAAUCGGCAGAAUUAAAAGCAUGUGGUGCUUAUAUUGAACGUAGAGAGCAGCAACGAUUGGUACAAUUUUUAACAGCACUUCGCAGUGAUUUCGAAGGACUUAGAGGUUCAAUUCUGCAUCGUUCUCCACUGCCCUCUGUUGACUCUGUUGUCAGUGAGUUAUUGGCUGAAGAAAUACGUCUUCAGUCUUAUUCUGAAAAGGGAAUUCUUUCUGCUUCGAAUCCUUCUGUACUAGCAGUACCUUCUAAGCCAUUCUCUAAUCAUCAGAACAAGCCUUACACAAGGGUUGGCUUCGAUGAGUGCAGUUUCUGUAAGCAGAAAGGUCAUUGGAAGGCUCAGUGUCCUAAGUUGAGACAGCAGAAUCAAGCUUGGAAGUCUGGCAGUCAGUCACAAUCUAAUGCUCAUCGAUCACCUCAGGGUUAUAAACCACCACACCACAAUACUGCAGCAGUAGCUUCCCCAGGCUCUAUUACCGAUCCUAAUACUUUAGCUGAGCAAUUUCAGAAGUUUCUCUCCUUGCAGCCACAAGCAAUGUCCGCUUCUUCCAUAGGUCAGUUGCCUCAUAGUUCCUCAGGUAUGUCACACUCUGAAUGGGUCUUGGAUUCUGGUGCUUCACAUCAUAUGUCUCCAGAUUCCUCAUCUUUUACCUCAGUGUCCCCUUUGUCCUCCAUUCCUGUUAUGACUGCUGAUGGCACUCCUAUGCCCUUAGCAGGUGUUGGUUCUGUUGUCACACCUCACUUGUCUCUCCCUAAUGUUUAUCUUAUUCCAAAACUCAAAUUGAAUCUUGCGUCUGUUGGUUAAAUAUGUGAUUCUGGUGAUUAUUUAGUCAUGUUUUCUGGUUCUUUUUGUUGUGUACAGGAUCUGCAGUCUCAGAAGCUGAUUGGGACAGGUCGUAGGGAGAAUGGGCUAUAUAUUUUGGAUGAGUUAAAAGUGCCAGUUGCUGCUGCUGCUGCUGCUGCUACUGCUGAUUUGUCUUCCUUUCGUUUGAGUCUUUCAUCUUCUAGUUUUUAUUUAUGGCAUUCCCGUCUAGGUCAUGUUUCGUCUUCUCGUUUGAGAUUUUUGGCAUCCACAGGAGAUUUAGGAAAUUUGAAAACUUGUGACAUUUCUGAUUGUAGUGGAUGUAAACUGGCAAAAUUUUCUGCUUUAUCUUUUAAUCGAAGUAUUUCUGUUUCAUCUUCACCAUUUGAUUUGAUUCAUUCUGAUGUAUGGGGACCUUCUCCUGUUUCCACAAAAGGAGGGUCUCGAUAUUAUGUCUCUUUUAUUGAUGAUCAUACUCGUUAUUGUUGGGUUUAUUUAAUGAAACAUCGUUCUGAAUUCUUUGAGAUAUAUGCAGCUUUUCGAGCUCUUAUCAAAACUCAACAUUCUGCUGUGAUCAAAUGCUUUAGGUGUGAUUUGGGUGGGGAAUACACCUCUAAUAAAUUUUGUCAAAUGCUUGCCUUAGAUGGAACCAUCCACCAAACUUCAUGUACAGAUACUCCUGAACAAAAUGGUGUAGCUGAAAGAAAACAUAGGCAUAUUGUCGAAACUGCUCGUUCUCUCUUGUUGUCUGCUUUUGUUCCUAGUGAAUUUUGGGGAGAAGCUGUUCUUACUGCUGUAAGUUUGAUUAAUACAAUUCCAUCUUCUCAUAGUUCGGGUCUAUCUCCUUUUGAAAAGCUAUAUGGGCAUGUCCCUUAUUAUUCCUCAUUUAGAGUCUUUGGUUGUACUUGUUUUGUUCUUCGUCCUCAUGUAGAACGCAAUAAGCUAUCCUCUCGAUCCGCUAUUUGUGUCUUUCUGGGUUAUGGUGAAGGUAAAAAGGGGUAUCGUUGUUUUGAUCCAAUAACUCAGAAACUUUAUGUGUCUCGUCAUGUUGUCUUCCUUGAGCAUAUACCUUUCUUUUCUAUUCCAUCCACUACUCAUAGCCUGACAAAAUCUGAUCUUAUUCAUAUAGAUCCUUUUUCUGAGGAUUCUGGUAAUGAUACCUCUCCCUAUGUUCGAUCAAUUUGUACUCAUAACUCUGCAGGUACUGGUACUUUACUCUCUGGCACAUCUGAAGCUUCAUUCUCAUCUACAGCCCCUCAAGCUUCAUCUGAGAUUGUGGAUCCACCUCCACGUCAGUCCAUCCGCAUUCGUAAGUCCACAAAACUACCAGAUUUUGCUUAUUCUUGUUAUUCUUCAUCAUUUACUUCCUUUUUAGCUUCUAUUCAUUGUCUCUUUGAGCCCUCUUCCUAUAAAGAGGCAAUUCUUGAUCCGCUUUGGCAGCAAGCUAUGGAUGAGGAACUUUCUGCUUUGCAUAAGACAGAUACUUGGGAUCUGGUUCCUCUACCUCCUGGUAAGAGUGUUGUUGGUUGUCGUUGGGUGUAUAAGAUCAAGACUAAUUCUGAUGGGUCUAUUGAGCGAUACAAAGCUAGGCUGGUUGCAAAAGGAUACUCUCAACAGUAUGGUAUGGACUAUGAGGAGACAUUUGCCCCGGUUGCCAAAAUGACUACUAUUCGUACUCUUAUUGCCGUAGCUUCGAUUCGUCAGUGGCAUAUUUCUCAGCUUGAUGUUAAAAAUGCAUUCUUGAAUGGAGAUCUUCAAGAAGAAGUUUAUAUGGCACCCCCUCCUGGUAUUUCACAUGACUCUGGAUAUGUUUGUAAGCUUAAGAAAGCACUAUAUGGUCUCAAACAAGCACCUCGUGCUUGGUUUGAGAAAUUCUCUAUUGUGAUCUCGUCUCUUGGCUUUGUUUCUAGCAGUCAUGAUUCUACUCUUUUUAUUAAGUGCACUGAUGCAGGUCGUAUCAUUCUGUCUUUAUAUGUUGAUGACAUGAUUAUUACUGGUGAUGAUAUUGAUGGUAUUUCAGUUUUGAAGACAGAGUUGGCUAGACGAUUUGAAAUGAAGGAUUUGGGUUAUCUUCGAUAUUUCCUAGGUAUUGAGGUAGCAUACUCGCCUAGAGGUUACCUUCUUUCUCAGUCAAAAUAUGUUACAGAUAUUCUUGAGCGAGCUAGACUUACUGAUAACAAGACUGUAGAUACUCCUAUUGAGGUCAACGCGAGGUACUCUUCUUCUGAUGGUUUACCUUUGAUAGAUCCUACUUUAUACCGUACUAUUGUUGAGAGUUUGGUAUAUCUCACAAUUACUCGUCCAGAUAUUGCAUAUGUUGUUCAUGUUGUUAGUCAGUUUGUUGCUUCUCCUACUACUGUUCACUGGGCAGCUGUUCUUCGUAUUUUGCGAUAUCUUCGGGGUACAGUUUUUCAAAGUCUGUUACUUUCAUCCACCUCUUCCUUGGAGUUGCGUGCAUACUCUGAUGCUGAUCAUGGUAGUGAUCCCACAGAUUGCAAGUCUGUUACCGGGUUCUGUAUCUUUUUAGGUGAUUCUCUUAUUUCUUGGAAGAGCAAGAAACAAUCUAUUGUUUCUCAAUCAUCCACCGAAGCAGAAUAUCGUGUCAUGGCAUCUACUACCAAAGAGAUUGUUUGGCUACGUUGGUUACUUGCUGAUAUGGGAAUUUCCUUUUCUCAUCCUACUCCUAUGUAUUGUGACAACCAGAGUUCUAUUCAGAUUGCUCAUAACUCGGUUUUUCAUGAGCGCACUAAGCACAUUGAGAUCGAUUGUCAUCUUACUCGUCAUCAUCUCAAACAUGGCACCAUUGCUUUGCCUUUUGUUCCUUCUUCCUUGCAAAUUGCAGAUUUCUUUACCAAGGCGCAUUCCAUCUCUCGUUUUCGUUUUCUGGUUGGCAAACUCUCGAUGCUUGUAGCUGCCGCAUCGUGAGUUUGAGGGGAGAUGUUAAAUAAUAUUUAUGUAGUCUUAUUUAUUAAGGGUAGAAUAGUACUUUCAGUUUGACCUAUAUAUACUUUAUUUGUAUUGAGGUUAACACAAAGCAUUCAUAAUAAACAGAUUAUUCAGAAUUGUAGCCUCCUUUUUGUAUUUGAUCUCAAUUACUUUAACACUUAUACCAUGCCUCAAGGACAAAUGAAGGAGAGCAAAGCAUCUCCCGGAAAAAAAACAUCAAAUCAAGAGUCUUGCAAUCCACAUGCAUUAAAGCUUCUUUCAUAAAGGACAGAAGCUUUGAUUUCCAAAUGAGACAGCAAAAAAGAUAUGUCACUGAUAUCCACUUGUAAUUAAUAACCACUUCAUUUAUUUAUUCUAGGACAAAAAACCAAAACAAUCUUGGAUCACAUAGGAACAGGAAAAGGCCUUAAACUCUGACGAACAAGGCGGAGCUAUUAUACAUAGGAUACUUCAGAUGAACUGUUGAUUUCCAUUAUGCUUCAUGCCAAACGUGAGAACCCAACCUCCUUUCCCACCCAUAUCCACAUCACACAACCCGAUCAUCGUCGCAUAUUAAUUUCAUUACAUAAUAUGACACUAGGAUGCAUGUCAUGAUGAAACAUGGAUGAGAUUAAAACUCAUUGACAUAAAUCUGGUCUUUUAAUACAUGUCUCAGAUAAUUAGACCUGAUGAUUAAGAUUAUAAGUUCAAAAACAUAAAUAUAUAGCCAUACGCAAGAGUCUUAGAUUCUGGAAGCCAACAUUUCCAGCAAUACAUGUCUAGGCAAGACAUUGCAUAUCUGAUUCUGAGAAUCACAGCAAAUAUGCCCACUCUAUCAAACAUACUUGAAUGCAGCCAGUCUUAUUUGACAGGCAACUAAAACUAAACAUGAAAAAAGUUUCAUAUUAAGAAGAAGCAGUGAUCAUCUAUGAUCUACCAUCCUCCUAAAUCCUAGAACCUUUUAAUUUUUAACACAAAAACUAGUGACAGCACCUCAACAUGAUAGAAUUGAGAAGGAGAAGCUUCAACGCAAUGCAUGCAACUCAAAGCCAAUAUAUAUUACCCUUUCACUUAGACUACCAUCACAUUUCUAAGCAUCGAGUUUCAAUCUACUAGUUCAUUCCAGAAACAUUCUUCAACUAAGACAAAAUGCCGAACCUACCUGGAAGGCAGGACCCCCUCAGCAGAAUUCAUGAUGCUCCAGCAACCCAUGAAUGCAAAGAGGAACAAUCUUCUAAAAAUGACUUCCAUUGGAGGAAGUUCGACAAAAUUGAGUAAAUUCUUGACCCAAGGAGGAGACUCCUCCACUUUCUUCUCUAUCCUGGUCUUGAAAUUAAUUUUUGUUUCUUUCCUCUGUCUAAAGCUAGUCAUCAACAAUUUCUCAAAGGCAGCUUCUAUUGAUUCUUCGCUUCUUUCAUGCCCAGCAUAUUGUUUCAGGAGAAAAUUGCGUGAACUCCAGACUUCCUCUUCAGAAGCGUAAGGACUGACACCAAGACGUUUAAAAGGGUCCCAAACAUUCAUGGAAGGGAAUUUCGGGAUGUUACCUGUUGAGUUUGAACACGAUUGUGAUAGGUCCCUGUCACAGCAAGUAAUUAAAGACAAGAAACAAACACAAAUGUAUUCUGCUUUGGGCGAGAAUAAGCCACAAUUGAUAUUAUUGAAUAUUGAAUGAAUGCGUUCUCUGUCUCAUAGCAGAGUUUAAAUACAGGAAUUGAAAUAACAACUUUCCUAAAAUACUGGCAUGACUACAUAAAAUCAGGAUGACUCCUGCUACAUAGCUGGCAUUUAUUUGCUGAAUAAAACUUGACUCCUUCCUCCCGUGCACUAAGGCACUGCAGUGAGAAGACCCCCUUGACUCGUUCCUCCCUUGACUAGCUCUUCACAGCUCAAUAAACCUGCGAUUCUUCUUACGAAUUCUGCAUGAUCUUCUCGGCUCCAGCUGUUGCUCAUCCCGUUGUUGUAGUUCAUCACUUGACUCCUUCAAUUGCUGCUGCUGCUUAUCAAUACCUCCCUCUUUUAAGGGAACCUUGUCCUCAAGGUUCAGAUUCUGAAAUCGCUCCCGUAACGCCACAGCAUCUUCCCACGUGGCAUCAUCAUUCUGCAGAUGUUUCCAUUUGACGAGAAUUGCUUCGACAAACCGAGACCCUUUCUUGAUCCAACGAGUGUCUAGGACAGCCUCAGGUUCAAUCAGCAUCUCUCCCGCAGCAGACAUAGGUGGCAAUUCGAUUGAUUCAACCACCUCAUCUCCAAUUUUCUUUUUGAGCAAGGACACAUGAAAGACUGGAUGAAUUCAAGCCUGUGUAGGCAAUUUUAGCUUAUACGCUACCGCGCCAAUUCUUUCUGCAAUCUGAUAAGGACCAUAAUAGCGGCUAGCCAACUUUUUGCAUACACUCCUGACCACGGAUUGUUGACGGUAAGGGUGAAGUUUAAGAAAAACCCAAUCUCCCACCUGAAAUUCAAUAUCACGUCGCUUAGAAUUAGCAAGUUGUUGCAUGCGAUUACUAGCCGCAUGCAGGUUUGCCUUGAGCAGACUCAACAAUUCGUCCCUAGAGGCGAGUUGCUGAUCCACUUCAUUCACCGGAGACAUGCCAAUGUGGUAAUGGGGAAUUGUAGGUGGUAAACGUCCAUAGAGGGCCUGAAAUGGUGUCAUUCCUGUAGAAGCAUGAUAAGUUGUAUUAUACCAGAAUUCGGCCCAAGGUAGGAGGGAAUUCCAUUUUGCUGGCUGGUGGUGAACAAAGCACCGAAGAUAUUGUUCGACGCAGCGAUUGACCACCUCUGAUUGCCCAUCCGUUUGUGGAUGAUAUGCGGAACUCAUCUUCAACUUGGUACCUGACAAUUUAAAGAACUCACGCCAAAAAUGACUGAUAAAGAUAGGAUCUCUAUCACUGAUAAUGGACCGCGGCAUACCAUGUAGCUUCACUACCCCGUCAACGAAUUUCUCGGCCACAAUUUUGGUCGUAUAAGGAUGAGCCAAUGCCAAGAAAUGUGCUGACUUACUUAGGUGAUUAACCACAACGAAAAUUGUGUUCUUGCCACCCGAUGUCGGGAGACCUUCAAUAAAAUCCAUCGUAAUAUCAUCCCAAACCUGACAGGGAACAGGUAAUGGUUGUAAUAAACCCGCCGGUGAUAGUGUGUCUGAUUUUACCCGUUGACAUACGUCACAGGAUGCGACAUAUUCCUUCACUAUGCGAGCCAUUGAUGGCCAAUAGAACUGGUGUGCCAACCGUUUGUAAGUGCGCAACACACCCGAAUGCCCUCCAAUAGGUGAAUCAUGGAAUUCACGUAAUAGUUGUUGAAUGAUGUCCGAGUUGGGGGCAACUACUACUCAAUUUUUAUAGUGGAGCAACCCAUUCCGCCGUGUAUAUGGGCUGCCCGAAUUUUCAGCAGCGAGCUUGCCAAUUUUCUUCAUGUAAGGAAGAGAAACAGCUUCGGCCUUAAGCUGAUCCCAUACGGUACUUUGUGGAACAGAUAAGUGCGAAAGGCAAGGGCUUCCCGUCAUUCGUGAUAAAGCAUCCGCAGCUGAAUUCUCCUUUCCUGGCUUAUACACAAUUUCAUAAUCAUAGCCGAGUAAUUUCGAUACCCAUUUCUGCUGUUCUGGGGUAGUAAUACGCUGCUCCAAGAGGUACUUCAAGCUGCGUUGAUCGGUUUGGAUCACAAACUUACGGCCUAACAAGUAUGGUCUCCACAGCUGGACAGCCACCACAAUAGCCAGCAUCUCCCUCGCAUAAGUUGACCAUGCACGCUUGGAUAGCCCCAAAACGCGACUCAUGAAAGCUAUUGGCCGCCUUGUUGGGUCAGAACAGCGCCGAUGCCAUCACCGGAAGCAUCAGACUCAAUCACGAAAACUUCAGCAAAAUUAGGCAUGGCAAGUGUUGGGGUGGACGUCAUUGCGGUCUUUAAUGCCUCAAAAGCUGCCUCGGCUUCAUCAUUCCAGCCAAAUUGACCUUUGGUAACAAGGAUGUCAACGGUCGAGCAAGAAUUCCAUAAUUGCGGACAAAUUUCUUGUAAUAACCUGUAAGACCUAAAAAUCCACGAAGCUCAGAUAUAUUAGUAGGUCUUGACCAGGAUAGCAUAGCCUGGAUUUUUGCUUGAUCAACCUUAACCCCCAUUGGAGUAAUAAUAUGCCCCAAGUACUCCAGUUCUUGUUGACCAAAAGCACAUUUCUUCAAUUUCGCAAAGAAUUGGUACUGCCUUAGAAUUUCGAAAGCCUUGCGAACAUGUUCAAGAUGCAUGGUCCAAUUGGGACUAUAGAUCAAUAUGUCAUCAAAAAAGACUAAUACAAAUUUGCGAAGGUAUGGUCGAAAUAUGGCAUUCAUAAGGGCUUGAAAAGUAGAGGGUGCGUUACACAAACCAAAUGGCAUGACUAAGUAUUCGUAAUGACCAUUAUGAGUGCGAAAAGCAGUUUUAUGAAUAUCAUUUGGUGCUACCCUAACCUGAUGGUAACCAGCUGUCAAAUCUAGUUUGGUAAAAUAAACAGCCCCAUGCAAUUCGUCUAACAUGUCAUCUACUGUAGGAAUAGGAAAUCGGUCUUUAAUAGUUACUGCGUUAAGUGCUCUAUAAUCGGUGCAAAAACGCCAUGUGCCAUCUUUCUUUUUGACUAACAAAACAGGUGAUGAAAAAGGGCUAGUGCUUGAUCUUAUAAAUCCCAAUUUUAACAUGUCUUGAACCUGUUUUUCAAUUUCAGCUUUUUGAAAAUAGGCAUACCUGUAGGGUCUGACAUUGACCGGUUCUGUCCCUUCUUUGACAGUGAUGGUGUGGUCGAUCUCCCGGACCGGUGGCAAUUGAGCUGGAGUUUGAAAAAUAUCUCCAAAUUCCUCCAACAUCUGCUGCAUUUCAGACUCAACUUUGCUAACAGGCAUCUCGACUUCGGUUUGUAGACAGAUAGCAAACAUCGUUUUGCUUUGGCGCAGCUCCUUCGAUAAAUCCUUGAGAGACGCGGGUUGAAUGUGUUGGCUGUCAAUUCCCUGUAAUUUUUGCAUCUGAUUCUUCCACAUAAAUUCCAUGGUCAUUUUCUUCCAAUCACAGGCUACUGUUCCCAAUUGUUCAAGCCACUGCACUCCCAAAACCAAAUCUAACCCACAUAAAGGUAUGGCAUAUAAAGUCAGCAUAAAUGGGAUACCUUGAAGUAGGACGUGUAUGUUUUCAAAUAUGCCUUGACACUUCAAUGGAUUCCCAUUUGCCACCUUUACGUUGAAGGGCUGUGUGGGUAUCACUGGUAGGUGUAGCCAAUUAGCAAUCCGCUCGCUAAUGAAAUUGUGGGUGGAGCCACUAUCAAUGAGGACAGUCAAUUCGUGAUUUCCAAUUCUUGCCAUGAUGCGCAUUGUUUUGGCAGUCGACCAGCCAGUAAGAGCAUGUAGUGAAAUUUGUGGUUCAUCAUCUUCGAAGUCUUCGUCAUCUUGCAGAUGUGUCUUUUCGUCUCCUUCCAGUAGCAACAAACGGGGUCUUUGACACUUAUGGCCAGGAGUGAAUUUUUCGUCACAAUUGAAGCAGAGACCUUGCGAUCGGCGCUUCUGCAUCUCGUCCCACGCCAGGCGUUUCAUGGGCAUAACUGCUGCUGGUGAUUUUGUGGGUGAAAAAGAAGCAAUUGGAUUCUGACUAAUGGAAAAUGGCUUACGUCGUUGGCGAAGUAAUUGCUCAUCUCUCAUUCUGGCAAGGCUAAUUGCCUCUUUCAAGGAUUUGGGUUUAAACAUCCUAAUCCCUUCUGCAAUGUCAGGUUUCAAGCCUCCCAUAAAAGUUCCCACCAAUGCCUUCUGCGUCCAGCCUUGCACACGGUUACCCAGCCUUUCGAAUUCUUUUUGGUACUCCCGUAGUGAGCCCCCUUGUCUCACCCUUGACAGUGCUUCAUCGAAAUCUUCACAUUCUGGUGGUCCAAACCUUGCCCAUAAUUCCUCCUCAAAAAUUGGCCAUGUCAUCUCCUUGUCUUCCUCUUUGUAAGCACGUCGCAGCCACUGCCACCACUGGUUCGCCUCCCCUUGAAGAUGAAAAGAUGCCAAUGACACCUUUUGUGUUUCCACAGUACCUUGGUAUUCGAAGAAUUGAUCAACUCUGUUGAACCAUUCAGUGGGGUCGUUGCCCGAGUAUAUGGGGAACUCAAGCUUCGCCAGUUUUGAAGAGAACAUCUGUCUGUUCCCCUCAGCUCGUUCUGCAAUGUCUUCACGUUGAUAGCGCGGGCGUCCAUUGCGCUCAAUGGAUUGGCUGCUGGAUCCUUCUUUGUUGGACAGUAACGCCUCUGUCAGCUUAUUGAUGUUGACUUCCAUCUGCUGCAUUCUGUCAACAAGAGUAAUUUCCAUUCGGCUCAUUCCAUCUUGCAGACCUCCCAAUCCGAUUUCCAAAUUUUCUAUCCGCUCCUUGUUUGUUGUCAUUGUUAACCUGGCUCUGAUACCAAUUGAUAGGUCCCUGUCACAGCAAGUAAUUAAAGACAAGAAACAAACACAAAUGUAUUCUGCUUUGGGCGAGAAUAAGCCACAAUUGAUAUUAUUGAAUAUUGAAUGAAUGCGUUCUCUGUCUCAUAGCAGAGUUUAAAUACAGGAAUUGAAUAACAACUUUUCUAAAAUACUGGCACGACUACAUAAAAUCAGGAUGACUCCUGCUACAUAGCUGGCAUUUAUUUGCUGAAUAAAACUUGACUCCUUCCUCCCGUGCACUAAGGCACUGCAGUGAGAAGACCCCCUUGACCCGUUCCUCCCUUGACUGGCUCUUCACAACUCAAUAAACCUGCGAUUCUUCUUAGGAAUUCUGCAUGAUCUUCUCGGCUCCAGCUGUUGCUCAUCCCGUUGUUGUAGUUCAUCACUUGACUCCUUCAAUUGCUGCUGCUGCUUAUCAACUGCAUUGGCAUCCAAUAAGUGAGGACAAUCUUGUAUCUUCCAAGUGGCAGUAGAAUUUAAUUAUAACUACCAUUAUUCUUAUCUUUAGUUAGUAAUAUAACUCUAUUUAUUGUUUCUAGUACGUAGGACAUGUUGUAAUGAAAACCUGUUAGUUAUUUGGUGUGAUUCCAAGGAGUGAUUCCUUUGAAUGAUAUCAGGCUCUACUUAUUUUCCUCUAUCAAUACUUUCUUGCUAUCUUUUAUACCAUGUUCAUUAGUUUACAUAAAUUGUUCCCUUAAUAUCCUUUGGUAUUAAUAUUAAUUGAUAUCAGAACAAGUUUUGAAUUUUUGAUCUGCUAUGCCUGGAACCGCAGUGGAAAUUCUUAUAAUCCCACCAAUCAAAGAUUACAAGACCCUAGUCCUUCCCUAACCAAUUUGAACUCCCCGUAGAAAACAUCUCCAAACCGAUUCUGAACCCCCCACAACAAGCAUCUCCACAACCUAUUCCGAACCCCCCACAACAAGCAUCUCUACAACAUGAUUUACUUCCUUGUUAAACCAGUUAGAAGAUGCUCUCAGAAUGGUAAGCUUCGAAGAGCUGCAGGAUGCAAGCGUGUGCUGAAGAAGCAAGAGGACAAUUGCCCACAUAAAUGGCAAAGGGGGUGAUUGUUGGAAUAUUGCCAAUUAUGUGGCUGCCAUUGUCAAAGAAGAUGGCUGCAAUGGUGGGUUGUUGGUGGCAGCCAACAACCAUUGUCUAAUGUCAAAGUUUGGUAAGUUUGGCAGCCACCAUUGUUGACAAAAGAGUUGGAGGAGCUGCCAUGAAUGCCUAUAAAUAGAGGCCUACAUUAGAGAAGCAAAGUGAGAGAAGAAAGGAGAGAAAACGUGAGUGUGAGUUGAGAGAAAGAGAGAGCUGCAAUGGCAGCAGCCUUGCUGCCAUUGCAGCAGCUGCAACAGCUGUGUGUGAGAGCUGGGAGUAGAGUAGAGUGAAUGUAAUCCUCCUCCUCCAUAUAUAUUGUAAUCCUUUCUCUAUAUAUCUCAAUAAUAUAGACUCUCCCGUGGAUGUAGGCGGUUUUGCCGAACCACGUAAAAUAUUGUGCCAGUGUGCUAUCCCUCCUUUGAGCAAUUAUCAGUACACCCCCGGUCGGAAAUCCCCAACACAGAGUUGAUCAAGGAGGAGAUGUGGCUAUAGAUGAAGAAGAAGUAGGAGAACAUUAGCUCAAUUCAGUCUACAGUGACAGGGAGGUCAAAAUUGAAAGAUAUCACUAUUUUCAUUAAUUUUAUUAAAGCUUAUAAUAAAAGGUUGUGUUUUUAAUUGGAUUUAUUUUUAUAUGGCGUGGCUUCUUUUUUUAAAAUGCAAUCUGCUUCCCUUUAUAAUACAGAAAUCCAGUUUUGAGUUUAUGUAACUAUAUUAACAAAACGAUUAAAUGCUUUCGUGUCCGUUUAAUUAUUUAUAUAAAUAAUAAACCCAGUUAAUAUAUUUUGCAAUCAGUUUAUGGUUUAUUUAUCUCAUAGUUGAGUUAGUUAAUGUAUGUUUUUUCAAAUUAGUAGCAAAGGCGUGUGGGCUUGUCUCAGGCUCACAUGCUAGUGCCUGAGUUGUACUGUAAUAGACCCUAUCAUAUUAGGCCACAUAAGCCCGAGUGGUUGGAAUUUUUUUUAUUGGUCAUUUUUUAUUUUUUUAAUAUAAUUUUUUAAUUUUAUAUUUUAUUGUUGAGUUUUUUUAUUAAGUUUUAUUUGUCAAUAUUGAAUUAAUUAUAAAUUAAUUUUUAUAUUUUUUAUUAUAUAUAAACCGAGUAAAGUAUUUGGUGGGUUAGCUAUAAACCUGAACUUUUUAUUUUUUUAUUUUUUGGACUAGUAAAAGACAAAUUAAAAAAACAAAGUAAUCUUAUUUGAUAUGUUGUAAAUUUUUUUUUUAUCUAAUAAUUUAAAUUGAAAUCUCAUUUAAUAAUUUAAAUUAUUAAAUUGAAAUAAAUUUUUAAUACAAUGAUUUAAGAUGUACCAAGAUAUGGUUGUAGUUUUUAUUUUUUUGCCUUUUUCUUUAAAAAUGUUAUCUCCUUGGUAAGGAAUCCUUGGUUCCCAACGGCAACUGUAGCAACGUAAAAACAAAUCUCUAAACUCCACCGAAAGUGGUAGAGCAUUAGAAUUUUUAAAAGACAAAACGGGGCGCGACAUUCAUAAUUUAUAAACAGAUGCGAUAAAAUAAGUCAUACUGCAUGUUUUCAUUUGGCAUUUAAUUCCAUGAACAUGGCUUUUUUAGAUUAAUAUAGUGUUUGGACUAGCUUGUAUAUCUCGAAUAAUCUCAAGAGAUCUUGAAGUUAACAACGUACCAUAUAAGGCUUUAAUAGCAAUGAGAUUUGUAGGAUUCGAACUAGUGAUAUUUAGAAAACAAACUUAGUGACUAACUAGUUGAGCUACACCCCUUAAAAUUCCAUGAACAUGAUCUUACUUUUCGAUCAAAUUAAUGUGACCAUAUUAUACUUGUAAUCAAACCAUUAAUUGACUGUUCUUGACUAGCUAUUGUUUCUCAUUGGCAAGAGUCAUUGCCAAUGAUCAUAACAUGUUAGUGAUCUAUUGCAACUAGUUCUAGUAUCGACAGAGUUGUUAUUUAACCAUUAAAUCAAUUUAUAAAACAUUAUUGACUAGCUAUCUAACACUAACAACUAAUCACAGAUAAUAUUUAUGCAAAACUUGUAGCUUAAUACGAACUCUCAGACAUGUGGGUGGGGCAACUCAAAGUAGGAGAGUGGUAACCUCUGAUACAUAACAGAGAAAAUUAUAGAGUAAAGCAGGACGGAAUUUUCUUAAAUUAACAACAGAAAUCUAGAUACUUCAAUAAAUUAACACACUGACUAAUAAAUCCCCCCCACCAUCAUCCAGUUAUCACAGGUGCAUCUACAAUGAACAGUUCUCGAGAAGAAACUCAAGAAACGCAUAUAAAGCUACAUGAUGACAUAAUAGGAACCUGCAUUGCCUCCAUUCCAUGAUGAAAGUUCAAGAAAUUCUACUUCGAAACUCAAGACAAAGUCUCUCAGACUACAUAUUAGUGGGAUUUCUAUAAACAACUGAUUGUAUUGCAAAGCAACAUUAUGAAAAACUGAAUAUUUCACACAUAGUCUAACAAAAGUAGGUUCCAUUGUCAAUUCCUUAACAUUUUCCGAACAAAUCACAGUUGCUCCUCGUUUGAUACUUUCUUGAAGGUUUCUUUUCUCUUAUUACCAAUUUCUGUGAGUUUGUGAUUUUUUAUCUGUACCGUAUCAUCCGAACAAUUACUAGAACCACACAACUAAUAUGUAAAUUCACAAAUUCCCUACAGUUCAUAUUGCCAACAAACUCCUCUUGCCAUUCCCUAAUUGCAUUGAGCCAGCUAAUCUGGAUGAAAGAAAGGACUUCGACCUUGAAAUUAGCAUCAUAGUCAUGGAACCUUAAAGCAGGCCCAACUUUGUAGCUCAUUACCAGCUACGUAAAAGUUAUCAAUAGCUGUGUGGAUCAUUGAAACUGCCACAAAAGCAACCCAAAUUAGUUAUGAAUUGGAUUCGAUAAAGGAAAGAGGGGAAGAGGGGAGAAGACAGAUGAAGAUCUGCGCAGGGCUACCUGUUUUGAGAAUUAUGGAUUUUUAUCCCUAACUCAAAACGGCACCAAUUAUAAGUUCAAUAAAAAAAAAUAUGUAACAGAACAGAUGGAAAAAACUCGAAACAACUCGGCUAGAAUUUAGGAAAGAAAUUCAGAAUGAGCCAAGAUUUUAAGUGAGAUGAAACUUUGUUCUUUGAAAAAAAUAAUUAAUAUGAGAUAUACUUUUCAUUUUAGUGAACCUUAAAGCAGACCCAACAGUUAAGUAAAAGUUAUCAAUAGCUGUGUAAACCAUUGAAACUGUUACUGUAGGUGCACACUCAAUUACACCAUGGAUUCACAUAGUGCAAUUGUUAAUUUUUUUUUUAAAUUCCAUGUUAUUUUUUUAUUUGAACCUUUUUUUGUCAACAUGUUUCGCAAUUGGCCUUGGUAUUUUGUUUUCAUUUUCUCUAUGUUUCCUUCUUCUGUAGAUAAAAAACAUCAGGUCUUUGGGCUCGUACUUGAUAGUGCAAAAUUAAUGACACAAUAAUCAAAUAACACAAAAAUUUUUAUAAGCGAAAGGAAUUGGAGAUGUAAACCUAAAAUUCGCAAGUUUAUUUUUUCUAAAAUAAUAAUAAUAAUAAUAAUAAUAAUAAAGUCUACAUUCUUAGAAGGUUUACAAACCUUUAAAUGGGUCAAGAACCCUACCCCCAACUAGGAAGCAAAAAUAAAAAUUCAAAAUUACAAAGAAAAGAAGCAUAAAAUCCAAAAUAAACAAGAAAUCUAAAAAUAAUAAGGAAAAUCACAAAAAUUACCAAAACUAGAGGCCUCAAUGAGAUUUUUGAUAUCUAAAGAUCCGACGGUCCGCAUUAAAAUUUGAGCACAAUCUAACAAUUGAAUAAAAAAUUAUGACUCUUUUGAGUUGUUAUUCUGGUUUAGCGUGACCAAACCUUCUCUUGGGCUUAGACCUGUUUCAUUGGUCCAUAAAUACAUUUGCUAAGCUAUCAACAUAAUUUAUCUAGGGAAAAUCUUCAUCUAGUUAUGGCAGAUUCACACCUGACUGCUUAGAAUCACUAAUUAUUAUAGGAUUGACUACAUCAAAAUUGGUCGGUUUUUUUUGUUUUCAAAGAGAUUUAAACUUGAUGCAGAUGAAAGCUAAAAACACAAUAAUCAAAGAACACCAAAAAAUAUAUGAGCGAAAGAGAAUAUAGAUGUGAACUCUCAAAUUCCCAAGUUUAUUUUCUCUAAAAUAAUAAUAAUAAAGUUUGUCUUCUUAAGACGUUUACAAAGCCUUAAAUAUGUUAGGAACCUUACCUUAACUAGGAAACAAAAACAUAAACCCAAAAUUACAAAGGAAAGAAACAUAAAAUCCAAAACAAGUAAGAAAUAAAAAAAUAACAAGGAAAAUCACAAAAACUACCAAAACUAGAGGCCUAAACAAGAUUUUUUAUAUAUAAAGAUUCGAUGGUUCACGUGAAAAUUUGAGCAUGAUCAAAUAAUCAGAUAAAAAAUUAUAACUUUUUGAGCUUUUAUUCUGGUCUGACACGACCAAACUUCUUCUUGCUAAACUUGUUUCAUUGGUCCCUAAAUACAUCUCCAUAACCUUUUUUUUUUGUUUCACUAUAGAUAGAGUUUGACCAUUAUUAUAUAUGGUUUGACUUAGCCGUAUCGGUUUUCAAUUAGAUCAACUUUAUAUAUUAUGGGUUUACAUUUACUAUUUUUUAAAAAGUGCUCACAAGUCCAUUUUUCACACCUCAAACUCGUAACUGCAACGAUUCGUAGGCAACGAAACUAGUUAAAGACUAGAGAGUAAACAUGCUACUAAAGUUUGCAGGUGAGGGUUUAGAUUAGAUUAUUUGUUGUCUUGUUUCAAAUAUUAGAUCAGUCUCAACUCAUUAAAUAAACAAGUGGUGCAUUGAUCCUUGGACUCAAAUCAUAUAUACACGGCGAGCUCAUUUGUGUUUUUAUUAUUUGUCCCUCCCUGUACUUGUAGCAGAAGAGAAGCUGCUCUCAUCUUUGAAGGAAUGCAAACAAUUGUUAAUAUGAAACAUAUUAUGUACAAAUUAUAAUAUUUGUAAGAAGCCGUUUUGCUGCCCACCGGCGGCCAUCUGAUCAGAGAACAGUAUUAUAUUUUUUAAACCCUUCACUCUCAUAAAAACAAUUUAUAUGAUUAUAAAUAGGAAAACAUAAAAAAAAAUAGGAUUACAUAUUUUUAGAGAUUACAUAUUAUUGUUUUAGUUCUUUUUCUUGAUUAGAGAUAAGUUGAAUAAAAGUAGUAAUAAUUUAUUUUUGUGAAAAAAGUUUACUACAACUCCUAAUAAUUAGUUUCAUGUAAAAAAUAAAAAUAAAAAUAGUAACUAAAAUUUAUUUUAGUUAUGUUAAUAAAAUUUUAAAGAUAUUUUAAUUGAAUUAAGUAAUUCAACACAAAAUUUAUGUUCGCAUACAGUUGUUGUAACCCAUUUUUGGGUCCCCACACAAAAUACAAAAAAAAUAUAUCAAAAUAAAAAAAAUAUUAUAGAAAAAUAAUAGCAGUGAAAAGAGGAUGUCGGAGCGCCCAGAAAAUGAUCAAAAAUUGGUUGAGGAGGUUUCAAAAUAUAAGGAUUGAAGUUUGACAGUAUAUCAUUGACUGGGGCUUAAUUGCAUACAUAUUGAAGUCUGGUGGCCAAUUAAGGACUUGAUUUAAGAAAUCCAAAACCAAGGACCAUAGUGAAAAAAGCGCGCAAAUUGAAGGGCUAAUCUGAAAUUGGACCCAUUUUGGCACCAGUUUUUGUUUAAAUGAAAUGGCACGUUUUGAUAAAAAACAACGCCGUUUCAUGCAUUGCACAAAAAAAAGAGAGCAAACGGUGCCGUUUUGAACGGCACCAUAAGCCUUCUUCUUCCCCUGUUGAGAACAGGGGAAGAAAAAGCAUUUUUGAUGUAACUAUAUUAUUUGAUAGUUUCACCCACAUUUAACUAGUGUUUAGCCUAUGUUAUAUAUAUAAAAUGCCUUGAUAUUCUUUGUUUUAUGUUUUGAAGGCACCUUUAGAUGAAAGAUGCAAAAAGGAGUAAAUUGAAGAUAAUUGGCAGAUUUGAUGUUCAGUCGAUGUUUUGUGCAGAGCAUGAGCUCUAAAAGUCAAAACGAAGUGAUUCUAGUGGCAUUAGAAAUCUAACAUCCAUACCUUUCUGUAAAUAUAAGUCAAGAAAAAUAAAAAUACAACGAGCAUGGAAAUCACAUCCUUCAAAGUCAAAACUCGCAUUCUGCCAGUGUUGACCUUUGUCCAUUCAAAAUUCAAUAUCUGGAGCUGUAGAUAUCCAAUUGAUGUAAACUCAAUUGUUUUGGAUUCCUGACUCAAAGGUGUCUAUAAACGCUCCAAAUUUCAGCCACAAAUGAUGUCAUAUGAGGGAGAUAUGAGUUUUCAAAGAUGACAACUGAAUUCUGCCAGCAAACAGGUUUCGUGAAGAAACGAAUCCAAAUUACAUCCCGAAGCAUCAAAACCGACAUCCAAGUUUUAAUUUCAUCAAUUUAGCUCCUCAAGUAAAUCAAUCCAGAAGGUCAAGGAAGGCAGCCACCAACCUCAAGCCACCAACCUCAAACCACCAACCACAAACCAGCUGCCAGCCACUAGCCGCCUUCACACUACCACCAUCUCUUGAUGUUCACACUUGAACUUUGAUUUUUCUUACUUACAAUUUAUGUAUAAAUAGGCAGCUAAGUUUAUGCUAUUGAGUGAGCCAAGAGGGAAGGAAAGAGAGCCAAGAGGGAAGGAAAGAGAGCCAAGAGAGAGGGAGAGGGAGUGCAGUAGAAUAAAGAAAGAGGGGUGGCAGCCAUAAGAGAAGAAACACAAACUCUCCCCUCAACAAAUCAGAAAUCAUGUAUUCUUUUAUCUUUAGGAGUAGUUUUUCAAUAGAUAUGCAAGGCUAAGCUCGUUUUCUUGGUUGCAAGGACGCAAAAACCUUCAGAUUUAAAGAACCGUGAGAUUUAUUCUUCCAUUUAUUUUCAGUUUGUAUUAUGAAUGAGUAUGUUUGUUUUCCUAUGCAUAUUUUCUAUGAUUGUUUAUCUUAAUUGCUAGAGCGGACUCUAAGUUAUUAUUGUGAAUAAUCUAUUGCUAAGUUUGAUAUCAAAACCGGAGUUGUGGUAUAUAAACGUGUGAAGCAAGUAAGCUUGAUAAUUGUAGCGGAACUACAUUAUUAAACUUAGGGAGAACAUUCGAUCAAAGCAACACAAGCUGACAACUUGGUUGUUAAGAUUAAUGAAUUUAUCUAGAUCUUAAGGCUGCCAUUGGAUUAAACCAUUAGUGCGGACACUGUGAUUGUUUGUUGGUUAGGGUUAGUUAUACGGCGGAUCCGUUAAUUAACCAACAUUAAGAAAAGAUAAAAAAUUCAGAAUAUAAACUGAAGUUUCGUUUCAAGGAUCGGUUCUGAUUUCUGUAGGUGGAUGUGUGCUUGCGACCAAGGUUUGUUUUCUUGAUAUAUUUCAGUUUCAAUUGAUUUUGUUUGUUAGUGUAAUUUCUACCAUAGUUUAGAUCAUUGCAAAUCAAACCCCCCCAAUUAUAUAAUGUAUAGCAUAAAAAUCUGAACUAAACCUUCCUCGUGGGAUCGACCCCUUGCUUGCUCUAUACUAUCUUGUGUGUUUUAAGCUAGGGUAAUUAAUUUAUGCGACCGCGACAUCGCAACAAUUUCCCCCCCAUUUUUUUCUCCUCUCUCUCCCAAAACCCAAAAAACCAACGACGACCCGACUUGUCCUUUCACUGACACCACCACGCCCUCAUGCCGAAAGACCCAUACCCUACAGAGGUAGGGGCGGCUGUGCAGUAGCUGCCCCCAUGCCACCAUGCCCUGCACCAUGGCACAGGACAGGGCAUGGUGGCCCUCUCUCCCUCUACCUAUAAAUAUAAAGGGAGUGCGGGAGAGAAGAGGGGGGAAAAAGAUUUUUUGAAAGAGAAAGGGAGGAGAAACCGAGAGAGAGACCGACUGUUUUUUAAGGAGGAAAAGAGAGACCGAAAGAGGGGAAACAACAGUUUUUUUAGAGAGAAAGGAGUGAAGAGAAGCAGACCGAAACACUAGAAAUUAAAGGGGAGAAAAGAAAAAGGAGGGAGACCGAGAGAGAAGACAGAGGAGAGAAAGGGAAGCCAUAAAAGAAGCGGGGAAGAACAGGAAGUGACAGGGGAAGAAAAAAAUACUGGAGAAGAAGAACAACCACAGCUGCCACCGUGCUUCCUCUCCACCGACAUAGCGCACCACCUGACCGUAGCUGACAGCCCCGAAGAGACAGAGGAGAAAAGGAGAAGAUAACGGGAAAAAAAACACAGAGAUGAGGGGGCUGAGAAGAGAAACAGAGGAGAGGAGAGAAGGAAGGAAAACGCCGCCGCUGUCACCGCCGCUUUCCACCACCGCUGACGACCACAACCGUUCUUUCCCGCUCCAGGUAACUUUCUCCCCUUCCCUUGUCGUUUUUAGUUGUUCAUCUUCAUUUUGCAUGCAGACGUGAGCAAUUCACGUUCUGCAGCAAAAUGUAGAUUAAUUAGCUAGUUACUAUGUUAGGCACAGUAACUAGCUAAUUAUAUUUUGCUGGUUACUGUGUGCAGCACAGUAACCAACCCUUUGAUUGCUUAUGGGCUAGAACAUCAGCCCAGCCCACGCGGCUGGGCUGAGUCCAGCCCACAGUAUAUGGGCCGGGUCAGGCCCAGCCCAGGAUGGUUGGGCCAGAUCCGGCCCAAGUUUUUUUUUGGUUAAAAGAAAAUUUCAAAAAUAUUUUUUCAGAAUUUUAUAAUUUCCCCGCAUAUUUUUAUGUCAUUUUGAUUAAAAGCAAUAUUUUUUAUGUUGCUAAAAAUACAAAAUCCGAUAUUAAAAUACCUGGUUUUCGUCAAAACUUUCAAAAUACAAAACAAAAACUUUGUUUUGAAAAAAAGGAAAAUGUUUUUGUGCAUACGGCCAAGUAUCUCAAGGCUAAAAAAUCAUAUGGUGUUUUUCAUACACAAAAAAAAAACAAUGUUUUUGCAUGCAUUUUGGCUUUGAUAACCAGUUUAUUAGAGUCAAGAGAACAUUGGCCAAAAUUUCAAAAACUACAAAUUUUUUUUUUUUUUUGUCUUUUAGUAUCCGGGGUACGAUAUUACAUGUAAUACAUAUUCCAUAUAUUAAAUGUUUUUCCAACGUUAGAACGGUUAGGUUCUACCCCAUUAAAGAUAAGAACCUCCUUAUUGAGUAGGGCUUUUCUUGAGUCUUAGAUAGACAGGACCAAUAAGUAGAAAACACGACCAAACCUUAGAUUUUGAUAAGACAAAUAAAACAAUGCAGCUUACCUUAGGUAUGGCGUAUUUGGGGUGCUAAUACCUUCCCUUUACGCAACCAGUCUCCGUACCUGAUCUCUGAGACCAGUUAGGGUUCCUAGUGAUCAUAAUACUAGGUGGCGACUCCCAUUCUAUUUUUUUCACCGCUAAGAGACAAAGAAUUCCUUGUCUCCCCACAUUUACCAGAUAUAUAUCCAUACAUUGAGGGUGGACGAUCGCCGCGACGCCGCACACGUGCGACAGAAUGGCGACUCCACUGGGGACCUUGUGGACUAAGCAUUGUUUUGUCUGAUUUUUUGUUGGUUUUGUCCCUGUUUUGUUAUUAAGAUGCUUAUUUUAUUUACACGCUUUAAUUUUUGUACAUAUUUGUUCAUACAUUGUAUAGAACUGUUUCACGCAUCAUUCUUUUUAUGUGAGAGUUUAUAUGAGAAAACUUUAAGUUAAGUAGGGGACUAGCAGCUUACCUUAUGACUUUUAGUCAAGGUUUAAGUUUGUGUAAACCCCAACUCUUCGCUGAGUGCUCAGACUGGUAAUGAUUGGUCCAUAUGCCAUCCCAUUACCUACUGAGCCCCCAUAUUGCCUUCACGAGGGCGAUCACUGGGACAACAAGAGACCCUUUUAGAGACAGAAUAGCCAACCUACCCUUGUCAAGCAUAAAAGAAUUAGAACCGGCCUUUAGGGUGUAUGCUCCACUGUACAUGUUUUGCAUAAUACAUUAAACCUAACCAUAAAGCAUAUUGGUUUUCAGGUCUUUUUAACGAUAAGAUGGCCAUCAUUACCAAAGUUACUACUGUGGAAUAUGGGCAAAAUUCUGAAUUGUCACAACUAUCAGAGGGAGACGGCUCUAGAUGUAAUGCAAGGAAGCUUCCAAUAGUCAAAGACCUGAAUUGUAUGGUAAAUGAGAUGAAGAGAAUAUUGGUUCAUAGUCAGAACAUUGAUGAGGCGGCAUUUUCCGUGAAGUAUGGGCGAUUGUUAGAAAUUACGAAGAUAGAAGUAUUGAACCCAGCAAUCAAAGCCUUGAUUAACUUUUGGGAUCCUGAUUAUAGAUGUUUUUCCUUUGGAAAUGUGGAUUUGUGUCCCACUGUAGAGGAGUAUGGAAUGUUGAUGGAGUUUCCCAAGCACCUGCACAAGGUUUAUUUCCCUUUGAGAAGUGACAAAGUAAUUCCCGAAUUGUCAAAAUUGCUGAAAAUUCCAUAUCUGAGCAGAUUUUUAGAGAAGAAUGCCAGCGGUUUAAAGUGGAAAUUCCUGGAGAUUGAACUAGAAAGGAAAAAAUCACAAUAUGGAUCGAUGCUAGAAAGAGACAGGUUAAUCGCUCUGGGGAUAUAUGGUCCUGUAUUAUUUCCAAGCUUAACAGGGGUUAUAAGCCUAGAAGCUGCUGCUGCAUUUGUGGAAUAUGAAAAUACUCAUGUCAACCCUAUAACUGCCAUAUUAGCUGAGACCUUCCUGACCCUCAACCAUUUCAGGAAGACUGGGAAAGGCGCAAUGAGAUGUUGUACUAAGUUAUUAUACAUCUGGAUGGUAAGCCAUAUUGAAACCAAAAAGCCGAUCUUUAAUAAUUUUUGGUGGUUUAACCAAAAACCUUUGAAGUUAGUAGAAGAAGAAGAAUGGGGAAGCUUGGGCGAUCAGGGUUGGAUGAAAAAACUGCAAGAGUUACCAAGUAGCAACUUUAGUUGGAAAGCCCCUUGGGUCAAAUCGGUUGAUAUCCUAGUAAGUUGCGGACAAAAAUGUUGGGUACCUUUAGUUGGGAUCAUAGGUUAUGUCAGCUAUGCUCCGGCCUUGGUGAUAAGACAAUUAGGCGGCAUACAACACAUCCCAAGAACUGUGGGACUCGCUGAAUUUUCCAGGUUUUUCAAGGAUCAAUCCGCGCUAGAAGAUUGGAGCCAUUUGACUUUAAUGUGAAAGGAAUCUGAAAGGUUAAGAGACCCCAGCUCAAGUGAAGGAUAUGAAAAGUGGAGGAAUUUGACCCCGACUGCCGCUCCUAGAAUGCCAUGUUCUGAAGACGGGCCUUCACGAAUUAUAGAAGGGUCAUUCAAAAGAAAAAAGGUCAGUAAUGAGGAGGACCUUAUGGGGCAAUUGGAAAGGCUCCAAAUAGAAUUGGGAAAGAGUAAGGUAGAUAAAACAGCAUUAGAAAUGAUGAUGAUAGAGGGAGACAAAAGCCGAGUAUUUCUAAACGUACAGCUCGAAUCUAGAGAUGUAAAAAUAAUGAUGUUGGAGCUGCAACUGAGCAAAGGAAAAGUUGUAAUGGAAGAGUCCGAGAAAGAGAGGGGAACGCUGAUUUUGGAUUGGAUGCAGAGCAGCUCUGAAUUGGAAGCAUUAAAAGCCAACUUCAAUGACUAUCAGAUGCUGAAUAAAAUCAGGAUAAAUUUUUGCACGUUCAAGCGGAGUUAAUGGACCGAAUCGAGAAGUAUGAUGAGUUAAACAAGAAAUGUGUGAUGGUAAAAAGUCGGCUAGCCGAAUUGCAAGAGUUCGAAAGAAAGGGGAAGGAAGAGGAGGUUGUUAAAGCAGAUUUGGCAACUAAGAAAAAUGAAAUUAGGAUGCUGAAAGCGAAACUUGAUAGAGAGCGGGAAAAGGUAAGACAGUUGACCGAAAAGUUGGAAGCUUCAAAAAAACAUAAAGAACAGAUCGACACCAACAACAAUACCUUGAAUCAGAACAACAUGUUGCUUAUGGAGAAGAUGGCCAAAGUAGAUGAGCAAAUGGAUGAAGCUGCCAUUCAUGCACGGAUUAUUAGAACCAAUGCCCGAAGGGUGGGGAGGGACAUCUUUUGUUAUCGACAAAGCUUGGCUGAGACUGAUGCCUUCUUAGAAAAGAUUGAGAAUUGAGGCCUUGCUUUCCUACCAGUGGCUAGAAAUAUGGAUGAAGAGGAAGAUUGAUGUAUUUUUUUUCUUUUUUUGUAUCCUCUUUUCUUUUUGUAUCCUCUUUUCAAGAGAUGUAUUAGCCAAUAUUAUUAAUGAAAAGGGGCCUUGACCCAUCUUUUGUGAAAUAUCUCUUAUAGAGUAAGGUUAAGUCUACCAAAGCAACAACUUGAGCAAAACUACCCCUGAUAAGGAACGUGACAAAGGAGUCCAUACCCAUUACGCAAGCGAAAUGUUGGCCAUCGAUCGUUUUUGAAAAACAAGCUCACAUUACAUAUGCAUCAUGCAUUGUUCAUUAUCAUACAUUCAUUUACAUUUUUCCAUCCGCUCCAGAUCGUGAAACAUAGGUCCCCCACCCAAGGUCCACCACACUAGGCUAAGAUCAAGAAUGGAGAACGAAGAGAGGGCCAUUCUAGAAUCCCGCUACCAAAGUGAAUUGGAAUCCGUGAGAAAUGAAGUUUCCCGGAUGACCAAUCUGCUUGAGCAACUUCUAAGAGCCAAGAAUGGGGAGGGAACGUCUACCCAACCACCCAUAGGAGCACCACCAACUCAUGUCCCUGGGGUAUCUCAGAACUUGAGGGCAGAUUCAGUAACGGAACAACACUUUACACUAGCCAUUCCCAUCCAGCCCACUCAAUCUCACAUCACUGUAGAUUUAACAGCGAAUGGGCCUUCCGAUAAUAGGUCCACUGGUUUUAUGAACGACGACAAGAUAUCCGCUUUGGAAGAAAGGUUAAGAGCAGUUGAGGGAAAUGAUUGGUUUGACCCCAUGCGAGCUUCUGAAGUAUGCUUGGUACCAAACAUCAUGGUACCAAAAGAUUUUAGGAUACCAGAGUUUAUAAAGUACACUGGGUUGGAAUGCCCACACACUCACCUUCAAGAGACUUGUCGACUUUGGUUUUUGUAUUUUUUUUACAACAUGCAAGAAAAUUUACAAGCAUUUAUAUAUAAAAAAAUAUCAAAAAUACCAGUUGAAACCCAAAAAAUUACCUGAGUGUCACUGUAUAGGUAAAAUACUGAAAUACCCUGGAAGUUCUCCAAAAAUUACGAAAAUGCCACUGGCGGCGCGUGUGGCACACGCGCGGCUACUGUUGGCUGCGGCGAAAUUUUCUGGCGAGAUUUCUGGCCAACAAAUGGUUGAUUCUGGCAGAUCUGAGGGCGAGGAUUCUGAUGGUGGUGGUUGUGAAGGUCUUUGAUGGCUGAUGAGUGAGAAUCGACGACUUGAAGCUUCUGUGGCAGCCGACGAUCGCGACCCUUUUCCGACCAAAUGGGGCGGAGACAACGCUGAAAUCGGCCAGGGUUUUGCUUUAUAUGAGGAUAGAGACCUUUCUGUGGUGGUUUGGAAGCUUGAUAUGGCCGGAGAUGGGAGAUCGGAAGAGAGAGAGGGAGUUGCCGGCGAGAGGAGAGAGAGAGUCCGAGAUUACGCUACGGUGUGAACGCGUGUAUGGUAAACAGGUACCUCUGAACACUGUGCGCCGUUGGAUCUCGGAUGAAACGAUCGGAUGGCUGUGAUUGGCCUGAUCUGCAGGUUGAUCGGACGGUCCGGAUGAACAGAGGUAGGAUCUGGUGUGGCGCGGUGUACCGAGAGAUUGGUACACCGGGUGACGUGGCGAAACUGGAUCUAAGCUUAGAUUAUUUCAAGGGCUGAGAUGUGUCUGGGUUUUAAUCUAGUGUGGUAAGCCCUAUUGUAUCCUAUUAAAUCAACGGUUCAGAUCUAAACACUAUUAGAUCUAACGGUUAGGAUAUAUUUGGUAUUUUUCAUAUUGUAUUUUUAAAAAAUCAAUAUCCACUCUCAUGAAGAAAUAGUGAAAAACUUAAAUAGUAACCUUGAUAUUCGUUUCUUUUCUUUCUUUUUCUUACCUCUCCCCCUUUGUUCGUUUUUCUCACCGGCUAUUUAUAGCCAAUCAACAGGGGACAUCAAAAUCUCAACAUUAUCUACUUGCAAGAAAAAAAUCGUCGAUACAACUGCCCCGCCUGCUGUGACAAAAAAAGUUUGCAUUAUUGAUUUUUUUAUUUUGUUUUAUUAUAUAUAAUAAUAAAUAUUUAUAUGGAUAAAACUAAAACUCAAAUUAGUAUUAGAAAAGCCCGUUUCAACCGCUAAAAAUCAAUUUUAAUGACCGAAAAUAAUAGUUUUGACCCAAAAUAACCUGAAACUCAUUUUUUACCCCGAUCGACAUGGUUGGACCCGUAUGGACUCGGUGGACUCGGUUUUGACCGAAUAUGACGGUUUUGACCCAAAACGGCCCGACACUUAUUUUUUACCCUGGUCGACAUGGUUUGACCCGUAUUGACUCGGUGGACUCGGUUUUGACCCGAAACGGCCUGAAACUCAUUUUUUACCCUGGUCGACAUGGUUUGACCCGUAUUGACUCGGUGGACUCGGUUUUGACCGAAAAUGACGAUUUUGACCCAAAACGGCCUGAAACUCAUUUUUUACCCUGGUCGACAUGGUUUGACCUAUAUUGACUCGAUGGACUCGGUUUUGAUCGAAAGAUGCGGUUGACUCGAGAAAAAUAUAUUUUUAAAUUUUCCUUUUUCUUAAUUGUUUUGGAUUUUUAUAAAUAAUAAUAGAAAUAAAAUAACAUUCAAGAAAAUCUUGGUGAAUCCAAAAUUGGGUUACAACAGUUGCACCCUCUUUACAAUGCUUACGGUGCAAAGGCAUUGGAAAAUUCAUUUUCUUUUGACUUUGCAUAGUAAGUUUUGUAAAGAAAAACGAUGGAAGUGUUGAAAAAUGCACAGAUUUUUCGGUUGGUCUAAUUGUUAUGGGCGACCUGCCCAAGUGAAAAACAUGAAAGUGUUUUCAAUAUUGGUUUUGUGAAAUACAUGAAAGUGAUUUCAGCAAUGGUUUUGUGAAAUACAUGAAAGUGAUUUCAACAAUGGUCCUAUUUUCCAGAUGACCACCCCGAUGAUAAAAUGCGAGGAAACUCGCAAGUGGUUUAAUUGUUCCAGGCGACCUGCCCGAUGAUAAAAUGCGAAGAAACUCGCAAGUGGUCUAAUUGUUCUAGGCGACCUGCCCAAUAGUGAAAUGCGAGGAAACUCGUAAGUGGUCUAAUUGUUCCAGGCGACCUGCCCGAUGAUAAAAUGCGAGGAAACUCGCAAGUGGUCUAAUUGUUCCAGGCGACCUGCCCGAUGAUAAAAAAUGCGAGGAAACUCGCAAGUGGUCUAAUUGUUCCAGGCGACCUACCCGACAAUGAAAAUGCGAGGAAACUCGUAAGUAGUCUAAUUGUUCCAGGCGACCUGCCCGAUGAUAAAAAAAUGCGAGGAAACUUGCAAGUGGUCUAAUUGUUCCAAUCUAAUUGUUCCAGGCGACCUGCCCGAUGAUAAAAAAUGCGAGGAAACUCGCAAGUGGUCUAAUUGUUCCAAGCGACCUGCCCGAUGAUAAAAUGCGAAGAAACUCGCAAGUGGUCUAAUUGUUCCAGGCGACCUGCCCGACAAUGAAAAUGCGAGGAAACUCGCAAGUGGUCUAAUUGUUCCAGGCGACCUGCCCGAUAGUGAAAUACUUGAAAGUGAUUUCAAUAUAUUUUUGUGAAAUACAUGAAUGUGAUUUCAGCAAUGGUUUUACGAACCGACCCUUCUGUGAAAUACAUGAAAGUGAUUUCAACAUUUUUGUUUUGUGUGAAAUUCAUGAAAGUAAUUUCAACAUUGGUCCUAUUUUCCACGUGACCACCCCGAUGAUAAAAUGCGAGGAAACUCGCAAGUGGUCUAAUUGUUCCAGGCGACCUGCCCGAUAAUGAAAAUACGAGGAAACUCGCAAGUGGUUAAUUGUUCCAGGCGACCUGCCCGAUGAUAAAAUGCGAGGAAACUUGUAAGUGGUCUAAUAGUUCCAGGCGACCUGCUCGAUGAUGAAAAUGUGACGAAACUCGCAAGUGGUCUAAUAGUUCCAGGCGACCUGCCCGAUGAUAAAAUGCGAGGAAACUCGCAAGUGGUCUAAUUGUUCAAGGUGACCUGCCCGAUAGUAAAAUGCGAGGAAACUCGCAAGUGGUCUAAUUGUUCUAGGCGACCUGCCCGAUGAUAAAAUGCGAGGAAACUCGCAAGUGGUCUAAUUGUUCCAGGCGACCUGCCCAAUAGUGAAAUACUUGAAAGUGAUUUCAAUAUAGUCUUGUGAAACACAUGAAUGUGAUUUCAGCAGUGAGCUUUAGGGUUGAUUGAAAACUUCUAAAGGAAGUCAUACCUGUAUGGUUGAGAUCUGAUUUGUAAAUCGAUCUCCGAGAUGAUGAAAUCUUCUCAAGAAAGUCUUAUGUCUACGGUCGAGAUCUGAUCUUCUGUACAUCGAUCCCAAAAGAUGAUGAAAGCUUCUCAAGGAAGUCCUGUAUGUACGGUUGGGAUUUGAUUUGUAAAUGGAUCCCAAAGAUGAGGAAGGCUUCUCAAGGAAGUCCUGUAUGUACGGUUGGGAUUUGAUUUGUGGAUCCUAAAAAUGAGGAAAGCUUCUCAAGGAAGUCAUGUAUGUAUGGUUGGGAUUCGAUUUGUGGAUCCCAAAAAUGAGGAAAACUUCUCAAGGAAGUCUCGAUUUCAAAGAUGAUGAAAGCUUCUUAAGAAAGUCUUAUAUGUACGGCUGAAAUCUGAUUUGUAAAUCGAUCUCAAAGAUGAUGAAAGCUUCUCAAGAAAGUCUUAUAUGUACGGCUGAGAUUUGAGCUGCCGUUCAAAACGAUGGUAGGAGUAAAUUCCUUAUAAAUCACACAGUAUUUGGCAAAAGACAUCAUCAACUUCUUGCAUUUUCAAUACUCUCAAAGUUCUUAACUUUUGAAGCUUUAACCAUGUCUUCUUCUUCUUCCAAUGCUAACCCAAACCCUGUUCCUGCAGUAGAGCCUGCAGUUUGGCGUACUACCUUUGAAGUGAAUGGUCGUCCAGUUACAAUAGAGGAUACUGUAAUGGACAAUGAAGAUAUUGCUGUAGCCGUGGCUAGAGAUAUGAUCCUUCCUCGUGAUGAAAUAAUGCUGGCAGCCAGGACCGAUAUUGAAGUAGUGAAUCAGUCACUUGCUCUCAGUAUCAGAGCUACUUCGUCUUUGGUGAACGUUGCAGAGCGUCUUCAUGCUAGAAGACUUGAGUUGAAUACUCAGGUUCUUGAUCUCCAUCAUCAGAUUGAGAAUUUAAGGAAUAGACUCCGUGAUGAGAGACGUCACAGAAACAACUUGGAGAGGAGAAACCAAGAGCUAAAUACACGUGUUGACUUUUGGAGGGAUUAUGUUAACACACGACACCUCGAGUUCGAGGAAGAGAUGGAGCGCAUGCAUAAGCAAUUUGAGGAAUUCCGAGGCAUGAUUAACCAUCAAGAUGAAAAUAUCCCUGAUCGUCCUCGCACUGUUUAACAUUUGUACUUGUAAACCCCUUUUUCCAUGAAUAAAAAUCCAUAUUUCUUGUCUUCAUUUAUGAAUUUUGCUUUUGUGGAAUUGCCAUCUUUGAUGUGAUUUAAAAGAACUUCAAUUCAUGUGAGUCUCGUUGGAUCCCAGUGGGGAUAUUGUUUCAUAAAAUAUCUGCAAAACAAUUAUGCAAUGCAUGUGAAGUUAGAUGAUAUGCAAUGCAUCUUACCUGUUUUUGAAACAUAGGUCCCCCCUUUUUGAUGCUUCAUCGUCAUAGGGUGGCUUUGUUUGCAUUCCAAAACCUUCUUUGUUUUUCGAUGCAUUGGCUCAUUCAUGUGCUAGCCAUCCGCUCAGUUGUAAAUGCAGUGCCCAUCUUGGGUUGUCCGUGAUGAUUACUGCUCUCGCUGUUUAUCAAGCUUGACAAUGCCCCCAAGUGUAGUGUUGCUUGAUUUAUCAUUAAGAAGCUUAACAAAUCGUUCAUCUCCUGGAUUCUUUCAAGAAUUGUUCUCUGAUUGAUUGUGUGCAUCGUGCCAACACCUAUCAAGAUUGUCAAUCAGUUAUGAACUCACCUCCAGUUGAAACAUACCCUUCAAGGAUAUGCGGUCAUCCACUUUCAUGGAACUGUCAUGUCAUUCAGACCUGCAUUUCAUACUUUGCAGUACAAAGCUCAUCGUUGUAUGCUCAGCUUCUUUCUCAAUAGGUUCUUCUCAACUCAUUUAACCAGAUUGUGAAAAGAAGUGUCUCAGCCUCUUCAAUGAUGUUGCUUUUAUCACCCAUACUCAUGUGGUGCAAUGCGCAUUUGAGCUUCCAAUCAGAUGGCCCCACGGUCAGUCUAGGUGGGUGCGGUGUAUCCUUCCAACAUUCAUUCAAAAGCAAUCAUGUGAUAACAUCUUUCGAUAGUCAUAGCCAUAUUGGAGACGAUAAACCAAGAUGAAGAUAUGAAGAUGUCCUUCAGGUACAUCUUUGCUCUCAAUUGUUGUCGAGGUUUACUGGAUCAUAAACUGUUCUUGAACAUCAUUGCCCUUAAUUGAUAUGAAUGUGCUCAUUCACUGAUUAUCUUUCUUUGAACCAUAUUAUCCUCAGUUCAUUGAUUCAUCAUUUGAUCAUCUCUACCCCCCAGCUGAUUUAAAAACUGUUUGUUUUCCUUCUCAGAGGUCCAUUGUAUUGCCCCCAGAAGUGUCGAGAAGAAUUGAUGUCAUUUCUGUCAGGAAUUUGCAAACUCCGUCGAUGUUCUUAUUUGAAAAUCUUUCUUAUUUUGGAAUCAAAUCUCACAUUUCAAAGAUCAUGUCAAGCAAAUCUGAUUGUUGAAAUGAAAUCAGAGAGAUGUCAAUUUUGAAAGUAUUUUUGGAAAUCAAGCUUUGUUGGUCAAAGAUCCAACACACGCUAUUCAAUAUAGUCCUUUGAUUGUCUUGUAUUUUGAGAGAAAAGAAAUUGACUCGUUGUAAGAUUAAAAUGGCUUUUUUCAUGGUUUUUUGUAUCGAUUUUAAACUCUAAUUUUGGGUAUAUCUUUUGAUUAUCUGUGAUGAGGUGACCUUUUAUGAAUUUCAAGAAAAAUAAGGUACCCGAGGCAAAACUUGAGGCUUAAUCAAGAAAGAUGGUUUCUUUUUCUUAGCACCAAUUUUAUCAGCAUGCAUAAUAAUCAGUAGCUUGAUUCAUGAAGUCACGACCUGUAUGAAACAACUCUUCAAGUUUUGAGAUCGCCAUUUAUCGGUUCAGAUUGCUUACUUGAUUAAAAAGGACUUUCUAAAGCAUGUAAUGUAGGCUAUGGUUCCUGGCUAUGAAAGAAAGGAAUUUCACAAGCUCAAAAGGUGUUUGAGGGUUUCAUGAACCUAGGAUCACCAUCAAUUACUCAUCAAUCUCUUUUCCUCACGUUGUCUUUGUAGAGACGGUGACAUAUAACCUUGUUAAUCUCUAAGAUUAAAAUUCGUUUAACAUAGGUCAUAACGCAAAUCCAACUUUUCUUUAAUGAAUAGCCAAUCUAAACUUUUGAAGAUCAUAGAGGCUUUACCAUAGACACACCAAAAGACAUAACACUUGAUUUUUCGUGUUAACUUUUGGUAUUUGUUGUGUCUUUAUCAAUCUUUGGCUUUCUUCUUUUAGCCCUUUCUCAAUCAUUGGACUUUUGUUCUAAGCCUUCCCUUUGUCCAUCGACUCUAACAUUGUCUUCGUCUUUUCUAGGAAAAGACUCUCAUUGCCCCUAGUGUGGGGUGUGAUCCUAGUCAAGGUUUUUUAUGAAAGAAAUAUUCUAUCAGCUCAAAAUGGGACUGCAAGGGAUAUAUAUUUCAAGAAUUGUGAAAGGAUGAAACAAAAAUGGCCUUUUCUCAUCUCAAGUAAGGUCGGUUAGAACCGAUAAAUUUUGACCUCAUCCAAUAUAAUGAUUUAGACUUGUAAGAAUCAUAAUUCACGAGUCCAUAACUACUGAAUCCACUACGUUUCAUUAUGCAUACUGCUAAAACUUAGCUAUAUAGUAUGUGGUUCAAUUUCAUGUGUGAGUUCAAAAGUUUCUUGGUCACCUCAUGUCAUUUCAACAAGCUUCGAGUCAUUCAAGCAAAAUAAUUUUAAUCUUCAAGAUUGACUAAUCUUAAACGCAUGUUGGAGCUUGAUCAAAAUAUUUUGUCAAAAUAACCUUUGAAAGAAACAUCUCAUGCUUUCAGAACAACAAAGGGACAAAGAAAAGACAUGUUUUGUUAAAAGAUGAGAUAUGAUCCCAAAAUAAAAUGCAGAAUGACAAAACUCAUAACAAAAAGGAUCGACAGUUUAACACUCUUCUUGGAUCAGCUUUUCUGGUGAUAUCUGUGUUUUGUCAAGCAUUUCAAUCACUUGUCAUUAUGGGGAUGUUGUAGUGACAAUAUGGCCGAUGAUGUCAUUUUCACAAACUCAACUCGAUUCUUGAAAUUCUUGCAACUUUCAAAUGAAUGGCACAAAAUCCCCCAAUGAUAUUCAAAUCUCUUUUCUGGAUUAUACCACCUAGAAAAUGAUGGUUGUAUGGGAUUUGGCGGAGUCAUGGCAAUAAAUCCGGAGUCUAAUAGAUGCUGGUAGACAAACUCGAGUGGUCGAGGUAUGUCAAUCUUGGCAAAAAUAUUUGAGCAGUUGAUACAUAAUUAAAGCUUCCCAUCGUUAGAGUCAUCCUUUGAUUCAUCUCUCAUUAUUGUUCUACAAUCCUUGGCAGAAACUUCAAUAUUUCCCCUCUUCGUAGCUUGUUCAAUUCUUUCGAAAAUCCUCACAACAUCAAUAUCAAUCUUUCCAAUGUUGUUAUGGUUAUUUGUGGAUUGGUAUAAACUUUCCAAUAGCCAGGUAAUCUUGGUAGCGCACAGAAACAUUCAGCACCACCAUUGCCAACGUGUGGAAUCAUGCGUUGUCUCAACUGGAAGAGAAAAUGAUGAAUCUGAAAAUGAUGAAUCUGAAACCCUUUUGUCUCCUCUUCAAUUCCUCACUGGCAGUGCAGCAAACAAACACCUAUAGUGGGAAUUCUGCUUUGUUAAAGUUGCAAUGUUUGCUCUUUUUUUUCUCAGAGCAGCAUCCGAUACUGCAAUGUCUGCUUUGUUAAAGUUGAGAACAAGGGUUGUCAUUAGUUGAUGACUGAAGGCAUUGUUGUCAUUGUUCAUGACUAAAAAGGAGAGGUACAACUUCAAUGGAACGUGGACAAGUAGUGUUCUCAGCAAGAGCCUGUACAGACGUUCCCUUUCCACUUUUGAAGCUCAACAUUUAUUCAAACAGAUUUAUGAGUCGAGCCACUUCACCUUUACUGCUCUCAACUUCCUUUUGAUAAUAAACCUAUGUCUAACCCCUGUCUUUAUUUUCCAUCUUCAUCAGUCCAGUAGACCUCAGGUGGGGGAACUUAUGUUUCAACCGUGUGCAAGCUUGAUAAAUGAAUGAAAUGCGCAAAUGGAUGCAAAAUGCCAUAUGGACUAUGCAUGCUUGUUAUUUGUUUCAAGUUUUCCUUUAGCUUAUGACGAGGAAUAGACCAGAUCAGAUUCUCUUAAGAAAGUUCUCAAUGAGGACUCCAAACCUACAGGAACUUGAACCGAUUUAGGGGAGAAAUUUGAUUUUUAUUGGAUAUUCUUCAGUUGUUUUUCCCUCUACUCUCUUAGCAGAAGUAACCCUACCGGGAUGUUUCCAUGCCUUUUUCACUAACUCUAAUAAUUUCUUCGAGGUCUUGAAAUCUUCAUAAAAUGUUGGCAGUUUGGUAGUCAUUGGAAUAAACUGCUCAUGUAAGAUCCCACAUCGAAAGCGAGCGUCCAACGCCAAGGCCUUAUAAAUGCAUGUUCAUCUUAACUAGUAAGACGCGUUUAAAACCCUGAGGGGGACCUGGGUGGAAGCCCUGGAAAUGGGUAGACCGGGGGGCCUAGAAGGGACAGUAUCUGACAGGGUGAGUGUGCUGCUCUACUCUGAAAGACGCGUUUUGAGGCCAUGCGUGGCUGCCAAGAACAAACCCGUCAGGAGACUUGGGUGGAAGCCCUGGACAUGGGUGAACUAGGAGGCCCAAAGCGGACAAUAUUUUGCUAGUGAGGUAGGAUGUUACAGCUCAAAUCCAAAUUGUUGUAAAAUCAUGUUAGGACAAUAACUAAUACAGCAGCAGGCUCCUAUCACAACGGGACCCAUGGAUACUCACCAUAAUAUGCCAGAUAAGAUUUGAAGUAAGAGUAUCGACUCCUCCAAUGAAAUUGAGAUUUACUUAGAUUUAGAAACAUUGAUUCCCAUGUGGUUCUUGCUACUUCAUGCAAGUGUUUUUCAGCAAAAUUCUCCAGCUUAGAAUAAAGAUGCCAUGGGGUACCAACCAAACCUGAAAUCUUCCCCUCGAUCAUAUGACUCACAGUCCAGACAAACAAUAACUGCAAGCAACAUCUUAAACGACCCCUUCCAGCUUUUCUACAAUAAUUCAAGGAUGAGAAAGUUUCUGCCAAUAUUGCUGUAGCCGGGUUAAUUUUAAGGGUCACCACAUUUUUAAAUACAUUGACAGCCUCAAAAUCGAUCAUUCCCUCUGUAGAUGGGAAAAGAACCAAACCAUAUAUGCCUAAGGCCAAAAUUCUCAAUCGAAUUUCAUUGCUUUUAUCGUGUAAUCUCCUCUUGAAUAUGGCUUCUAGUUCAUUCCAAAACCAACCUUGGCUAUUUCCUCGUUUAGUUGCAUGAGAUUUUGCUAGUUGACAUUCUAUCUGGGUAAUCCAAGCAAAGUUAGAAAGUGCAUGCUCUAUAGGUGUGUAAAAGUAUACCUUUUCUGACUUGGGACAAUUUAGCAGGGAUUCAUACUCCUCAAUAGUAGGAGUCAUAUCCACAGUAUCAAAAGUGAAGCACCGAUAUUCUGGAUCCCAAAACCCUAUCAUGGCCUUAAAACAAGCAUGUUGGACCCUAAUUUUCAGUAAAUGUGAUAGAUCCCCAUAUUGUUUCUGAAAAGUGAUUUGAUCAUGAGAGGAUAACCUUUCCCAACAGUCUAGCAGCUGUCUUGUACCAAGUGGUCUGUCAUCUAAUUUAACAUGCUCUGGCAACUGAGACUCAAAUUCUGAUGGCAAACAAUCCCCUUCAUCAUGUUGGCUCAAUUCUGAUCUGGUAAAAAAUUCCUCAAUAGUAAUGGGUUUUUCCAUCUCACACUUCUUGUAAGGAUCGGUGGAGAUUUAAUGAGCACAUGAAAUGUAUAUGAACAUGUAUGUUCAUGCAUUGACAUUUGUUCGUGUCCUAAUGGGUAUAUCUUACUUGAUAGGAUCUAGCUCAUAAGGUUUGGUUCAGUUUAAUCUAUCCUUAAAGAUAUUUUUUGGUUCUUAGAUUGCCCGAAUUACCCAUGGAGUAAUCGGCCUCUUAACCUUAUACAACAUGAGUAUGGGAAACAAUUUCCACAAUACCCGUUGCAUAGGGUGAGUUACAAUCCAAGCGAAAGUCCAAAUGAGCAUCAGUGGACAUAAGUCACACUUGCCACCUGAAUCUCUCUUUUCUAAUCUUAAACAGGACGAGCUCGGGUCCAGAGCUUUUAUGGGUUCACCGUGAAGUGUGUGAAUACACAAAUAAAUAACAUGCAUGUAUGUGGCAAUAUGGAAAAUUGAAAAGAAUCACAGUAGAUAUUGCAUAAAAUAAAUAAUGCAAAUAAGAUAAAUGCCUAAAAAUAAAUAGCGAUAAGAAAGAACAAAUGAAAAGCAAAUACAAGCAGUUGGCUCAACCCUAAGUCCCCAGUGGAGUCGCCAUUCUGUCGAUACACGACGUCGGGCGACUGCUUCCGCUUUUUUUGUUUAUUUAACAAAAAGGGUUUUUUUUUAAUUGGGGGAAACAAAGAUUUUAUUGGAGUCGCCAUCUAGUAAUUUGAGGGAACUAGAAAUCCCAAAUUAGACACUGGUCCCAGAGAUUCAGGUACGGGGUUAGUUAUGAUUAAGGGAAGGUAGACACCACCCUUAAAACAUCCUUUCAAAGAAAGGUUACCCUUACUUGUGUGUUUUUUGUUUGAUUCAAAUGCGAUUAUAUUUUGGGCUUAUUUGUAAUUAUUUUAAAUGAUUAAUGUCGGUCCCUAAAAAUAGGAGACACGUUAAAAAUGACAUCAGUCCCUAAAAUUUAGGAGACUCGUCUAGAAUAUUAACGUUUAUUCCUAAAAAGGAGAGUUACGUCUGGGUUACCAAAAGAAAUAAUGGAUAUAAUCCAUUAUAUUUUGGGUUUAUUGGUAACUUGUUUUUUUUUAAAAUGGUUAACGUCGGUCCCUAAAAAUAGGAGACGCGUUAAAAAUGACAUCAGUCCCUAAAAAUUAGGAGACUUGUCUAAAAUAUGACGUUUUAACCCUAAAAAGGUGAGAUACGUCUGGGUUACCAAAAAAAAAAUAAUGGACAUAAUCCAUAUUUGGUAUUUGCAUUUUUGACAUCGGUCCUUUUUUUUAAAAAAAAAAGAGAAGUGUUGACUUUGGUUUUUGUAUUUUUUUUACAACAUGCAAGAAAAUUUACAAGCAUUUAUAUAUAAAAAAAUAUCAAAAAUACUAGUUGAAACCCAAAAAAUUACCUGAGUGUCACUGUAUAGGUAAAAUACUGAAAUACCCUCGAAGUUCUCCGAAAAUUACGAAAAUGCCACUGGCUAGAUUUCUGGCCAACAAAUGGUUGAUUCUGGCAGAUCUGAGGGCGAGGAUUCUGACGGUGGUGGUUGUGACGGUCUUUGAUGGCUGAUGAGUGAGAAUCGACGACUUGAAGCUUCGGUGUGAACGCGUGUAUGGUAAACCGGUACCUCUGAACACUGUGCGCCGUUGGAUCUCGGAUGAAAUGAUUGGAUGGCUGUGAUUGGCCCGAUCUGCAGGUUGAUCGGACGGUCCGGAUGAACAGAGGUGGGAUCUGGUGUGGAGCGGUGUACCGUGAGAUUGGUACACCGGGUGACGUGGCGAAACUGGAUCUAAGCUUAGAUUAUUUCAAGGGCUGAGAUGCGUCUGGGUUUUAAUCUAGUGUGGUAAGCCCUAUUGUAUCCUAUUAAAUCAACGGUUCAGAUCUAAACACUAUUAGAUCUAACGGUUAUGAUAUAUUUGGUAUUUUUCAUAUUGUAUUUUUAAAAAAUCAAUAUCCACUCUCAUGAAGAAAUAGUGAAAAACUUAAAUAGUAACCUUGAUAUUCGUUUCUUUUCUUUCUUUUUCUUACCUCUCCCCCUUUGUUCGUUUUUCUCACCGGCUAUUUAUAGCCAAUCAACAGGGGACAUCAAAAUCUCAACAUUAUCUACUUGCAAGAAAAAAAUCGUCGAUACAACUGCCCCACCUGCUGUGACAAAAAAAGUUUGCAUUAUUGAUUUUUUUAUUUUGUUUUAUUAUAUAUAAUAAUAAAUAUUUAUAUGGAUAAAACUAAAACUCAAAUUAGUAUUAGAAAAGCCCGUUUCAACCGCUAAAAAUCAAUUUUAAUGACCGAAAAUAAUAGUUUUGAUCCAAAAUAACCUGAAACUCAUUUUUUACCUCGGUCGACAUGGUUGGACCCGUAUGGACUCGGUGGACUCGGUUUUGACUGAAUAUGACGGUUUUGACCCAAAACGGCCCGACACUUAUUUUUUACCCUGGUCGACAUGGUUUGACCCGUAUUGACUCGGUGGACUCGGUUUUGACCGAAAAUGACGGUUUUGACCCGAAACGGCCUGAAACUCAUUUUUUACCCUGGUCGACAUGGUUUGACCCGUAUUGACUCGGUGGACUCGGUUUUGACCGAAAAUGACGGUUUUGACCCGAAACGGCCUGAAACUCAUUUUUUACCCUGGUCGACAUGGUUUGACCCAUAUUGACUCGGUGGACUCGGUUUUGAUCGAAAGAUGCGGUUGACUCGAGAAAAAUAUAUUUUUGAAUUUUCCUUUUUCUUAAUUUUUUUGGAUUUUUAUAAAUAAUAAUAGAAAUAAAAUAACAUUCAAGAAAAUCUUGGUGAAUCCAAAAUUGGGUUACAACAAUGUCAAUGGAAAAGAGAAGCCAAGAGUUAGUAAGGGCUUAUGCGCAAAGAUGGAGGGAUGAGGCAACACAUGUGCAACCCCCUUUGAUAGAGACGGAGAUGGUGACUUUGUUCCAAACUGAGAUCAGUGGGUUAACUCGGAGUGGCCGGUGCUUCACGCCCGAGGAGUUGAAGAAAGCAAAAGGCAAAGAAGUGGUAGAUCUUGACAAAGCACUAGAAGUUAAUAAGCCAAUAACUGAAGAGGAGUCAAAUGAAUUUUUAAAGUUGAUAAAGCAUAGCGAAUAUUGCAUAGUAGAUCUACUAAAAAAGACUCCAGCAAGGAUUUCCCUUAUGUCCUUGAUACUAAGCUCUAAGCCGCAUCGAAAUGCUUUGCAAAAGGUAUUGAAUGAGGCGUAUGUGCCCCAAGACAUUGAACAGAAAACCAUGGAGCAUCUGGUGGGGAGAAUCCAUGCAACUAAUUACCUGUACUUCACAGCUGAUGAGCUUGAUGCUGAAGGUAUCGGACAUAACAAGCCCUUAUACAUUACUGUUAGGUGCAAGGAUUGCCUCAUAGGAAAGUGCUCGUCGAUAAUGGCUCAGCUCUUAACGUGUUGCCAAAGCACAUGCUGAAGAAAUGCCAAUUGAUGAUUCUCAUAUGAAGUCGAGUACUGUGAUGGCCAGAGCAUAUGAUGGCUCACUUGGGCCAAUAAUUGGGACUGUAGAAGUGGAGCUAUAUGUGGGGCCACAAAUGUUCUUGGUGACCUUUCAAAUUAUGGACAUCCACCCUUCCUAUAGUAUGUUGUUAGGAAGACCUUGGAUUCAUGUGGCUGGGGCGGUAACUUCAUCAUUACACCAAUGCUUGAAGUAUAUCAUGAAUGGGAUGUUGGUAACUGUCAAAGCUGAGGAGACAAUAUCCAUGAUGAAGAAUGUGGCCAUACCUUUCAUUGAGGCAGAGGAUCGCAAGGAUAACAAUAUCCACUCUUUUGAGAUUGUGAACACUGACUUGGUACCUAAGAACACAGUACUAAGAAGGCCAAGGAUCUCAGAAGCAGCAAGGAUGGCAGCUCAAUGCUUCUUGGAACGCGGGAUCCCAUUUCAAUAUAACCCUAUCACUAGGGUACCAGAAAGGGUUAAUCCGAUAAAGAUGAAAGGUGUUGAUCAAAGAUUUGGGCUGGGGUAUAAACCUAAAAAAGUGGAUCAUCGGUGGGCUGCUGGUCGAAGAAGGGAAAGAAGAAUGGCUAGGAUUGAAGGAAGAGAGCUUGAAGAAGAAAAGCUGGAAAUCCCUCCCCUUAGAGUGUCGUUCCCAAAAGCUGCAUAUGUAAUGCAACCCGAUGAAGGAGCAGAAAGCCUUGGUCAAGAACUGUCAAAUAUGAGCAUAAACACCUUGGAGGAGAAUAAGGUGGAAGGAGGUGGCAUGAAGACGGUAGCGGGAAAGAAAGAUGAAGCACUACCACAACUAACUAUCCACACUUUGGAAGAAGUCUCUGCUAAGACCUUUGUACGAAAGCUGGCUGAAGGUGAGAAGUUUCAAAACUAGGUGACUCAAUAAGCCCUAGUAGUAUUUAAAAUGUAAACCAACUUUGUUUGCCUUAACAUGCUUUUGUCAUUGCUUUUGUUUGCUUUAUUUUCCCUGGUUGACAAUCGAGGCUCAUGAUGUCAAUCAGAUUUUGUCGUUGUCAUUGAGCCCACCUUUGUUUUAAAUAAUGAGAUCAUGCGUUUUCCAAAUUUAUCUCUUUAUUCAUGCAUUUACACCAAACACUUUCCGCUUUCAGGAACUCUGAAAGUGGAUCUUCCACAACAUCAUAUACACUUAGCAUCAAGAAUGAAUGGCCAAACUUUAACGAACAUGUGAUCACUAUGGAAGAAGAAGAAUGGGAUGAAAGCAAUAUUAGGGAAUUUACAAAGUUAGUAGAGCAACAUGAACAAACCUGGGAACCAACUACAUAAGAACUAGAAACCGUAAACGUGGGUAGCGAUCAGAUUAAAAAAGAGUUAAAAAUAGGGACCUUAAUCACUCCUAAGGAAAGAGUAGAGGUAAUUGCCCUACUACGAGAAUACGCAGAUGUUUUUGCUUGGUCUUACGAGGAUAUGCCUGGUUUGGAUAGAAAUAUUGUCGUACAUAAGAUACUGCAGGAGGAAGGUUGUAAACUAGUCAAACAGAAGUUGAGGAGAGCCCACCCGGAUAUUUGGAUCAAAGUUAAGGCAGAACUCGAAAAAUAGUGGAAUGCAGGCUUUCUAGAAGUAGUUAAAUAUCCACAAUGGGUAUCCAACAUUGUUGUCGUACCAAAGAAAGAAGGAAAGAUUAGAGUUUGUGUGGACUUCCAAAAUUUGAACAAAGCUAGCCCCAAGGAUGAUUUUCCUCUGCCACAUAUAGAUGUUUUGGUCGACAAUGCUGCACGUAGUUCCACAUAUUCCUUUAUGGAUGGUUUCUCGGGAUACAACCAGAUAAAGAUGGCUUUAGAAGAUAAGGCGAAAAUAACUUUUGUUACACCAUGGGGAACCUAUUGUUACAAGGUUAUGCCAUUUGGUCUGAAGAAUGCAGGAGCCACCUAUCAGAGGGCCAUGGUGACUCUUUUCCAUGAUAUGAUGCACAAGGAAAUUGAGGUGUAUGUAGAUGAUAUGAUUGCCAAGUCCAAGAAGGGAGAAGAUUAUGUAAAGGUUCUGAGGAAGUUAUUUGAGCGUUUGAGGAAGUAUGAACUAAAGCUCAACCCGGCAAAAUGUUCGUUUGGAGUUAAGUCUGGAAAGUUGCUAGGAUUUGUGGUAAGUGACAAAGGUAUAGAGGUGGAUCCUGAUAAAGUGAAGGCCAUCCAAUCCAUGCCAUCCCCAAAGACAGAGAAGGAGGUGAGGGGAUUCUUGGGAAGAUUAAACUAUAUUGCCAGACUUAUAGCUCAACUAACCACAACAUGUGAACCUGUCUUCCGGCUACUGAGGAAAAAGAAUCCUGGGAUUUGGAAUGAGGAGUGUGAGGAAGCAUUCAAUAAAAUCAAGCAAUACUUACAAAGUCCGCCUUUGCUUGUUCCUCCUAUAUCAGGAAGGCCUUUAAUAUUGUAUUUGACAAUAACUGAAACAGCUAUGGGAUGUGUAUUGGGUCAGCAUGAUGAAACCGGAAGGAAAGAAAGGGCUAUUUAUUACCUGAGUAAGAAGUUCACCGAAUGUGAGUCUAGAUACACGGUGAUAUAAAAACUCUGUUGUGCAUUGGUAUGGGCGACAAAAAGAUUACGACAUUACAUGUUGUAUCACACCACUUUGUUGAUUUCAAAAGUGGAUCCACUAAGGUACAUCUGUGACAAGCCCUAUCUCUCAAGCCGAAUUGCAAGGUGGCAGGUUUUGUUGUCAGAAUAUAACAUAGUAUAUAUGACAAGGAAAGCCGUGAAGGGGAGCGCGAUUGUCGACCACCUGGCUGAUAAUGCUGUUGAAGAUUAUGAGCCAUUGGAUUUUGACUUCCCUGAUGAAAAUGUAUUAUCAAUAGUGGGAGAAGAAGAGAAGAAAGAUUGGUGGACCAUGUUUUUUGAUGGGGCAGUGAAUGUUUAUGGUAAUGGGGUCGGCGCGGUGAUAAUCUCUCCUGACCAGAAGCAGUAUCCGGUUUCAGUUAAAUUGUAUUUUGAAUGCACCAAUAAUACAGCUGAAUAUGAGGCUUAUAUCCUGGGUUUAGAAGUUGUGUUAGAGCUGAAGAUCAGAAAGAUAGAUGUAUAUGGUGACUCAAUGUUGAUUAUCUGUCAAGUGAAAGGAGAAUGGCAAACCAAGGAAGAAAAGUUGAGGCCAUACCAGGAAUAUUUAUCAGCACUGUCAGAAGAAUUCGAAGAGAUAAGAUUCACCCAUCUAGGAAGAGAAGGGAACCAUUUUGCGGAUGCUUUGGCCACGUUGGCUGCUAUGGCUACGAUUGAUCUCGGGCAUAAGGUACAUCCUGUACACAUAAACAUCAGAAAUAACCCAGCUUACUGUUGCUCGAUUGAAGGAGAGGUAGAUGGAAAGCCUUGGUAUACGAUAUCAAGAAUUUUGUGCAAAAUCAGGAAUAUCCAGUGGGAGCUUCGAAGAUGGAUAAGAAAACCCUAAGAAGGUUGGCCAUGGAUUUCUACCUCGACGGAGAGAUUCUGUACAAAAGAUCAUUUGACAGAACCUUGCUAAGGUGUUUGAAUGAGACAGAUGCUAAAAAUGCUUUACGGGAGGUACAUGAAGGGGUUUGCUCAACUCAUGCUAACGGGCAUAUGGUAGCAAGGAAAAUACAAAGGGCUGGUUAUUUCUGGAUGACACUAGAGAAAGACUACAUCGACUAUGUCAGGAAAUGUCACAAAUGUCAAGUGCAUAGUGAUAAGGUCAAUGCGCCUCCGACUCCUCUGAUUAAUCUAGCAUCUCCCUGGCCAUUUGCAAUGUGGGGGAUUGAUGUGAUUGGACCUGUUAACCCAAAAGCUAGCAAUGGGCAUAGAUUCAUACUCGUAGCUAUUGACUAAUUCAUGAAAUGGGUAGAAGUUAGUUCAUACGCCCAUGUAACACAGAAAGUGGUGAAAAGGUUUAUAGAAAAAGACUUGAUUUGUCGUUAUGGUCCACCAGAAAAGAUAGUGACCGAUAAUGCACAGAAUUUCAACGGCAAAAUGAUCAUGGAGCUCUGUACCAAAUGGAAAAUCAAGCAUUCAAAUUCCUCACCAUACAGGCCCAAGAUGAAUGGUGCCGUAGAAGCAGCCAACAAAAACAUCAAGAAAAUUAUCCAGAAAAUGGUAGUCACUUACAAGGAUUGGCAUGAGAUGUUGCUGUUCGCUCUCCACGUAUAUCGCACUGCAGUAAGGACCUCAACAGGAACUACUCCAUAUGCUCUGGUAUAUGGAAUGGAGGCGGUGAUGCCUUUGGUAGUAGAAAUCCCUUCGUUGAGGGUGUUGAUGGAUUUAGAAUUAGAAGAGACUGAAUGGGCCAAAGUAAGAUAUGAACAGUUAAACCUGAUCAGUGAAAAGAGGUUGGCUGCAAUCUGUCAUCAUCAACUCUACUAGAAAAGGAUGGCCAAGACAUAUGACAAGAAGGUUAGACCUCGCAUGUUCCAAGAAGGAGAUCUAGUGCUGAAGAAACUAUUGUCUUUACCAGGAGAAGAUCAAAGCAAAUGGGCCCCAAAUUAUGAAGGUCCUUAUGUAGUGAAGAAGGCUUUCUCAGGAGGAGCUCUGAAGUUGUCUAGAAUGGAUGGAGAAGAUCUAGCUAGACCUGUGAAUUCUGACUCUGUAAAGAGAUAUUACGUCUAAUGUGUUCAGUUUUCUCCCAAAAUGAAUAAAGUGAAGUUUGGCUAUGAUUUCUUUGUGUAAAGAACCCUUUUUUUUCAUUUGCAUUGAUCUCACAACACUUAAUUUGUUUAUUUUCAAAAAAAAUCUUGGAAAGAUUUGGCUUUGUGCAUGAUUAUAAGGAAUGUAUCAUAAAAUGCUCAAAGAUGAAGUUUAAGCAUUUCCCGUUAAGAGGUGACCAAACCAAACAAACCCAACGCUGAGAUAAAACCUUGCCCCUAAUAGCAUUUUGAAUUGUAUGGAUAAAUGGUUAGGUAAUCAUCAUUGUAAUCACUCGGAUGUUUUUCUUUCGAGAUAAGAACAAGGUUUAUCAAUCCUAACAAUGUGCGUCUUGAAAUGAGGAAAGGCCAUCUUUGUCAUCCCUUCACUUUCUAAAGAUUUCAUCCUUUGUAGUCCCCAUUUGAGCCGGAUUGAGUUUAUUCUUUAUGAAAACCUGACUAAGACCACACCCCGCACUGGGGGCAAUGAGAAAUCUUUUGUUAGGAAAGAUAAAGAUAAUUGUAGAAAAAAAGGGUAAAGAAUGGAAGCCUAACAUUUAAGAAGAGAAUAAGAAGAAAAGGGAGAAGGAAUUUGAGCAAAUUACAAAAAAAAAAAAAGAAGAAGAAGAAGAAGAAGAAGACUUGGAUCUUUGAAAGUCCGAACCCAAAACUUGGGGGCAUAAAAAAAAAAGAAGGGGGGAAAAGGAAUAAAGAAAGAAGAUGAUGGUUUGAUAAUGCUUUAAGACUGAGAUGAGGAUCCUUAAGCAAGCUUCUCCAAAUGCAACCUAUGAGACAAUUUCACAAAAAACAAAAGAUAGAAGAAGAGUGGUCUUAAGUCUUUAAACCCUCAAACACUAUUGAGCCUUAAAGCAUCCUUUUCUUUCAUAGCCCGUAGAUGUAACCUACAUUACAAGCCUUUAAAAGUCCUUUCUGAUCAAGCGCACAUAACUUGGGUUAAUAAACGAUGGUCUUAUAACUCAUAGGACUUAACAAAUGAGAGAUAAUCCGCUUUUGUCCAUGCAAGAAAAAGGCUAAUAUGAGACAUUUCCCUUUUUCUACACAGCCUUUUCAAAUAAUUACUUAAAACCUGUUGAAAAGAUUAAACAGAAGAGCCUUUGAAAAGAAAAAAAAAACCUAAAGACAAACCGCAAACCGAUAAAACCCUCAUUGGGAAUCGCUUAAAAGAGUUUUCAAUAUGUAUGUUGAAAGUUUCAGUUGUCAUGAACAAAUUCAAGUCUUUUAAAGAUUCUUUUUGAGGAAGGAAUUUUUUGUGCUGGAACGAAAACCAAAAAACCCUUAAUUUGAGAAAGACAAAUUAAAGCAUUGACAAGAGCAUGAUAAAAAGCAAUGGCAAAUCAUGCAUUUUUGGAAAAGGUUCACCUAACGGAAAAGGUCAGGGAUUUCUUCCCUAAAAAGUGAUGGGUAGAAGAAACAUCAUAGGAAAUGGAUCCAGCAUGCCAUUUCGAGCACGUGAACAAGAUCGUAUUAAGAGAGAGUUUCAGAAAAUUGAAGGAAGCGAUGGGACCUAUGUUUCCAAACCAGGUAAGGAUGCAUACAUAAGCAUUGCAUCAAACAUUUUUGUUGAUUUGUUACAGGAAAAAUCCUCAAUAUAGUCCGGCAAGAUUAGAGACAAAGAAAGAAUCUUUGAGUUGAUGAACAACGAAGAAUCAUGCUUUGGACCCUGGAACGGGAGAAAGAUGAGAUAAACCCUAACAUUAGGGAAAUCUCAAAGAAAUAAGAGUCUUCAAUUCAAACCCUAUCAUCUUGAAGAAGAAACAUUUUUUGGUUAAAGAGGAUUGCCAAAAGGGAUCUCAGUUUAACCACCACAUGAAGAUUUUAGCUUUGGUUGAAGGGAGUCGCCAGAUGGGAUUCCAGGUUGACCGAGCUACACACAGGCUUUGGUUCUGGUUAAAGGGGAUCGGCGAAAGGGAUCUUAGUUUACCCUAACCACACAGAGACUUUGGUUCUGGUUAAAGGGGAUCGACGAAAGGAUCUCAGUUUAGCCUAACUGCACAGGAGUUUUGGUUCUGGUUAGAGGGGAUUGGCGAAAGGAAUCUCAGUCUAUCCUAACCAUACAGGUUUUUUGGUUAUGGUUAAAGGGGAUCGGCGAAGGGAUCUCAGUUUAGCCUAACCACACAAAGACUUUGGUUCUGGUUAAAGGGGAUCGGCGAAGGGAUCUCAGUUUAGCCUAACUGCAAAGGAUUUUGGUUUUGGUUAGAGGGGAUUAGCGAAAGGAAUCUCAGUCUAUCCUAACCACAUAGGAGUUUUGGUUCUGGUUAGAGGGGAUUGGCGAAAGGAAUCUCAGUCUAUCCUAACCACACAUGUUUUUUGGUUCUGGUUAAAGGGGAUCAGCGAAGGAUCUCAGUUUAGCCUAACCACACACAGAUUUUGGUUCUGGUUAGAGGGAAUUGGCAAAAGGAAUCUCAGUCUAUCCUAACUACAUAGGAGUUUCGGUUCUGGUUAGAGGGGAUUGGCGAAAGGAAUCUCAGUCUAUCCUAACCGCACACAGGAGUUUUGGUUCUGGUUAGAGGGGAUUGGCGAAAGGAAUCUCAGUCUAUCCUAACCACACAAUUUUUUAGUUCUGGUUAAAGGGGAUCGGCGAAGGGAUCUCAGUUUACCCUAAAUACAAAGGAUUUUGGUUCUGGUUAAAGGGGAUCGACGAAGGGAUCUCAGUUUAUGUUAACCACACACAGAUUUUGGUUCUGGUUAGAGGGGAUUAGCGAAAGGAAUCUCAGUCUAUCCUAACCACACAUGAGUUUUGGUUCUGGUUAGAGGGGAUUGGCGAAAGGAAUCUCAGUCUAUCCUAACCACACAGGAGUUUCGGUUCUGGUUAGAGGGGAUUGGCAAAAGGAAUCUCAGUCUAUCCUAACUGCACACAAGAGUUUUGGUUCUGGUUAGAGGGGAUUGGCGAAAGGAAUCUCAGUCUAUCCUAACCACACACACGAGUUUUGGUUCUAGUUACAGGGUAUUGGCGAAAGGAAUCUCAGUUUAGCCCAACCACACAACAGGACUUGGGGUCCGGUUGAAGUUUUAGGUCAACCAAAUUUUGGGAAGACCAGUUUCGGAAGACCAAUUUUGUUUAUCUUUACAACACUUACUACGCAAAAUCUUUGCUCCGUAAGCAUUGUAAAGAGGGGGCAUCUGUUGUAACCCAUUUUUGGGUCCCCGCACAAAAUACAAAAAAAAUUAUAUCAAAAUAAACAAAAUAUUAUAGAAAAAUAAUAGUAGUGAAAAGAGGAUGUCGGAGCGCCCAGAAAAUGGUCAAAAAUUGGUUGAGGAGGUUUAAAAAUACAAGGAUUGAAGUUUGACAGUAUAUCAUUGACUGGGGCUUAAUUGCAUACAUAUUAAAGUCUGGUGGGCAAUUAGGGACUUGAUUGAAGAAAUCCAAAACCAAGGACCAUAGUGAAAAAAGCGCGCAAAUUGAAGGGCUAAUCUGAAAUUGGACCCAUUUUGGCGCCAAUUUUCGUUUAAAUGAAACGGCGCGUUUUGAUAAAAAACGAUGUUCGUUUCAUGUAUUUCACGAAGAAAAAGAGCAAACGGUGCCGUUUUGAACGGCACCAUAAGCCUUCUUCUUCCCUUAUUGAGAAUAGGGGAAGAAGAAGCAUUUUCCCCCCAUUUUUUUCUCCUCUCUCUCUCUCCCAAAACCCAAAUAACCAACGACGACCCAACUUGUCCCUUCACUGACACCACCACGCCCUCAUGCCGAAAGACCCAUACCCUAUAGAGGUAGGGGCGGCUGUGCAGUAGCCGCCCCCAUGCCACCAUGCCCUGCACCAUGGCACAGGACAGGGCAUGGUGGCCCUCUCUCCCUCUGCCUAUAAAUACAGAGGGAGUGCGGGAGAGAAGAGGGGGGAAAAAAGAUUUUUUGAAAGAGAAAGGGAGGAGAAACCGAGAGAGAGACCGACUGUUUUUUAAGGAGGAAAAGAGAGACGGAAAAAGGGGAAACAACAUUUUUUUUAUUGCUUAUGGGCUGGAACAUCAGCCCAGCCCACGCGGCUGAGCUGAGUCCAGCCCACAGUAUAUGGGCCAGGUCAGGCCCAACCUAGGAUGGGUGGGCCAGAUCCGGCCCAAGUUUUUUUUGGUUAAAAGAAAAUUUCAAAAAAUAUUUUUUAGGAAUUUUAUAAUUUCCCCGCAUAUUUUUCUGUCAUUUUGAUUAAAAGCAAUAUUUUUUAUGUUGCUAAAAAUACAAAAUCCGAUAUUAAAAUACCUGGUUUUCGUCAAAACUUCCAAAAUACAAAAAAAAAACUUGUUUGUUUUGAAAAAAAGAAAAAUGUUUUUGUGCAUACGGCCAAGUAUCUCAAAGCUAAAAAAUCAUAUGGUGUUUUUAUACAUAAAAAAAAAAAACAAUGUUUUUGCAUGCAUUUUGGCUUUAAUAACCAGUUUAUUAGAGUCAAGAGAACAUUGGCCAAAAUUUCAAAAACUACAAAAAUUUUAUUUUGUUUGUCUUUUAAUAUCCGUGGUACGAUAUUACAUGUAAUACAUAUUCCGGAUAUUAAAUGUUUUUCCAACGUUAGAACGGUUAGGUUCUACCCCAUUAAAGAUAAUAACCUCCUUAUUGAGGAGGACUUUUCUUGAGUCUUAGAUAGACAGGACCAACAAGUAGAAAACACAACCAAACCUUAGAUUUUGAUCAGACAAAUAAAACAAUGCAGCUUACCUUAGGUAGGGCGUAUUUGGGGUGCUAAUACCUUCCCUUUACGUAACCAGUCUCCGUACCUGAUCUCUGAGACCAGUUAGGGUUCCUAGUGAUCAUAAUACUAGGUGGCAACUCCCAUUCUAUAUUUUUCACCGCUAAGAGACAAAGAAUUCCUUGUCUCCCCACAUUUACCAGAUAUAUAUCCAUACAUUGAGGGUGGACGAUCGCCGCGACGCCGCACGUGCGACAACAGUUAUAUAUUAAUUCUAAUAAAAAAUAUAUAUGGUUUCUAUGUUUAAAUUUUGGUAUUAAUAACGCAUACAACAAUGAGGCAGUUAAGUUUCUUUGAUAAAAUAAAAUCAUUUAAAAAAUAAAAAUAAGCUAGUAUGUUUGUUACAUAACUAAAAAAAAAAUUGAUUUUUUUUAAAUUAAUUUUUAAAAUCAUUUUAAUAGACUGAUAUUAAAAAUAAAUUUUAAAAAAUAAAAAAUAUAUUAUUUUGAUAUAUUUUUAAGAAAAAAACAUUAUGAAAAGAAAUUGUUAAUAUUGUUAAAAAUAUAUUAAUAUUUUAAGGAAAAAAUAAAAGAAUUUUUUUUUUUCAAAUUAAUUUUUUUCUUUUUUGUAUAUUUUUGUGGUUACCAUAUCAGACAAAGUAGAGGUUGAUUUCAACAUGCUUCCUGCAAGCAUGAUAAACCAAAUUCAUUAUGAGAUAUAUAGCCUCAAGAUUAUCACAUCAUAAAGAAGAGUAGAGGUUCAAAUCCCUAAAUCUAUAAAUAAAUAAAAAAUGAACUAAGCAAUUUUAUCUCGAAACAACAAUGACACUAACUUAAUGCUCAGCCUUGGUACAAAUUAUGUCAGCACUUCCAUGCCUUGUGAUCUUGACAAAAAUAUUUUUGGUCCUUUUAGUUUAGAAAUGAAACUUUUCAGUACAAAACUUUAUUUUACCUAUAUAUAUAGUUCUUGAGUUUGAGAAAAAAAAGAAAGAUUUGUUGAAAAACUACAAAGGAGAGAUAAAAUUAGUCUAUUUAGAUUUGGAUUGAUUUUCUAAUUUUAAAUCAAUUAAAUGUUUAUUUAAAAUCAUGAAUGGAUUUAUUGAAGUCACUUCUUACAUAUAGCACAAUAUUUAUGAAGAUGACACGAGUUAAAAUAAUUGUUUAAACACACACUAUAUAUUGUAAUGUUGUCUGCAUAUAACUGUCAUGUAAGGGCUUCCAAUUCGCCUCUCCGUAUUACAGCACUUUACAAAUUAUUAGAUCAUUUGAUACUACACACAACAUUUGAUAUUUUUAACCAUUCACAUACAUGAAAUAAAACCCAUGGAAACAUGACACAAACGUCGACUGCAACUGCAACAUUAUACUAAUGAGUGUAUUUUCUAAAGUCGAAAGAGUGCUACCCAAUCUAGGUUCAAGUGGGAUGAUGAAUUGAAGAGCAGUUGUUAUUUGACACUGCAAUUAGAUGUCUCAUAUUUGAUUUAUGGAGCUAUGAUAAGGGAAUCGUGCUUGUAUAUUUACAUAGUAACAAGCAUUAUUAAAGAUGGUACACUAGUAAGUUUCCAAAUGCUAUCAGCAAAUAUUAUAACCUCUUAAUUUAUACAAGGAUUGAGCUAAAUUGCUUUAUCAAAUAUUUUAUGUUUUUUUUUUUUUGAAAUAUUGUUAUAGACAUAGAAUCAACAAGUUUAUGUGACAUUCUAUAUUGAUUUUGUUAUAUUUUAAUCACUAAAAGUAUGGGUUUCAGAAAAAUAAAAACCAAACAAAAAAAUUGAAAAAAUUAAAAAUUUUCAAACCAACCCAAUCCAACAAAUUUGAUCAUUUUUCGUCUGGUUUAGUUCGGAUAUUUUUUAGUUGAAACAAUUACUAACCAUUUUCAAAAGAUAAAUAUUGACAAGCCUUUCACCAAAACCAUGUUCAUUUAUGCUGAAUCAGGCCAAAUCAGGUUCAGGUUGCUAACUCAAACUAACGCAAUCCAAAAUUAAAUGCAUAUAGACUCUGGGUUGGUUUAGUUUAUUGAUUAUUAGAAAUGUCAAACUGAAACCGAACCGAAAUAAAUGAAUAUUUCUAACUGAGACGCCCUAAAAUACUGAAAAAAAUGGUUGGUUUUGUUUAGUUUGGUUUGGUUAUAGCAGAUACCCUGACAAUUUACUUUUUCACUCGACCUCAAACAAUAAGCACUAUUAUUAUGUCUUUAAUUGAAUUACUAUAAAGUAUAAAAAUAUAUGUGGAUAAUUGAAAAUUUGCUUAGAGUUGCUAAUAAUUCACAACUGCAACAACCAUCACGACCAGGUAAUGCUUGGGAAUGGGAUCAUGUAAUUGUGGAGAUUUGUCUAGAUUUUCUAGAUAAUAAUUUCAACCACCCUCUCCUUUCCUCAACCACUAUCACUCACCUUUCAACCACCAUCAACUACCCUCUCCUUUUGUCAACCAUCAACACUUCUCAACCAAGCUGCCAAGGCUCUCAUUCCUUCUAUAAAUGAAGACAAAGAGAGAGCAAGAUAAAGUGUAGUGCAGAGACAGUGCAAGUGAGUGCAGAGGAGAGGAAGUGUGGAGAGUGCAAGUGCAACUUUGAGAGUUGUGAGCAGAUUUGAGAGAAACACCAAGUGUAAGAGUGAAACACUGGGAUUUUGGGAUUGUACUAGGGUUGAGUUGAGUGUUUGUAUCAUUCCUCUAAUAAUAUAUGAUUGUGCAUCAAAAGUAUCAUUAAGUCUCCUAUUUUACAUAUAUAUUUAUUAUUUUUAUUUGGGUUUUUUAUAAUAAUUGAUGUGCUUUUUAGUAAUGAAGUUUUUUUUAAUGUUUCGAUAGGAUUUUGGAGCUUAAAUGAAUUAUUUCAGAAAAUUCAACGUCGGAAUUCGGAACAAAGAAUCGAAGAGAAAUUUAGUUGAAGAUUGAAGCAAGUCUUGGUUCAAAUAAGUGCUCCAAAUUUUCCCCAAAAAUCAAUUCUAUUCCAAUUCUAGAAAAGAAUAUCAUAUGAUCUAUUUCAAGCCCAAACAUGCCUUAUGUUGUGUGCAAACUUCAACCAUCAAACACUCAAGGUUUCAAUGUCAAUCUUAGCCCAAAUAAUAGGUACAUUUCUAUCCUUAUUUGAUGCUUAAAUCAGCCCCAAAUCAGCCUCCAAAUCAGCCGAAGCACAAUCCAUGAUCUUACAUGCCCACACAACAAAUAACAUUUGAUUUAUUUUGGGUAAUUCAUUGAUCCAAGAGGGAAAGAACAUGGAUGGAAAGCUGGAGGGGACAUUGUGACAUUAUUUUGGGUCAAAAGAAGAAAGAGACAGCUCAUAAAGGAGGAAGAAAAACGUGCACCAAAGUGUUCUCCAAGCUGGCCUGGUUUGAUUUUCCAGAACACCUUUCGGUGUUUCGCCCAUAACUUUUGACUCAGAUGUCCAAAUGAGCUGUUCUUUAAUGAUGUGAAAAUAUAACAGAAUGGCCUAUAAAUAUGUCUCCAAUAGCCAUUUCCAGGGGAGGCUUCAAAAAGGGUCUAAUUUCUGUCCAAAGUUAGAGUCAAAUUUGUGUCCGAAUUUUUACUGAAAUUGUGUUGUGUGCUUCUUUAUAGAUUUUGGUUCUUUAGCUUGUAAAAAUCAUUAUUUCAGUUUGAUUCAAGUUAUUUCAUGUUUAUUAAAGUGUUAUUAUAUAUAAUCAUGGUUCGCUAAUCUCUUUCUUGGAUCCAAAUCAAGGAUGAUGGUGGUUGAGGUGAGUUUUUUAAGAUAUGAAUGAAUCUUAAUGUCUAUCUUUUCAUUUUCUUUAUAAAUGUUUUAUUAUUGCAAAGAAAUUUUAGAAAUCAUUUAGGUAAUGUUAUAAUCUUGAAUUUUUAUGCACAAACCUUAGUUUUGGUAUAGAGAUUGCUUGAUUCAAUGUCUUACUUAAUAUGAAAAUACUUGUUCAUUCUUAAGCAAUAAUCAAUCUUCAUCUUUUUAAACUUCAUUGUAAUAUCUUCUGAUCUAAUAUCACCAUCGUUGAUAUUAGGUUGAGUUAUCUUAUAUAUGUUUGAAGGAAUCACCAAUACAUCACCAUUAAAAUUGAUUUGGACCAAGACUUACUUUUUCUUGUCAUUUAAAAUCUAUUUACACUUUUUCAUCUUUGAAAACAAAUUCAUCAAUCAUUUUCAACCAAGUUAUUGUUAAUUUAAUUUCUCUUGAGUUUUUUUGUUACCUAGCUUAAUUUCCAGAUCUAGCUCUCUGUGGAUAUGACCUCAAUCUUACUGAGUUAAUUGCUACAUCGCACACUCGUGCACUUGCGAGUUAAAACAAGCCGAACAUAAAAAGCGGUCAAGCAAUUUUUGGCGCCGUUGCCGGGGAGCUAGCAAGCAAAGGUAACAAAUUUAUAUUUGAUUAUUGAAAAAUAAAAAAAAAUACAUAUAAAUAAUAAAUCAAAUGGCUGGUUUUACCGCCUAAAAAAAAAUUGACCUCAACUUUUCGGAUAUUGGACUGUGGACUAAACUAUUAAUUAUUGGAUUUUGGUUGGUUCAACCAUUUUUCUUUUAUUUUCUAUUCUAAUUAGUUUCUAAUAUUUAUUGUUUAUAUUAUAAGGCUGGUUUUACCGCCUCUUGUUUAUUUUAUUUUAUUUUGUUGUUAUUAUUUUUCUUAUAUUUAUUGUCUGAAGUGCUUAGCCGGUAUUACCGCCUCUUGUUCAUUUUAUUUUAUUUUGUUGUUUUGUUGUGAUUAUUUUUCUUAUAUUUAUUGUUUGAAGUACUUGGCCGGUAUUACCGCCUUUUUAUUCAUGCUUGUUAUAAUUAUCUUUUAAUUUUUAUUGUUGUUAUUAUUGCUUAUUAGUUGGAGUGUGAAUUUCUUAAUUUGUUAAAUUUUUAUUUUUGUGCUAUUACUUUAUCUUUUACAUUUCAUUUACUUUUAUUUGCAAUCUUCUUUUUCUUUUUCUUUUUUUUUUCCUUUCCUUUUGUAUUCAUAUAAUUGUUAUAUUAUUAGCUUUUUUUAUCAUGGCUAAUGUUGAAGAUGUAGAGGGUGAAGGGAGUGUUCAAGGUAAUGGACCUCCACAAUUCAAUGAUCAACCUAAUUUUCGAGUACACCUUCGUGUAUUAUCUUUCCUCUUAACCAACAAGCUUUCAAUUUGAAACCGGGCAUGAUUCAACUUCUUCCCACAUUUCACGGUAUGGAUUCUGAAAAUCCAUACAUACAUAUUGUCAUAACCCAAUUUUUGACCAUUUUAUUUUAAUUAUUAUUAUUAUUUUAUUUACUGAAAAGGAUAAAAAAAUAUGAUGAUGAUGAUAAAAAAAAAAUAAUGAUAAAAAAACAAGUAAAAUGAGAUAAAUGAAGAAUGAAUUAAAAUUUGGGUUAAGGGCAACAUGAUUAGAAGUUUUAGGGUUUAAUUAAACUUUGAAAUUAAUCUAAUUAAGCUUGGAAUUAAUUUAAUUAAUCUGAUUAAGGGUUUAAUUGGAGAAUUGAUAAGUUUUGAGACUUAAUUGAGCUUGGAAUUAAUUUAAUUAAUCCAAUCAAGGGUUUAAUUGGAGAAUUGAUAAAUUUUUAGACUUAAUUAAGCUUGAAAUUAAUUUAAUUCAUCCAAUCAAGGGUUUAAUUGGAGAAUUGAUAAGUUUUGAGACUUAAUUAAGCUUGGAAUUAAUUUAAUUAAUCCAAUCAGGGGUUUAAUUGGAGAAUUGAUAAGUUUUAGACUUAAUUGGACUUUGGAUUUAAUUAAAUUAAUGAAAUCAGGGACUUAAUUGAAAAAAUAGCAAAGUUUGGGGUUAAUUAGGGAUACGAUUGCAGCAGAUUAAAGUCCAAGGACUAACUUGUAAAAGGCACCGAAAUGCAGGGGCAAUUACAGUUUAAACCAGGGGCUUAAUUAUAAAAUUCGGCGUCGUUUGAAAGAGCACUAUUCAUCUUCUUCACCCGAAAACAAGAAGAAAACGCAUGCCUUUAUUGCAUUAAAAUCCAUGCAAAACGCAUGCCUUUAUUGCAUUAAAAUCCAUGCAACCGCAUGGCAUUCUCUGGUUAUAAAAACCAGAGAAGGAGAACCGGCAAAGAAAAAAAGGAUGGCAUAACCGAAAAGCCACUAGAGAAACACAGAACCGGGGAAAGAAUAGAAAAAAAAACUUUCGUUCCUCUGUUUCUUCUCAAAGAAACAGAGGAGGCCACGAGCAGCGGAGGAAGAAAGCAACUAGCCCACCAGUCCUCCAUCACGUCUCCGUUUCCCUGCUUACACAGAGGAAGUAACACCGGGAACACAACAAGACGCAAGAACAGAAACUGUACAGAGGGGAGCAAGUUUUCUGCCCCUGUUUCUUCUCUAAGAAACAAAGGCGUUCGUGCCUCACGAUCGUGAGGCACGAACGCGUGAAGAAAGGCCAUUCUCUGGCUUUAUAAGCAAGAGAAGGCCGCAGAGAAGGAAGAAAAACUGAGGAGAAACAUGAAAAAGAGAGGACAGAACCGGUGGACGAGAAGAACAAACACAGACGGCCGCGGACGAGCGGGGAAGACGACUAGCAGGGGAACAAACCGAAACAAAAAAGAAGAAGACGACAGAACAAGGAAAGCUAAAACAGAGGAGUAGACAGAAAGCAGUAACAGAGAGGAGUAACGCUGGUCAGUUGUCAUCCCCGUCUUCCAGUGCAGCAACAGGUAAGUUGCGUUGCCCCUCCCUGCAUUUUAAUUGCAUGUUGCUGUAACAGGCGUGCGUGAGCGGUUCACGCACGCCUGCGGGUAAAAAAAUAGAAAAAUGGCCAGCCGGGUCAAGCCUUUGACCCGGCUAGGCCUGCUGAGUCCAGCCCAGCCCAUGUGGGCUGAGCUGGGCCCAGCCCAAAAAAAUAAAAAAAUAAAAAAAACAGAAAAGUAAAAAAGGGUAGAAAAAAUAAAAAAAAUGUGUAUGCAUGAAUAAAAAUAAUGUAAAUUUACUGGUUUAUUCACUGACGCCAGAGUCAGGAAUAAAAAUACUGGUUUAAAUUUAUAUUAUUUUUAUUCGGUGUAUUUUAUUUUAUUUAGCUAGAAAAAUAAAAAAUAUGUGCAUGCAUAAAAAAUCAAUUUUUUUUAAUUUAUUCACUGGCGCUAGAGUAGGGAAUAAAAAAUAUUGAUCUAAUUUUUCGUAGCUACGAAUUUUUACCAACGCCAGAGUUGGAAUUAUUCGAGCUCGAAUAUUCACUGGCGCCAGAGUCAGGAAUAUUAUAAACAAAUCAUUAUAGCAUAAGCGAAUAAAUGUUUAGCAAUUGAAGACAAAACCAACAAUGCAGUUUGCCUUAGGCAGAACGUUUAAGGGGUGAUAAUAUCUUCCCUUUUACGUAACCAAUCCCGAGCCAUAGAAUCUCUGUUGACCAGUUAGGGUUUCUAGUGACCAUAAUACUAGGUGGCGACUCCUUAAACAAGAUCUUUUCCCCUAAAAGAACAAGAUGCCAGAUAUCUGUUCUUUUUCCAUAAAUCUAGAAUUAUUUUGUGGGCCGCUGCGAUGUCGGGUGCGACACAUAUUAAGGACUUUGAAGAGGUAUGUAAUACUUUUAUUGAUAGAACAUGCACCGAGGAAACCAUUCGGCUUAAAUUGUUCCCAUUCUCUCUAAAGGAUAAAGCCAAGCUUUGGCUAAACUCCUUGCGUCCUAGGUCUAUAGGUACAUGGAGAGAAAUGCAAGCUGAAUUUUUGAAAAAAUACUUCCCCACUCAUAGGACGACAACCUUACAACAUCAAAUGAUGAAUUUUUCUUGUAGUCCAAAUGAGUCAUUUCACCAAGCUUGGGAAAGGUUCAAAGACUUGUUAAAUGCAUACCCCCACCAUGGUUUUGAGAUGUGGAGGUUAGUGAGUUUCUUCUACGACUCUCUUACCGCAGAUUUUAAAAAGCUAGUGUCAACCAUGUGUAAUGGUGAGUUUUAUGACAAAGAACCAAGUGAAGCCUUUAAUUUCUUUGAUCAAUUGGCUGAAAACACAAAGCAAUGGGAGACUUCUCUCCUACUUCAUGUUGAGUCUAGAAACACCAUUUCUCAUUCAAGUGGGAAGUUCCAAUUGAAAGAGAUUGAUGACCUCAAUGCUAGAUUAGCCUCAUUGGCUAGGAAAGUAGAGUCUCUUGAGAUUAAAAAAGUGCAUGUCAUGAGUGAACAACAAGAGGAAAGUUGUGUUGUUUGUGAGAGCAAAGGGCAUAGGACAACUGAGUGUCCUACCAUUCCAGCCUUCAAGGAAGUGCUAUAUAGCCAAACUUCUGAUUCAAGUAAUGUUAGAAAGCCAUUUUCAAACCAAGUAGGCAAUCCCUACUCUGAGACCUAUAAUCCUGGAUGGAGGAACCAUCCAAAUUUUGGAUGGAGAAAUGAGGGCCCUUCAGUACCUCAAACAUUUCAACCUCCACCCCAACCAUUUCAUGCUACCACACAUAACACGUACCAAUCACCUCAUAAGAGAUCCCUAGAGGAUACUCCAACAAUUCAUGCAAACGCAAGGAGGAAUCAAUAACCAAGCUUACAAAUUUCAAGACCAGACUAAUAGGACCUUAGAUGACAUUCAAAGUCAACUAACCAAGUUGACUCAAUCAUUAAGCAUUCAAGAGAAGGGAAAGAUCCCAGCUCAACCAAUGUCAAAUCCUAGAGGUUAGGUACACAUGAGUGAAUCCUCAUUUAGUGAACCUUCAAACCAUGAACAAGUCCAAGCCAUCACUACCCUUAGAAGUGGAAAGAUUAUUGACAAAGCUAUAGGUUUUGGGAUUCCUAGAGGUAUUGUGGAGGAGAAAUCUAGGGAAAGUGAAGAGGGAAUCAAAACACAAGUGACAAAUGAGAGCUUGAGUGACAAAGAAGGUGAGAUAAAUGAGAAAGAAAUGAGUGAGAAAGGAGAUGAUUCAAGAAAAAUUGGAGUCAAAGUGAGUGAUUUAGAAUUUGUUCCUAGAGCACCAUUUCCACAAAGGUUAGGGAAGCCUAAACAUGAUCUUAUGAACUCGGAAAUCUAUGAAUUGUUCAAACAAGUGAAAGUCAACAUUCCACUCAUUGAUGCAAUUAAACAAGUCCCCUCUUAUGCAAAGUUCUUCAAGGACUUAUGCACAGUCAAAAGGAGAUUGAAUGUGAAAGAAAGAGCCUUUCUAACUGAACAUGCUAGUGCCAUCAUCCAGUUUAAGACUCCUCCCAAAUACAAAGAUCCUGGUUGUCCUACUAUUUCAUGCAUUAUUGGAAGUCAUAAAAUAGACCAAGCUUUGUUGGAUUUAGGAGCAAGUGUGAAUUUGAUACCCUACACUGUUUACGAACAGUUAGGUUUAGGAGAAAUCAAGCCUACUCAAAUCACCCUUCAAUUAGUUGAUAGGUCAAUCAAGAUUCCCAGGGGUAUUGUUGAGGAUGUGUUGGUCCAAGUAGACAAAUUCUACUUUCCUGUUGAUUUUGUAGUGUUAGACACCGCACCUAUUCAAGGUUCUAAUGCUCCCAUCCCAGUCAUCUUAGGUAGACCUUUCCUAGCUACAUCCAAUGCUUUAAUUAACUGUAGGAAUGGGGUGAUGAAAUUGUCUUUUGGGAACAUGACUGUGGAGAUGAACAUAUUCAAUGUCUCGAAACAAAUUGGUGAACAUGAGGACAUUAGAGAGGUAGAUUUGAUCCAAACAGUUUGUCAAGAACACUUUGAGAGAGAGUGGUUCAAAGAUCCAUUGGAGAGAACUUUAAUUCAUGAUGAAAGAUUUUGUUCUUUGGAAUGUGUUGAUGAGGAAGUAAGAGAACUCAAGACUUAUCUAGAUCCAAUGCCUAUUAUGUCAAUAGGUCAAUGGACCCCAUCGUUUGAGCCUUCGAUUUCACCCCAAAUGAAAGUUGAGGCAUCUCUUGUCCAACCUUAUAAACUAGAAAGGAAGCCUUUACCGAGUGAUCUUAAGUAUGCAUUUCUAGGGGAAGAUGAAUCAUAUCCUAUUGUGAUUUCAUCAAAACUUAGCAUAGAGCAGGAACAAGAACUUUUGAGAGUGGUGAGAAAACACAAAAAAAGCAAUUGGGUGGACUAUUACUGACUUGAAAGGAAUUAGCCCUCUUUUAUGUACACAUAGAAUCUAUCUUGAAGAAGAGGCUAAAUCUGUGAGGCAAAUGCAAAGACGACUGAACCCAAACAUGAAGGAAGUAGUAAGAGGUGAAGUGCUUAAGCUACUUGAUGCAGGUAUCAUUUACCCCUUGCAAACUCAAAAUGGGUUAGUCCAACCCAAGUUGUCCCUAAAAAAUCUGGAGUCACGGUAGUGAAGAAUGAAAAUAAUGAGCUAGUACCAACUAGAAUCCAAACUGGAUGGCGUCUGUGCAUUGAUUAUCUUAAGUUGAACAUGGUGACCAGGAAGGACCAUUUUCCGCUUCCAUUUUUAGACCAAGUGCUUGAAAGAGUAGCCGGAAGAGCUUUCUAUUGUUUUCUUGAUGGAUACUCAGGUUACAACCAAAUUGAGAUUUCUUUAGAAGACCAAGAAAAAAUCACUUUCACUUGUCCUUUUGGUACCUAUGCUUAUAGAAGAAUGCCUUUUGGCUUGUGUAAUGCACCAACCACUUUUCAAAGGUGUAUGAUGAGUAUCUUUAGUGACAUGGUGGAAAUUUUUUUUGGAAGUUUUCAUGGAUGAUUUUUCAGUUUAUGGGGAUUCUUAUGAGUUGUGUCUAAUGCAUUUAGAAAAAGUUCUUGAAAGAUGUGAAGAGAGCAAUCUUGUACUUAAUUGGGAGAAGUGUCAUUUUAUGGUGACACAUGGCAUUGUCUUAGGUCACAUUGUCUCUUCAAAAGGGAUAGAGGUAGAUAAGUCAAAAGUUGAAGUCAUUCAAAAAUUACCUAGCCCUAGGACUGUGAAAGAUGUGAGAUCGUUUUUAGGACACGCUGGUUUUUACCGAAGAUUCAUUCAUUCUUUUAGUACCAUUCCCAAACCAUUGUGUAACUUGUUGUCACAAGAUGUUCAAUUUGAUUGGACAUCAAAAUGUCAAGAAGCUUUUGAAAAGCUUAAAGGGUUGUUGACCACUACACCAAUCAUGCAAGCUCCUGAUUGGUCUUUACCAUUUGAACUGAUGUGUGAUGCUAGUGAUUUUGCAGUAGGGGCUGUUUUAGGGCAAAGAAAAGAUAAGAAGCCUCAUGUCAUUUAUUAUGCUAGCAAGACUUUGAAUGAUGCUCAAUUGAAUUACACUACAACUGAAAAAGAACUCUUAGACAAGUUUAGGUCUUAUUUGGUUGGAUCUCUUGUUAUUGUUUUCACUGAUCAUGCAGCAUUGAAAUACUUGCUCACAAAACAAGAUGCCAAGCCAUGUUUGAUUCGAUGGAUCCUUAUAUUCCAAGAGUUUAACCUUGAAAUUCGAGAUAAAAAAGGAGUAGAGAAUGUAGUGGCUGAUCAUUUGUCCCGUCUUUCAAGCUAUGAGACCAUAAUUGAUGAAUCUCCAAUAAAUGAAUUCUUUGCUGAUGAAAAUUUAUUUUGUGCAGGUAUUGUUUCCUACAUUGGCUCUCCAUGGUAUGCUGACAUAGCAAAUUACCUAGCCACAAGUCAGAUUCCUUCUCAUUGGUUUAAACUUGACAAACAAAAAUUCUUGCGCAACGUGCGUACCUUUUUUUGGGAUGACCCCUACCUAUUUAAAUACUGCCCUGACCAAAUUGUUAGGCGGUGCAUCCCUGAUCAUGAAAUUCCAAGUGUCAUUAAUUUUUAUCAUGCAUUAGCCUGUGGUGGGCAUUUCUCUUCCAAGAAAACCACUGCCAAGAUCUUGCAGUGUGGUUUUUAUUGGCCCACCAUGUUCAAAGAUGUCCAUGCCUUCUGUGUUGCAUGUGACCGAUGCCAACGACUAGGUAACCUCACUAGGCGUAACAUGAUGCCCCUAAACCCCAUUCUUGUUUUGGAAAUAUUUGAUUGUUGGGGGAUUGAUUUCAUGGGACCUUUCCCAAGUUCAUUUGGUAACCAAUUCAUCCUUGUAGCUGUUGAUUAUGUGUCUAAAUGGGUGGAGGCCAUUGCAUCUCGAACCAAUGACCAUCGAGUUGUGGUCAAAUUCUUGGAAGAAAAUAUUUUCUCUCGUUUUGGCAUGCCCCGGGCUAUGAUUAAUGAUGGGGGAAAACAUUUUUGUAACAAGCCCAUUGGGAUUUUGAUGAGAAAAUAUGGUGUAAUUCACAAGGUCAAUACCCCCUAUCAUCCACAGACUAGUGGCCAAGCUGAGUUGACAAAUUGGGAGAUCAAGAACAUUUUAGAGAAAACAGUCAAUCCAAACCGUAAAGAUUGGUCCCUACGACUAGUUGAUGCUUUGUGGGCAUAUCGCACUGCUUACAAGACCUCUUUAGGAAUGUCUCCUUAUAGGCUAGUUUAUGGAAAGCCUUGUCAUCUCCCUGUUGAGAUUGAGCACCGUGCAUAUUGGGCCAUCCGGCAAUUCAAUGACAAUGAAAACGAGGUUGGAAAAAAUAGAAAGCUUCAAUUGGAUGAAUUAGAUGAGCUGAUAAAUGAUGCAUUUGAAAAUGCAAAAAUUUCAAAACAUAAGAUGAAAACCUUGCAUGAUAAACAUAUUCUUAGAAAAUCCUUUCAUCUUGGUCAAAAGGUUCUCUUGUAUAAUUCACGAUUACAUCUCUUUCCUGGGAAGUUGAGGACAAAAUGGAUUGGUCCAUUUGUGAUUAAAUCCAUCUCUGAGCAUGGUGCAUUUGAGGUAGAAAAUCCUAAGAAUGGAAAUGUUUUCAAAGUAAAUGGUCAUCGAUUGAAACCUUAUCUUGAAAAUUUUGUGGCUGAAGUUGAGACAUUGGAUCUUGAAGAUCCAAUACCAUUGUAGUAUCAGAAGUAAUGAGCUUUUUAUUUUUAUUUUUAUUUUUUUAUUCAUUUUUAUUUUUCUGUUUUUCAUUUUUUUUCUUUCUUCCAUCGCUUAUAUUUUCUUGUUCAUGCAUUAGGGACAAUGCAUUAUUUUAAGUUGGGGGGUGUGAGGUUCUUUAUUUUUCAAAAAAAAAAUCAAUGUUUUCUUUUAGUUGUGAUAUGCAGGUAAAAAAAAUCAAGCAAGAAGUCAGCUCAUGUCCAAUUCAAUCAGACAUUCAUCCUUGAAAACAAAAGGGGAGUAAUAGUUUUCUAAUCUUUAUACUUUUCUUCUCUUUUUUUUUUACAUUGAGGAUAAUGUAAAACUUAAUUUUAGAUAUUUGAUUAUGUUGAAUGCUUGAGAUGACCAUGCAUGUUAAAAAAAAAAACUUGCAUUCGUAUAUGAAUGAGACUUGUUUAGGAUCAACAUUACAUUUUUGGAUUCAUUAUUGUGUUGAACAUUGCAUGCUUUAAUUUGGGAUAGAUAAUAUCUUAUAAAGCAAGAUAUAGCAUACUUUUUUUUAAGAUUAUUGAAGUACAUCUUUCCUUGUAAAAGUUGUGUGAGUUGUGUGAUUAUGCAUGAAAGAUGAGUGUGAUGCUUUACUUGUGAUCAUCCCUUUUGAUCUAGUCCUAAACAAGGUUUAAGUAAAUAGAGUAAUCAUUAUUACACAAAUGUGUACAAAGUUCUAUCUACUCCAAUGUUUUGAGUUGCUCAGUAACUAGGGGUAUUCAUCAUAAAUGUUUAUCUUUACGUCAAACGGCAGCUUGAAAUAUGAGUAUGCAAAGCACUUUAAGUUUGUGACUUUGUGAGUAACCGGGUGCAUUCAUCACAAAUGUUUGUAUUCGCGUCAAAAGGGAAGUGACCACUUAAAGAAAAAAAAUAAAUAAUAUCUUCAAAAAAAAAGAGAAAAAAAAGAAAAGAAAAAAAAUAUAUAUAUAUAUAUAUAUAUAUAUAUAUAUAUAUAUAUAGAUAUUUCUCUAGUUUGCUACCUUGUUUGUAGUAGUGAGAAGGGAAGAUUACAAGUUGAGUUUUCGCGUGAAUCAAUUAUGUUGGUUGCAUGAUAAAUACAAUUCUAGAAAAGAAUAUCAUAUGAUCUAUUUCCAGCCCAAACAUGCCUUAUGUUGUGUGCAAACUUCAACCAUCAAACACUCAAGGUUUCAAUGUCAAUCUUAGCCCAAAUAAUAGGUACAUUUGUAUCCUUAUUUGAUGCUUAAAUUCAGCCCCAAAUCAGCCUCCAAAUCAGCCCAAGCACAAUCCAUGAUCUUACAUGCUCACACAACAAAUAACAUUUGAUUUAUUUUGGGUAAUUCAUUGAUCCAAGAGGGCAAGCACAUGGAUGGAAAGCUGGAGGGGACAUUGUGACAUUAUUUUGGGUCAAAAGAAGAAAGAGACAGCUCAUAAAAGAGGAAGAAAAACGUGCACCAAAGUGUUCUCCAAGCUGGCCUGGUUUGAUUUUCCAGAACACCUUUCGGUGUUUCGCCCAUAACUUUUGACUCAGAUGUCCAAAUGAGAUGUUCUUUAAUGAUGUGGAAAUCAAACAGAAUGGCCUAUAAAUAUGUCUCUAAUAGCUAUCUCCAGGGGAGGCUUCAAAAAAGGGUCGAAUUGCUGUCCAAAGUUAGAGUCAAAUUUGUGUCCGAUUUUUUACUGAAAUUGUGUUGUGUUCUUCUUUAUAGAUUUUGGUUCUUUAGCUUGUAAAAAUCAUUAUUUCAGUUUGAUUCAAGUUAUUUCAUGUUUAUUAAAGUGUUAUUAUAUAUAAUCAUGGUUCGCUAAUCUCCUUCUUGGAUCCAAAUCAAGGAUGAUGGUGGUUGAGGUGAGUUUUUUAAGAUAUGAAUGAAUCUUAAUGUCUAUCUUUUCAUUUUCUUUAUAAAUGUUUUAUUAUUGCAAAGAAAUUUUAGAAAUCAUUUAGGUAAUGUUAUAAUCUUGAAUUUUUAUGCACAAACCUUAGUUUUGGUAUAGAGAUUGCUUGAUUCAAUGUCUUACUUAAUAUGAAAAUACUUGUUCAUUCUUAAGCAAUAAUCAAUCUUCAUCUUUUUAAACUUCAUUGUAAUAUCUUCUGAUCUAAUAUCACUAUCGUUGAUAUUAGGUUGAGUUAUCUUAUAUAUGUUGAAGGAAUCACCAAUACAUCACCAUUAAAAUUAAUUUGGACCAAGACUUACUUUUUCUUGUCAUUUAAAAUCUAUUUACAGUUUUUCAUCUUUGAAAACAAAUCCAUCAAUCAUUUUCAACCAAGUUAUUGUUAAUUUAAUUUCUCUUGAGUUUUUUUGUUACCUAGCUUAAUUUUCAAAUCUAGCUCUCUGUGGAUAUUACCUCGAUCUUACUGAGUUAAUUGCUACAUCGCACACUCGUGCACUUGCGAGUUAAAACAAGUCGAACAUAAAAAGCGGUCAAGCAAUAUACAAUCUGCUGCCUCCGUGGACGUACCCGGUUUUGGGGAACCACGUAAAUCUGCUUGUGUUGUGUUUUAUUUGUGUUUGCUUUCGGUCCAGUAUGCACAACAAAUUGGUAUCAGAGCAUUAGGGAAGCUUAAACACAGAAAAACACAUUUUUCAGCUCUCUGUUCAAAGUUGCAGAAUUUUCAAAUUUCUCAGAUCUUGAUUUUGAUCAGCUGCGGAGAUUCCUCUCGUUGAUACAAGUCCGGAGAUAUAAAGAUCAUCGAAAUCGGAGUUGAAACGAGCCCUGUAGAGCUCGUCGAAGUUUCGCCUGAAAUCUGCUGGAAAAACCAAACAGUGCCGGAAUUCUCGCCUUAGAAGACAGCCACGUCAUCCGACACGUAAGCGAUGAGUCAUCAUCCACAUCAUCAACAGGGGUCCACAUCGCCCUGUCAUCAGCCACAUCAUCUAACAGUGACAGAAUAUUCUCUUGACAUAGUAAGAAUAUUCCGUUAACAGUAAGAGAAUAUUCCCGUGACAAAAUAUUCUUUAUCAGAGACAGAAUAUUCCUUUCCUAAGUCAACUCGGUCAGAUUGGUUUUUUGGCCAACUCAGUGAUUUUUUAGCCUGUUUUUGGCCGAGUCAAGCUGGUUCCUAGCAUUUUCAACCAUUCCGGACGCGACCGUGGUGUCCGUUUUGUGAAACAGUACACAUCGAAGUUACUAUUUUGGCUCUUUUGAGCAUAAAAGUGCAUGUUUUAACAAUUUCAGGAGUCCAUUUGUAAUCCAAAGACGUUCUAAUGGCUGAUAUUCCAGAAGAAAAAUCAGCGGGGAAUGCUAGUAUACCUCCAUAAUACAUCCCGGUAUCAAGUACCAAAUUUGAGGUGGAGAAGUUUGAUGGGAAAGGUAAUUUUGGCAUGUGGAAAUGUGAAGUCAUGGAUAUGCUUGUCCAAAUGAAUUUGGAUUUCACUCUAGAAGAUAAACCGGAGGAUUUGGAUGAUAAAAGCUGGGAAAGGAUAAAUCGGUUGGCUUGUAGUUCCAUCCGACUUUGUCUUGUAAAGGAUCAGAAGUAUGCCUUUCCAGAACAAAACUCUGCAAAGGAAUUAUGGCAAGCACUGGAGGACAAGUUUAUGAAUAAGAGUAUAGAGAAUCGUCUCUACAUGAAGAAAAGGAUCUUCCGUUUUCAGCACAAGAAAGGUACUUCCAUGAAUGAGCAUCUGAAUGAUUUCAAUAAAAUGAUAGCUGAUUUGAAGAAUUUAGAUGUGGAAAUUGAUGAUGAAGAUAAAGCUCUGUUGUUAUUGAAUUCACUGCCUGACACAUAUGAACAUCUCGUCACCACUUUACUGNNNNNNNNNNNNNNNNNNNNNNNNNNNNNNNNNNNNNNNNNNNNNNNNNNNNNNNNNNNNNNNNNNNNNNNNNNNNNNNNNNNNNNNNNNNNNNNNNNNNAGAUUGUUCACAAGGAGUCAACGUCAGAAGCAUUGACAGUUAGAGGCAGAACAAACCCCAGAAGAUUUCGAGGACGAGGGAGAUCUCGCUCAAAAUCCAGAGGAGAAUCAUCAAACAGACGAUAUCUUGCAAAAGAUUAGUGUGCCUUUUGUCACAAAAAGGGCACUGGAAGAAAGAUUGUCCAAUCAAGGGCAGUAAGGAAAAAGAUGAACCAACUGUGAACGUUGCACGAGAUGAGGAUGAACAAGACUCUGCAUUCAUGGUCUCAUCACCAGAAAACCAUUCUGGUGAAUGGAUUCUUGAUUCUGCAUGUUCCUAUCACAUAUGCCCUAACAAGCACUUAAACUUGUCCUCCUCGUGCAUACAUACUUGUGCCUAUUUUUAGAGAAUGGGGUGUGAUCAGUCACGGUUCCUGUUAUUACUUCAGUUUCAGAACUUUUUUUUUCCUUCUCGUGCAUACAUACUUGUGCCUAUUUUUAGAGAAUGAUGGGUCAAGCCUGUUCAGGCCUCAAGUUUAAAUUGGUGUGUCCAAUCUUGUUUAUUUGAGAUGAACUGUUUCAAGCUUCUUGUGAAUUCUGGAAUAGACGGUUAUGCUUUGGUUUUAUUAAUCGUGAUGUUUGUGUUUAAUCAUGUUGUUCGUGUUUUGACAAAAUAUAAAAAAUGUUUUCUUGUGUGUUGCAUAUGUUUAAUACCCUAAUAUGUUUUUAAUGUUUUAUUUAUAUAAAAAAACAAAUAUUUGAAGUUUCAAAAAUAUGUUUUCGCAUGGAUUUCUUAAACACAACACAAAAAUUAUUUUCUUGCAUCUUGGAUUUUACAACAUGUUUGUAAAUUCCAAAGGGUGUUGGCCAAUAUUCCAAAAAUAUAAAAAUCUUAUUUUUGGGAAUUCGUUUUUAUUCACUAUUAAUAUUUGGAUAAAGAAAUCCCAAAAAGGAUAAAUAUCCAAAAUAUUAUUAUGAAUAAUUUGUUAUUCAUUAGUAAUGUUUGGAUAAAGAAAUUCCAAAGGGGUUAAUAUCCAAAAUAUUAUUAUGAAUAAUUUAUUAUUAUUCACCAUAAAUGUUUGGAUAAAGAAACCCCAAAAAGGGGUUAAUAAUCAAAAUAUUAUUGGGAAUAAUUCAUCAUUGUUCACUGAAUAUUUAGAUAAAGAAACCCCAAGUAGUAAAUAUCAAAAAUAUUUUUUUCUAGGAAUAACAAGUCAUUAUCCCUCAAUAAUAUAAGGGCAAAUAAACCUAUAAAAGGUAAAUGUCCAAAAUAUUUUUAAUAGGAAUACAACUUGUUUAGUUUUAACAUAAGGGCAGAUUUAUGCCUGAAAUUUUAUUUAGAACCAUUUAAUCGCACCUCUGAUUAGUACUUAAAAGUGCAUUUUUAUCAAGGUUUUAUAUCAUCAUUUUGCACUUGAAGUAUCAAUAACUCCUUAACUAAAGCAUGUUUUAUAAUAACAUAUCUAAUUAUAUAAGACACCUUUAAUUUAUGGUAAAUGUUCAUCUUAAAUGCAGGCCUAUCACAUAAAUGAAAGAAUUGAUUGAUGAGUUGAAAUACUGAAAUUGAAAGGACAAAGAGAUGGCCAAACUUAGAAAAGAGAUGCUAGUGCAGUCCAAACUGGAACACUGUUCGAUAAUUGGGUCAUAUCUGGAGCUGUAGAUCUUGUAUUUAGGUCCAUUUUAUAUGGAUGGAAAGAUAAGACAUAGGCCUAUAACUUUCAUGUGGAGCCCAAGAUUUAACAAGGCCGUUUUCAAGUCCAAAUUGUAGCAACAAAAAAGAAGUCUGAAUCUGUUCUACAGCCCAGACACUGUUCAGUGUUCAGCCCAUAUCUCAAGUUCUAGAAGUCCAAAUGAUCUCAAAUGUUUACCCUGGAAAGAUGAGACAAUUUCCUAGAACUUUCAUGAUUUAAGUUUGUUCAAAUUAUGACGUCAUAAAUGACGUUUUUGGCAGACAAGAAGAUAAGAAUUGUCACCAAGUCAAGAUGUGGCCACCCACUCAUCAAUUAGUCAGCAAAUCAAUAGUUCUGAAUUUUGGCCUAUAAAAUGAGGCAUUUGCCAUGUAUUUAGGCAUCUUGGUUUUCAGAUCAAGAUCAUGCUCUUGCUCUCUCUUUAUAUUUUGUAAUGCUUAAGUUUUGCUUAUAUUAAUCUCUUGCUUAUGCUUUUCAUUUCCUUUCCUUGUUUAUUUAUGUUUCUCUCUUUCAUUAUGUUUAACUAAGUUAAUUAUGUCAAGGUGAAAAGGGUACACUAAUGGUGUAAGAAUAAGUAUAAUAUAAACUUAACAUGGACCUUAAUGUUGGAUACUAACAUGCUUUAUAUUUGUUAUCUUGUUCACUUUUAACACUUUGCUUGUUAAAUGGUUAAUCUAGAUUUAUGUUGUAUAACACUUGGUACAACAAAUACUUGGCACUUUCAUAGCCCAUACUGUAUGGUAUAACCGACACCUGAGCUAUGAAAGGAACUUGAUUUGUUGUUAACAUAAGUUAUAAUAAUGAAUGCCUGAAAACAUUUACAAGUAUUAGCAUUAUUCGAAUAAGAUAACUAAUGUAAUCAUUUUAACAAUUUAUAAUCCGAUUGGAACCUCCUUUGUGUGUGGUUUCCAGUUGAGUAGAGUUUAUACUAUACUUGUUUGAAAUACCAUUAGUGGAUCCUCUAACCUUGACAUUUGUUGUUAUCAUUGUUUAAUCCUUACGUUAAUCUUCCAUCUCAAAAGUUCUCAUCAAUUUCUUCCUCUUCUUCUUCACUAUUAUUAUUAUCACUGUUAUUAUUAUUGUUGUUGUUGUUGUUGUUGUUGUUGUUGUUGUUGUUACUUUUGUUUUAUUGUUAUCUAUAAUUUAUACAAUUAACCUCCUUGUGGUUCGACCCCGGUCUUGCCGGGUUAUUUAUUACUUCGACACUUCUGCACUUGGGAGAAGACAUCAAUCUUUUGGUCGUGUCAAGUUUUUGGCGCCGUUCCCGAGGAGGUAAAUUCUUGUACAAAUUAUAGUAUUUAUUUUAUUUUACUUUUUUACUUUUCUUGUAUUUAACUUUGUUUCUUUGGUGUUGUUUCUUUUUCUUUUGUUUUCUUCUUCCUUUUAUUCUCUUUUUACACGUGCAUGAGAGUGUGGUCACGUACAUUAAGUGGUAGACUUUGUAGGGUAUCCUCAUCAUUUUCAGAAAAUAUGGCUGAAGAAGAUAACCAAUCGCUUCAUAAUGAGAAUAAUGAGAAUAUUCGGGUUAGAACUCUUAGAGACCACAUGAAUCCCACAAGAACAAGUGCACCCUCAUGCAUAGUUUUUCCUCCUGAUGCAUCUCAUUUUAAUUUUAAGACAGACAUUAUUCAACUUUUACCAUCUUUUCAUGGCUUAGAUUUAGAAAAUCCAUACUUGCAUUUAAGGGAAUUUGAGGAGGUUUGCAACACGUAUAAUGACUCAAAUUGUAGCAUGAACACCAUUAGAUUGAAGCUUUUUCCUUUUUCAUUAAAAGAUAAAGCUAAAACAUGGCUACAAAAUUUGAGACCUGGAUCCAUUCGUGCUUGGGAUGAAAUGCAACAACAAUUUUUUAAGAAGUUUUUUCCAUCCCACAGAACAAACUCUUUCAAAAGACAAAUCAUUACUUUCUCUCAAAAACCAAGAGAAACAUUUUACCAAUGUUGGGAUAGGUAUCGAGAAUUGCUUAAUACUUGCCCCCAUCACGGUUUUGAAACAUGGAGAUUAGUUUCACAUUUUUAUGAAGGGUUAACUCCUAGAGAUAGGCAAAUGGUUGAAUUGAUGUGCAAUGGAACUUUUGAGGAUAAAGACCCUAAUGAAGCAAUGGAGUACUUAGAUUUGCUAGCUGAAAAUGCACAAAAUUGGGACACCACAGGUACUUAUGAGGCACCAAGUAAAACCCAACCUCAUACAUCUAGUGGGGGUAUGUACAACCUUAGGGAAGAUCAUGACCUCCAAGCCAAGUUUGCAUCUUUAGCUAAAAAAGUCGAAGCGCUAGAAUUGAAAAAGAGUGGUCAAUUAAAAUCUGUUCAAGACAUUGCAUGUCAAAUCUGUGAAACCAACGAACAUUCAACCAAUGACUGUCCAACCUUGCCUUCUUUUAAAGAAUGUCUCCAUGAACAAGCCCAUGCAUUAAACAGUUUUCAACGGCCCAACCAUAACCCAUAUUCGCAAACAUAUAACCCUGGUUGGAGAAAUCAUCCAAAUUUCAGUUGGAAGAGUGAGAACAAUAAUGCUCAAACUUCACAGCCACCGUUUCAAGCACAUCAUAAUUUCCAAAAUUCUCAUAGAUAUGCACCUCCUUAUGCUCCACCUCCUAGAAGAAAUCUUGAGGAAACAUUGCAUGCAUUUAUGGAAAAGCAAGAGGCAAUUAACACUCAACUUGCUCAAAGCAUGACAGAUUUUAAAGAUACUCUGGCAAAAUUGACAUCUGCUCUCAGUUUCCAAGAGAAAGGUAAGUUUCCAUCUCAACCACAACAAAAUCCAAAGGGGCAAUACAAUGUGAAUGCAAGUAGUUCGGGAAGCCAACACAUGGAUCACGUAAAAUCAGUCAUCACUCUUCGCAGUGGUAAGGUUAUUAAAAAACCCAUUCUUGAACCUUGUGAGAAUGAUGAUGAGUCAAUCUCUCUGAGGGUAAGGAAGGGGUUGAAUCUGAUCAUUGCAAAGAAAAGACUGAUUCUCCGCCAGCACUUCCAUUUCCUCAUGCCAUGACGAAACAAAGGAAAGUCAAUCACAACUCUGAAAUUUUUGAAACCUUCAAACAGGUAAGGAUCAAUAUACCUUUGCUGGAUGCUAUUAAACAGGUUCCUUCUUAUGCUAAAUUUUUGAAAGAUCUGUGCACUGUGAAGAGAAAACUGAAUGUGAAAAAGAAAGCCUUUUUAGCCGAACAAGUAAGUGCCAUUCUUCAGAACAAUAAUGCAUUGAAAUAUAAAGACCCUGGUUGUCCUACAAUUUCAUGCUUUAUUGGAGAACAUAAAAUUGAAAGAGCUUUACUUGAUCUUGGAGCUAGUGUGAAUUUACUUCCAUAUUCAGUUUUUCAAAGUCUCAAUCUAGGUGAGUUAAACCAACUUCUAUAACUCUUUUACUUGCCGAUAGAUCUGUAAAAGUGCCUAGAGGAAUAGUUGAAGAUGUGUUAGUACAAGUUGAUAAAUUCAUUUAUCCUGUGGAUUUUAUUGUCUUGGACACACAACCUAUUGAAGCAUGUAAUUCAUUUCCUGUUAUUUUAGGGCGUCCAUUUCUUGCAACUUCUAAUGCAUUGAUUAAUUGUAGGAAUGGACUGAUGAAGCUAUCAUUUGGGAACAUGACAUUAGAGAUGAAUAUUUUCAACAUUUGCAAGCAACCUCGAGAUGAUAAUGAUUUACAAGAAGUAGAUUUUAUUGAAGAAUUGGUUUAUGAUCAAUUUGAAUCUACUUUGAGUAAUACUGAGUUUGAUGAAUUUGAAGAUUUGCAAAUGACUUAUUCUCAGGAAGAAAUCACGGAUGAAAAAGGCAUUGAAAAUGUUGAUGCGAAUCUUUUGUCAAGAGUGACAACAGAUUCGAUAUCUGACAUCACACCAACCGAUGAUUACUUUCCUGACAAAUCCUUACUUUCUCUUAGUUCAAUGCCUUGGUUUCCUAAAAAUAUCAAUUUCCUUGCCUCAGGAGAUUUGCCAACUCAUUGGAGUACCGAAGACAAAGGUAAGUUUUUGAACGAAGUGAAGAAAUUUUAUUGGGAUGACCCUAACUUAUUCAAACAUUGUCCUGAUCAAAUAUUUCAAAUAUGCAUUGCGGACAAUGAGGUAAGUAGUGUCAUUAAAUUUUGUCAUUUUGAAGCAUGUGGGAGUCAUUUCUCGUCAAAAAAGGCCAUUGCAAAAAUCUUUCAAACUGGAUUUUAUUGGCCCACCAUGUUCAAGGACACACAUGCAUUCUGCAAAACUUGUGAAAAUUGUCAAAAAGUUGAUACUGGUCAAAAAGUUUUGCUUUAUAAUUCUCAACUCCAUUUAUUUCCUGGAAAGUUAAGAUCAAGAUGGAGCGGUCCAUUUAUUGAGAAACAUGUGUAUCCUUAUGGGGUCUGUGAUAUCGCGAAUCCAAAAAAUAGCAAUGUUUUCAAGGUAAAUGGACAUCGUUUGAAAGUCUACUUUGAUAAUUUUUCAGUUGAAAAUGACUCUAUUGAAUUGAGUGAUCCUGUAUAUAAAGAUUGAUUCGUUUUAUCACAUUGUUUUGUGUUUCAUUUUGCUAGUUUCUCUCACCCCGGUCAAAAGGCGGAUAACGGUACUCCGUGACUUAAGUCGGUUCUUUCAGUUUCUCAUAAUAACUGAUAUUUGUAUAUAUUUGUGCAAUUCUUUGCUCUUUCUCCAUUCUUUGACUCUGUUCUCCAAUUCUCAUUUGAAAAUGGACACCACUCUUGAAAAAUUGAAAAAGUAUUUUCCCGCUCUGCCUCAGAAUGCGAUUACAAAAAUUUACCGUGCUAGGUGUGCAAGAUUGAAGUUGUUGAUGAAUCAUGGAAUUCCUGAAGAUAUUCGCUGGCUGAUUGAAGCAAAGGUCCGAUUAUUAGGUGAGUCCUCCAAUUCUUUCAUUUCACACAUGCCUGGAACAGGUAAAAGCACUUUUGCAAAGAAACGUCGUGCAAAACGACUGAAAGUCUGUCACAAAUGUGCCAGAUGGACUUGCAAUGCAACAUGUCGUUCUUUAGGAAUGGUAUCUAUAAACCGUGAAGAUAAAAUACAAUUCAUUAAGGAUGGCCUGAGUAAGGGGUCUUUAGAUAAUCUUUUGUUGACCCUUGAGACGCAUCCUAGUGGAGAUGUGCAUCGUGCAAUUCAUGAUUUAUAGCCCCAUUUUCAUAAAGAACAUGAUAGACUCAGUCUUGGGAAUCUGACUAAAAAAGACCUUGUUUGCCACUUUUUAAGAAAACUGGAUGGGAAGCCUCUCCCCGACCCAUAGAGGGCGUUUAAGCCGUUCUUGGACAUAAAACCAAGGGAAGAUGUGAGCCACAAUCACAACUACCUGUACAUACACAUUCUUUUUCAAAAUAAAUAAAUAAAAUAUAAAGAGAGAGCAAGAGCAUGAUCUUGAUCUGAAAACCAAGAUGCCUAAAUACAUGGCAAAUGCCUCCUUUUAUAGGCCAAAAUUCGGAACUAUUGAUUUGCGGACUAAUUGAUGAGUGGGUGGCCACAUCUUGACUUGGUGACAAUUCUUAUCUUCUAGUCUGCCAAAAACGUCAUUGAUGACGUCAUAAUUUGAACAAACUUAAAUCAUGAAAGUUCUAGGAAAUUGUCUCAUCUUUCCAGGGUAAACAUUUGAGAUCAUUUGGACUUCUAGAACUUGAGAUAUGGGCUGAACACUGAACAGUGUCUGGGCUGCAGGACAGAUUCGGACUUCUUCUUUGUUGCUACAAUUUGGACUUGAAAACGGCCUUUUUAAAUCUUGGGCUCCACAUGAAAGUUGUAGACCUAUGUCUUAUCUUUCCAUCCAUAUAAAAUGGACCUAAAUACAAGAUCUACAGCUCCAGAUAUGACCCAAUUACCGAACAGUGUUCCAGUUUGGACUGCACCAGCAUCUCUUUUCUAAGUUUGGCCAUCUCUUUGUCCUUUCAAUUUCAGUAUUUCAACUCAUCAAUCAAUUCUUUCAUUUAUGUGAUAGGCCUGCAUUUAAGAUGAACAUUUACCAUAAAUUAAAGGUAUCUUAUAUAAUUAGAUAUGUUAUUAUAAAACAUGCUUUAGUUAAGGAGUUAUUGAUACUUCAAGUGCAAAAUGAUGAUAUAAAACCUUGAUAAAAAUGCACUUUUAAGUACUAAUCAACCUCCUUGGAAGAAGCCUCAAUUAUAAUUAGGGACAUUUCAAAUUUUGAUUCCACAAUUUAUGACCCAUGGAAAAUAUUAAUUGCUAAGGCAAAAAUGGGCUUUUAAAGUACCUUGAAUUUCCUUAGAUUUUGAACUUAGUUUUUUUUCUCUUCCUUGCGAUUUAUGAGUUGCGAACACUUGAAAUAUUAAGGGGAAAAUGAGCUCUUAAGCACAUCGAAUCUCCUUAGAUUUCUAUAUUAGCUGUCUCUAAAUUCAUAAAUUCUGAAUUUAUUUCAAAUCAAACAUAGACUUCGAGAGAUCUACCUCUUUGGCACUCUACAAACAUAUCUAAAGGUAUGAUCCGUAUUGGCCAAGGGUUCUUUCCCUUCGACUUUGAACCCAAGUUCGUCGUCAAAACAGACUUAUCCUAGGAAACUGAUGGGAUUAGAGAACAUCAACACCAUAGCAAUUAUAGGGCAAACCAAACACCAAGCAGCUUAUCUUAGGUAGGGCGUACUAGGGGUGCUAAAACUUUUCCUUUACGCAACCAGUCUCUUGCCUUAGAAUCUUUGAAAGACCAGUUAGGUUUCCUAGUGACCAUAAUACUAGGUGACGACUCCCUUUUUUUACAAAACAAAGACCCCAACAUUAAUCCCUGCUAUCAGGAAGGGUCGCCUCAACAUCGAGCUCUCUUGAGGGUACGACAAUAAUAAUCAUAAUGUUGAUUCUUUUAUCUCCUACUUAAUGCAAGUGUCCAUCGUGUGCUGAAAUUGAUUGUUUACCAUAACAUUUCUUUUAAAGGUAGAGAUUUCUUGGUUGACAAUGGAAAAAAGUAAUCGCAUGGUUAUUUUCCAUAACAUUCCUUUGAGUAAAUAUUCUCUAUUGGAGGUCAAUUUCAUCGAAGCAAUUACCUCAAUGAACACGUCCUAAUUACCAACCUCUAAGUAGUCAUCUCCCUUAUCCUAACUUUUUAUUUCCUUAUAAAAUCUCACGGUUUUUCAUCAUUUUCAGAGGAAAAGUUGACCUUGCAAAUGGUGCUCUAAGGAACCAAGUCAUCCUAGAACUAAUCAUCCACCUAAUCUCGUCAACUCCUUGUUGCACAAACAGCCUGUCUCACUUAAAGGGGAUUUUAAUGAUGAACAAACACAAAUUCCUUGUUGCUCAAAUACAUAUGCUCAUUUAAACACAGGAUGCUUGACCUCAUUAAAGACAAACUGACGACAUCCGUCCGUAACAUAAAUUAUCUUCCUUGCCCCAAAGUCAGCACAGAAAAACCUUGUUCACUAUAAAGGUUCUGAAUGUUUUUCCUAAAUUUCAUGAUAUGGCAUUCAGCAUUCUUAAGCAAACUACAACUGCAGAAGGCUUGUACAUGUAGGGGAGACGUAGGAAGAACUGCAAAAGUUGUCGCAUCUAUUGUUAUGCUGUUCAGAGUUUCUAUCUCAUCAUCCAAUCUGCCUAAAAUAUAAAAGAUCAUGUGCAUGAAUUUGAUCUCAAAGGGGUACCACCUCAUAUGCGUACAGGACAUACAUGACCAGUGAUGGUUGUUCUAUCCACAAAAUUAGCUAACAUACGACUAUUUUAUUCAACUACCAUUUCAGGAUAUGAGUUCUCCUAGCCACACUCAAAAGCCCUAGCCGCUAUAUGAACAAAGCACCUAAAAAAUUAAUCACCUGCCUAAUCUAAUUCACCCACACACACACACACACCCACCUGAUCAUAGACAGGAAACGAGUUAUUUGAAUGCAUAGACAGGAAAUUCAGGUAAACACGCGCGCGCGCACACACACACCUGAUCAUAAAUUUCCUAAAGAAAUUCUGAAUUGUAACAUUGGUAAACAAAGUGUGACAAUAUCAUCACAUUAAAAAUGCAUUUCACUCAAAACAAAUACUAGCUCAAGAAAAAAAAAUGCAAGAAGCCAAGAGAGAAUAAAUUAAGCAGUCCAUAAACAAGAGACAGAGAGGCAUUGUUCCAAUGAGAAAAGUAAUUAAAACCCAACAACUAAAGAAAGAAUCAAACCAGUGAGUAACUAAUCCUUUUAAAGCAUUCCAAGAAUGGCAACCAAAUGUAACAUAAUCAACCUGCAAAAACAAACACAAAAAGAAUUAGAAGAAGAAACCCCAGACCUCCACCACCAAAUCCACCUCCACCAAAUCCACCUCCACCACCAAGCCCGCCACCUCAUUCAUCCUCAAAAGAACCCUUUCUAGAACCGGAUUCUGUAACGCAUUGUCUUCAUUCUGACAGGAGGGGAUAUCAGUCACAAUUUGGAAAUCUAAUAGUUUGAAGGUUUCUGAAAACCGUCCUCAGACCUGUCAGCGUCGCUGGCCAAUUUCUCAUUCUUCCACCGUUGGAUUAACACGAAUUUUGGGUAAGUUGUGUGUCACUAUAGUUCCCACAUCCUGACCAGAGCGAUCGUUCAUAUUUGAAUCCACUAGAUAAAUCUUACCGUUUGAAGAUUUCUGGGCAAAUCACUCUCGGAACAGUCAGAAUCGCCGGCUUAUUUCUUCUUUUUCUACCGUUGGAUCCAUCUGAAUUUUGGAUAUGUGAUGCGUAUGGUCGUAUUACACAUUCGGAACGGUGGAGAUGACAUGAAUCGUUUCCAGAAAAGAGUUAUGCACGCUCAACAGUGGUCCAUCAAUCUCAGGUCAGUUUUGGUCUAACUCCGAUCUAGGGAGAUCCAACCGUUAACUGGAGCUGAUAUUUGGAUAUGUUCUGCAUAAGAUGUGUUUUUACCUUGUCACCGUUGCGAUUUGUUAUUUGUUGAAUUGUUGGUGAGUAAUUGUUGUUUGAAGCUCUGCACAGAAUCUAUCAUGGCUUCCAAUCCGAAACUUCAAACCCUCAAAGCUAACACCACCCACUCAAUCACUAAACAACCCACAAACCAUCACCAAAACAUCCAAAAUACAGCCUCCUCAACGUAGGUUAGGUUUCUAAAAUCCCACGAAUCAACAAACAAUCAAAAAUCCCUUUCCAAUAGUCACCUCCGCCUUGACUCAAGACAACAACCACCCCCUAAACACAUUCACAAUAUUCCUAGCCCAAAAACCCAGAAUAACCAUUCCUUUAACAUUUCAGUGCCACAAAUUUACUUUGAAGGUUUCCCAAUAUGGGCUGAUUACCAUCGCAUAAAGGCUUCUUUUAACAAGUUUGGCUAUGUACUCAAACUUUAUGUAUCCAGGCGUGUCAACAAAUCAGGGAGUCUUUUUGGUUUUGUAACAAUAGCAUCAAAAUUUUCUGAUAAAGUUUUGCUAGAGAGUGUGAAUGAUAUUUGGUUUGAAUAUCACAGACUAAAGGCCAAUUUCACUAGACACUAUAAAAAGAUUCCAAGAGAGAACAAAGCUCCUGACAGAUCAAAACCCAAAACAACUUUAAGAGUGCCUAUUAGUGAAAGAGAUGACAGAAGUUACAAAGAGGUACUCAGUGAAGGAAAAGUGGAACAAAUACUUCUGCCUGUGGCUUCUGGACCAAAGGAUUACUUUGAAAAACUCUUCAUUGAUAUUGAAGAAGAGGAUUAUGCUUGGCUAAAGAGAUGUCUUCUGGGAAAAAUAAAAAAAGGAUCCAAUUACUCUUCUAUACGUUUUGGACUGAUCCAACAUGAUAUAGAUUUUGUUGGACUGCGCUUUCUUGGGGCAUCUCAGGUCCUUGUGAUUUUUUAUAAUAGAGACAUAUUAAUGGAAUCAUGGAGGAAGAAUAAUAAAUGUUGGGAUGUAUUUUUUGAGGAAGUUCGCCCCUGGGUUGAGACUGACACAACUUUGAAUCGGAUGGCCUGGAUAACAAUAACAAAUCUACCCAUUAUAGGGUGGAAUUGCAGAUGCCUCACAAAGAUUUUAGAAAGAUCUGGUCAGAUGAUAGGUUAUGAUAAAACUACUCUCAAGCUUUUUGAACUAUCACAGUUACGGAUCCUCAUUGGUACACAACUGGAUAAGGUGAAUAAGGUGAUUGUUUUGCAACUCAAUAAUCAAACAUAUCAGGUUAAGAUAGAGGAGAUGGACCAGUUACAUUACCCAAUUGCUGGCUCUAUUUCAUACACCAUGGAUGACUUUCUGACAUCCCUAGAGCAAGGGGAUGAUGAUGAUGAGGAAGACUCGGUUGAUGUGGGUGAUGGCGUAGACACAGAUGAGGACAGAGCAGGUGUGGCUCCAUCAGUCACCAGGACUCUUGGGGGCGGCACCAACGGGUGGGAAAAUUCAGAUCUGGCACAGGAUGGAGACAUGCUAUCAACUUCUGACGAUAGCUCUCUUAUCAUAUUUAAUGCUCUUCAUCUGGAUGUGGUGCAAGAUCAACAUGCUGCCUCAUCUUUAGAGAGAUUUCCAGAAAUUAUGGCAUACAAUCUUUCUUUUUCUGACAGCAGCUAUAUAAAAGCAGCCCCAUUCCCAAUGCUCUUACCCUAUAUACGGGACAUGGCACUCCUAUUUUGAGAGAAGAUGCUAGAAACCCUGCAGCUGCCUUGGACCUUGACUCCCUUGUAUUGGCCCAGAUUGAAAGCCCAGUUUAUGGCAGUGGAUCUCAAAGCCCAUCUGACGUUCUCUCUAUUUCAUUUGGAUCAAACAAUGAUUUAGCCCUUCAAUCAACAUACAAUCAUCAAGCCAUAGUAAUUCUGGAACCGCAACACAUGAAUCACCCAGUUAUUUUACACUCUAAUGCAAACACAAAAGAGAGUGCAAUUGCCCUAUCUGCAAAAACAAGAAGGAAGUUGCGACGUACAAAGAUGAUUACAGCUGAUGGAAGUUUGAAUGAAACAGUUAAUAUGAGUGAGAUGGAUACUAAGGACUCAACAAUACAGAGGUGUAACAGGAGGAACUUGCUAGCUCAUGACGAAAACAAUAAGCCUUCUGAGGGUGAUGAGGUUUGUUUAAUGCUGGAAAUAGGAGAGGUUUUGCAGAUUGAAAAACCUCACAAUUUAGAUGACUUCACAUCCUAUAUAAAUCAGCAAAGGCGUAAAGAGAAGGCUGAUUGGGAAGCAUCCCAGUGAGUAGAUGUUCCUCUUUGUUCUGUAAGGAUUUUAAAUCUCUUUUCUUAUGCAGAUUCUUUCAUGGAAUUCUUGUGGUUUGGGGUUAGCUAGAAAGAAGAGGACAGUUUCAAAGUUAAUCAGGGAUUUUGAUAUAGAGGUUUGUUUUUUGUUUGAAACUAAGUUACAAAGUUACUCAGACAAAUUGGUUUUUCAAUUAUGGAGCGUCAGUAAUGUUUCUUGGUUUGGUAAUGAGGCUGAAGGUACUAAAGGGGGCAUUCUGGCUAUGUGGGAUAACUCUAAGUUUGCGGUAUCAUCAGUGGAGUAUGGUCAUGGUUGGAUCGGGUUAUUUGGGCAGAAUGUCUUGACAGGCUUCUCAAGGGCGGUGGUAGGUGUUUAUGCCCUUUGCAAUCAAGCUGACAGACUUCUUCUUUGGAAGGACCUUCGUAUUCUGAAGGCUGCUUUUGAGUGUCCUUGGUUUUUAGCAGGUGACUUCAAUGAAACUAUGUUGCGAAGUGACAGAAGCAGUGGCUUCAUUAACAAGGUGGGUUCAACGGCUUUUAGACUUUUUAUUGAUGAUUGCAACCUAAUCGAGUACAACAUGUCAGAGGGUCUGUACACCUGGUUUCGUGGGGGGUCCAUGAGUAAACUAGACCGUAUUUUUUCUAGUCCUUGUUGUCAUUUGCAAUUCCCCCUUUUGUCUCUUCGACGGCUUCCAAGAGGGUUCUCUGAUCAUUGCCCUUUAAUCCUAGGGGUUUCACCUGCAGAAAAAGGUUGGAUUCCUUUCAAAUUCAUGGAUUGUUGGCUCCAUCAUCCAAAUUUUAAAGAUAUCGUAAAGGGUAUAUGGGAUGAAGCUUGCAAUGAAUUUUCAGGUCAGUUCAAGCUCAUUAAGAAGCUCAGCUUUAUGGCAACUUGGCUCAGACAGUGGAAUAGGGUUGGUUUUGGGCAUCAGGAGACUGCUUUGUCAUUGAUCCAAAGCAAUAUUUCAGCUAUAGAAAAGAAAUCAGAGUAUGGGCAAUUAUCUACUGCAUAGCAGAACUCGCUUGAUUCAUUGAUUAAGAAGUAGUGGCAAUGUAACUUGCAUAUAGAAAGCAUGUGGCGUCAAAAGUCUCGCCAAAUUUGGUGUCGCCUGGGCGAUCGCAACACGCGUUUCUUCCAUCUAGUUGCUAACUUCAGGAGGGCUAAAAACCAUCUCCUGAAAGUGGUUCAUAAUGGUUCUGUUGUUGAAGGUUUACCGGUCAUAAAAGAUGCGGCAGUUAACUUCUUCUCCAACUUAUUCAGAAGUUUUGAUAGAUUCCGAAUUGGUUUAGGGCCUGUUGGUUUUAAAACACUAUCGGCUUCUUCUUCAGCUAGCUUGGAGCGAGAUAUCACUUUGGAAGAAUUAAAGCAGAGUGUUUGGGAUUUUGAUGGGAGCAAGAGUCCGGGUCCAGAUGGUUUCAAUUUCAAAUUCUACAGGCUUGCUUGGAAUUUCAUUGCAGAUGAUUUGUUAGACCUGGCCAAGAAUUUCUUCAAAACAGGUAGGCUUCCAAAAGGAGUCAAUCAUGCUUAUGUUCAUCUAAUUCCGAAGAUAGCUUCCCCAAUUGGCUUCAAAGAUUUCAGGCCUCUUAGUUUGAUUCAUGGCAUUUACAAGAUAAUGGCUAAGGUUCUUUCUAGCCGUCUGAAAGCGGUUAUGCAUGACCUUAUCAGUGAGAAUCAAACAGCUUUCUUGGCAGGGAGGCAAAUAAUUGAUGGGUUUGUGGUUGCCAAUGAAGCAGUUCAUUCCUUGAAAAGACACAGAGUGUCGAGCCUUAUCUUUAAGGUGGAUUUUCACAAGGCUUUCGAUAGUGUGCAGUGGGAUUAUUUAGAGCAGGUUAUGAGGCAUAUGGGUUUUGGUGAAAAAUGGAUUAAUUGGAUCAACACUUGCAUCUCCACUGCAAAAUUAUCAGUGCUGAUUAAUGGAUCUCCUUCUAAGGAAUUCUUGAUGGGUCGUGGGAUUCGCCAAGGUGACCCCCUUUCUCCAUUCCUUUUUCUAAUAGCAGCAGAGGGAUUAUCUGUUUUGUUUCAAAGAGCAGCUUCAAAUGAUCUUUUCAAAGGUAUCCCUUUUGGAGACAGCUUUUGCCUUAGUCACCUACAAUAUGCAGACGACACUUUGAUCUUCAUGCCUGCUAAUCUUCAUAUGGUCAAAACGGUUAAAAGGAUCCUGUUAUGGUUCGCUAUUUGUUCAGGUUUGCACAUUAACUUCCAUAAAAGCUCUUUAAUUGGCAUAAAUGUUGGGGAAGAUACUUGUGCUAGUAUGACAUAUUCAGUCUUUUGCAGAUUUGAUUCCUUGCCUUGCUCUUAUCUAGGCAUGCCUUUAGGAUCCAAUCCUAAAAGAUUGUCUACAUGGAAGCCUAUUAUUGAGAAUUUCAGACGGAAGUUGAGCAUGUGGAGAGGUCGUAUGCUUAGUAUGGCAGGACGUAUUUGCCUAAUCAAAAGUGUCUUGAGUUCAUUGCCAGUAUAUUAUAUGUCUUCUUUUCUUAUGCCGAAAGGUGUCUGUAAUAUACUACCAUCUAUUCAACGAAGAUUCUUGGGUCUGAGUGGCGAAGCAAAAGAAAAUCUGCAAGGUACAAUGGCGUAUUGUUGUGAAAGCUAGAAAAGAAGGAGGCCUCGGGUUGGGUUCUUUAAUGUCAAAAAAUAUAUCCAUGCUUUUCAAAUGGAUAUGGAGGCUAAACUUACCAGACCAUGCCUUAUGGAAACAGGUAACAACCCAUUUUUACUCCCCAACUUUCGAGAAUGGAAUCCCAAAAUUGCAUGGUCAUAUUUCCCCAUUUUGGAAAGACAUUUUGUCAAUCUUGGAUCCAAACAGUGUCAUCGGCUUAGUAUUGCGUGAAAACAUUAAAUUCAAGAUUGGAGAUGGAUCCUCCAUCCUUUUCUGGUCUGACGUGUGGAUAGGAUCAAAUGCUUUACGUUGCAUUUUCCCUAAGCUUUACCAAAUUUCUACUUUUCGGAAUGGUUUGGUUAAUGAGAUGGGUCAAUGGGUGAAUGAUCAAUGGCGAUGGAAUUUGGUUUGGCGUAGGAAGCUCUUAUCUUAUAAAGAGCAACAAUAUCAUCAUUUGCUCUCAAUGCUGGAGCCAACGAUAAUUCGGCAAGGAAAAGAUGACAAACUUAUAUGGCCAUGCAAUUCUGAUGGAAGCUUCUCAGUUAAAUCGUGUUGCACCCUGAUUGACAAUACCUCCUCUGCGACUGAUAGAGUCUUUGAAGCCAAUGUUUGGAUUAAAGGGGCCCCUCUGAAAGUUCAGGUGUUUCUCUGGUUGGCAGUACAAGACAAAGUUAGUACAAGAGCUUUUCUCCAUCAACGGACUAUUUUGUCUGCCACACAAGCUUCAUGUGUCUUUUGCAGCUCAAAUUUGGAAACCUCAGAGCAUCUUUUUAUACAUUGUAACUUUUCUAUGAGUGUUUGGAUGAAAGUUUUGGAUUGGUGGGGUAUCCAAUGUUGUUUACCGAGAACACUUGACUUGCUGCUUCUGCAGUGGCCCGAAAUGGUACAAGGCAAAUUCCAAAGAUCAGCUUGGAGAUUAAUUUCAAGUAGUACUAUUUGGGGUAUAUGGUUACUGAGGAACAAAAUUGUUUUUGAGGAGGGAACUAUAAACUUGUUUGAUUGUUUCUCCACCAUCCUUCAUCGGGUUGCUAUUUGGUUGCAUACUCAUGAUUCAAACUUCAAUUAUACAGGCAAUGACCUCUUAAGAUCUUCUGAUGGCAUCAAAUUAUGGUGUAAUAAGAAAUCUUAGGUAGUCUUCUUGUUGUUUGCUGUAGUAGAUCAGUUUUUUUCUUUUUUCUUUUUUUCUUUUUUAUAUCCCUUGUAUUUCUCUUUGGCUAUUCGCUUUAUGGCCUUCUCAAUAUACUCUCGAUGAUUAUAAAAAAAAAGAAGAAGAAACCCCAUUAGUUAAUAAGUUAAAACAGCAGCAGCAGCAAAAAGACUCAAAUUUUAGUUAUUUGGACUUGAGAAAAAGCAUUGAACCCUCUGUGAAAAUGCCAUGAAAGGGGUGCUUAGAAACCUGGAAAAUAAAAACUUUUAAAAGGGUGUUUUUACAAAGCAAGAAAGAAGCUUGGAAGCAAGGAAGCAAGCCAGCCUACCCUCACGAACUCUGUUUGUUAAUUGUUUUUUCUCCUUUAAAGUGAAAACAAAAAAAUAAAAAACAAAAACAAAGAGCACCCAGAAAAUCUAGUCAGAAAUAUUUUAUGUUGCUGUCUUGGAGAGACGCAUUAUAUUACAUAACAAAAUGAUAAAUUCAUUCAUUACAAAAAGAUACCCAACAAAAUAUAAGAAAACUAAUCUACUGUUCAACCCGAUAGGGGGAUGUACCUGAAAAUUGAUUUAAUACAAUAAUUCAAUUAGACAGAUGAAAAAAAGAUAUCCAUAAAAUUCUUUCUACUUUCUUUCUUUCUUCCUUUUUUUUUUUUUUGAAAAUUUAGUCAAAAGAUCAUUAAAUUAACUUGCUCAUCUAGUAUUGUAUAUAUAUAUCAAUUAAAUUUCAGAAUAAUCUAUGAGUUUGUUUUCUUUUUCUUUUUUCUUUUUUAAUAUCAACCAAAAAUAUAAUUAUUUCUAUCGCUCAAUUAACCCGGCAUUACUUUCACUAAUAGAUGAUUAAUUUUCCACCAGUCCAUUCAACAAACACUAUUGUCAUCAAUUCAAAAAUUAGUUUAAUGUUUCAUCCAUUCAUCAGGUAAAAAUCUCAUUAACCAGGGAAAUUAAUUCUUCAUCUUGCCCAUUUGUCAAGGCACUAAUUCCAUUAAAUCAGGAAUUAGUUCAAUGAUUUACCUAUUCACCAGGUUACUAAUCCCAUUAACCAGAGACUUAAUUCCUCAUCAUGCCUAUUCACCAGGACAUUAAUCCCAUUAAUUCAGGAAUUAGUUCAACGAUUUGCCCAUUCACCAGGGCAUCAUAAUUUCUUAUCACGCCCAUUCACCAGGGCAUUAAUUUCUUAUCACGCCCAUUCACUAGGGCAUUAAUCCCAUUAGUUCAAGAAUUAAUUCAUCACAUCGCAUAUCUUAUUUUCUAAAGUAAACAAUAUAAUAAUUUCAUAUUUAUCAACCACAAUUAAUCAAAUAAAAAUACAUAUUGACCAAUAAUAAAUUCGAGUACCGUGUAAUUACCUGAUGACUAAGCUCGAGUUGAAAUUUCCUGCUGUGGUGUCGGCCUGGCAGCCUCUCUUGAAUUGAAAAGUAUAUCACAUCAUUAUUCUACUUUCCAUAUUGAAACACUCAAUAAAUAAAAUCAUUCCAAUUAUCCUUUUAUUUGCCAAAAUAAAAUCAUUUCGUAAGUUUCCUUCCCUAUCUUUCAAUUUCCACAUUGUAACACAAUUCAUUUUAUCAUUCAAAUCAAUAUAUAUANNNNNNNNNNNNNNNNNNNNNNNNNNNNNNNNNNNNNNNNNNNNNNNNNNNNNNNNNNNNNNNNNNNNNNNNNNNNNNNNNNNNNNNNNNNNNNNNNNNNCUUUAAAUUCAUUUAUUUAAUUUUUACCAUAAUUUAAAUCAAAGAAAAACAUAAAACAAUUUCAUGAUCUAUUCACUCUUUAACAUUAAUAUCAUGCUCUUUCUUACACAAUCUCAUCAUCUUAUCAAAACUCUUAAAUUUUUAUUUUUCUUAUUAUUAUUUUUCCAAAAAUCCCUUCUUCAAGAACACCUAAAAUUUUGCUUUAAUUACCAUAAUUUCUUACUUUUUCUACUCAUUUCAAUAAUCUUAACACAAUUUCACAAUCAAUUGUAAUUUUCUCUAAAAUUUAUCAUGAACCCUAAUUCCUCAUUUCACAAAGUUCAAUCAAUUUAAAGCAUAAAUUCUUCAAGAAUCUUAUUUAAAAGUUUGAGUACAUCUUACCAAGCAAUAACCAAAGUUUUAACACUUUUAAAUUGAGAAAUUUUCCUUGCUUGAAUUUGUUUUUUCUCUCCUGGCCGAUUGCUUCCUUCUCUUUGAAAAAACAAGUUUGUUUUUUUUUUUUUUUUGUUUACUUAUAGCACACACUCACUUGCACUCAUAUAUAUAUAUAUAUAUAUAUAUAUAUAUAUAUAUAUAUAUAUUAACUCUCUUUUUUAAAUACCUUCCACGUCCCUCAAUUUGUUUCUUCCCCAUACACACAUAUAAUUACUUAACUUUUUAAAAAUACCUUCUAUAUUCCUCAAUAGUAAAUUUUAUGAUUUUUGGGUAAAAUUUCAUGAAUCCUAACACCUGUUUAUACCAAAUUUUAUCCAGAUUAUUUCAAAUUUCACUCAGUUACUCGUUAGUACUUUCAGUUUCAUGAAAUUCAUUUCCAUCAAAAUUUUAUUCACAUUUUCAUGUUUAUUUAUUUAUAUUUAUUUUUUAUAUAUAUUUUAACACCCGAACAAAACAUUUCAAUUCAGAUUCUCGAAUAUAUCAUCAUUCUUAUAAUUUAAUUUAUCACUUUCCCUCAUUUUUCGUAAUCUUGACUUUUAUUAAUAUUAAUAAUAUUACCCGGGGUUUUACAGUCUCAGUUGACACUGAUUUUCGCCAUAAAAAAUGGUCGAUUUUUGUUUUAAUGAGUUUCAUUUGAUGAAGAGAGUUCCAUUGAAAUGUUUUUUGCUCUUGAAAUUGCCAAAACAUUUAUAGUUUUUGGGCUGUUUUAUUGGUUUAUUACAUCAUAAAAACGAUUUUUAGGUGUUUUGGUGUGAACUUUGUUUAAAUUUGCAUUUUUUGGUCAAAAACCACCAUGCUUAAUUUUCUAGUCACCUCUCCAAUGGCCAAGAACUGAAAAGUCUCGGUAGGUGACAUGUCGCUUUUCUUUAUUUUUUUUUCAAAAACAUUUGGAGGAUUUUCAAAUAAAAAAGGCCCAUACGUACCAACCCUUUUUAAAAUGGGCUUGAUGUGUAGGCCCGACUUACUAGGCCCAAAAGCACUUGAUCUAUUUCUAUUUUUUUUUCUAAUUUUGUUUUCUUAAUUGAUAUUUUUUAUGUAUUUUUAAUGAAUUUUUGAAUUUAUAUUUAAAUUAAUACUUUUCUCUCUAAAUAUUUAGAUUGUUUAUUUAGUUUUUUCUAAAUAAUGGAUAUCUUUUACUUAUCUUUUAUGUAUUUAAUAUCUAGAAAAAAUUAUUUCAAUUCAUCUAUAUGUUUUUUUAUAUAUUUUAUAUAAAUAAACUUUAUUUUCAUGACGUGUUUAUAAAAAUAAGAAUUAUUUGUUCUUGGUAAGAAAAAGUGACCUUUAAGAUAAAAAAGAAGAAGAAGGAGAAAAGUGUGCAUGAAGAUGAAAGUUAAGGUUAAGUAUCAUAUUUAUGUAUCUUUUACUUUUAUGAAAAUGAUUAUCAUUUUAUUUUAUAAUUUGAUUGGCAUUAACAACUCUUUAUUAGUUUAUUAGUUCAUAUUUUUGUAAGAUUGUUUUUUACAUUUCUUAAUUAAGAGAAUCAUAAUACAAUGAAAUGCACUUGAAACAAUGUCCCAUUUUUCUACUACAUUAAAAAUUAACUUAAGAUCCUAUAUGUGGCACGAUGCGUUAACAACUAUUUUUUAUAUUUAUGAACACUUAUGGUCCUUACUUUAUUUUUAUUAUAUGUAAAUAUCAACUUUUUUAUUUACAAUUAUAAUUUUCUCUUGAUUUUUAAAAAUACGUUAACAACAUUUAUAUAUAUUUUUUUUUGCGUUCAAAAAAUUAUCUAACUCGUAGCAAAGUGAAUUAAAUAAAUGCAUCAACACUUUUUUUUUUGUAUUUAUGAUUAGGAUUUGUUUUUGUUAAAAAUGCAAUUGAAAAGCAUACAAAUUUAUUUUUUGCUAAAAACAAUUUUGUGAUCCAUACCGAAGUGCGAGUUAAAUAACUACGUAUAUGGCUAUAGUAAGUCUUUUAGUAUAUGUGGAUGUAGGAAGCAAUGCGUUAUAUUAUUAGUUAGAUAUAACUUACCUAUUCAUUAUUAAAAAAAACAUAAAAUAAAUAAAUAUAUUAAUAGAAACCUAAAAGAGGUCGGCUGAAAUAUAAUAUUUUUGUCCUUUUUUUUAUUUUGUUUCACAUUUCUCAAUUAAGAGAAUCAUGAUACAAUAAAAUGCAUUUGAAACACCAUCCUAUUUUUCUAUUAAAUUAAAAAUUAACUUCCUGAUGCAACCAUAUUAUUCGAUAGUUUCACCCACAUUUAACUAGUGUUUUGCCUAUGUUUUAUAUAUAAAAUGCCUUGAUAUUCUUUGUUUUAUGUUUUGAAGGCACUUUUGGAUGAAAGAUGCAAAAAGGAGUAAAUUGGAGAUAAUUGGCAGAUUUGACCUUCAGUCGAUGUUUUGUGCAGAGCGUGAGCUCUAGAGGUUGAAAUGAAGUGAUUCCAGUGGCAUUAAAAAGCUAACAUCCAUACCUUUCUGGAAAUCUAAGGCAAGAAAAUAAAAUAAGGAAGAGCAUGGAAAUCACAGCCUUCAAAGUCAAAACAGAUUUGCUUUCUUUUUCCCUUAUCUUUUAUUUUUCGCAUUUUACUUUAUUUUUGUCAUUCUUCAAUAUUCCUUUUCUUUUAUUUCAACAUUGAGGACAAUGUUGUGUUUUAAGUGUGGGGGUAUUGGGAGAAUGUUGGUUUUCUAAUUUUGGUUUUCUUUGUUAUUUUUCAAAAUAAAAAAAAAUUAUGUUUGAUCUUUUGAACUCCCAUUGGUUUUUGAGAAUAUGAGUAUUAUGUAUGAGAAUUAGUUGAGAUAGAUGAAGAUAUAAAUAAAAUGAAUGAGUGUGCAUGCAAGUUUUAAGGUUUAAUUGGUUUAGGGAUUGACUUUGAGAAUCUGUCAUGUUGACUUUAUAGUGUUAUACCAAUGCAAGCUUUUGAGCCUUCAACAUUAUAUUCUUUUAUUGUGCCUUCUUUCAAUGAUAUGUAUCUUUAGAACUUGUUUCAUAUCUUGUUGAGAUUACAUUCAUAUUACAUAUAUACAUGAAGAUAAUAAAGGCAUUAGGAAUUUUAACCACUUGAGCCAAAAAGCCAACCUAAAGCAUAUUAUCCUUAGUGAGCCCCUUUUGAGCUUGUUUAUCUUUUCUUUGCUUUAUCCAUGUAUAAGCCUUAACUUUUUAUAUGUUUUCCUUUUCCCCUGGCCAAGGAUUAGUAGAGCAUAUACUUAUGAUAUCUCAUGGAAUUAUGGUUGGAAAUUAUGCGAAAAGAAAGAAGAAGUGAUGCUUGAUGAAAAGAUGGGCAAAGUUGCCGAAGGUCAAAAAAAAAAAAGGAAAAAAAAAGAAAAAAAAGAAAAGAAAAAGAAAAAGAAAAAAGUGUUCCUUUAUGUUCUUAAUAUUUUAUAUUGAAAAAGCUUGAAAUCAAAAGAAGUUAAGCAUUGGUGAUUAAAGAUGGAAAAUUUAUGUGCUUUGAUGGAAUAUCUUGUUUGAAAUAUCAUUUUUCAGAAUGCUCUACUUUCUUUGGUUUGAACCUUUUGUUUUACUCUCUUUUACCUCACCUUAACCUUAGCCCCAUUACAACCAGAAAAUAAGACCUUUUGAUUCAUGCAUUGUUUGUAAUAUGUUAUUAAUGGGGAUGAGAUUGAAGAGCAAGCUUAUGGUAGAACAUAUUCAUUGAUUGAAUUUGAGAGAUUUAAACACAUAAGCCCUAAACACGUGAGUGUUGGAGUAUAUAUCAAUGAGAGGACCUAUCACUUUGGCAUGGCAUAGAUUUCAUUUAAAUCUCGACGAUUAAUUGACUUUUGAAGUUUGCAUGUAAAUAAAUUCAUGAAAAUUUAUACUCUUUAUCCUUCUUAAUUGUGUUCUUGUUUAUAAUGCAUAUAUUCUUGGAUAUUGAUGGGAGAUUAGAAGAUUAGUCAUAGUGAUUUCAUUUAAUUUAACUUCAAUUUGAUUUUACCUAUCCUUUCUCGAGGACGAGCAAGAGCUAAGUGUGGGGGUAUUUGAUGCAACCAUAUUAUUCUAUAGUUUCACCCACAUUUAACUAGUGUUUUGCCUAUGUUUUAUAUAUAAAAUGCCUUGAUAUUCUUUGUUUUAUGUUUUGAAGGCACUUUUGGAUGAAAGAUGCAAAAAGGAGUAAAUUGGAGAUAAUUGGCAGAUUUGACCUUCAGUCGAUGUUUUGUGCAGAGCGUGAGCUCUAGAGGUUGAAAUGAAGUGAUUCCAGUGGCAUUAAAAAGCUAACAUCCAUACCUUUCUGGACAUCUAAGGCAAGAAAAUAAAAUAAGGAAGAGCAUGGAAAUCGCAGCCUUCAAAGUCAAAUCUCGCAAUCUGCCAGUGUUGACCUUCGGCCAUUCCGACUUGAAUAUCUGGAGCUACAGAAGUCCAAUUGAUGCAAACUCAAUUGUUUUGGAUUCAUGUCUCAAAGGUCUAUAAACGCUCCACAUUUCAGCCCAAACCGAUUUCAUAUGAGGGAGAUAUGAUUUUUCAAAGAUGACAACUGAAUUCUGCCAGCAAACAGGUUUCGUGAAGAAACGAGUCCAAAUUACGUUCCGAAGCAUCUAAACCGAUAUCCAAGUUUGUAUUUCAGCAAUUUAGCUCCUCUAAGUCAAAGCUUGAAGAUUUCAUGCAAGGCUAUUUCUCCUUUUUUAGGAAAAUAGUUAUUGAAGUACUUAAAUGUAAACAGUCUACUUAAUGGAGGACUAUUUUGUAAAAUAGAGACCUAGGGUUUCCUAGGAUAUAAAAAGAAUGAGAGAAGAGAAGGGGGGAGGCAGCCAAGAAGAGAAAAACGCCCCCUUCCUCUAAGAAACCCUAAAUUAUGCAUUCUUCCUUCUUUUUGAUUAGUUGUUCAACAAACAUGCAAGGCUAAACACUUUUUCUUGGUUGCAAGAACACGGAAACCUUCGGAUUUCAAGAACUGUGAGAUUUAUUUUACCUUUUCUUUUCAGUUUAUAUGAUGAAUAUGUUUGUUCUCCUAUGCUUAUUUUUCCUAUGAUUGUUUAUUUUAAUUGCUAGAGCGGACUCUAAGUUAUUAUUGUAGACAAUCUAUUGUUAAUUUUGAUAUCAAAACCGGAGUUGUGGUAUAUGAACUUGUGAAGCAACUGAGUUUAAUAAUUGUGGCGGAUCUACGUUAUUAAUCUUAGGGAGAACAUUCAAUCAAAUCAAACAUAGACUGCGGACAGUUAUGUUUUCUUGAUUAAUCAACUUAUCUAGUUCUUAAGGCUGCCAUUGAAUUAAAUUACUAGUGCGGACACUGUGGUUGUUUGAUGGUUAGGGCUAGUUAUACGGCGGAUCCGUUAACUAACCAAUGUUAAGAAGAGAUAAAUAUUCAGAAUAUAAAUUGAUGUUUCGUUUCCAUGAUCAGUUCUGAUUUUUGUAGGUGGAUGUGUGCUUCUGACCAAGGUUUGUUCUCUUGAUAAUUUUCUGAUUUUAUUAAAUUUAGUUUGAUAGUUUUCUGUUUUCUUUUGCUUUAGCCUAGAUAAUGUCCAAACCCCCCCAAAUUGCAUAUCAUCUAGCAUAAAAAUCUGACUUGAAUCUUCCUCGUGGGAUCGACCCCUUGCUUGCUCUAUACUAUCUUGUGUGUUGUGUUUGAAGCUAGGGUAAUUAAUUUGUGCGACCGCGACAUCGCAACACUUCCUACAUGGGGUGCGUUGCGUUAACAAUUGUUUUUGUAUUUAUUAACAUAUAUGAUCCUCAAUUGAUUUUAUUAUAUGUAAACAUCAACUUUUUUUAUUCACAAUUAUAUUUUUUUCUCUCGAUAUCUAAAAAUACAUCAACAACACAUAUACAUCCAUUCUUUUGUGUUGGAAAAUAUUAUCUGACCCAUAGCGAAGCGAGUUAAAUAAACACGUCAAUACCUUUUUUUUGUAUUUAUUAUUAGGGUUUUUUUUUGUUAAAAAUACAUUUGAAAAGCAUUCAUAUUUAUUUAUUUUGCUAAAAAACAUUUCUGAUCUAUAGUAAAGUGCGAGUCAAAUAACUACUAAUAUGGCUAUAGUGAGUGUUUUUUUAGUAUAUGUGGAUGUAGGUAGCAAUGUGUUAUAUUAUUAGUUAGAUAUAACUUACCUAUUCAUUAUAAAAAUAAAUAAAUAAAUAUGCUGAAACAAUAUAGUCCCCGAGAGGAAAUAUUGUGAAUUCACACAAUGUUUACUUUCUCUUUUUUUGUCCUUUUUUUAUUUAGUGAUCUUUGAUGAUGAAUUGAUUAAGAUUUGAGAUGGGUACUGUAUUUUUAUUUACCUUUUUUAUAGUUAUCUUGCUCUCAAUAAAACAUCUUGAUAUUAGAACAAUGCUCAAUUUCACAAAAAAAAAAUUAAUGUUUGUAAGAAAUUGAAAAUGAAAAGAUCAAAAUUGAAACAAAUAAAAAACUAUUUAAAAAAAAAAUGGUGUCAACUUUGCCUUUUGUUUUUUGCUUUUGAUCAUCUACUUUUUUUAUAAAAAAAAAAUUAAUAUUUCAAUGCUGUGUUAAUUGGAAUUUGAAGUUGGUAAUUUGAUAUAAGUUGGUAAUUUUAUAUGAGCAUCUAGAACUAAAUAAAAAGCCGCACCAUUGGUUUGGUGCUCGACUUUACAAAAAAAAAAUCGAUUAUAUUGUUUGAGAAAAAAUAAAAAAUAAAAAAUAAAAAUUAAAACAUGAAAAAAAAAAUAAGGGGCCUUAAAAAAACAAAUUGUGUCAACGCCUCCAUGCCUUGUAAUUUUAAUAAAUCUUCUUUUUGGUAAUGAAACUUUUUGAUACAAAACUUUAUUUUACUUGUAUUUUAAUUCUUGAGGUUGAGAAAGAAAAAAGAAAUUCAUCAAAAAAUUAGAAAGAAAAGAGAAAAUUAGCGAAAGCCAGCAAGGUAUCUGCUCGAAAAAACCAUUCAACAUAAGAUUGCUCUGCUAGGAAAACAUGAUAUCAGUAUCAAACUUUUGAACAAAGAGUUCAGCAUCAAGUCUCAGUCAUCUUGAGAUUUGAAUUGCUCAUACAACAACAUUUUUAAUAAUGCAUUAGAAACAGAACAUCAAACAAAGAGUUCAGCAUCAAGGAGAACGCAUGAAAGUCCACACAUUAAACCAAAAGAAACACAAAUGGCCAAGCAAACAUACGCCCUUACUUCUGGAGGCUUGUACGAUAAUGGGCAAGCAUCAUUGUUUUUUUUACUAUUAACCAUCACCAUCACCAUCACCAUCUUCUUCUUCUUAUACUUCUUUCCACCCUUUAUUUCUGGUCCACUCUCUAUUAAUGCUUGAAUCUUCAGCUACUUCAGAUACCUGUAAACCAAUCCAAGCAUGGCAUGCUCAUUUAACUUGUAAAUCUUAUUAUUGAGAGAAACAAGAAACAAACACACUAAAAGAGAGGCAAGAAAUAAAGUUAAAUCAUCAGCAGCACCUCUGAGCGAGCACUCAUUGAACCAUCUGGUGUAGUAGCAAAUUUUGUGGUCAGCUUUGGACAUUGAUGGACCUUCAACUUCUCCAAACGAGGGAAUAAGAAAUAAUCACACCAUCCGAAACUAAAACAGACAAUACUUGAUAAUUGUUGUAGCGACAACUCCUUUAGAUUAGGAAGCACUAUCUCCUUCUCAACGUUGAUAGGUGAAGCUUGAUCAUCCUGCCCAGGAGACUCUGGAAUUAUUUCCCUUUUACCAUCCUCUUCUCUGAUUAUAUGCUUCAAUUGACCGCAUUUACUUAUGGAAAGCCUUUCUAGCUUUGGCAGACUUUGUGUGAGGGACGGUGUGAAGAUAAAUGGCAGUUUGUCGAGAGAAUCCAAACUCAGAAUAUUAAGACUUUGGAGGCUGACAUGUCCGGUGGGCCCCUUCCAUAUGCAUUUGACCUCAGGUAACCUUCGCAGCUCUAACUUUGUUAAAGAUGACAGCAGCUCCUUCUCCUCACUGCUUCCUUCAUCAGCCUCACCUAAUUCAAAUACCUCUUCCAAUGAUUUGCAGCCGCCAACAAUCACCUCCUUUAGAUUGUUCAAAGCUCGCAGCAAUUUUGCUGGAAACGGAGCGCGAACAUCCCCACAAUCGUCCACUUGUACAAUUUCUAAUCUUUGUACGGAGCCGUUUUGCUGCACAUGGCCGGCCAUCUUAUCAGAGAACAAUAUUAUAUUUUUUCACUCUCAUAAAAACAAUUUAUAUGAUGUAUAAAUAGGAGAAAAAAGAAGAAAAAACAGGAUUACAUACUUUUUAGAGGUUACAUAUUAUUGUUUCAGUUUUUUUCUUAAUUAGAGAUAAGUUAAAUAAUAAUUAGAUUUUUUGCGAAAAAAGGUUACUACAACUCCUAAUAAUUAGUUUCAUGUAAAAAAUAAAAAUAAAAAUAGUAACUAAUAUUUUUACUUUAGUUAAAAAGUUAAUAAAUUUUUAAAGAUAUUUUAACUGAAUUAAAUAUUUGAACACAAAAUAAGCUAAUAAUAAUUAGUUUCAUGAGGCAGUUAAAUCUAACAGAUAAUAUGUUCUUUCAUAUGAUUAAUUUUUAAUAACGCAGACAACAAUGAGGCAGUUAAGUUCUUAUAUUUAUAUAUGUUUAGAUAAAAAUAAAAAUGAGCAUUUAUCAAUUACUUUACUUUUAGAAAUUGGGAGGAAGAGAGAAUAAAUUAUCGCAAUUGACAAUUUAAAUUAAGUGGAGAAAUAUAAAUUACGUACUUGUAGCUGUGCCAACCAAUUACCCACUCCUUCGUGGCCUCCAAUGGUUAAGUCUUGCAAAGGCAAUUGAGCAUCAAAAUUCCUUGGACCUAAAAAGCUGUAAUUUGAUCUGAGCCGAAGAGACACUUGUCUUAGGUGAGGGAACUUGAUGAUGCCAUCUCUGUUACGAGACAAAGAGACUGGGAAGACAUAUUCCAGUUUACCACAGUGAGAUAUGAAGAGAGUUUUUAAUAGUGGGAAGCAAGGAGACUCUGGAAUUAUUUCCCUUUCACCAUCCUCUUCUCUGAUAAUAUGCUUCAAUUUACCGCAUUCAUUUAUGUAAAGCCUUUCUAGCUUUGGCAGACUUCGAGCGAGGGACGGUGUGAAGAU